AAACAAAAAGGAAGUAAUUAACACUUCUCUAGUGCAUUAACAGGAAGCACUAGAAUUUUUUAUUCAGUACACAACACAAAUACAUAACUUAGAAAAUCACAAAUUCAAUACACAGCACAAAUACGUAAUUUAGAAAAUUACAACAACAAAAGUAUUUAGUAACUUAGUACAUAACAUAGUGUUAUAAGACACAUACUUUGUGGCCAUAAUUUCUUGGAGCAAAUUAAUGCGUUUUCUUAAGCUUUCUCUAGAGCAAUAUUGCCACCGAUGGUGCAAUGGUUGCUAGCACAGUUUUUCAUGCAAGCUCCAAACAUCUCCUCAUCUGCAAAAUUAACCAGAAAAAUUACUGAGUCGAUCUUGUUUAUACACGGGACUAUUAAUUUUACUGAGCCACCCAUAGAAGAUAAAAUAAAGGGUAAACAAUAUACAUCACAUUACUAUAGAAACUAAUUACUCCCUCUCCCAUAUGUUUUCAUUAUUACAUAAUGUACCAUUAAAAAACGACAUUGAGACACUGUGGUGUUGCAGAUACAUUGUAGACAAGUAAUUCUUCAGAUAUAUGCAGAUGCGCAUGUUAAGACAUUCAGAGAUACAUGGUUAAGGUGUCCGGAUAUAUAAUCGCAUGUAUCUAGGGGUUAUUGUUAAGAAGUGGAAUAUUAUGUAAUUAAUUUAAAGAAAAGAAAAAUAUGGUAAGAUGUUUCGGGACUAAUAAGGAGCUAGCAAGCUUCUUAUAUCAAUAUUUGAUUUUAGGACAUUAAUUUUAUUGAAUUGUCCGUCCAUGAUAAAAGAUAAAGUAAAAACACAGGAUGAAUGCAAGUGACUACAAAACCAAGAAGUGAUAGUCAGUUACCGUUGUGAAAUUGAGAACAAAUUCCGAGAGAACAUCCAACAGUACAAAUAGUAGUAGUAGCACGGUUUGGAGUUUCAAGUUGCUCAGUUACAAAUGGGGAAAAGCAACCCAGCAGGCAGUUAGGUAUGUCCACAGGUUUUUUGCUGUCAACGAGACAUUGUAUCGUACAUGGUUUACCACAUUCAAUGACGCACUUAAUGUAAGCUUCUGGAGCUACUAUCGACUUAAGAGGUCCACAUCCAAUCAGACAUGUCAUUGAACUAGCCAUAGCAUUGUGCUCUGUCAUCACAAGCAUUGCAACGAACACCACUACAACAACUUUCAUUGCCAUUGAGAGAGAGCUAAUUAAUUUGAACUAUAGAUAUACUUGUUUGUUGUUUUUUGAUUGGUGUGAAAAUAAGCUUUUCACGAGGAACUAUUUAUAGAGGAAACAUAUAUCAUUAUAUUGUUUUUAGAUUAGCAAAAAUUAUAGGAAGUGUCAAAAUUAAGAUUAUAAUUACAAUAAAUAUCAAGACUUUUAUAAAUUUUAUUUUAUAGCAAAAGCAGCAUUAUUUUGCCCAAUAAUUCAACCUCACUGUGUUUCACUCCAUUAACUUUGUCUCUUUCCUAUUUUCACUCCACUAUUUCACUUCUCUUCAAUCUAACCGUUUCUUCUUUUUUCUUUUGGCAGACUACAUAAAUAGGCUCUUUAACUUGACACCAAAUCACAUCUAUGACUUCCAACUUUGGGUGUGCACAAGUAGAUAUUUAAACUUGUAUAAAGUUGAACAAGUAGACACGUAUAUACUAUGUGGCGUCCUACGUAGAUAAUUUUUGUCCUACGUGGCAUCCUAUGUGUAUUAUGCCACGCAGGACAUGUGUGCUUACUUGUUCAACCUUAUAUAAGUUUAAGUGCCUACUUGUGCACACCCAAAGUUGAAGGUCAUAGAUGUGAUUUUGUGUCAAGUUAAAGUGCAUAUUUAUGUAUUAUGACUUUUUUUUUUCAAUUUUUGUCUUUUUUUUCUCAAAUUGUAGAUAAAUAUUGUUCUUCAUCAAAUAAGGCAAAUAUCAAUUCACAGUUAUUGCAUGUUAUCUCUUCUAUAUAAUUUAUAUAUUUUAUACUUUUUUGUUCUACNNNNNNNNNNNNNNGGGGAGGGGGAGGGGAAGGGGGGGUUGUGAAUUUUUUUGUUGAAAGAUUGUGGAGGUAUUCUAUAAUGGCAGAACACACACAUAUCGUAGAAGUUAAAAUAGAGGUAUACCACCUGUGAAUUUAGUUUCUGAUAAUCCACCAUCAUUUAGUCUUGGUUUAACACAAGAUGAAGAUCUUAAAUUGAUUUCUACGCCUAUUUAGUCGAAGAGAGAAGUGAGCAUAGAAAAGGUGAGAUCAAAGUUUCUAAUGAUCUAGAGAAGAUUGUGAACAUUUUGAAACGAAAAGGAUUGAGAAAAGUUUCAUCUCUAAAACUUCAAAAAAUGCAAAGAUCUGCGAAAAAAAGAAAGUCAAACGAAAUGGGAGAAUCAAGUCAAAUAUCAAGUCCUGUUGAUAUAAGUUCUUCUGAAUAUGAAUCUGAAGAAGAUAAAGUAGAAAAGAUAUUUGUAUUUGUAUUUUACUUAUGGAUUAUCUGCAGGUCUAUGUAAUUUUUAUAUAAAUAUGAUUAUGCUUAUAUUUUUUUUUAGUAGGUAACAUAUGUAUUUUUAUGUAUUUUUGGUGUGACUUCAGUGGAGUGCAAGAUGCGGAAAGCACGAUUGAGAUGGUUCGGACACGUGAAGAGGAGGGGCAUGGAUGCCCCGGUUCGUAGGUGUGAGAGGCUAGCGUUGGAUGGUUUUAGGCGGGGUAGGGGUAGGCCGAAGAAGUACUGGGGUGAGGUGAUUAGGCGGGACAUGGAACAGUUACAGCUCACCGAGGACAUGACCCUAGAUAGGAAGGUCUGGAGGACGCGAAUUACGGCAGAGGAUUAGGGCCAGUUUGGGUCGCUAGUGCAGGGAAUUACUUGGUGGGGGUUUUAUUCCUGUUAUGAUUCCGUGUUCCGUGUUCCAUGUUUUAUUACGAAUUUGUGUGCGUUCCUCUGCUUUCCUUUGCUUUAUAUUACUUAUGGGUGUCGUAUUUAUGUUAUGUAAUCGGCUUCUGUGUUUUACUAUGUGUUUGUGUGGUAUCUCGUGCCUUGAGCCGGGGGUCUAUCGGAAACAGCCUUUCUACUUCAUCAGAGGUAGAGGUAUGGACUGCGUACAUCUUACCCCCCCCAGACCCCACUAAGUGGGAAUACACUGGGUUUGUUGUUGUUGUAUGUUAUGAUAGUUGUUGGUUGUAUAGAGAGAGUUUCAAGAGGUGCAUCUGCCCCCCCCCCCCCCCAGACCCCACUAGGUGGGAAUACACUGGGUUUUUUGUUGUUGUUGUUGUUGUUGUUGUAUUAAUUUAUACGAGCUUAUUUUGUAUUUUAUAAAUAUGAAAAUUAUCCUAAAUAGACUUAUUAGAUUAUUAAUUAUAAGCUAUAGCAAAACUUUUCAAUAAUUACUAGACUAAAGAAAUAAUUACAAGCUAUAGGAAAAUUUUAAAAAAAAAUAUAUUUUAAUUAUAUAUUCAAAAAUCAAUUAUCUAAUAUUUAUUAUUUAUAUUAUUUCCUUAUUUUUAGCAUUUAACAUUUAUCACUCUUAAUUAAAGUUUUGGAUAAUUAUGGAAAGUUAUAUUAUUGGUAUCAAUGUAUUUUUUUUUUAAUAAUUAUGUAUUAAAGUUGUUCACAAUUUAAGGAGUCAUAUAUGGUAAACAAAUUUUUUUAAAAUUCAGAAUUGAUAUUUUACUUUUUAUUAACUUUAAUAAUUAACUUAACUUAACUUUAAUAUUUUUUUACUUACUUUUUAUAUAUGUCAAAAACAACAGUCUUCAAGCUGAUAAUUAGUAUUGUGUCCUGUGAGAUAUUUUUCUUUUUAAUCUAUCACAAAUAGCUUUACUUUUUUUGAAAUUAUCUAACACAACGUUCGCAUUUUAUUGUUAAUAUUAAUAGGUGUUGAUCUACAAAAAUUACUAAUUUCUUUUAAAGUUGAAAUUGGAAUUGUGUUUGAUCAUAAAUAUAAAUUGAGGUUAUUUUGAAUUUUUGUGAGAGAGAUAAAAAUAAAAAAAGUGAAAACAAUUAAAUUUUUUUUACUUAUUUUUAUUUUUUAAAUAUAAUUUUAAUAUAUUUGAAAUUCUCUAGGUCAAACACCAAUUUAAAGCUAUAUUUAAAAUAAAGUGAAAAAGAAUUUUUGAAAAAAUAUUCUCAUGUUUAAACGGUCACUAGUGAGGUGAUGAUUUGUUGAGGCUCGUUGAUAUAAAAGUUCAUUCUUUUACUACAAGAAAAAAAAUUGAAAAUACCUGUGAAACUCUUACCAUUGUUCAUUCAAAAUUACAAUUAACGAACUUUAAUUUGCAUAUAUUUUCUAUAUGUUGCUUGUAUAUGUUUGAAAAUCUUUGCUUUAUUCCUUAAACUUAAUUUUCAAUCAGACAUUUUUACCUAAAAUGAAAUGGACAGUCAUAGUAUGCUGAGAAUAUAAUUUGUAUAUUUUCGCUAAAUAAAAUUGCUUAAUGAUUUUACUUUCAUCCUAUCGUAAAAUUCGUCUACUUUAUUAUGUUGAUUCUCUACUUAUACCUUAAAUUAGCAUAGUGAUGAUUAAUUAAUGGGUUAAAAAAUGAAUUGAAUAAAAAUAGGUUGAGUAACAAUUUUUUCAUAUUAAUACGAAAAUAUAUUCGGUUAAAAAUGGCACUAACCCACUUUUAUCUUCUAAAGCGAGAAGUAAUUUGCUAAAGUUUUACUUUUCAACAAAUGUACCAUUGAUAAUCAUAAGAUCAAAAAUAAAAUAUUGUGAUGGGCUUUCUUGACAAUAUUAAAGUAAGUUAAGAAAACUCGUCAAACACCAAUAUCAAUCAUGGUUAAUACUGAUUAUUUUUUUAUUGUAAUGAAAAAUUAUUUGACAUUAUACAAUUAUCAAUUAAUUUAUUUUCAAUAUUUAUGGUGAUAUUUUUUCAUGUAAUGUCCAUUACAUACACUACAAAGGUUAUGCAAAAUAAAACAUAAUUUUUCUUAUCGAUUGUCACAUUCAUAAAACUCAUUCAAUACAAAUGUGAUAUAUGCGAAACUUCAUGGAUACCAAUUUUAACAUCAACUUAAUACAUUGAGAACUCCAAAAAAAGUAUUAUUUAAGUAUGAAAUGAGUAUAUAAAUUGGUUUCAAUGUAAUUUAUUAAACAAUUCAAGUAUAUUGUAUUGUGUACUAUACUAGUUUCAUACACUAAAAACAAUUAUAUAAGAAUAAGUCAUUUGUAUGUAGAAUCUUAUAUGACAACACAAAUAAAAGAUUGUUCAGUAUUUUCAUUAAUAUCCAUUGUCAUAUAUUUUGGUGUCACAUACAAUAGAUAUUUAACAAAAAAAAAAUCAAUAAUACUACUUUUCUAAUCUAAAUAUACCAUUACUAUCGGGUGAUUUUGAAAUCUUUGAUUUUGUUAAAAUUAGUCCGGCUACUACUUUUGUCAUCCCUUGAUUCCUUGCAUAAACUUGAUCUUUCAUUGAGCUUGUAUGAAUGUUACAAUACUUUCUUAUCUUAAAAAUCUUUGAUUUGUUAAUUCUGGCAGAACGAAGAAAUCAAGUACAGUCCUCCACUACACAAAUCAAAUAGUACCUGUUAAAUUUAAAAAGAAAAAUUAAUACUCAAAAAACAGAUACCCAAAUUACAUACAACUAUAAUAUCCAAUUUAAUACACUAAAAAUGCACAAUCGUUUUUACCUGCUUACGCUUGACCUUUUAGUUCGAUAUGUCUAUUAUCAGUUGUGAUGCGAUUGUUUCUACUAAUCCGUAGUACUUUGUUGCUGCAUCAUACAUAAUCCCAUCAAUUCCAAAGUCCCUCGGUAUCCCAGUUUAAACAACAAUUUUAGUUUUCAUGCAAUUGAUAAACGUACAAAAUUCUACGAUGUAACAAUAAAGAAUUGAAGAAACAAAAAAAAAAUCUGUAAAUUCAUUUUGAAUGGAAAAUAUCCAUUUUCAUAAAAAAAUUUAACAAACUUGACAAAUUUCAUCUCUCUCCAAGACAUAUCACGAUUGAAUGCAAAUUAACAGAAUUCAUAUUUGUUAUCAAAAGAAAUACUUUUUUUUUCUUUUCUUUCUAAUUACAAUCCUCGGCAAUUUGUUGAUGUCGAAAUUAUGGUGUUUUGUUUGUUGGUAGAAAUUAAUCGUGUACAAAGACGAAGGUCGUGUAUGAAGAUGGAAACUCUUAAUGCAAGCAUUAAAAUAGGACGAAAAACAACGGUUAGAGAUAUUUGGGGGUGGAUAAAUAUUUGUAAUUAAGGUUAACUAUAUUUAAGGAAGGUAAAUUGUAUAUUAAUUGUAUUAAAUCUUUAUUUUCCUUUUUCAUUAAUUACUUUUUUGUAUUUUCAACAAAACAAUUUUUUUUUUUUUUUUAAAUGAAAGUUUCUAUAACUUGAAAAGUUAAAAGUUUUGCUAUAACUUGUAAUAACUAAUCUAAUAAAUUUAUAUAGUUAAUUUUCCUUUACAAAUACAUAUCAAGUAUAGAUGUUUUUUUACUAUUUUAAAAUAUGCAUUUGCUUAAUAGGAAUCUGAUAUGUAUUUCGUAUGUACAUAUCAGAGUCAUAUUUAUAUUCUUUGUAUGGUAUCUACAUGUGGAUCAGAUAUCUAUUCUAUAAAUAUAUACGCAGAGCUAUAUGUAUUUUUUUGUAAUGUAAUAUGUAUCAUGUAAAAGAAAACAUAUGCAUACUAUGUAUUUUGUAUUAUUUAUUAUAUAGAUUUAUGUCAUUAUUUUGUUCUAUAGGUGUCACGUGAUCAUAUAUUAAUGACAAAAGUACUUUCAAGGUUUGCACCGUAUAUUGAAUGUCACACCGUCAAUGAUAUUGAAGAAUGUAUUAAGGCUAUGUUAUCAAAGGAGUUGUACAAGAUUUUUUGUCAUAACAAUAUUUGUGGUGUCUAUAUGGAGAAGAAUAAAUGUAAAGUUCAAGUGCAAUUAGGCAAAUGUAUUAUAAAUUUUUUGGGGGCAUGUGCAUGUUUUUGUAUUUUAUAUAUACAAAUGCAUAUCCAUAUGUAUUUUUCUACGGUGUUGAAUUUGUCUUCGAACUAUUCUAUGUCAUUCUAGAGGAUAACAUAUGUAUUUAUUUAUAUUUUUUAAUGUUUAAGAUAUGUAUCAUAUAUUUUUUAAUUACCUAUGUGUAUAUGCAUAUUGUUGUCAUUUUUGUUAUAGAGAUUCUGUGUUUUAUAUGUUUAUAUAUACAUAUGAGUCAGAUAUGUAUUUCUGUAAAUGCAUAUGCAGGGACAUAUGUAUGUUUUGUACUAUAAAUAUAUAUGCAGAUCUGUAUAUCUAUUUAUUUUGUAUAUUUUUUGAAUAUGUAUAUGUGAUGUAGAUAUUUAUCUUUUAAAAAUAAAGCUAGAUACAGAAGAGUAAGAAAACAAAAAAAAAAUAGAAAAAGGCAAAAACGAAAAGGAAAAAUCCAAAACAUAAAAAAGGAAGAGAAAUAGAAGCUAGAAAUAGAAAUGUAAAAAAAAAGUGAAAAAAUAAAUAAAUAAAUAAUGAAAAUAGAAAAAAAGAAGAAGAAAAUGAAAAUAGGAAAAGAAAAAGAAAAAAUUUGAGAAAGGAAAAGAAUAAGAAAACGAAAAAGAAAAAACAACGAAAAAAGGAAAAAGAGAAGAGAAAUAGAAAAUAUAAAUUAAAGUGGAAAGGAAAAAACAAAAAACAACAAGAAAUCAAAAUAAAAAAUAAAACGAUAAAAAAAGAUAAAAAAAAAAAACUAACAAGAAAAAAAUGUUAGAGAUAUAAGAGAGCGAAAGAGAAAAAAACUGUAAUGAUGCUUUAUUUUGAAAUUUUGAAGAUCAGGAAGAUAAUACUCUUAAGACUUGAAAAAGGAAUCUACUAGUUUGAUUUAGAAAAGGAAUCUACUAGUUUAAAUAAGAGUAAUUUAUGGAAAAGAAAUAUACUGCUUUAAAUAAGAGUAAUUUAUUGAAAAUAAUUUACUUCUUUAAAUACAUGAGAUAAUUAUUCCUUAUUUAACUCAAUUAAUUUGAAUAAAAGAAUGACAGUAAAUCUCAUUGUAUAUGUAUUUUAGUACCAACAUUUUAAUAAAAUACAAAAUACAAGUUGUUAUUUUAGGUAAUUAUGAAGUAAUUGCUAUGAAACUCCUAAUUAGGAGCUUAAGUUUGCUGUUUAUGAAAUUCCUUUAGAUUAUUAUAUCUAUGAUAAUUUGUGUGAUGGAUAAUCGCAGGAUGAGCCAAAUCCGUAUCCAAAAGAUAUCAAUUGAGACUCGACCUCCGAAUUCGCCCUAAAAUUAUACUAUAUAUAUAUAUAUAUAUAUAUAUAUAUAUAUAUAUAUAUUUAGUGAUAUAUCUAUGUAUACAUAUAUUUAUUAUUUGUAUGAUUUCUUAAUNNNNNNNNNNNNNNNNNNNNNNNNNNNNNNNNNNNNNNNNNNNNNNNNNNNNNNNNNNNNNNNNNNNNNNNNNNNNNNNNNNNNNNNNNNNNNNNNNNNNNNNNNNNNNNNNNNNNNNNNNNNNNNNNNNNNNNNNNNNNNNNNNNNNNNNNNNNNNNNNNNNNNNNNNNNNNNNNNNNNNNNNNNNNNNNNNNNNNNNNNNNNNNNNNNNNNNNNNNNNNNNNNNNNNNNNNNNNNNNNNNNNNNNNNNNNNNNNNNNNNNNNNNNNNNNNNNNNNNNNNNNNNNNNNNNNNNNNNNNNNNNNNNNNNNNNNNNNNNNNNNNNNNNNNNNNNNNNNNNNNNNNNNNNNNNNNNNNNNNNNNNNNNNNNNNNNNNNNNNNNNNNNNNNNNNNNNNNNNNNNNNNNNNNNNNNNNNNNNNNNNNNNNNNNNNNNNNNNNNNNNNNNNNNNNNNNNNNNNNNNNNNNNNNNNNNNNNNNNNNNNNNNNNNNNNNNNNNNNNNNNNNNNNNNNNNNNNNNNNNNNNNNNNNNNNNNNNNNNNNNNNNNNNNNNNNNNNNNNNNNNNNNNNNNNNNNNNNNNNNNNNNNNNNNNNNNNNNNNNNNNNNNNNNNNNNNNNNNNNNNNNNNNNNNNNNNNNNNNNNNNNNNNNNNNNNNNNNNNNNNNNNNNNNNNNNNNNNNNNNNNNNNNNNNNNNNNNNNNNNNNNNNNNNNNNNNNNNNNNNNNNNNNNNNNNNNNNNNNNNNNNNNNNNNNNNNNNNNNNNNNNNNNNNNNNNNNNNNNNNNNNNNNNNNNNNNNNNNNNNNNNNNNNNNNNNNNNNNNNNNNNNNNNNNNNNNNNNNNNNNNNNNNNNNNNNNNNNNNNNNNNNNNNNNNNNNNNNNNNNNNNNNNNNNNNNNNNNNNNNNNNNNNNNNNNNNNNNNNNNNNNNNUUGACGCGUGCUUCAACAGUUUUUCUUUCUUUUGGAAAGUAGUGAUAAUGGAAGCACUCUGACUCUGACUAUUACAAGACAUAAAGUGGGCAUCCCCACUUGACCAUGCUAGCUAAUAAUACAAACUGUGAAAACUGUAGAUUAUCUUUAUGUAUCCAAGUUGUGCAGGGCUAUGGAGUCGAAGCUCAUGCCUGAGUCGUCGUCUUCAUAUGGAUCCUGGGCAUCCUGGAAUUGUGCAAUACUAUCUUCUUCGUCUGAUCUUGCUGAAUUAUUAUCUGUAUUAUUUAUCUCUGGCAUAGCUCUAUCUAAAUUAGUGGGUUGUUCGUCUGGUUGUUCAUCCAUGUAUUUAUCUUGUGUCUGGUUGCUGAAGAAUCUGUCUAGCGUCUGUUUUAUUAUUGUCUCUAUUGUUUCAUUUUUUCUCUUAGAUAUUAAAGUCUUCUUAAGAGCAGCCUUCAUCUUCACUUUUUGGCAAAGUGACAGCCAUUAAUGGGUUUGAUUUGUCUUUACCCGUUACCGUUUGAACCGGACUAGCUGUACCAACAUCCGGUACAGUGGAUUUCUGAGCAUUUAGUGGGAAAUGCACACCCUUCUCAUCCAUUUUUUGAGGAGAUGGAGAACUCUGAGCUGGAGUCUUAGUUUGUGCAUCUGUUUUGCUAACUGGAGUCUGCUGUCUGAGUUUUCUUUCUAACAUUUGUAUUUGUUUAAUCAGUCUCGUGUUUUCCAAGAGAAGUGAUUCUUUUUGGGAAUUUAGCUUUUUGAAGUUCUCUGUCAUUGAAGAGCAAUGGUUGCAGAAAAUAAUCUUUCCAGUCUCCUUUUGCAGGUUAUACUGGGGUAUUUGGUCUGAAUUUUGUCUAAGGGAAGGAGAUAUGUAAUAAUUUGGCCCUAAAUAUCCUCUAGCAUGAUUUGUGGCUUCGGUGAAAUCAUUAAAACCUUUAAAAAGAGGGGCUUUAAAACCUUGUAUGGAGCCUAAUACUUCUAUCCAUGUUUGGAAAAUUCCGUUGGUUUUUCCAUGAAUGACUACAUAGUAUUUAAAACGAGGCCUACUUUUUUCUGCCAUGUAAUGGCAUAAAGAGUUCAUAGAUGCCAUAAAGUGAUUACGGUUUUGCCUAUUAUAAGAGAUCCAUAAGUUAUCUACUAAACACCUUUGGGGUCUGUCUAAAACGUAAUCUGGUCUUACUCUAAAGGAUAUAUUGCUCUCAGCGUAUGCAAUUAAAUUAAAUGGUCCGAAAUNNNNNNNNNNNNNNNNNNNNNNNNNNNNNNNNNNNNNNNNNNNNNNNNNNNNNNNNNNNNNNNNNNNNNNNNNNNNNNNNNNNNNNNNNNNNNNNNNNNNNNNNNNNNNNNNNNNNNNNNNNNNNNNNNNNNNNNNNNNNNNNNNNNNNNNNNNNNNNNNNNNNNNNNNNNNNNNNNNNNNNNNNNNNNNNNNNNNNNNNNNNNNNNNNNNNNNNNNNNNNNNNNNNNNNNNNNNNNNNNNNNNNNNNNNNNNNNNNNNNNNNNNNNNNNNNNNNNNNNNNNNNNNNNNNNNNNNNNNNNNNNNNNNNNNNNNNNNNNNNNNNNNNNNNNNNNNNNNNNNNNNNNNNNNNNNNNNNNNNNNNNNNNNNNNNNNNNNNNNNNNNNNNNNNNNNNNNNNNNNNNNNNNNNNNNNNNNNNNNNNNNNNNNNNNNNNNNNNNNNNNNNNNNNNNNNNNNNNNNNNNNNNNNNNNNNNNNNNNNNNNNNNNNNNNNNNNNNNNNNNNNNNNNNNNNNNNNNNNNNNNNNNNNNNNNNNNNNNNNNNNNNNNNNNNNNNNNNNNNNNNNNNNNNNNNNNNNNNNNNNNNNNNNNNNNNNNNNNNNNNNNNNNNNNNNNNNNNNNNNNNNNNNNNNNNNNNNNNNNNNNNNNNNNNNNNNNNNNNNNNNNNNNNNNNNNNNNNNNNNNNNNNNNNNNNNNNNNNNNNNNNNNNNNNNNNNNNNNNNNNNNNNNNNNNNNNNNNNNNNNNNNNNNNNNNNNNNNNNNNNNNNNNNNNNNNNNNNNNNNNNNNNNNNNNNNNNNNNNNNNNNNNNNNNNNNNNNNNNNNNNNNNNNNNNNNNNNNNNNNNNNNNNNNNNNNNNNNNNNNNNNNNNNNNNNNNNNNNNNNNNNNNNNNNNNNNNNNNNNNNNNNNNNNNNNNNNNNNNNNNNNNNNNNNNNNNNNNNNNNNNNNNNNNNNNNNNNNNNNNNNNNNNNNNNNNNNNNNNNNNNNNNNNNNNNNNNNNNNNNNNNNNNNNNNNNNNNNNNNNNNNNNNNNNNNNNNNNNNNNNNNNNNNNNNNNNNNNNNNNNNNNNNNNNNNNNNNNNNNNNNNNNNNNNNNNNNNNNNNNNNNNNNNNNNNNNNNNNNNNNNNNNNNCAUCUACAUAUACUAAUAUAAAAUGUUUAUAUUCUCCAAAUAUGUUAUCCAUUUUUCGUUGGAAAAUGGGCGGAGCCGUCUUUAACCCAAACGGCAUAACUAACCAUUCAAAAUGUCCGCUUGGACAUGUGAAUGUUGUCCAUUCUAUGCUACAUGGGUGCAUUUUGACUUGCCAGCAGCCUGACUUACAGUCAAAUUUACUGUAAACCUUUUUAUUUUGAAUUCUAUUAAUUAACUCACUCUUAUCUGGUAGUUUGUAAGCAUCUGUUCUGGUGUUAUCAUUUAAUCGUUUGUAAUUAAUUACCAUACGAGCUUACUUGUUCAUUAUGAUUUCUUACCAUAAAGCCGUUGAUCUAUGUUUAGAGGUGGAUCUUCUUAUUAUUCCUAAUUGUAAGAGUUCCUUUAUCUGUAUAUCAAAUUCUUUAGUAUCUUCAUUAUUCGCUUCUAUAGGUGCUGUUUUUAUCGUAUAUUCUAAGUUAAUUAUAUCUAAUUUACACAUUAUCUCAUUNNNNNNNNNNNNNNNNNNNNNNNNNNNNNNNNNNNNNNNNNNNNNNNNNNNNNNNNNNNNNNNNNNNNNNNNNNNNNNNNNNNNNNNNNNNNNNNNNNNNNNNNAUCUGAUCCUAUGUUUAAAUCUCUUGCUAAUAUUUUAUUAACAUUGUAAACUGGAUUAUAGAAUUUAUUGCAUGUAUUUAAAAAGCUUAUUUGUGCUUUUUCUAUGUAAUUAUUAUAAAUAUUUUGUGAUUCAUCCAUUUGAGUGGCCAUUACAAAUACGACAUCUAUUACUAUCUAGACCUUUAUUUCUUUGGAAAUCAUGUAUACAUUCUUGAUUAAUAUUCAUUAAAUUAUUAAUUAUUAUGUUAUUUAAGUCUAAAUCCUCUAUUUCUUGCCCUAGUUCAUUAACUAAGUUAUCCUCGUCUGAUUCUGAAGAAUCAGUUUUUGGAUUAUCUUUAUCAUUUAUAUCAAUGCUUAUUAUUGAGUAUAUACUUUUUGUAUCUGACAUGUAUUCGUCUACAUUUAAUAAAGUUUCUUGGAAAUCUUCUAUUAGUUGAGAGUUUCUAGUUCUAUUAUUAUUUCUCUUAGGACAUACAUUGGCUAGAUGGUCUAUGCUACCACAUGUAUAACAUUCUAAUUUAUUUUUAUAAUUUCUAUCAUUUCUAUACUUUCUAACGUGUCUAUCUCUAUUUAACCAAGGUUUUUUAGCCUUUGACUUUCUUAAGAAGUAUUGUUUUUUACUAUAUGGCUUUUGAUUAUUUCUUUUCGUAUAUUUCUUAUGUUGUUUCUGAUCAUAAUUCUGGGUUGUGUAUAUAACAGAUUUAUAGAAAUUCAUUUCAUUUCUUUUUAAUUGUUUUUGUAUUUGUAUGUUUGUACAUUUUUCUGUUAAUAUGUCCAUUAUAUGUUGUGUUCUAUGUCCUAUUGUCCAUUUUAAAUUUGGGUUAGCAACUACCCCAUCUCUCUUAUACCAUCUAUCUUCUAUUUCUCUUCCUAAGGCUCCAAGUAAUUUAUUGAACAAUUUUUUGCCUAAUUCUUCAUUAAAAGUAUUUCCGCUGACGGUACAAUAAUAGAAAUAGUCUUGUAGGAAUUUCUUUAUAUAUACCCAAUGCGAAAUACUUAAUUGUUCUAGUUUGAUUAAUGCUUCCUUUUGUAGUGCUAAUAAUCCACUAUUUGGAUCUUUCCCAGUUAAUAGCAUAUGCAUUUUAUUUGUGAAAUUAUAGGGAUUUGGUCCCAUACUUAAUAGAACCUGGAAGUCAUAUAGGCAGUUUAUCUUAAAACUUUCCCAUGUAGCUUUUGCAGAUUCUCCUAAAACUGUUUCUAAAUAUUUAUACAUUGUUUUCGUAGCUGUUUCUGUAUAAUGUCUUAAAUAAUCUGCAGGUACUAUUCCCUUCCAUAAGUCUAUCACUGUAUCCCACAUUUGGGGAUCAUGUGCUGCUAUAUUUAGAAUUUUACCUUUACUUCCUCCUUCUUGUAGUUUUAUUGGUUCUUCUACUGGCAUUCUUUUACCUGCUGGUUUUAUAUGAUCUCCCCUAAGCUCUGUAUCUGGGUUUAUCCUAAUUGCCGGUCUUCUAGGUACAUUACCUGUACUGUAAUCUAUUGGUUGGGGAUUAGGGUUUGUUUGUUGGAAGGGGCUAGCACUCGAGGAGCUAGUUGGUUCUAAUUCUGCCAGUUCUUUAUAACUGAUAGUAGAACUUAUUAUAGAGAGUGUGUCUUCAUCUUUUCUUUCAAAGUCUGAUUUGUUAUUUCUAUAUCCUAAAUUAUCAUUUCUCUCUAAGCAAUUUUUAAAAUGUUCUACACAUUCUUCGAUUUUCAUGUCGUCUUUUUGACAUCCUUUGCACUUGAAAGUUAUAUAUUUAUAUUCUUCUGCUAAGUUUUCAGCCUUUUCUAUGGCCAUAUCUACUUCAUAUCCUUCUUGUAAGACUUCUAUAUUCAUAAACUCGCUUUCUGUUUCUAUGUUACUCUCUGUUUCAUCAUCGUCUAGAUUCCUUUUAGUUGUAUAAUUAUAAUCUGUAAACCUGACAGAAGUUUCUCCUUUACUUGUAGUAUAUAAUAAAUGAGAGUCUGGUGUAAAAAUUUUUGGUUUAGUAAAUUUGUUUAAAUUCCAUUCUAAACCUGCAUAUAUUUCGGGGUCUAUUUUUAUUGGUUUUAUUAAACUUAUACCUUUAUUUCCCAUUAUUUCAACUACAUCAUUUACUUUUAGUUUAAAUUUUGUAUUACUACUUAGAGUUAAUUUUCCAAUAAAACCUAUGCACAUUAAUAAAUUAUUUCCACUAUUCAUUUCUUCAUAUCCUUUAGUUUGGAUUCCUAUUUUAAUAUUUUUUCCAAAUUCUUUUAAGUUCAUUAGGAAGUCUGGACUGAUAUAGAAUAUUCCUCCAUUAUUAGUCAUAUCUACUUCAGUUAAUCCUAUUAUUGACUUCUUAAUGUCUGACCAUCGAUCAUCGUAUAUUGUUAUUAAUACUUUGGAUCCUAAAUUUUUUCUAGUUAAACCUUUUAUUCCUAUAACAAUUAAACCCAUAUGCAUUAAUACCAUUCUAUUUUUUAGAUGUCUUAAAGAAUUAGUAUUUACUAAAUCUAGUAUUUUAAAGUCUUCUCCUAUAACCGAUAUUUGUUCUUCUCUAUAAUGUCUGUAUAACUGAUUGUCUGUAGAAAAAUAUCCUGCGUUAUAUAGUGUUUUAGGAUUUAAUAAUUUUAAUUGAUGUUGUUGGAAAAUUUGUAGGUCUUUGUCUACAUCUAUUAUUUCGUUAAGUUCUGGGUUCUGCUCUAUAUUAGGUUGUCUUCUGCAUAUUUUAGAUAAUAUAUUAUUAUUUCCUAUUCUAUUCUCUGAAAAACUUAUUCUUUGUCUUUCUUCUCCUUGUCUUUCAUUAUUUUCGAUGGUUCUCCGUCUAUUUGAUAGAAAGUCCAUUUUUGUGGUUUUCUUAUUAUAUUUUUUCGUUCUUGUUUAGGAGUUAAUUCAAUUUGUUUUAAUUGGUUAAUAAGUUCGUCUAUUUCGAGGUUAUUUUUUGGUUGGACUUCUUUAUUUAUUAAGAUAUCUAUUUUCUUGUGUAGUUCGGGUAAUUCUGGUUCUCUUUGGAGGGGUUUUUGAGCUUCCUUGCCUUUAAUUAAAAUGUCUAUCUUUUUGUGUAAGUCUAAUAGUAAUUCUAUUAUGGUGUUAUUUUGUUUUAAUAGAAUUUUAUCUGUUUGACUUGAAGGUAUAUGCCUAGAUAGCCCUUCAGGUUCACUAUGAUAAUUUUUUGAUUUUUCUAGUGCUUUAUUGUAAUUUAUAUCUUCUUCACUCAUGAAAGUGAUAUUUCUUCUAAUCUUUUUGUUAUUUCUUGUAAAUCUUUGAUCUCUGUUGUUAUAUUUUCUACUUGUUCUACAAGCUUAGAUAUUAGUUGAGUUGUUUUUAAUUCCAAUUCUUUAGGUCUUUCUAUUAUGGUUGCUAUUAGUUUUUCAAUUUCUAAUUUUGUAGGUAUUUUUUCUAACUAGUGUCUUUUUAUGUUUAUUCUGAGUAACUUCUAUUUGGUCUAGAGUUCUUAUUAUACUGUUAUCUUUUUCCUGAGUUUUUUCGCUUGUAUUUAUCAGAAAAUCUAUUAUUGUGUUGUAUUGUUUAUCAUCCGAAUGUAAAAUAUGUUCUCCCUGGUUAAAAUUACACUUUAUGGUGGAGUUAUUUUUUAAUAUUCGAUAUUUCUUUUCUGGUUGAAAUCUAAGAACUAGAUAAUCGAGAUGUUUUAACGAAGCUAUGUUGUUAUCCUAAGUGGUUCAAAUUAAGGUAUUUUUUGCUUAGCUUUAUUUGAUAUUUUCAUCGAUUAUUUGUAUAGGUUAUGUCCAAUUCUACUUCUUGUAUAUUUUCUAUCAGCCUAGAUUGUUCGCUAAUUAAUGCUUUUUUAUAAUAGUUAGAUGUUAUGGUAAUUAUUUCGUCUGCUUCUUUAAAAUUUAAAAUGUCUAAUUCUAGAUUUCUUAUUUCUUUAUUUAACAACUCUAAUCUUUCUACAAAUUGUUUCCGAAUUUUUACAAGUUGAUGUUUAUAUAUAAAUUCCCUAUAAUAUUGAUUUUGUAUUUCCCUUAUACACUCAAUAUAUCUUAUUGGCAUUUAUUAUCCUAAUUGAUAAGCUUUUCUCUUAAUGCGUUCUUUAAGCCACUUUAUUACUGAAGUACUAUUUUCUAAGUCUCUCUCACAACCUUGUACUUUCCCAAUUUACGGCGCUUAAUAAAUCGUUAUAAUAAACUUUAUGUACUCUAUUAACUUUUAGUAGCCUUUUUCGACCUUCUUCUAAAUUACGUUUUCUAGUUAAUAUGUUGUUACUUUUUCUAAUUUCUCUAUAUAAAUAGAAAUAACUACACCUUAUAUCUUGGAAUGAUCUAUGUUUUUUCAUAUAAAGUUUAUAAGCUUUUGCGAGUUAGUAGGUAAUGUUCCCAAAACCUUCUCGCUCUGAUACUAAAAAUAGUCGUAUAUUUCAAUAAAACAAAUAUUUAAAUAGAAUUAGUAUUUCAGUUUCAAUAACAACAGUAAAACAGUGGUAUAUUUCAAUUUUUCAGUGAAUGAUGAUCGAAUUUUUUAGUAUAUCAGUUUGUAAAACCUACUCAGUACUCCCUCUUUCCUACUGUUUCUUCAUGUCUAUUAUUCUUAUCGUUUAUAUUUUCCCCAGAGUUUUUUUUUAUUUUAUUUUACCCUGUUCAUCUCUUCCUCUUAAUCUAUGUUCUUAACCUCGUACUUCUUUAACCACACCCCGGAAGUUUUGGUCUGGCAGCUAACACUCGUCCUUUGUCUUUUUUGCAGACCUAUUGGACUAUCAAGGCCAGAAUUCCUAGGAAUUUACAGUUUAAUCCAUCGUCGGAAUUAAGAAAUUAAGAGGCUAACCAUAUACUAAGGGUAAGAAUAAUUUUAAUUUACAUGAUUUACAAAACUAUGUAAAAUAACGUUAAAACAUGGAUAUAAGAACAAACAUAAAUAUUUUUGUGGGGGAAAAUAUGUAAAUAAGAACUUACAUGAAGUAACUAGGAGAGAGGUUUCCCUGUCGGGAACCCCCGUACGAUUUGAAUGGAAAACUUGAAAACUUUAUUUAAUUCACAAUGAUAUAAUGUUUAUACAAGAAAGACUGGUUUGGAUAAAUUCUUUGGGAGGAAGGAUUUAAACAUUUCAAGUAGGUUUUUAAGUUGGUUGAUUUCACUCUGUCUUCCUACUACAAAAUAUGCGCCUUUUAUAGGCAAAACGUGUCUCUUAAGGAUAUGAGACCUUUAGGGAAAAAAUCAUAUAGGCUUGACACAAAGCGCUAGAUAUUACACCAUAUAAGAGUAUCUUUAGGUUGAUUGGGCGCAACAACUAGUAUCAAAGCCUAGGUCUGGCGGGAUGAGUAUGGUGAUUGUGGAAAAAUGAUGGGGUUUGGUUAUCCUCACAAGCUUGAAGAUACACAUAUGAAGAAGCUAGUUGCGGGCUUAAUUCGGUUGCCUGAAAAAUACUCAAACGAUGUGGGUGGUACAUAGUGAAUUUUGUGACCCGUGAAUGGUGGUGAUGAGCUUCGUGAAACUUAAUUCGUGGGGGGAAUAGUUGAGCAUGCGGACCAAAAUUCCACACUAGUAGCUGAAAAGAAUGAAAGCUACAUAUAAGUUGUGAAAUCUCUACAUGUUAUAAUGCCGCCUUUUGGGCAGACGUAGUUCAAUACUUGGUUGCCUAAAGAAAAAAAUUCAAAAUAAGGCCUUAAAGAUUAUUUUUUUUUGUGGGUAGUUUUAAUUUGGAGUUUAUUUAUAUAGCUUUUUGAGAUAAAAAAUCAUGGAUUAAAUUAUUUUAUAAUCGAUUUCUCCCCAUAAUUCAUUUUCAAUUAAUAGUAUACCUAAAUCAUUCACUUUCUCCUGAGAUAUUGUUGAUCUUAAGUAAGAUUUUAACGAUUUCAGUUUUAAAUAUUUCUUUCAAUUGAGACAAUUAUUAUAGGAACUCUACUUGUAAUAUAAGCAUUUGAAAUAAUACAAAAUUUUUAUCUUAUUGAAAUAUUUCUUUCAUUUCUAUUCCCUCCAUCCUUCUUUAGUUAUUAAAAAAUGAGGUCCUAAAACUUCAGUGACUUUAGGCUAAAACCUUCCCCGAUUCUGGGAACCCAAACUAGUGAGGGUACGCAAUAAGGCCAUGGCACGCUAGGUGCCUUCCGUGAUAGCGGCAUGCUAUGCUGCCUAAGCUCCACAAUAAGGGUGUGGCAUUCCCUUAGGAUAAAAUUGCCCAAUUUAUUUUUUUAAAUUGGGGUGAGGGCUUUUUGGUCCUUAACCCCCCUUAAAUGAUCUUAAAUAUUUCCCAAUCCCUAUUAGGCAAUCAAUUAUGAGUUUUUAUCAUUACUCUUACCUUUACAAAUUUUAAGAGAAGCAAACCAAGGGUUUCUCAAGAAUUCAAUUCUUCGGGCUCUAACCUCCAAAUUUCUCUAGAAUUCACUCCAUAAAAAGGAAUGUUGGACACACUCUAUUUUUAAAUAUUGUAUUAUUGCAUCAAUAUAUUAUCAUUUUAAGUAUUCUUGAAUGUUGAUUUCAAACUAGGGUUUAGGGCUUUUGGUUAGUUUAUAUUUAUAUUGAUUUUCUAUUGUUUCAAAUGGUUUAUCCAUGGUUUGAAUGGUUGAUUGUGAACUAAAUUUGUGUCCCAUGGUAAUGGUAGAAUUUGGCAAUAUGGUUUUAGUAAUAUUUACGGACUUUGGAAAGACAAUGACAUGAACCCCAACCCAUAUAGUAAUUUGGCUCUACAAGGAUUUUAUAUAGUUUAACUCAUAUUUUAAAUUAUUGGAUAACAUUAAAUUGUAAAAAGGUAAAGAGGGUUUGUAUUGCCCUUGGGGGCUAUGAUUUUGGAUUUUAAAGGGAAUUUGGAGUCUAUUUUGUAAUGGUUAUGGUUUGGUAUAAUUGAAAUAGCUUGCAAGUCUAUUAGUAUGAUAUCAAUUUGAGUAUGCCAUAUUAUAAGACUCCAUGGUUGAUGUUAUGUAUAAAACUAUUUUAAUUUAGGCUUAAAAAAAUUUUGUCGCUUACCAAGAAGGUGUAGUCCAGGGGUGACCAACACCAGAAACCACAUUUUUUUAUGUUGGGGGUCUAUGACCACUGUGUUUGCUUACAAAUAUAUUUUUUAUGGUUAACAUGGACUGGGGACCUUCCAGCAGAGAAAGCUAGACCCAUAUAGUCUGUGGGUGACUGAAGGUCGGUAAGAGCUAUACAAUUCAUGAUUAAAUUUUCAAAUGGUCACGUUUCAUGUCCCUUGACCCUAUCUCGACAUCCUAUUACAUACAUAUGCAUCUAUUGUGCAUAUGAUUUAUGAGUGGUUUUUAGUAAAUGAAUUUGUUUUAUCUCUUUCAUUGGUUGCAUGCCAGUACUCACUGUACUGACCAUUCCGACCGCUAUGUUAUUUUAUGUUGUAGGAUUCGAGGGCUUUUAUUGUGACCCUAUACAGUGUUAAGUUGUUCGAUAUCUCGAUUGGUCAGCUGUGAAGUGGUGACCCCUCUAUCUUUCAAAAGUACUAGAUUCUCUUAGUUUUCAUUUAUUAUUCUAGUACUUUUGGAUUUUUUUGGGCAUAUUCGGGGUUAUGUACCGACUUGGUUGGUAUUCUUUGGUUAGAGGCUUUUGUGGACAAUGUUGGGUAUUACUUUGUGGAUUUGGAUUUUGAUUCAUAAACUUACUUCUUCAGUUAUCGUAUUUCUUUACCUUACUAGUUAGCUUCCACAGUUCAUUAUUAUUAUCAUGCUCCUGAGGUAAGGCUGAGGGGUCAUCUCAGGCCUUGGUUGGUUUAGGAUGCCCCAAAAUGGCUAGGGUCCGGUUCAGGUCAUGACAAGCUUGAUAUCAUAGCACGGUUCAUGGUCGCUCAGUGUCCAAAAAGUCGUGUCAUAUAAAGCCCCUUUUAUAGGUGCGUAGUAUGCCACACUUAUAAGGGAGAGGCUACAAGGCAUUUAAUUAGCACCGUUUCCUAUCUUUGUGUUCUAUUUUGUGCUAGAGAGUGUAGUUACUAUGAAAAAUUCUCUAACUCUUAGCUUAUUCGCAUUUUAGAUUAUGCCUCCACAAAGAUCUGACGAUCUUAAGAACUCAACAGACCCUCCAUCCCAACUGUGGCAAAUGUGGAGUAAGUUUUCCCUACUCAUGGAGUGAAAAGUUGGUAUAGGUCUCAUACUUUUGACUUCACUGUUCCAUUGGGGUUCUACUUGUCCCUACUAUUCCUCUUUGGUCUCUCUGAGCUGGUUCUACUUAGUCCCCUCGGAGAGAUAUCUUGACUACUCAGUUCUACCAGUCUAUUCAUAUACUUGCUCAUAUUAUGGCAGGAUAGUCUCAUCAGUCUGAUCAUGUUGGCCCUAUCACUAGUUUGUUUGAGGUCACUCGAGUUUUUCAAUUUAUGAGGUCGAAUCCCUUGACCUUUAAAGUCUCUAAAGUUGAGGAGGAUCCUCAAAGGUUUAUUAAUGAGAUGGAAAUAAUCUUCUAGGUUAUUCGUGCUAGUGAUUUAGAGAAGGUUGAAUUUGCAGCUUAUUAGUUGAAGGAGGUGUCUUAUCAGUGGUAUGAGGAGUAGGAAGAGUUAAGGGGUGAAGAUGCUAAGCCAGCAAUGUGGGAUAAGUUUACAGGUUCUUUUCUCAAUCACUUCUUUCCUCAAGAUAUGAGGUAAACAAAAGCAGAAGAGCUUGUGAAUCUGAAGUAGGGUAAGAUGAGUGUUAAGGUGUAUGCAUUCAAGUUUACCAAUUAUCCUGUUAUGCUCCUAAUCUUGUGUCUAAUAUGAGGUCCAUCAUGAGAAUGUUUGAUCCAGGUCUGUCGUGUGAUUUGAUGUUAGAGUGUAAGGCUUCAAUGUUGAAUAAUGACAUCGAUAUAUCAAGCUAAUAGCUUACAUGUAUUAGGUGGAAGAUAAGAAAAAAAGUAUGUAGAAAUAGGGGAGAGCACAGUAAGAAGUUUAAGUAUACAGAGCAAUGUACAAGACAGCAAAAUAGUGGGAAAUAUAGUACACAAUGACCAAAGAAGAAGAAUGGGGGAAAUUCUUAUUCAUCAGCUAAUUCUCCUACUCUUAAGCCUUAGGUGACCGACGUUUUCAGUAUAGUAAUGAUCCUAGGGCACAGGUUGCCUAAUUUUAGAUUAGUGGAGCUCGGUCAGCCCCACCCUAGUGUAAUGCCCCAAAAUCUUAUUCCCAGGAUACCACACAGUGCUCCGAACUACAAGUAGUCCUGAGCUAACCCUGGCUACUUUUUACUAGAUCUAAAUUUCAAAAUAAAGGAAAUAUGCCUAUGAAAACAUAAUAAAUGCGGAAAUCUUAUCUAAAGCAUAAAAAUCUCUCAAAUCUUGGUAAGAAAAUACUGAGAAUUUGAAUACUAAAUCAAAGGUCUAACAUUGAAUCAAGUAGUCCGACAAGCCUCAACUAUCUGAACCUAGAGAGUCACUGGGACAGGCUCUAGCUAACUCAAACUGUCUGAAAUGAAUAAAGAAAUAUCUACUAAUAAACUGCAAAUAUGAAUAACUAAGUCCUUGAACUAUAAGGACUCACCAACUGUGGAAAUGUAGAUAAGAUGCUCGAAAAUCACUCAUGCUGCUGAGACUGAGAACCUAACCUAUAUUAUGAGACAAUGUAGCACAUAGACAUAUAUGUGGAUCAGUACUUUGAUGAUGUACUGAGUAUCUGGGGGUGCAGGCAAUAAGUAAACAAUAUCAUCAUAGUUUAUAAAAAAAAAUCCUGCAUGCUAAAUGUAAAUGACUCACACGGGCUUGAGAAAAUUUAAAGUAAAAUCAUGAAUAAUAAAGCAUGAAAUCUAAAUCUUGUGAGUCAUCACACUUAGUCCUGAAAUCUGUAUUUCUGUUCUAUUUUUCAAAUCACAUAGGCUACGUGAAGUCUAAAAACUUAUUCUGUAUAUCUUAUGGCUUCAAAUUAAUAAGUUGUUUUAAGAGUAUGGGAUAUCUUUUUGGGAGGUUCUUCUAACUGACAUACACCAUGUGAGCAUCCAUGGAGUCCCACGUCUAGCCCCCAUUAGGUAGGGAUGUUCUACCCUUGCCAUCGGAAUAUAACUUCUAAUCUGAGUGAUCACAAUCUGAGUCAUCCACGUAGAAGUGGGAAUAAUUUGAUAACAUGUACCUAUGGUGGCACGUAGUUCUGGGGUAUGAAACCUUGGUAACAUACCCAUCUCGGUGCUAAAUACUACUCCUAAUCUUAUUGCUCAAAAUCUUAAGAAAUCUAUUUCAAAAAGUAACACAAGGGUUUACAAGAAAAUCAAUUAUUAUUUUCUUUUCUUUAAAUCUCAAGUAACAUGAAUAAAGUGGAUUCUUUAUCUUUAGCUUAGGACCAAAAAGGUCAACGCUUUAUCUAAAAUGUAAAAAUAAUCUAGUAAUUGGGUGCUUAUAGCACAAACAAUUUUGAAUUAACAAUCCUUAAUUGGGGUCUAAUGACCCAGCAUCAAACCCAUAUUAAAACAUCUCAAAAUUCAUACUUGGUAAUGUAAACAUUCAUAAAUCAUCUAAAAAUCUAGAAAUUUUAGCAAUAUGGAUGAAAAUAUAAAUAUAAUCAUGUAAUUCAACUUCUAAAUCAAUGAAAAUCUCAUAAUCUUAUGAAUAGUAAUAUUGGGUAUAAAACCUAACUAAAAAUUCAUAGAAAAACACAUAAAAUCAAAUAACUUUUGUAAUUAUAAACAAUUUUUGGGCACAAAGAUGAAAGGAGUAUCCUUGUUCAUAACUCCAUAUACCUUAAUUGAUGAUCUUUGAUGAAAAUCUUGAAUCUUGGAUUCCUAUUGAUGCUUUGGAGAUGAAUUCUAAGUGUUCUUGUAUUGGGAAUCCUCAAUCUUGAAUUGUCUUGGAGAAUUAAUGGGGAAAUUUUGGAUUUCUUCAGGAGAAAGUUUGAUAAUCUAGGGUUUUUCUUUGAAGAGAAUGAUGAAUAAAGCAUAAAGUGCUUUCAAAUAUGAUUAAUCAUUUGUUUUUGGACAGAUUGGGGGUUGGAGAUUUACAAAAAUACCCCCUUUGAACUUUUAAACAGAAUGGAAAAAUGUAUAAUUUGCCCAUAUGGGUGGCCACCGCGACGCGCCACCAUCGCGGUGGCGUACUGAAAAUUAAGAAAUGGAAACUGGGAAGACUCCGCGAUGCGGAGACAUCGCGGUGCCCCUUUGGAAUGCCAUUUUGGCACAUGGCGCGAUGUGCCAUUAUCGCGCUAGACCUUUGGAAUUGAAAAAUGAAAAAUUGAUCCUCUCCGCGAUACGCCAAUAUCACGGAGGUCCACUGGAAUAGGAAAAUUGGAAAUUUACACUGCUCCACGAUGUACUAAGGGUUCAAAUGAUGGUGUUUUAUGACUGAAACUUAAAAUAGCCAUAACUUCUAACUCGGUUAUCGAAUUUAUGCGAAUCUUAUAUCGUUGGAAAGCUAAUUCAAUUUCCUACGCAAUGGAAAGUCUAAAUCUAAGGAAUUCCACACAAAAUAAAUAGUAUUUAUUUUGGAAACUAUCCCUUUACAUUCUAGGGACAAAUUUAAGCAAGGAAAAUCAUGGGGUAUUACACCUAUCCACCUUGUCGUGAUUGUAGGAAGCCUCACUGUGGUUAUUGUAAGGAAGGGAGAAAUAUAUGAUUUAAGUAUUAUCAACCUAGUUAAAUACAGUGAGAUUUUCCUUCAGUUAGGGUUGCCAUAAGAGCUAUUAAGGUCUAGUAACCACUUCUUCAGCUCUAGUGGCCAAUUGGUCAAAAUCUCCUUUAUGCACUUCCUACUUGCCAGAAAUCCGAGGCAUCUCCUGAUGUUGUUACCUUUAUGUUACAAAUUUUCUCCCAUGAUGUUUAUUUCUUUCUUGAACCCGGUUCCACCCUAUCUUAUGUGACUCCUUACAUGGUUGUAAACUUUGGUUUUGGCCCUGAAAGUAUAUCUGGCCCCUUUUUAGUUUCUACCCCGAUGGGUGAAUCUAUUGUUGCUAGAAAAGUCUAUAAGGGGAUGUCCAAAUAAUCAUUACCAUGACAACCAAGACCUUACCAAUUUAUGAUUCCAAACUAUUUAAACCAUUUUUACCAUGUAGGGUUCUAUUACCAAACCUUACCAUGCAAUAGUUUCAUUAAAAGUUCCAUAAUAUAUUGAAGGCAUUAUCAAAGGCAUUUUAUCAAACAUGCUGGGGGCAUAGUAUUUCCAAAACCAAAACCAAAUUUCAAUUAACCAUUCUCAUGCAACCAAUUGUACAACCACCAUUAAAUCAUGUAAAAACAUAAUUAAAAUAUGGAAAAACUAUAAUCAAGCAUUUUUAACCAAAACCCCAACAUAUAUUUGAAAAAACUCGAAACCAUACAAUAAUCAUGCCAUGAAAACAUUGUAUAAAUCAUGCCUUUAGUUAAAAAUAACAAUGAGGGAGAAGUAUCUUGCCAUAAAUUAAGAAUAUGAUGGAGAGAAAUCACCAACACAAGUCCCAAAUUGAUCACUUUAGUGAAACCCUAGCCUUUAUUUACCCUAGAUCCCUAUAGAGAAUUGUAGAAUGUUUAAGGGAGUUUUAUAAGUUUUUAAUGAUAAAAUAAUAAGGUAAAUAACCUCCCAAGUUGUUUAGAAGUCGUGUGACCUUAAUAGGUUAAGUGGGGAAAUAUCCAGAUUACCCCUACUUAAACUCUAUAAAAAUCCCGCAUAUGGGUACGACUCACCAUACCAGUCAUACCCUUCCAUACGAGUGAUACCCACUACUCAUACCCUGAGCCUAUCCCUUGGACCAAAUAAUUUCCCCUAUACAACUCACCCAAUCCAAGUCAUACCCACUCCAUACAACUAGUACCCUUGACUCGUAUGCCUGGCUAAAUAGAAUCACUAGAGGUUUGCAUACUGCCUACUAUACGAGUCCAUGAUACAACUCGUACCCUAGUUUAUGGCACAUAGUGAACCACUCAUACUUAUAUCAAAAUUAUUUAACUUUGUCUUAGAUCAAGUAAAGGAAAAUGUAAACUAAACGACCUAUGUCCAUCUAUAUGAUUCCUACUAACCCAAGUUAUGCCCAUUUUAGAAACCAAUCCUAUCCAACCAACAAAAAUUGGUCAAUAUACGAAUAAGCCAUACAACUCGUACCCCAUUAUACGACUGGUACCCACUGAUCAAUUGUUGUCCAGAACCCAAAAACUCAAAAACAAAUUCUAAGGACCAAAAUCCAGGGUGUUUCAGUGUAUUGCUUACUUGAUCUAGGGUCUACUCCUUUUUAUGUUAACCCAUAUGUAACCGUGUGUUUUGGUUUUGAUCUCGAUAUUAUUUUGGAUUCUUUUUCAGUUUUUACCCCGAUAGGCAAUUCUGUUGUUGUUGUAAGGGUCUAUAGGGGGUAUGUAGUAUCUGUUGGUAGUAGGUAGACUUUGGUGGAUUUAUUUGAACUUGAUAUGGUGGAUUUUUAUAUUAUUUUAUGGAUGGAUUUGUUACACUCUUAUUAUGCGUCCUUAAAUUGUCAGACCCAUAAGUUUGUCUUUAUGUUCCCUGGUGAAUCAGUUACUGAGUAGAAGGGUGGUUCCUUAGCUCCUAAGGGGAGGUUUAUUUCAUACCUUAGAGCUUGGAGAUUAAUCUCCAAAGGAUGUCUCUAUUAUUCGGUCUGAGUUAAAUAUUCUAACGCGAAAGGUCCUCUUUUCAUUCAAUUUUGGUGGUGAAAAAGUUUCUAGAGGUUUUUUCGGAUGAUCUUCCUAGAGUUCCUCCAGAUAUGGAGUUUGAGUUUUGAUAUUGAUUUGGUUCCGGGAACUCGUCCAAUAUCUAUUACUUCUUAUAAAAUGGCUUUGGCUAAGUUGAGGGAACUCAAGGAACAACUUAAGGGUUUUUUGGAUAAAGGUUUCAUUUGUCCUAGUGUAUCCACGUAGGGUGCAUGUAACAACCUGGAAAUACACCCUGGUCACCACAUGAUGCUUACGGUCUUAAAAGACCACAAGCUAACCCAUGUUACUGGUACCUACUGUGAACCCUAGGUAAAACUGAUAACAAAAGAUCAUAAGCAGAAUUUAACUAAAAAAUACCAUAAGGUUUUAAAUCAUAGUUUUGAUAAUGUUUAUAAAACUAUACUGACUAUACUGAUAAAAUGGCUAAUAAUAAUAAUUGAAAACUGAAUGACAUUUGUACUAGUCCGAAAGCCCCUAAACUGUCUGAUUAUAGAGUUGAUAGGACAAGCCACCAACUAACUUUUACUGAGUAAAUAAAUGAACUGCUGACUUAACUGAAUAUAAGAUAACACGUCCUCAAAGGAUAAGGACUCACAAUGGCUACUAAUGCUAAUGCACUGGAAAUUCUAAGUACUAUCGGGAAUCCAAGCAUCCGAGCCUAUGAUAUAAGACAUCAUAGAGCAAAAAAUGAGAAUUUAAUAAGUAUUUUGAAUAUACUUGUAUGCUAAAUGAGGUUAGGCUGAUAUUCAUGAGUUCAUGUGCAUUAGUAAUAACUGACUGAAUGUAUAGAAUGAGGUACUGAGUAAGAAUGCAUGUAAACUAUAAAGACUGGGAGUGCAUGACCAAGCAUAAAACAGGUUCUAAAAUAGUCUAUAAACUGAAAUACUGAAUAACUAAAUAACUAAUAAACUAUAUGCUAUGGUCAAGCAAAAUUGAACUGAAUUCUAAACUGAGUACUAAAACUGAAGCUGUGGGAGGUAUCAUCUAACUGACAUGCCCCAAAGCUGAGCUGAUUGGGGUCAAGCCUAUGACCUCAUUUGGAAGGGUUCUAGUAUAGUUUCAUGGGUACUAACAAUGGUUGUGGAGUCACUCCUAAUCUGGCGGGUGACUUUUGAGAUCAGACCUAAACUGGCGGGUGAUCCCUAAGAAUAUCAGUCCUAAACUGGUUGGUGACAUCUCAUAGCCUACGCUGGCUAUGUAUUUUGGAACUUAGGGAUUUCUUCUAAGGACCCAAUCCUAGCUGAGAGGUGAGCCCUCAUCCCUAGGUUUGCUCGGUGCUGAAUCCUACUCCCAACUAAACUGACACAAAUUACUGUAUAGAACUAAGCUUAAUUGAACCCACAACUGACCACAUUAACAGACUGAACAAUAUUGCUUAGGGUAGGACUAAAAUAAUUCUGUAGAUACUGAAAACUAGGUAAACAGCUAAAGUUCGAGUAUUCAUAACCCCUGGGACUCGAUAGCAAUAACAAUAGGUUCAUACUAUAGCUUUAAGGACAAGAUAAGUAGUCAUUAUUAAAAACCCAAUCCUCUAGGCAUUUCAUCAAACACAUGGGAGACAUAAAUUUAAAUAGGGGAAUACCUUUAAACAUAAACAUUCUAUAACACAUUCCACUUGAAAUAAUUUAUAAUUUUAACUUGAAAUUUAAAUGGUGAGAAAUUCAUGGACUUAAUCAUGGAAAAGAAUGAAACAUGCAAGAAUAGCAUAACUGCAAUACUAAAACCAUACUUAGGUAUUUAACAAUGAAAUUUUAUGCUUCAAACAUGUGAGGGCUGUUUCUAAUGAAAAUAGAUUGUAAGCAUCACGUAUAACAAAAAUUCAUAAAAGUUUCAUUGAGAUAAAUCAUUGUAAACAUGUAAUUUCAUAGUUUAAAACAUAAAAUAUGGAUUCUUGGACUCCUUGGGUGAAAAGGUCCCAUGGAUGAACAUCUAACAUACCUUAGAGAUUUAAAUCUUAAAAGAGAAUUUGACUUUUCUUGAACAUUUUCAGAUUGGGAAUCUUAAAUUCUUGAUUUUCUUGAAAGAGGGCUUGAAUCUUGUUCUUGGGGAAUGAUCUUGAAAGGAAACCCUGAUCUUGAUGUUGAGAGUAGAUAAGGAUUUUUUAGUAGCUAAAACUGAUAAGUGAUGGCUAAUAAGUCAUAAUGAUGCUUUAAGUCGUGGGAGGGAUAGGGUUUGAGGUGAGGAAAAGAUCGAAAUACCCCUACAAAAAUAAUUUAUAAUUGCUAAAAUUUUUCAGUUGACGACUUGGGUUGAUAAGUCAUCACUUAGAUGACGAGUUAUCACUUCAAGUCAUCACUGGAAGCAGAAUUUGAUGAGUUUCUAGUUGGGCUGGCGACUUAGGCUGACAGGUCAUCACUUAGUGACGACUUAUCAACUCAGAUCGUCACUUGGAAGCUGAAAUUGAUGGCAUUCUAUUUAAGGAUGAUGACUUGGGCUGAUAAGUCAUAACUUUAUUGACGGCUUAUCAACUCAGGUCAUCACAUUGUUGACAAAAGGACAUGCUGAAGUAAAAUAUGUAUAACUUUCCAUUCUGAUAUUGUAUUAAGGUAAAACCAAAUGCGUUGGAAAGAGGAUUCAAAGAUAUUUCUUUUGAUAUAUAUUAGUCCACAUAACUCAUUAUGUACAAGGAGUAAUGGUCAUUGAAAGUUUCCCUAAGAUGAAAUGUUCGCUAAAACUUAAUCAAUAGAAUCAUUUUCAACUCAUCUUUGAGUUAAGAGAUUUUUAUGACCUCGACUGAUAUACUAGGACAUUUCCACCUAUAGAAUUGAUAAUCACACAUUUAUAGACAUAGAAUCAUUGGUUUCAAGUCUGUGUGCAUAGGAAUAAAAAUCUAAAUUCUAUCCUGAAAAUGUGGGGUGUUACAUUAUCUCCCCCUUGGGAAUAUUCGUCCUCGAAUGAGACUGGUUAAGCUAUGUGUACUAAAGAAUCUGAGAUCAUAUGCGUAAAAUGCAAGACUAGGAACAUGAGAACAUAACUAGGUAUGAAACAUAAUCAUGAACUGAAUAUCAUGUACUAAACUAAUUUUUAUGAAUGCAUGUAAUGACAUGAGAAUUUUUAUAAGGCUGAGAUAGAAAUGAGAGAUUCAACUUAUUAGUAACCACUGCCUCAGGCUGGAUCUGGUUUCAAGGAGAAAAGUUGAGAUGUUUUGGGAUAUGAAAACUCAAGGUAUUACAACAUCUCCCCCUUGGGAUAGUUUGUCCCUCGAAUGAUACUGGCUUGGCUGAAUUACUAAGGAAAGACUGAGAUGAAUCAUAGGACACUUAUGAACUGAAUCAUGACUGAAUAUCUGGAAUCUGAAAAUGGUGCAUGAUGUGUAAACUGAACUAGAUUCACAAUCCACAUGGAACUUAUCUGUCCAACUGCUAAUCUUAAUUACUAGAUAUACAAACUAACUCAUACUGAAAGCAUAUACUCAACUUGAGUAUUUUUUGGACACUUUUUCUAUGAAGUUCUAAUGUCUUUAGGGAGAAGAAUCUUGGGCAUGGCCUGAAUAAGACAGCUGAAUAAGAAAUCACAAUAUGGCUAGAAUUCUGUAAUAUGGAACACAUGCCUACAAAACAACAACUAGGAUAGUGUUACUAAGACUUAUGCCCUACAACUACUAACUUUCAAUGUUAGCCACACUUCUCAAAUACUACCUCAACUAUACUUUCUACGUCAAUACCGCACUUCACUUGAGGCUACUAAAAAUAUUCACAUGAGCACUGAUAACUAUACCUACUAAAGUCUAAGCCUAACUGAAUUAUCCCACUAUGUACAAGCCCACUCGAAUCUACAAAAUGCACACAUAACACUAUAAUACUAGUCUGAGUUAUGAAUUCAAUACACUUUACGUUUUCAUAACUUUCCAUCUCCUAAAUAAUCCUGAACUGAAUACAAACUCUUACUAGCCAUUCACUAAUGUGUAAUGUCUUUAUCCACUUACAUACUAACAUGACAUUCAAUCCUAUCUUCAUAAAUACAGCCUCAAGUAAAACAAGCAUGCAACAAUCUUUCAUUAAUAAAAUAUUUACUCUCUCCAAUCUAAGAAAUUGCUCCUCACUACAUUAUUUCAUAAGGAGAGGUCACUCAAAGGCUAAAACAUGAGGACCUAAAGCAUGAAUGAGCACUAUACAAAACUUGACACUUAAAUGAGGCCCGAGGAAUAAAAUAUCAACAUCAUGGAUUCAUUUAGAGAUCUAAAUUGAGGAUAUACAUGACAUAAUCUGAGUUUUUUUAUCAUUAAGAGUGUAGCAUGAGUCAUGGGAACUGAGCAAACUAUAAAACAUGAAUACAUGAGUCAUGACCUGCAUGACAUGAGUUUGGAGUUUCUAAAUUUAUGGAACAUAAUUUGGACCGCUGGUUGAACUGGAACUCCUUAUACUAGGAACUGGAAGAGUACAUGGUUUUCUAUAAAGUGCAUGAAUAUAAUCUAUGAUCAUAGGGCUGGCAUGUAAGGAAUGAAUAUAUAGCGAUAAUUGAAAUACAAAACUUUUUACUGAGAUAAGAAUGGAUUGGGAAUCUUUCUCCUCUACUAAUGUUCUAUAAUACACUGGUAUCACUACUAAAAUCUGAGAGCCUGACUUGGUUACUUAUUCUAUCAUCUCCCUCAUAGCUUAAAACCAUCAUUCUAAGUCUGGGAAUGACUUAAUCAACACCUCUAAAUUGAACAAACACCACUUUACUCUAUAAUCUGGGGUAUAAUAAUACAUAUAAUUGGUAAACUCAUUCUGAAUGACUAUACCCGAUAAUGUAAAACUUGCUGCUAGUACUUUCUUCUGAGAUACAACUCUUAUCCCUCUAUAUCCCCAACAAUAAUCAUAUAACAACUUAAAAUUGACUAACAUAGAAUUUUCAACUCUAUUUUCUAUUAGCUCAACCAUCAAAGAUUUAGACUUAGAUUCUAACACAUAACAUGGAUAUUCCCAAAUCUUUAAUAACCAUUCUACUUUUAUCAUAGCCCACAAUAUCACAUCUCUAAACUUAUAUUUUCCCCACACCAUGAGAAUUACCACUACACCAACAUCAACUAAACAUAUAAUUUUAAAUUACCGAAAUUAAAUUCUUGCAUACACAUUUUCAAGCCUAAUGAUUCACCUUUCAUACAACUAGCCUCAUGAAUGACAAAUCUAUUGAAUUCAAAUAACACUAUCCUCACUCGACGACUGCUAGAAUUUUGGGUUCAUGCUUCUAACUCUAGGUUAUAUGCUAUCAUAGGAUUCUGAGAAGGGAUAUGAUGGCAUAACUUACUUUGGGUUUAGUGCAUAAUUUUCAUGAACAUGAAUGAAAUAUUUCAAACUUUGAAAUUGAAAAUCACUUGAUGGAACACUCUCGAGCCUGUGAGCAAUCACACACUAUUUGAGGGGACUGUCUGAGAAAGCUUUAUCUGUAGGACUUUAAGAUUCACUACUUUUGUUACCUUGAAAGUAAGGUAGAGUUGACAUGAGUGAAGAAUGAUGAGAAUCUACAUAAGUUUCUUAGAGAACCUUUCUAUAGCAUGAUCUGAAACAUGAAAGAAGGGAAACUUUUCCUAAUACAUCUUGUAGCCUCUUGUCCAUAAGUAUGCCGCGCUUCACACCCAUGCAGAAGGCUCUACUCAAUGCGGCUUUUAGACUUCCUAGGACACAUUAAAACCUUAGGCUCUGAUACUAAGUGUGUAACAACCCAAAACUAAACCCUGAUCGCCACAUAGUGCUUACGAUCAUAAAAGACCACAAGCUAACCCAUGUUACUGGUACCUGCUGUGAAACCUAGGUAAAAUUGAUAACAAAAUAUCAUAUGUAAAAUUUAACUGAAAAUUUUCAUAAGGUUUUAAAUCAUAGUUCUGAUAAUGUUUGUAAAAAAAUACUAGCUAUACUGAUAAAUUGGCUGAUAAUAACAAUUGAAAACUGACUAACUGUCUAUACUAGUCUAAAAGCCUCUAAACUAUCUGACUAUGAAGUUGAUGGGUCAAACCCCCAACUAACUCCGACUGACUAAAUAAAUAAACUACUGACAUAAGUGACUAUAAGAUAACUAGUUCUUAAAGGAUGAGGACUCACCACGAUUGUUGCCACUGAUGCACUGAAAAAUCUAAGUAUGAUCGGGAAUUCGAGCAUCCGAACGUAUGAUAUAAUACAUCAUAAUGCAAAAAAAGAGUAUGCAAUAAGUACUUUAAAUGUACUGGUAUGCUAAAUGAGGUUAUGUUGAUAUGCAUGGGUUCAUGUGCAUGAGUAAUAAUUGAAUGAAUGUAUAGCAUGAGGCACUGAGUAAGAAUGGAUGUAAAUUAUAAAGACUGGGAGUGCAUGACCAAGAAAAAAAUAAGUUCUAAAAGAGUCUGUAAACUGAAAUUACUGAUCUAGUAACUGAAUAACUAACAAACUAUAUACUAUAGUCAAGCAAGACUGAACUAAAUUUUGAACUGAGUACUAAAACUAAAACUAUGGGAUCAUCUAACUGACAUGCCCCAAAGCUGAGUUUAUCAGGGUCCAACCUGUGAUCCCAGUUGAAAAGGUGCUAGUACCAUGCCACGAGUACUAACAAUAGCUGUGGAGUCAGUCUUAAUUUGGUGGGUAGCCCCUGAGAUUAGUCCUAAACUGAUAGAUGAUCCCUGAGAGUAUCAGUCUUAAACUGGUGGGUGACAUCUCAUAACUUAAACUGGCUGCGUAGUUCUGGAACUUAGGGAUUUCUUCUAAGGACCUAGUCCUAGUUGAUGGGUGAGCCCCCAUCCCUAGGUUUGCUCGAUGCUGAAUCCUACUCCCAACUAAACUGACACUGAUUAUUGUACGGAACUAAGCUUUACUAAACCCACAACUAACCAUACUUACCGACUGAAUGAUAAUGCUUAAGGUAUGACUGAAAUCAUUCUAUUGAUAUUGAAAACUAGGUAAACAACUAAAUUUUGGGGAUUCAUAAUGUAAUGCCCCGAUUCUGGUACCCGAAAUGCUACAUGGUGCUCAUGACCCCGGACGACCACAAGCUAACCCAUGAUUGAUAUCUGUACCUGUAUACUACAUAAUAUACCAUAUAAUUCAAAAACAUGAACUGUAAGGCCAUAAGGUUCAAAAUUGAGACAUAACAUCUGAUAAAAAUAUAACAUCUGAGUGGGGUAUGAAAUACCCAAAACAACUGAAAUAAACUAACUAAACAUAAUAGUUUGAAAAGCCUCUAAAAUGACUGUUUGAAUAAGGAGUUGAUGGGACAUGUCCCCAACUAACUCUAACUAAUAAAUUAAUUAAUGACAUAAUAAAGUAAUUAAUUAAAUAAUAAAGUAAUGAUGACGUCCUCAAAAGAUAAGGACUCAUUUCUAACUUUGACUACUGAAACUGGAAUGCUACUGAUACUUUGGAGCUCGUGUCUCUGAACCUAUGGUAUAACACACCAUAGCGCGAAUGCGUUAGUAUGAAUGAAUGUGCUGGUAUGCAUGUGAGGUAGGCUAAAUGCAUGGGGUUCAUAUGUAUGAACAAUAAUAAUAACAGACUGACUAUCAUGAGCGUGAGAAUAGAUGCAUGAGAUAUAAAAACUGACACUAAUACCAAGAUAACAUGAUUAUUGAAUUUGAAUACUGAUAAAAUGACAUACUGAUAACUAAUAUAACUGAUAACAUGAGUGGCUAUAUCUGACACUCCUGAUUCUAAUAGAACUAUCUGAGUUCCGUACUAAACUGAGUUAACUGUAUCUGACUGUGUUGAAAUCUGAAGAACAAUCUGAGUUCUUGACUGAUGCUAAUACUGAAACAGUAAAAAGUAGUUAUCUAACCGAUAUUCCCCAAAUGAUGCAAUAUAGCAGAAUUGGGGUCCAAUCUGUGCCUUGAUUAGAAGGGUGUUAAUACCGCGCCACUUAUAAGGAUAAUAUAUGAGUGACCCUCAACUAGCAGGUUACUCUAAUGAGAACGGUGAAAACCCUCAACUAGCAUGUUAAGCCACCUCAUCUACCCGCAACUAGCAGAUAUAGUGUCUCAACCUACGCUGGAUACAUUGUUCUACAAUACAAGGACUGCUCCUAGGAAUCACACCCUCAACUAGCAGGUGAGUUCCCAUCCUUGGGUUUACUCAAUGCUAAUUCCUACUCCCAUCUGAAUGGACUCUGAACAUGAUUAACUGAUCUAAACAUGGACUGAGUUACUGAAUUCUGUUGAGUGACAAAAUACUACUAAUACCUGAUAGCUAACUAAGUUCAUAUGAUUGUUGAGAUUUCCUGAGUCAUAAGGCUGUCUGAAGUCUAAGGAUCAUAGCUUGGUUGAGAGUAUCAUGAAAACAUGAUAUGGCUCUAGGCACACAACAAAUGUUUCAGGUACAAGUAUCCCCAGGACUCGAUGGAAGGAAACUGACAAGCCUAACUUACUUGAACACAUAACUAACAUCAUAAUCCAUAAUUCAUUUAUUAAAGCAUUUCAUCAAACAUAUGAUACACAUAAACUUGUACAUAUAUGGGGAUUUCAUAGUAUCAUACUAGUUAGACACUUUUCCUUCAUAUAGGAAUUUAAUACAACACAUGGUACGCAUAGUAUAUGUAAACAACAUUAUACAACAAUUAAAUGUCAUGGUUCAAUUCUAAUUUCAUCAUUUAAGGGUUUAAUCAUAGGUUUAUAUGAACCUACACAUUUACUAAUCAAUUCCACAUGAAAUUUAUCACAAACAUGGAUAAAUAUUCAAUUAGUCAUUAUCAACAUGAACAAUAACAACCCAACAUGAAAUUCAUAAAGAAAAUCUAUAAACUUGAACUUAAAAAAGAGAUUCUUGGGCUUCAUGGACGAAAAAAGUCUAUGAAUGAAUACUAUGCAUACCUGGUAAUGAGUUUCUUAAAGUUCUUAAACUUGAAGGAUUGGAAUCUCUUAGUUUUUGAAGAAGAUUUAGAUUUUAUUCUUGGGAUUAAUCUUAGAGAGAAAAACCCUAAUGUUGUUGUUGUGAAAGAAUAAUGAACAAAUAAGCUGAGGUCGGAUAUAACUGGGUAUAUAAAUAGGGUGGUAAAAGAACAAAAUACCCCUUAAAGAAUGACUUAAAAAUACUGAGAAGAAUAUACGGCGGUGGGGUACGAUGGUCUGUUGCUGGAUUGACGGUCCAUCGGAAUCACCGUCGAACUGGGACUUACUGCCAUGGUGCAACAGUGGGGUGCAAUAAUGUGUCGCUAGCUCAACGGUCCAUCAGGCCUCUCCGUCGCACUCGUCUAGAGAGUGGACUUACUGUCUCAAUGCGACGAUCAUGGUCGACGGUCCGUCGCUUGUCCGACGGUACGUCUGCCUACAGCAUCGCACUUGGGAGAUUUUACUGCCCUCUAUAUUUUGGUCAUAACUUUCUCACUAGAUACUGGAUUUUGAUGAAAUUUGUAUUGUUGGAAAGCUAAUUCAAUUUCCCACGUGAAAAAAGUAAAAAUCUUAAAAAUAACACGUGUACAAAAGUAGAUUCAUAGCCCAAGAAAAGUUUUAACAUUCUUGAGAUGAUUUCAAGCUAGGAAAAAGGUGCGGAGUAUUACACAAACCUCUAGGAAUCGAUAGCAAUAACAACAAAUUCAUACUAAAGUUGUAAGGACAAGAUAAGUAGUCAUUUUUCAAAACCCAAUCAUCUAGGCAUUUCAUCAAACACAUGGGAGACAUGAAUUUAAAUAGGGGAAUACAUUUAAACAUAAUUAGAUAGCACGAUUACAUAACAAAAUCAUAAACUGAGGAUUUAUUAUGAAUUCUCAUGAACAUAAUAGGAUAACCACAAUAUUUAAAACAUUCUAUAAUACAUUCCACUUGAAACAACUUAUAAUCUUAACUUGAAAUUUAAAUGGUGAGAAAUUCAUGGACUUAAGCAUGGGAAUGAGUGAAACAUGCGAGAAUAGCAUAAUUCCAAUACUAAAACCAUCAUUAGGUAUUUAACAAUGAAAUUUCAUGCUUCAAACGUGUGAGAGAUGCUUUUGAUGAAAAUAGAAUGUAACCAUCACGUAUAAUCAAAAUUCAUAAAAGCUUCAUGGAAUAAAUCAUUGUAAACAUGUAAUUUCAUAGUUUAAAACAUUAAAUAUGGAUUCUUGGACUCCAUGGGUGAAAAAGGCCAAUGGAUGAAUAUCUAACAUACCUUAGAACUUUAAAUCUUGAAAGAAAAUUUGACUUUUCUUGAAUGUUCUUGGAUUGAGAAUCUUAAAUUUUUUAUUUUCUCAAAGGAGUGCUUGAAUCUUAUGCUUGGGGAAUGAUCUUGAAAGGAAACCCCAAUCUUUAUGUUGAGAGUGAAUGAGGAGUUUUUGGUAUCUAAAAUUGAUAAAUGAUAGCUAAUAACUCAUAAUGAUGCUUUAAGUCGUGGGAGGGGUAGGGUUUGAGGUAAGAAAAAGACCAAAAGACCCUUACGAAACUAAUUCAUAAUUGCUGAAAUUUUUAGUUGAUGACUUGGGUUGAUAAGUCUUCACUUAGGUGAUGGCUUAUCACUUCAAGUCAUCAUUGGAAGUUGAAUUUGAUGAGUUUCUGGUUGGGUUGACGACUUAGGCUGAUAGGUCAUCACUUAGGUGAUGACUUAUCAACUUAGGUCAUCACUUGGAAGUUGAAAUUGAUGGUAUUCAAUUUAAGGCUGAUGACUUGGGCUGAUAAGUCAUCACUUUGUUGACGGCUUAUCAACUUAGGUUGCCACUUUGUUGAUAGAUGGACAUACUGAAGUAAAAUGAAUAUAACUUUCCACUCUUAUAUUGGAUUCAGGUGAAACCAAAUGAGUUGGAAAUAAGAUUUAAAGAUCUUUCUUUUGAUAUAUAGUAGUCCACGUAACUCAUUAUAUAGAAGGAGUAAUGGUCAUUGAAAGUUGACCCAAGCUGAAAUGUUCGCUAAAACUUAAUCAAUAGAAGCAUUUUCAACUCAUCUUUGAGUUAGGAUAUUUUUAUGACCUCAACUGAUAUAAUAGGACAUUUUCACAAUAUAGAAUUGAUCAUUACACAUAUAUAGACAUAGAAUUAUGGGGUAUAAGUCUGUGUGCAUAGGAACAAUGAUCUAAAUUCUAGCCCAAAAUUAUAGGGUAUUACUAUGCACCAGUAUUGUUCAUGCACAACAAGGAUCAUUCCCUUUGGAUGUGCAUUAACUACAGCCAUUUAAAUAAGGUAAGGGUUAAGAACAUUAUCUUCUUCCAAGUAUAUAUGAUUUGUUGGAUCAAUUUCAAGUUGCCAAAUUCUUUUCUAAGAUAGAUCUUCAGUCUGGGUAUCAUUAGCUUAAGAUUAGGGAGGUGGAUAUCCUUAAGAUAGCUUUUUGUACUUGGUAUAGGCACUUUGAGUUCUUGGUAGUAUCAUUUGGAUUGAAUAAAACUUCAGAAGAAUUUAUGGAUUUGAUAAAUAGGGUUUUCAGGUAAUUUUUAAAACUUUUUGUCAGUGUGUUCAUUGAUGACAUCUUAGUAUAUUAUAAGAGUGAAGUGGGUCAUAAUAAUCACCUCUGUAUGGUGUUGCAGACCUUGAUGGAGCAGUAGUUAUAUGUCUAGUUCUCUAAGUGUGAGCUUUGAUUGAAUAUUGUAACUUUUCUUGGUCAUAUUAUUUCUAGUGAGGCAAUCAUGGUGGAUCCACAAAAGGUGGUUGUGGUUAAAAGAUGGCCUAUACCCACACUCCAACUGAUAUUCAAAGCUUUUUAGAUUUUGCUGGGUAUUAUAGGAGGUUUAUGGAGGGUUUCUCUUUUGUAGCUUCCCCAUUGACUAAUUGACUAAGAGGAAGGCAAAGUUUUCUUGAUUAGAAACUAAUGAAGAUAGUUUUAAGAAGCCUAAGGAUAAGCUCACUUUGGCUCUUACUUUGACAUUGCCUGAAGGUAAUAUGGGGUUUGUGGUUUACUGUGAUGCGGCUCGGGUAGGACUUGGUUAUGAUUUUGAUGGAUUGUAUGAAAGGGUAUUGGCUGAGGUGUAUGAAUUAUGAUAUAUUGAUCAUCUCGAUUCAACUAAAAUAUAUCAAGAUCUAAAGGAGAUUUAUUGGUGGAGUGAUAUAAAGAGGUAUUUGGCUAACUUUGUAGCCAAGUGUAUGGUGUGCCAACAAGUGAAACUUAUGCACAUCAGGCUUGGAGAGUUAUAUCAGGAAAUGGAAUUUUCAAAAUGGAAAUGGGAGGUAAUCAAUAUGGAUUUUUUUAUUGGUCUUUCUCAGUCUCGAAAUCAAUUUGAUUUGAUUUGGGUCAUCAUGGAUAGGAUGACAGAGCCGACAUAUUAUUUUUCCAGUGAGGACGAACUUUUCAACUGAGGACUAUAUGAGGUUGUAUCUUCAAGAGAUUGUGAAGCUACAUUGGGUACCAAAUGUUGAUUAACUAUAAUCAUGGUAUGCAAUUUUCAUCUCACUUCUGGUGGUCUUUUCAAAAGGGUUUGGGGACUAAGAUGAGUUUGAGUACCUCUUUUCAUCAGUAGAUGAAUGGGCAAGCAAAAAGGACUAUUCAGAUAUUAGAGGAUAUGCUUCAGGCAUUUAUGAUUAAAUAUGGUGGUAGAUGGGUAGAGAAUCUACCUUUUGUAGAGUUUGCUUACAAUAAUAGUUACCAUUUUAGUUUUGGAAUGACCCUUUUUGAGACAUUACAUGGUAGGAGGUGUACAUCUCUUAUUAGGUGGUUUGAGCUUGGUGAAGUAGAUAUGUUUGGUCUAGAUUUGGUUUAUCAGGUUAUGGAAAAGGUGAAGGUGAUUCAGGAUAGGCUUAAGGCUGUCCAAAGUCACCAAAAGUCCUAUGCAGAUAUAAGACAUUAAGACUUGGAGUUUGAGGUUGGGGAGAGGCUAUUCCUAGGGUAUCUCCCAUGAAAAGAGUAAUACAAUUUAGGGAAAAAGGGGAAGCUCAGUCCCUGGUAUAUCGAUCCUUAUGUGGUUUUGCAUAGGGUUGGUAUUGAGGCAUAUGAAUUGGAGUUUCCUUAUAGUUUAAGCUCUAUUCAUCUGGUAUUUCAUGUAUAUAUGUUAAGGAAGUGUCUUGGUGAUCCUUCUUUGAUGGUUUAUUUAUAAGUUUUGGGUAUCUUAUAUUCUUUGUUGUGUGAAGAGAUCUGGGUUAAAAUAUUGGAUUAACAGGUUCUUUGAUUAAAAAGUAAGGAUGUGGCCUCAGCUAAGUUUCUAUAGCGGAACCAUAAGGUGCAAGAGGCUACCUGGGAAGCAGAAGCGGACAUGAAGUCCAAAUAUCUACAUUUGUUCUCUACUCUAGAUAUUCGUGCUAAAGGUAUGUGUUCUUGAUUUAUAUUUAAUAAUCCAAAAGACUCUACUUGAUUUAUUUACAUCUUUGUUAAAAGUAAAAGUAGAUGCAUCUAAGGGAUAUAAAUCGUGCUUGUCCCACCUAGUCUAUCAUUUGGGGAUGAAUGAUCCUAGUAAGGAAGACUGAAACACCUUGAGUUUUGGUCCUUUGAAAAUUUCCUGAGUUUUGGACUUUUUCAAAAAGGUAUGUCUCACCAUGCGACUUGUAUGGUAUGGAUACAGCUCGUAUGACCCAGUCAUAUGUUGUCCAGUAGUGGUGGUAGGUUGGAUUGGUUUUUAGAAUGGGUACAACUUGGGUGGGAUGAGUUGUAUGCUAGGGUGCGGUUCUUAUCCUUGACUCGUAUGGUAGGCAGUGUUCAACUUUCUUUGAUUCUAUUACACCAGGGAUAUUAUUUGGGGAUAUGGAAUGUAUGGUUUGGGUACAACUUAGUGUGGGUGAGUCAUAUAGGGGACAGUGUGAGAUCCAAGGGGGAGGCUUAGGGUAUGAUUAGUGGGUACUACUCGUAUGGAAGGGUAUGAUUGGUAUGGUGAGUCAUACCCAUAUGAAGGAUUUUUAUACAGUCUAAGUAAGUGUAAUCUGGAUAUUUCCCCUCUAAACUUAUUGGGACCUCACAACUUAUAAUUCUAUUGGAACAUCAUUUACCCUAUUAUUCUAAUUUAAAGCACUUAGAAACUCUCUUUAAGUAUCUCUACGGCUCUAGGGAAAAAGAAGGCUAAGUUUUCAUCUAAAGGAUCAAUUGGGGCUUGUUUCGGUGAUUUCUCUCCAUUAUCUUUGUAAUCUAAGGCAAGAUACUUCUCCUUCAUUGUUAGUUCAACUAAAGGCAUGUAUUAUUCAAUGUUUACAUGUCAUGAUUAUUGUAUAGUUUUGGGGUUUUCAAAUAUAUGUUGGGGUUUUGGUAUUAAAUGCUUGGUUAUGGUUUUCUUAUGUUUUAACAUGCUUUGAUAGUGGUGUGGACAAUUGGUUGCAUGGGAAUGGUUAAUUGGUAAUUGAAAUUGGUUUUGAAAAUACUAUGCCCCCAACAUGUUUGAUAAAUGCCUAUGAAAAUGCUUUUACUAUAUUAUUGGAAUUUUAUUGUAACUAUUGCAUGGUAUAGUUUGGUAAUGGAACCCUCAAUAGUAUAAAUAGUUUGAACGGUUUGGAAUGGUUAAUUAGUAGGGUCUUGGUGGUUAUAGUUAUGGUUAAUUAAACUUCCUUGAGGGGUACAAGGGAAUCCCCCAAGUAAACAACUUAAUAAGGGAUCACUUUUGGGUUACAUGGGAUUCCCACAAGAAAACUUAAUAAAGAAACACUUGAAGGGUACACGGGACUCCCCCAAGUUAAUUUGAUGAUGUAACUGAUGUGUGAGCAAUUGCUAAUACAUUUAAGGCCUUUAACCAAGAAUAGUUGCAAAGUCUUAAGCAACUUUUGUCAUUUUUGAUUUGUUUAUGUUUGAUUUUACAGUUUAAGCUGAUGAGAUAGAGAACCAACAAUAAUGGAAGCAAAAAGGUUAAAAUCUGAAGCAAAUAAAAGACAAGUGUGGUUGACGACAUUCAUGAUAAGUUGUCAACCCAGCUAUACGCUAUCAAGGAUAUCGUUAUUUUUAAAUAGGAGAUGAGUUCCAGCUAGAGGAGUCGACGAUAUUUUGUGAUAAGGCAUCAAGAUGGUGAUAUGGCGUCAAGGAUACCGUCAGACUUAGGCAGAACUUGGAAGCUGAGAAGAAGUCGUGACUACAUUGGUGAUAAGCUGUCAAACUCUUGAUACAUCAUCAUGUUUGUUAGCCUUAGACAUCAAGAUCCAAAGGUGGAGAGGAGAUGACGACAUCCGUGAUAAGUCGUCAGAGUCCUGAUAAGCUAUCACGGAUGUCGUCGUCUAUUUUGAAGAAAAUCUGUAACUUUGAUUUUGUUUCCAUAAUUAGGUUAAACUAUUUAAAGCUUUGUUUAGGGUUUUCUAGGGGGAUUCCACACAAUAUUAGAUCCUGAGAGUUUUGGAAUAUAUCUUGCAACAUACAUUGGACACGAUAUCUCUCUCUCUAUUUCCAAUAUUUUGGGAGUUUUAUAUUAUGAUUCAGUUCAAGUUACACUUCUGGAUUUUCAUCAUCAUUGUAAAUUAAUCUUCCUAAUUAUGAAUUCAACUUGUGUACUUGUUUAUUGUAUCAUGAGUAGCUAAACUCUAUUAACCUAAAUUAUGGGAUUUAGGGUUAGGUCUUGAUAAGGUGCUAGGUAUUUAAGAUUCAAUAGGUGGUAGUAUCUCUUGAUAAUUCUGAAGUUUUAAUUAACGUUUGUUGGUUGGAAACAGUAGGCACGCCUGCUUUGAUUUGCUUGAGAAAGAAAUCAAAUUUAGUAGGAAGUGAAUUAUCAACAGGGACAUGGAAAUACUUCAUUUAAUAAUCAGCGCUGUAACAAGGUUGGUUAACCCAAGGUAAAAUCUGGGUAGUGAAUAGAACUUCCCUAAGUCCGAGAGGAUUAGGGAAUUAAAUGCUUAAGUAGGUCGAGAGACAUUUAAGCAUGACAUCGAUAAAGAUAGCUUGUUAUCCAACCCACCGUGAGAAUCUUGAGUCACCUUUAGCAUCUGUCAUGUACUGUAAGCCCUAGUGAAUAUAAUUCUGGUUACUUCAUAAAAUCUUGAUUACAAACAUCAAAAUCAAAGUGACAAAUAAUUAUUUGUGAAACUUAAACCCCCUAUUUCAGUAAAUAUUAAACUAUCAGUGAAUUAAAUUACAAAUGACUUGAGUUCACACCUUAUUCCCUGUGAGAUUCAACCCCAACCUAGUUGGGUUUUAUAUUGACAACGAUCGCUUACACCCAUUUAAGAGUGUAAUUUGAGUGUUAUCAGUAACCUAUGGGGUACAUAGUAAUACAUUAAAGUUGGCUAAGGACAUUAUUUUCGAACUAUAAUCGGUAUGACGAUACCAAUACUCAUAGCCUUGGUUAAUAAUAAUGGAUUAAUGAUUUAGUUGGAUGGAAAUGGUUUCAAUUGGGCAAUAAUAGCAGGGUAAGAUAGCUAACUGUGAAGGUGCGAUUCCAAUGAACAGACACUGGAAACUCAUGUUUGCUGACAUGAGAGGUUGGUCAUGGCAUCUAUUUAUGAUAUUAUGAGGUACAUAGGAAUUCUCUAAGUACACUAUACAUAUGUAUCAUGGAGAGUGGCGGGUACUCGAGAAUCCCCUACUCUUAUGGUAUCUUUGGUUCAUGCGGCUACAUGCGUCGGGGCCUAUUUAGGGGGUUACAAUGGACCCAUAUAGCCCAUGGGUGGUUCUAGGAUAGUUAAGCUGCACAUACCCAAGUUAAUAUUUUAAAUGCAUGCUAAACCAGUUCCCUUUCCCGACAUGGUUAUAUAUAUGUAUGGUUAUAUGUAUAUGGCUGGUUUAUUUGGUUUUACUGGAUGACAUUAUUUUAUUCCUAUCCUGAGUAAUUGCUAGCAUUCACCUACUAACCCAUCCUCGGUGGUUGUAUUCCCAUGCGAUGCAGGAACCGAUCAUCCUACUCCUCCUGCUUAGUGAUGUAUUUUGGCAUUAGCUCAAUUGGAUUAAAGUGAUGAGCUUUCAUAUUUUGGAAGGCUCCAAUUUAUGUUCAUGGAUGUUUUUACAUACUUUGAUUUAUUUAUGGAUAAUGAUUUUGGCUAUGUUUGGGGGGUUUGGCUAUGGUUGGGGGCAUGUCCAAUUGAAUAUUAGUUUUCCUUUGGAUAGAGGUUUUUGUGGAACUGCAAUGAGUCAAUAUAGGUGAGAUUGGUAGUGGUGUUAUCCUUAGUAUUGGAAUUGGCAUUGGUGUCGAUACCACUUGACUAAAUUUCUCAUUGUUUUAUUCUUUUAUGUUAUGUUAUGGAACUUAGUUUGGUUAUUGUUUUGGUGUUGGCUUAUGGUUUCAAUUUGGUUAUGGUUAUCGGUUGGGUUUAGACGUUUGGGGUCGUUUGGGUCGGUCUUGGACAUAGACUUAUCUCAUAGUCAGGAUUUUUGCAAUUAUACACUAUCUUUUUAUAUGUCUAGAAUUCAUUCGAAUCAAGGUAUGCAUUUGGACGGUUUGGUUGGGUAUUAGGGGUGGUCCCCAGUCCUGGUUGGACUUGGGAUGCCCACUACGACAAGGCCCCCGGUUAAGUCAUGUCAGGGAGCUAUUUUUGUAAUUAUGUUUGCACGUGAUUGAUCUUUUUACGUUAUGUUAUUGUUAUUAUUUUGGAUCAUUUACGUAUUAUAUAUAGUGAUGAUGGAGAUAAUUUAGGAUCGACUAUGUACCUUGCCUUAAUCAUGUUAUCUUGUAUUUUAUCAUUUUUAUAUCAUGAUUUAACUUAGUUGACUGAUAAUACCUAUUAAGUACCCAUUGUUUUGGUAGUCAUACUACGUUUCUGUACCUUUUUUGUGUAGAUACGAAUACUAGUUUUCAUCGUUUAUCAUUGUUCAUGCAGAGUUGAUUUUUCAGAGAUAUGGUGAGCUUUUGGAGUCCAGAGAUGCCCAUUUCAUUCUAUCUUAUUGUUUUUUAGUCUUUUGUAUUGAUAUAGAUGUAUUGACUAUUUCUAAGAUUUUGGGUUUUAUUAUUGACAUUAGAUGUUUUUGUACUAGCUCUAUCAAGUCAUAGGAUUAGUAUUCAUGUGUUGACUGUUUUAUCUAGUAGAACUUUAUUUAUUUAUAACUUAUGUCCAUUGAGUAUGGCUUAUAUUGGGCAUUUCCUCCUAAAUUAGCCCACUGUGUUUGCUUUAGGUUAGGGUUUGACUUACCUACUGGCGGGAUUUAGUAGUUACCAUCAUUACUCAUAAAUUAGGUCAUGAAAAAUUGGUAACAAAGCCUAAACUUCAUUGGUAUUAUUGGUACAAGAGAAAAUGUCUAGUAGAGUCCAGUGGAUUGGAAUAAUGAUGAAAAUUUCCUAUCUUCGAGAGGAUAUGGGACAUUCUUAGAGUUCUUCACUUCUUUCACUUAUCUCAUGCUAAGAGUCUGAGUUAGUUUGUAGAAGUAUUCCUUUAACUUUACUCUUUCAAAGAUGGCCAGGUUAUGUACUACUGCUACACGCAAAGAGGGUCCCGAGACCAAGCCUAAGAACCCUUCUUAUAUUCGUGGUUGACCUAGAGGUCGAGAAAAGCUUGUGAUGUGUCCCCUAAUAGGGUCCAGGAUAGGACUCCUUCCCCAAACCCUAUUCCUAUACCUACGUUAGAGAUUCUUCCGCCACAGCCAGCGGUGGGAUAGAGACCAGUCCAGGAUCCACUAGGGUUUUUUUAAUUUUUAUUGCUCAAAGAUACAUUGAUUCAGCUUUUGGGGAUAGUUGGUGGUAUGUUGUAUGAUGGUGCUCAGUCUACAAAUUAGAGUGGUACUAAGGUGGGGGUGCAGCCUGUAGCUACGGCUUCCAGAGUUGAGGUUCCUCCUGCACUGAUAGUUGCUCAACUUGUUAUGUCUUCUGAUGAGCAAAAAAUAUUAGGAGAUUCUUAAGAUUGGCUCCACUUAGAUUUUCUAGUACUCCCAGUGAGGAUGCAUAUGAAUUUCUGACUACCUAUAAGGACAUGCUUCAUGGUUUAGACCUUGUUGAGACUCGUGGUGUGGAUUAUAUUAUAUUUUAGUUGGACUUAUUUGGUCGUCAUUGGUGGAGAGGUUAUAUGGAUUCUAGGCUAGUUGGAUCUUCUCUUUUGUUAUAGACUCAGUACUCCGAGAUGCUGUUGGAUAAGUAUAUGCCUCACAACCUUAGAGAUCACUUGAGGGAUUAUUUCUCUUGAUUAGAGCAGGGCUUAAUGAUAGUUAUAGAGUAUGAGGCUUAUUUUCACAAGUUGUCUAGGCAUGCCAAUUCUAUUUUGGAAACUGAGAAUGGGAGAGUUUGCUACUUUAUUAGAGGGUUUAGACUCCCUAUUCAUAUGUCUACUUAAGUUUUGUUGCAGUGGGUGGAUCUUUAAUUAAGGUUUUAUGUCAUGCUUGAGUGAUGGAGGAAAUAAAUUAUUAGGGUAGUUUUAGUGGGAGCCGUAGUAGUUCUCAAUUCAGAGAUAGUAUUUCUCAUGGUGGGUAUCACCAUGUCCAACCUAUCAGCCUCAAAGUCUGCUUAAUGGACCAGUUCAAAUAGUUCUUUAGAUUACUGAUGGAGGUCAAUCAUACUAGUGACCUUUCGGGUCUGGGCAAUGGUCAGUCUUCGAAGGGUACAUCCUCUAUUUAUUCUAGUCAUAGUGGUUAUUCUGGGUCAGUGAAUUUGGUAGUUCUAGUCUAGCUCAUAGGGUAGGUUAUGGAUAUGGAUCAUUUAAUCUUUUUGUGCAUGAGUGACCUAGUCAUAGGCUACUUGUUGUUUCAGUAUAAGGUGUUUCCCUUAUUAGAAUAGUUCGUCCCUUAGAAAAUGGUGGUUCUUAUAGUAGCGGUGGUUCCCAGGGUACUCGAGGAGGUUCUCUGGCAGGCAGUAUAGAAGGGUAAAGUGCCCAGCCAGGUGAUGGACAUGGUCAGUUGUAUGUAUUACCUACUAGACCCAAGGCUGAUACUUCGGAUGUUGUUGUUACAGCCAAGAUUUUGGUGUGCUACCAGUCGGACCUUACUUUCUUUUAUCCAUGAUCCACUUAUUCUUAUAUUUCUGUUUAUUAUGUACCACAAUUAUAGUUGUCUUGUGAUUUUUGUCUAUGCCAUUGAGCGUAUCUACUCCCAUAGGUGAUUCAUUAAUAGUGGAUUGAGAAUUCAGAUAAUGUGUUGUGAUAGUUAGUGAUGUUGAUACUUGUACUAAUCUUAUUAUUCUAUCUAUGGUGUAUUUUGAUGUUGUAAUACCCCUACAAUCCUAAGUCCGAAAUUCAGCUCAUAUAGCUUUACAAGCCUCAAUACUUAGAAAAUUUUUGAUAAGUAUUCAACACUUAGUCUUAUUUUAGACCUCCAAACUUCAGGGAUUUAUUUGCCGACCUUCAUUUAUGGAUUUUCAAGUUGCGUUUCGAUGGGGCAAGGUCGUAGUUUUACAUGUCCAUGUUUCCAUGAUCAGUAUCCAUACGUGAUCUUAAGUUCAAUUUUACAUUAUGUUUAGAUUUACAUGAGAUUUACCUAUAGUAUUCAUGUUUUAUUGCUUCCCUACUUCAAUUCUACUUAUUCUAAAAAAAGUGGAGAUUUUAAUAAACUAAGUUAGUGAUUCACCAACUUAUCAGAUUAUGUUUGUUACUCUUAUUUUAAGAUACUUCAGUUUUCAGUUUAUUUCAGUCUCUUGAUGAGUCUAAUUGCACUUAGAAUGCAUGGUUUUAGAUUAUGUAUGCAAUCAAUUUUACUUAUUGGAUUCACCUCUAUUUUCUUAGUACAUUCUAGAAGUACUAAUCCACAUAUACGUCUAUGUGCUAGUUUUAGACCACACAUCAUAAUUAGAUAGUUUGCAGUUUCUAGCCUAUAGGUGAUGAGUUUUUCUAUUUCGAGAACUCCAAUCUGUUGUAGUUCAUGUACUGUGUUGUAUUUUGAUUAUUCAUACAUAUUGAUUAGUGGUAGUUUGAGGCAUAUUCCAUCUAUCUACAGUCAAUAUAGUAGAGGCUCCGCAGAUAAUCAGUUAGAGUCAUGAUAUGUAAUUCAAGUUUCUUUCUUCAGUUUUAUCAUGUUGUAAAUUUUAUUUCAUUUAUUCAGACUUUCUCAUGAUCGUGCUUUCGCUCAGUAAAUUUAGUUUUCUAUAAUUUAAAAGAGUUGCUCAAGUAGUAUGCCAGUCCAUGGGUUAGCUUGGGAUCACUUAUAGUUCUAAGAACUAUGUUACGACUAGGGGAUAGUCUCAGGUCAUGACUCUAGUAUUCCCUCUGUCCUUCAUAUUGAGUUUGCUAUUGAUUUUGAGACUGACACCCGACCUAUUUCUAUGGCACCUUGUCUUAUAGCUCCUGUCGAUCUUAAGGAGUUGAAUUCUCAGGUUCAGGAUCUUCUUGGUAAGGGUUUUAUUAGACCAAAUAUGUCCUAUUGGGGAGUUCCUGUAUUUAUUUUGAAGAAAGAAGAAGGCUACAUGCGUAUGUGUAUUGAUUAUAGGCCACUUAUUAAGGUUAUAGAUAAGAAUUGUUAUCCCAUGCCUCAUAUUGAUGAUUUAUUUUACCAACAUUAGGGUGCAGUACUGUUUUCUAAGAUUGAUUUGAGAUUUGGUUACCAUCAGUUGAGGAUUGUGGCUGAGGAUAUCCCAAAGACAACUUUUAUGUCACGCCCCAAAAUCCCAUCGGGCCGGACUGGCACUCGAAGCCGAGAAGGCCCGGGAGAACCCGUUCAAAUACCUGUACUUUCACUUAUAUGUCACCAAAAAUUUGGACAGCACUUCGUUGCAUAUAGAAGGGUCUAAUUACCUGUAUCAGCACAACACGCACAAAUAUAUAUAUAUUACUUGGCCGUCAGGGCCAACACAUAUACAAAUAUAACAUCACUAUAUAAACUUCCAUGACUUUACCCUUCCUUAUGUCUACAAAGCCUCUAGGAUAUACAUGACAUAACUAGGGUCGGGACAAACCCCCACCAUACAUGACUCCUGUACAAUAACAAAACGUAAGGGACCGACUCGAAAGCUCCGAAGCAAACUUGAGCUCACCAACAAUAGCUGUAUGACCUGGCUCCUAUCUAUGCUGUGAAUGAACUGAAGCACCUGUGCCUGCAGCAUGAAAUGCAGGUCCCCCAUGAGGGACGUCAGUACGAAAUAUGUACUGAGUAUGUAAAACUAUAAAUAAUCACAUAUGAUAUAGGAGCUCAAUAGAAAUCAGAAACAAGUGAAUAAGUCGUAUUAGGAGUAGACCACACUUACUAGAACUUGUGACAACCUGUGCAUUGUAUUUAUUCAAUCACUUUACCUUCGUUCUUAUCGUCUUUGUAAUCAUUACUGUACUGUACUGUGACCAUUAGGAUGCCUCCAGUACAUAUCAACUGGGAUCGACCCAUGCUAGGCUUAUGCCCCUGGGAUACCACCCAUAAACACAUAAAUAGGGAUCGACCCAUGCUAGGCUUAUGCCCCUGGGAUACCACCCGAUAAGAGAGAACUUCCAUCACUUAGUUCAAUUAAUCUUUGAGAUUGUUAUUUCGGUCGCCACCACAUUUUUGAUACUUUGAAACAAUGAUACAUCAAUAGGAACCAAGUAAUAGACCUUCUAUACAAUAACGAUGUAAUAAAGACUCAUUGGUACAUCAACAAUGUGUUUCAGAAUCAUCAAUAUCACAACAAUGAAAUAAGAGCCUUUUGGUAUAUCAAUGAACAUUUUGACACUUUAUAGGAUGGAAACAACUUCGUUGGUAACGUAGAACAAUACAUGUUUUUGGACAACCUCGGAAUCUUACUUGAUGGAACAUUGGUGUUUUCAUGCCAAAGAACAUUGUUAGAGUAUGCUUUACAUACCUCGUUGUAGAUUCAGAUACCAAUUCAACACAACUUCCCGCCUUUACAAAUCACUUAUCUACAAUGAAAUGUUUGGCAUCUAGUAUUAGCAACCCAACACCACAAUUCUCUUCCAUAAUUCCAUACUACCAAUAUUUGCAAAACAUUCCAAAAACCAACUUGAACAAUAGGUUUAUGUGUGUAUAUAUAUAUAAUCAUCAUUUCAAUACCACAUCAUCAAUACCACAUCAUCACCCCAAAUUCCUUCACAAUUUAACAUAAUCCAACCAUGCACAAGAAUAAUCCAACAUCAUUUCCAAUCAUCUUUCAACAACAAUCAAAUAACAUACUUUUUAUGCUCACAUGCAUAUAUAUAUAUAUACAUAUCCAUAUAAAUAACACCAACAUAAUUUACAUCCUUACCAUAAAAUGGCCCUUUUGAUUUCGAAGUCCUGUUGGCACAAAUAAGGGGUGCUUCUCGAAGCCCUUGAGAUGGUGAACACAACUACGGAAUCAAUUUGGAUUUUCUACGGUUGAAUCACAAGAUAUUUGGAGUUGAAAUUAGGCUAGGGUUUCUUAUUUUCAAUAAUUUGAUGAUAAUUGAUGGAUAUGAGACUAAUUAUAUGUAUAUAAUGACCAAUUUUCGUUCAUGAGGUGAUGGAAAAUGACCAUAUUGCCCUUAAAAUUUUAAGUAAAUCCGAAUCUGUCCAUGGUGGACUGUUUUGACAAGCUAAAGUAGAUCGACCAUAACUCUUUCUCCGAUAUCGUAUUUGGGUGAAAUUGGUAUCAUUGGAAAUAUAAUUCAAAGUUCUUUCAUUUCUUAUAAAGCAGGCCACCUAGUUCGUCCUGUACAAGGAGUUAUGAUCGUUUGAAGUUGACCCUAAAAAUCUGUUUUGAGAGGCUGAAGGAAAAUGAGUAUAACUCAUUACUCACAUUUCGGAUUUGGAUGAAACCAAUUGAAUUGGAAAGAAGACUCAAAUAUCUUUCUUUUCAUAGGUGGCAUCUCUCCCAGUUCAUUAUAUUAAGGGAGUUAUGAGCGUUUAAAGUUGACCCAAAAAACUGGCAGGCCUCAGUAGUUUGUGUGCAGGAAAUUUUCCUGCACAUUUACUAUUCACCAUAUCCCGGCCACCGUUUUAUAGUUUCGAACGUGCUCGAUUAUAUCCGAAACUUAUCCGGUUUUGAAAAUCUUUAUAUCGUUGAAAAUUUUAUUCAUAACCUUCGUAUGGAACCAUCAACGGGCAAAUUCCGGUAUACAUAAAAUAAAAAAUUAAUUCCAUAUAAAUAAGACUAAUACACGUACUUGAAUACACCAAUACAUGUACUUGAAUAUGGGGUGUUACAUCCUUCCCCCCUUUAGGACAUUCGUCCUCGAAUGUUAAAGGACAUUCGUCCUCGAAUGUGAAUGUAGUUAUUUAGCCGAAACAAGUUCAAGUCCACCAUUAACAUUCACAUCAUCACAUAAAUACUAUGCAUAUAUAAACAAAAACUUACUUGUUAAUGUUCUAACUCCGUUUCUUGAACUUCCUCUUCAUCUUUGAACAAAUGAGGGUACUUAGAUUUCAUUGCUUCCUCAGCUUCCCAUGUAAUCUCUUCCCUUUGUUGAUUUCUCCAAAGUACUUUCACCGAUGCUACUUCUUUAUUUCUCAUCUUCUUAACUUGUCGAUCUAAUAUAGCAAUAGGCAUCUCCUCAUAGGUAAGAUCUGCUGUUACUUGCACAUCUUCAGUAGAAGUAAUAAGGGACGGAUCUCCGAUGCACUUUCGAAGCAUCGAUACAUGAAAUACUGGAUGCACUGAUGAUAGUUCCUGGGGUAGAUCUAAUUCAUAAGCAACUUGCCCACAUCUUCGAAUAAUUUUAUACGGGCCUAUAUAUCGUGGACUCAACUUUCCUUUCUUGCCAAAUCUCAUCACCCCUUUCAUUGGCGAUACCUUCAAAAAUACCCAAUCGCCUAACGAAAAUUCUAGCCCUCUUCUUCUACUAUCCGCAUAUGACUUGUGUCGACUUUGGGCUGUUUUCAACCGUUGCUGAAUCACCUUGACUUUUUCUAUGGCUUGAUACACAAGAUCCGGUCCGAACAUAAGAGUUUCACCCGCUUCGAACCAUCCUAUUGGUGAUCUACACUUUCUCCCAUAUAAAGCUUCAUAUGGUGCCAUUUUGAUACUUGAAUGAUAGCUAUUAUUGUAGGCAAACUCAAUAAGAGGUAAAUGAUCAUCCCAGCUGCCUUUAAAAUCUAUAACACAUGCUCGUAGCAUAUCUUCAAGUGUUUGAAUGGUGCGCUCUGCUUGUCCAUCCGUCUGAGGGUGAAAAGCUGUACUCAGAUUCACUUGUGUUCCCAAACCCCGUUGGAAAGACUUCCAAAAGUUUGCAGUAAAUUGAGUUCCCCGAUCCGAUAUAAUAGAAGUUGGCACUCCAUGUAAUCGGACUAUUUCUUUAACAUACAGCUUCGAAUAUUCUUCAACUGUGUAAGUGGUCUUAACGGGUAAGAAAUGUGCGGAUUUAGUAAGCCUAUCCACAAUCACCCAUAUAGAAUCAAAUUUUCGAGCUGUACGAGGCAAACCUGUAACAAAAUCCAUGUUGAUCAUGUCCCACUUCCAAAUUGGAAGAUCUAUGCAUUGCAUAUAGCCUCCGGGUUUUUGGUGCUCAACUUUAACUCUUUGACAAUUUGGACAUUCAGCUACAAAUUCUGCAAUGCUCUUCUUCAUGUCAUUCCACCAAUACAUAUCUUUCAAAUCUUGAUACAUUUUGGUUGAUCCUGGAUGAAUGGAAUACCUUGAAAAAUGUGCCUCUGUCAUAAUCUUCUUUCUUAGCCCGUCUAUAUCCGGCACACACAAUCGGUUUUGGCACUGAAGUACUCCUUCUCGCGUAAGCUCAAAUGCCUUGGUCGCACCACUCUGAACGUUCUCCUUAAGAUGUAAUAAAAUAGGAUCUGCAUAUUGCUUCUCUUUCACUUCAGCUACUAAUGAAGAUUCCGCAGCAUUAUGUACGAUAAGCUCUUUAUUCGGAGUUUCAAGAAGGCGAACUCCCAAACUAGCUAACUGGUGAAGAUCUUUAACCAUCCCUUGCCUUUCUAUAGGCGCCAUCAUAGCCUUACGACUUAACGCAUCAGCUACCACAUUUGCUUUCCCUGGAUGGUACAAGAUAUCAACAUCAUAGUCCUUUAAUAGUUCAAGCCAUCUCCGCUGCCUUAAAUUUAGAUCCUUCUGAUUAAAAAUAUAUUGCAAGCUCUUAUGGUCAGUAUAUAUAUCAACAUGAACCCCAUAUAAGUAGUGGCGCCAUAUCUUUAAAGCAAAAAUAACCGCUGCCAGCUCAAGAUCGUGUGUAGGAUAAUUUUUCUCAUGUGGCCGCAAUUGUCUAGAAGCAUAUGCUAUUACCUUACCAUGCUGCAUCAAUACACAUCCUAAACCAAUUCUGGAAGCAUCACAAUACACUGUAUACCCUUCGGUGCCUUCUGGUAGUACCAACACGGGUGUAGAAAUCAACUUGUUCUUCAAAUCUUGAAAACUCUUCUCACAAGCAUCAUUCCAUUGGAAUUUGGAUGCUUUAUGGGUUAGCUUGGUUAAGGGUGCUGAAAUGGAAGAAAAGUCUUUGACAAACCUUCUAUAAUAACCGGCCAACCCGAGAAAACUACGAAUCUCCGUAGGCGUUGUGGGCCUUGGCCAGUUCUUCACAGCUUCUCUCUUUUGAGCAUCAACCUUUAUCCCUUCACUAGAUACAAUAUGACCCAAAAAUGCCACCGACUUUAACCAAAACACACAUUUAGAGAACUUUGCAUAAAGCUUACAAUCACGAAGAGUCUGCAAUGCCUGUCGUAAGUGAUUGGCAUGGUCCUCUUCUGAUCUAGAAUAAACCAGAAUAUCAUCUAUAAGAACUAUCAUAAAUACAUCCAGGAAUGGCUUAAAAAUACUAUUCAUCAAAUCCAUAAAAGCUACGGGUGCAUUUGUUAGCCCAAAUGACAUAACUAGAAACUCAUAAUGACCAUACCUUGUUCGGAAAGUUGUUUUGGGUAUAUCUUUUUCUUUGACCCUCACUUGGUGGUAACCUGACCUCAAAUCAAUCUUAGAAAAGCACUUGGCGCCCUGUAACUGAUCAAAUAAAUCAUCAAUUCUUGGGAGAGGAUAUUUAUUCUUAAUAGUCACCUUAUUCAAUUGCCGAUAAUCAAUACACAUCCUCAGGGAGCCAUCCUUUUUGCGUACAAAUAACACUGGUGCUCCCCAAGGGGAAAUACUAGGCCUAAUGAACCCCUUUUCUAGCAAAUCUUUCAAUUGCUCUUUCAAUUCUCGUAAUUCUGCUGGGGCCAUUCUAUACGGAGGAAUGGAGAUUGGUUGGGUGCCUGGUAUUACAUCAAUACCAAACUCUACUUCUCGUUCAGGAGGCAAACCUGGAAGAUCUUCAGGAAAUACAUCAGAAAAUUCAUUUACCACCGGAACAGCGUGAAGAGUUGGUGGCUCCGCUUCUGUAUCCCUUACUCUAACUAAAUGAUAUAUAUAUCCCUUGGAAAUCAUUCUUCUCGCCUUAAAAUAAGAAAUAAAUCUACCUCUUGGCACGCUAAUUUCACCUUUCCAUUCAAGGACUGAUUCAUUUGGAAAAUGGAAAUAUACCUUUUUCGUGCAGCAAUCAAUUGUGGCAUAACAAGACGCCAACCAGUCCAUACCCAUUAUAACAUCAAAAUCUACCAUUUCUAACUCCACAAGAUCAGCCAUCGUAUCACGACCACAAACAGUUACUAUGCAGUUUCGAUAAACCCUUCUAGCUAUAAUAGAUUCCCCGACCGGUGUGGACACUUCAAAUGGCUUAACUAACAGUUCGGGUAUUCUUUCGAACUUUCCAGCAACCAAUGGAGUAACAUAAGAUAAUGUAGAACCGGGAUCAAUUAAGGCAUAUAAAUUGAAUGAAAAUAUAGCCAACAUACCCGUAACCACAUCUGGAGAAGCCUCUAAAUUCUGUCGAUCUGCUAGAGCAUACGUACGAUUUUGAGCCCCGCUAGAACUCGUGGCUCCUCUAUCACCUCUAACACGACCCAUUGGCUGUGCACCCCUUCCUGAAUAAGGCAUCGAUGAUGAUGAUGCAACAAAUGACCCCGUAGGUCGUGCCAUACCCCCUAUGUCCCUUCGUGGGCAUUCCCUCAUCAUAUGCCCCGACAUACCGCACCAAAAGCAAACAUUGGUCCCCAGCCGACAUGUGCCCAAAUGAUACCUUCCACAUUUAUUGCAUGGCUCUCGAGGAGGUCUUGAUUGGCUCAUAUUCCCUUGCCCUUGGUAACCCACUGAUCGUGAACUAUGACCCUCACUUCUUUGCCCAAAUUGACUGCCUCUAAACCCCUGAUGCUGUGGUGGAGCACUAGCUGCAGAAUAAGAAAAUAAUGGCCUAGGUGGUCUGGCAGAAAAUUGAGGUCUAAAACCUCCCUGUGGCGUCAUAAACUGCCCUGUAGAUCUGGCCCUCUUAGAAGAUACGCUUUCAAAUUCCUGUGUUCUUCUUCUUUGCCUCUGAUCUUCCAUUUUCUGUGCAAAUGCUUGGAUCCUAGCUAUAUCCAUGUCUUUAUUCAGUGCAGCAAUAGUACAAUCCCUAACCACCAGAUAUGGAUCUAGCCUAUCCACAUAUUGAUGAACUCUGUCAUCCAUAGUAGCUACAACAUUAGGAGCAUAUCUCGACAAGGAAUUAAAUCGAAGACUGUACUCCCUCACGCUCAUAUUCCCCUGACGAAGAUUUAAAAACUGAUCUGCACGGGCCUGACGAAUCUCGAAUGGAAGAUAAUGAUCAAGAAAUGCCUCUUUGAACUCCUUCCAAGUAGCUGGGGGUGCAUCAAUACCCCUAGAUCGUUUCCAGUCCUCAUACCAAUAUAUAGCCUCCCCUUUAAAUCUAUACGCCGCUAACUCCACUGUCUCUCUACCCGUUACAUGCAUAACAUCCAAGGCCCUUUGAAUUUGAUCGAUAAAGUCCUGUGGGUCCUCGUUAAGAUCUGAUCCAGUAAAAGUGGGAGGAUCCAUCUUAAGAAAAUCCUGUGUUCGAAGGCUAGCCGCCCUAUCUAUACCACUAGGACCUGCAGUAGGAAUGGCUUGCCCUUGAGCUUGCCCAGCAACUAUACGAGUCAAAAGUUGCACUGCAUUUCUAAGAUCUUGAUCAACAACAUUAAUAGGUGGCUCUGCGGAUAUAGUUCUCCUCCCCCUUAUUUCUUCCGGACUGGGGGAAGUUUCUGAUGCAUGCUCAGCUGGAGCCUCACUUUGAUUAGCUGGUAUAGUGGGUGACUUACUAGUCCCCUCUCCGGCAGCCAUAUCUACUUGCUUACCGGUAUUCUUGCUUCUGGUAACCGGCAUCAUUACUAUAAUAAGAGAAACAAACGGAUUCAGUGGUCAACUAUGACUUCAUAUACAAUAUAGGCUCUAUCGCACGAUCUAAGACAUAAAGAAAAGAAACAAUUCCUAAAUGUCCAUAGCCUCCUGUUUAUAGAUGCGGUGCACAACAUACCGAUAAACAAAACUCUACAUAGACACGGCUUUGUAGACUUACUAGGAUGAACCGCGCUCUGAUACCACUUUUGUCACGCUCCAAAAUCCCAUCGGGCCGGACUGGCACCCGAAGCCGAGAAGGCCCGGGAGAACCCGUUCAAAUACCUGUACUUUCACUUACAUGUCACCAAAAAAAUUGGACAGCACUUCGUUGCAUAUAGAAAGGUCUAAUUACCUGUAUCAGCACAACACGCGCAAAUAUAUAUAUAUAUAUAAUACUUGGCCGUCGCGCCCACCACAUAUACAGAUAUAACCUCACUAUAUAAACUUCCAUGACUUUACCCUUCCUUAUGUCUACAAAGCCUCUAGGAUAUACAUGACAUAACUAGGGUCGGGAUAACCCCCCGCCACACAUAACUCCUGUACAAUAACAAAACGUAAGGGACCGACUCGGAAAGCUCCGAAGCAAACUGGAGCUCACCAACAAUAGCUGUAUGACCUGGCUCCUACUUGUGCGGUGUAUGAGCUGAGGUACCUGUGCCUGCAGCAUGAAAUGCAGGUCCCCCGUGAGGGACGUCAGUACGAAAUAUGUACUGAGUAUGUAAAGCUGUAAAUAAUCACAUAUGAUAUAGGAGCUCAAUAGAAAUCAGAAACAAGUGAAUAAGUCGUAAUAGGAGUGGACCACACUUACUAGAACUUGUGACAACCUGUGCAUUGUAUUUAUUCAAUCACUUUACCUUCGUUCUUAUCGUCUUUGUAAUCAUUACUGUACUGUACUGUGACCAUUAGGAUGCCUCCAGUACAUAUCAACUGGGAUCGACCCAUGCUAGGCUUAUGCCCCUGGGAUACCACCCGAUAAGAGAGAACUCCCAUCACUUAGUUCAAUUAAUCUUUGAGAUUGUUAUUUCGGUCGCCACCACAUUUUUGAUACUUUGAAACAAUGAUACAUCAAUAGGAACCAAGUAAUAGACCUUCUAUACAAUAACGAUGUAAUAAAGACUCAUUGGUACAUCAACAAUGUGUUUCAGAAUCAUCAAUAUCACAACAAUGAAAUAAGAGCCUUUUGGUAUAUCAAUGAACAUUUUGACACUUUAUAGGAUGGAAACAACUUCGUUGGUAACGUAGAACAAUACAUGUUUUUGGACAACCUCGGAAUCUUACUUGAUGGAACAUUGGUGUUUUCAUGCCAAAGAACAUUGUUAGAGUAUGCUUUACAUACCUCGUUGUAGAUUCAGAUACCAAUUCAACACAACUUCCCGCCUUUACAAAUCACUUAUCUACAAUGAAAUGUUUGGCAUCUAGUAUUAGCAACCCAACACCACAAUUCUCUUCCAUAAUUCCAUACUACCAAUAUUUGCAAAACAUUCCAAAAACCAACUUGAACAAUAGGUUUAUGUGUGUAUAUAUAUAUAAUCAUCAUUUCAAUACCACAUCAUCAAUACUACAUCAUCACCCCAAAUUCCUUCACAAUUUAACAUAAUCCAACCAUGCACAAGAAUAAUCCAACAUCAUUUCCAAUCAUCUUUCAACAACAAUCAAAUAACAUACUUCUUAUGCUCACAUGCAUAUAUAUAUAUAUAUACAUAUCCAUAUAAAUAACACCAACAUAAUUUACAUCCUUACCAAAAAAAAUGGCCCUUUUGAUUUCGAAGUCCUGUUGGCACAAAUAAGGGGUGCUUCUCGAAGCCCUUGAGACGGUGAACACAACUACGGAAUCAAUUUGGAUUUUCUACGGUUUAAUCACAAGAUAAUUGGAGUUGAACUUAGGCUAGGGUUUCUUAUUCUUCAAUAAUGGAUGAUAAAUAAUGGAUAUGUGGCUACGUAUAUGUAUAUAAUGACCAAUUUUCGUUCAUGAGGUGAUGGAAAAUGACCAUAUUGCCCUUAAAAUUUAAAGUAAAUCCGAAUUUGUCCAUGGUGGACUAUUUUGACAAGCUAAAGUAGAUCGACCAUAACUCUUUGCUCCGAUAUCGUAAUUGGGUGAAAUUGGUAUCGUUGGAAAUAUAAUUCAAAGUUCUUUCAUUUCAUAUAAAGUAGGCCACCCAGUUCGUCCUAUACAAGGAGUUAUGAUCGUUUGAAGUUGACCCUAAAAAUCUGUUUUGAGAGGCUGAAGUAAAACGAGUAUAACUCAUUACUCAGAUGUCGGAUUUGGAUGAAACCAAUUGAAUUGGAAAUUAGACUAAAAGAUCUUUCUUUUCAUAGGUGUCAGCUCUCCCAGUUCAUUAUAUUAAGGGAGUUAUGAGCGUUCAAAGUUGACCCAAAAAACUGGCAGGCCUCAGUAGUUUGUGUGCAGGAAAUUUUCCUGCACAUUUACUAUUCACCAUAUCCCGGCCACCAUUUUAUAGUUUCGAACGUGCUCGAUUAUAUCCAAAACUUAUCCGUUUUUGAAAAUCUUUAUAUCCUUGGAAAGUUUAUUCAGUAACCUUCGUAUGGAACCAUCGACGGGCAAAUUCCAAUAUACAUAAAAUAAGAAAUUAAUUCCAUAUAAAUAAGACCAAUACACGUACUUGAAUACACCAAUACAUGUACUUGAAUAUGUGGUGUUACAUUUUAGGACCUAUUAUUCCCACUAUGAGUUCUUAGUGAUGUCUUUUGGGUUGACUAAUGCCCCAACUAGGUUCAUGGAUUUGAUAAAUCGUGUAUUUAAGCCUUAUUUGGAUUCCUUUAUGAUUGUGUUCAUUGAUCAUAUGCUUGUGUAUUCUAGGAGAAGUGAGGAGCAUGUGCAAUAUUUAAAGAUCGCGCUCCAUACUUUAAGAGAUCAUGUGCUUUCUGUCAAGUUCUCCAAGUGUGAGUUUUGGAUCGAGUCAGUGACAUUCCUUCGACAUAUGGUAUCUAAGUAUGGAAUUAUGGUAGACCUUGCCAAAAUAGAGGCGAUUCUUGAUUAGGCUAUUCCUACAUCUCCAACUGAGGUUUGUAGCUUUAUUAGUUUGGUCGAUUAUUAUAGACACUUUAUUGAGGUUUUUCUAUUAGUUUAUCCCCUAUGUCCAAAUUGACUCAGAAGGAGGUUCCUUUUCUAUGGUCCGAAGAGUAUGAGUCGAUAUUUCAAAAGCUCAAGGACUUCCUUACUUCAGCUUCUAUUUUAGCUCUUAUUGUUGAGGGUGAGACAUUCACCGUGUUUUGUGAUGCUUUGGGUGUUGGUAUAAGUUGUGUAUUGAUCCAGUAAGGUUGUUAUUGCUUAUGACUCUAUACCACUUAAGGUUCAUGAGCGCUACUACCCUACUCAUGAUUUAGAAUUGGCAGCGGUAGUUUCCAUACUUAGGAUUUAAAGGCAUUAUCUUUGUGCAUUGUGAUGUUUUCACAAAUCAUCGAAGCCUUCAACAUCUUUGACCCAGUGAGAGAUUAAUGCUAGAUAGCGUAAAUGGAUGGAGUUGCUUAAGGACUAUGAUAUUUCUAUCUCGUAUCAUCAGGGAAAGGAAAAUAUGGUAGCAGAUGCCUUGAGUUACAAGGACGUGAGUAGGGGUAGCUUGGCUUGUAUUUUGGUUUCUCAGAGGCCGUUAGCACGGGACAUUCAGUCCUUCUCUAAAUUGAUGGUUCGCCUUGAUAUUUCAAAUCCUAAGAGGAUUUUGGCUAGUGUGGAGGUGAGGUUUUCACUAUUUUAGUAGAUUCGUGAUCAUUAGUAUGAGGAUAUCAAGCUUCGCUUCCUUUAUGAUCAAGUUUUAAGUGCUGAGUCUAAAAGAAACACUAUAGUUUCUGAUGGUGUUUUGAGAUUUAAUCGUCGUACUUAUGUUCCUUAGAUUGGCGACUUGAUUUUGCAUGAGUCUCACUGCUGUAGAUACUUUUUCACCUCGACAUAACCAAGAUGUAUAGAGAUUUGAGACAACAUUAUUGGUGGAGUAGUAUGAAGAGAGAUGUAGCAAACUUUGUAGCUCUUUGCUAUGUUGUUAGCAAAUAAAGACCAAGGAUCAGUGACUUGGUGGAUUGACUCAGAGGUUACCCAUUCUCGAGUGCAAAUGGGAAUAGAUUACUAUAGAUUUUGUUAGUGGUUUUCCUAAUAUUCCCCGUUGUUCUAAUGAUAUUUGGGCGAUUAUGGAUCGGUUGACCAAGUCAACACAUUUCAUCACAAUUCAGAUAACCUUCAUUUCUGAGAUGUUGGCCCAUAUUUAUGUUUGAGAGAUAGUCUGUUUACAUGAUGUACCCAUUUUUAUCAUUUCAGAUCAUGGUUCUGCGUUCACUUUGAGAUUUUGGAAAGUAUUUCAAGAAGAGUUGGGCACUCGGGUAGAUUUGAGUGCAACCUUUCAUCUGUAGAUUAAUGUUCAAUCUGAGUGAACCAUUCAGGUUCUUAAGAACAUACUCCGAGCCUGCGUUAUGGAUUUUAGAAGCCAUUGAGAGCAGCACUUAGCCUUGUCAGAGUUCGUAUAUAAGAAAAACUAUCAUUCGAGUUUUGAGAUGGCGCUUAUAAGUCUUUGUAUGGCAGAACAUAUCAUUCUCUGGUUGAAUGGUUUGAGACAUCUGGCGUUAGGCCCCGUGGUACAGAUAUGCUUCAGGAGUCAUUAUCUAGAGUAAGGGUGAUUCAGACAAGGUUGACAGAGGCUCAGAGUAGGAAGAAGGCCUAUGCAUACCAUAGGCUUCAUGCCUUAAGAUUCUUGUAUUCCUCCGUACAUCACCAAUGAAGGGUGUGAUGAGGUUUGAGCAGAAGGGUAAGCUCAGUCCUAGAUAUGUUGGACCUUUUAAGAUCCUCCUCUCAGUUGGUGAAGUAGCCUAUGAUUUAGAUCUACCUCCAGAUUUUUCUGUUGUUUAUCCGAUUUUCCUUAUCUUAAUGUUGUGGCGAUAUAUUCCUGAUCCUUCUCAUGUGCUUAGAUGGUAGUCCAGUUAGGUGAGCUUUUAACCUUUAUAGAGGAGUCUGUGCUCAUUUUGGCUAGUGAUGUGAAGCGAUUGUGCUCUAGAGACAUUCAUGUAGUUAAGGUUUAGUGGAGACACCGUCCAGUGGAGAAGUCCACUUAGGAGAUCAAGAGUGAGAUACAGACUCAAUAUCCUUACCUAUGUGAGACUUUAGGUAUAUACUAACCUUGAACUUUCAUGGAUGAAUGUUUCUUUAGUAGUGUGGAUGUUUUAAUGACCCUUCAUGUCAUUUUUCAUAUUUUAGCUUAUUUUUUCUGUUAGAGCUUUUUCAUAGCUACCCCAAGUCAUUUAUGACUUUAUAGAACUAACAGUUCAGUUACUAGGCAGCUCUUUUAAUUAUUAGAGCCAAUUCCCUGUUUUGAAGUCUUCGUUGGUUUCAAAUGGCCACGGGACAAAAACUUCAAUAAAAUGAUCUCUGAUGUAAAUUCGACUAUGCCAGUAGAUCUGAAAUUUCAUUUUUACUCUAGGUACACCUUUGGAUCGGGUCUCGAUACACCCGAGCUCAUUUUGACCUAUUGAUCGGAAAGUUGAAAAUUUAGAAAUUUAGGUGUAGGACUCAUAUUUGAUUGCAAUGACCUCAGAUGAAAAAUCCAAAUUCUCCAUUGUGUUCGGAAUAUCAAAUUUUGUGUGGUUACAUAGUUUCUUUUUGUAUAUCCAAUUCCAAAUAAAUUCCGAGGCCUUAGCAAAAACUUGAAAAAAAUUCCAAGUUUCAGCUGUCAUCUGGUGUGGCCAUCAAUCGUACAUGAUGUGCAGAGGGUAGUUUGAUUGCACUAAGAAGUAUGGCAACCAGCAUUCUUGCUUCUGCAUCCAAGUUGUGUGAUCGUACACCUAGUUGUGUGAAAUCAUCACCUGAUGACUUGGAAGGGGCAUAAAAAGACCCCUUAGGACGCUAAUUUGUCCAUUUCCACCCAUUCUCUUGAGUGCAAAAAUCCUAAAGAGUGUGAUAACUUUAAAUUAAGUCUUGGGAGCUUUAUUUAAUAUAUAUUUCAUGAAUAUCUUCAAAUUUAAGAUAAGAAUCCUUCAAAUUCAUGCUUGAAUUUCUUGAGUAUUUGAAAAAAGCCCCAAAUUCUUCCAAGCUUGAUUUAGCCUUGAAUUAGCUUGGUUUUCACCCAUUUGAGGUUUUUGAUUGCAUAAUCUUGAUAUCAUGUUGUAUUGGUCUCAAAAAUAUGACUUUAUAUUAGUUGGACCCAUAUGGGGUUUUUAACAUGAUUUUUGACUCGAAGCACAAUGGUGCAAUAUGGAUAUCGAUAUUUUUGUAUUGAUGAGUAAGAUGCAUUUUUGAUAGUUGGGCAUCUUGAAGAGGCUUUUUAGAAGGGAAAAACAAAGGUUUAGUAGAUUGUUGAGAUUUCUUCAGCGAUGGAGUAGGGUAGGUUAAACCCUUGUUGAUUUUCCUACUUCAUAGUAUAUUUAUAAUAUUAUGUUGGAUUGGAAUAGAUUUUAGGUGUUGGUUUGAUGAAUUGUAAGACUAGGGAUUAGUUGAGUCGUUUAGGCUAUUUUGACAUCGUAAGCUUGAAUCCUUUAGCUUUUUCCCUUGUUCUUUAGGUGAAUUGGCUCCUUUACUUCUGCUUAGCAUGAGAAUGACUUAAGUUACUCAAUUGGUCAUAGUUAGCCUAGUUACCCUUUUGUUAGGGGAAUUUCUUACCUUAGGGCUAAUUAAGGCUUGUUUGAUAUCUAAAAGUGGAUUUAGAUGCCUUAAGCCUAGAUCGGAUAGAAAUUUUCCUAAAAUGGGAUUCAAGGAAUAGAAGUGGACUCUUAACCUAUCUUAGGCUAUAACAUGCUAGCUUUGGUGAACCCUUAUGCUUAUUAAACUCUUGAAAAGGUGCAUUAAUACUAUGGUAAUCUUGAUCCUUGAUCAUCAUGUGAGUGAGUGUUAGGAUCAAUUCUGCUAUUAUUUAUGAUAUAUAUGAUGCUAUUAUGAUGAUGAUAUUUAUGACCAGUUCAAUUUUGAUUCUUGUUGAAAUGUAUGAUGAUUCAAUUUCGAGUCUUGUUGAUAUUUAUGACCGAUUCAAUUUUGAGUCUUGUUGAUAUUUAUUACUAGUUCAAUUUUGAGUCUUGUUGAUAUUUAUGACAUGUUCAAUUUCGAGUCUUAUUGAUAUUUAUGACCGAUCCAAUUUCGAGUCUUGUUGAUAUUUAUGACCGAUUCAAUUCUAAGUCUUGCUUUAAUUUACUCCCGGUUCAAUUUUGGAUUAAUCAUUAUAAAUAUUAUCUUGAAUUGUGGUAUGAAAAAUAAUGUUGUUCAAUAUAAUGAUAACUAAUGAUAAAAGAUUCCUAGCUAAUCUAAGUCUUGCUUUAAUUUACUCCCGGUUCAAUUUUGGAUUAAUCAUUAUAAAUAUUAUGUUGAAUUGUGGUAUGAAAAAUAAUGUUGUUCAAUAUAAUGAUAACUAAUGAUAAAAGAUUCCUAGUUAAUAAAAUGGUGAAUAGUGGGUAUAUGGUGUCUAGUUGAUGAAUAAUGCUAGUGAUUAGAGGAAAUUAAUGGAUAACUAGUAGAUUGUAGAAUAAUGUUGGUAAAUUGCUAUGUGAUGGAAUAAUGCCGAAUGAUGGUGAAUUAUGAGGUGAUGGUUGAAUUAUGGUGAUGAUUAGUGUAAAUGAUGCUUGCAUAAAUUAUUCUAUCCUUGUGUGUUCUCUCCAAUCAUAUGGGAGGCCGUAAUGAAUUCUUUAAUUUUCUACACCAAUUGACGUAUGAAAGACAAUUUUUUAAUUAUGUUUGUACAUGUUUGAUCUCUUUACGUUCUGUUAUCAUUAUUAUUUCAAAUCAUUUACUAAUUAUGUACAGUGAUGAUGGAGAUGAUUGAAGUUUGAUCCUGUACCUUAACUAAAUUAUGUUAUCUUGCAUUUUAUCAUUCUUAUAUCAUGAUUUAACUCAAUCGGUCGAUGAUUCCUACUAAGUACUCAUUGUUUUGGUACUCAUAUUACACUUCUGUACCUUUCUGGGGAAGAUUCCAGUACUAGUUGUCGUAGUUGACCACUGUUCGUACAGAGUUGAUCUUUCAAAGAUAGGGUGAUUUCUUGGAAAUUUGAGUCGCCCAUUUCAUUCUAUCUUAUUAUUAUUAAAUCUUUUGUAUCGAGACCUAUGUAUUGACGAUGUCUAGGAUUUGGUGUUGUAUUAUCGACAUUAGAUGCUCUUGUACUGGCUCUACCAGGUCAUCUGAUUAGUAUUCAUGUGUUGACUAUUUUAUCUAGUAGUACACUAUUUAUUUAUAACUUUUGUUCAUUGAGUUUAGCAUAUGUUGGUCAUGUCCUCCCAAAUUAACCCAUCACAUUAGCUCUAGGUUAGGGUUUGGCUUACCUACUGGCGGGAUUUAGUAGGUGCCGUCAUGACUUAUAAAUUGGGUCAUGACACACAGACUAUAGGAACUGAGUCAAGCUAAGGGCUCUUAAUACUAAUAUCACUAACAUAAUCUAGAUAAGUCAUACAAACCCUCGAUACCAUAUCCUAGAUUGAAUAUAAGAAAUAAUUCCUAUUGGUGCAUGACUAUAAGUACCCAGCCAUACAAUUGGGGGUAUAGCAAGCAUGGCUAAGGUAACAGUCUUGGCAAAGCAAUCAAAAAUCACGUGAUAUAGGGAUAGCCAGCCCAUACCCAAAAUCAUGUCAAAAUCAAUCAUGUCUAGCGUAAUAAGAUUGACCUGAGUGUGAUACUCUUGAACAAUCAUCAUACACGAUAUAUAAACCUGAUCCACUACUAAAGAAUCACCCACGAGAGUAGCCAUACAUAUGGAAACAUAUAACAAGUCAUAAAACAACACCAUCGAGAUUCAUAAUAAGUAGACACAUAUAAAUACAUGGAGCCUUGAUAAAAUAAAGUAGAAUUUGUCUAUGGCAUACAAAAAAUUAUACCUGUAAUAGCAACAUCUGAAGCCUCAACAUCCAACCUACUAGGAAAAUUAUAUUGAUGACCCUGCCCAUCACCAGAUUGUAUGCCUACCUAACCACCUAGCCUAACCCCAUGAGGACCUUCAUUACAACCCUAGAAACCACCCCAGCAACUCUAUGAACCACUCUUAGCUGGAGGUGAAACUGAUCUGAUCAGCAAAACACUCUAUACAGAUAUAAGAACCCGCAAAAUCUCAGUCAUUUUAGUCAUCUAUAGCAUACCAAAAGAGGUCCCAAACUUAGAAAAUUUUAGCUAAGUAUUGACACUUAGUCUCACUUUUGGCCUCAUCAUUUCAAUAACUUUAUUUUUUAUCCUUACGACCUUAAAAUGUCAAUAUUUUAAAUUGAUUCAUGUCAGGGAUGUCAAUAGGUGUUCUCGGAUGAGUUUAGAUUUUUUGGAUGCCAUUAGAAGUCUAUUUGGAUGUCCAAAAUAGUGGAUUGAUGCAAGCUCAUCACGCCGCGUCAUCCAUUGCGUCGACAGCAUCGUCACCCAUGUCAAGCAUGCAAUUUCCAGUGAGAUGAUAUGAUCUCGAUGCAUCGCGUCUACCCGUCGAUGGGGGGCAUCGAUCUGCGUAUCAUUAGGCACAAUUUUGCUCUUUUAAUUAUCCAUCUAGAGGGGUAAUUAAGUUAAUUUAUCCCCUUUUAUUUAGCAUUAAAACACAAAAUUAAGCCAUCAUAAGGGCAAAAUCACUCACUUUCUUUCAAAUCCUCUCAAGAACAAAACCCUAGGUCAUUCAAUUUCAAGUCCAAGCUUCAAGAACACACCAACAAUUCUCAUAAAUUCAAUAACCAAGGUAUAUUAGGUGUUUAUCCUUGGGGUUUUUUUCCACCCUUAGAGUUCAAGAACCCUUUUUAAACUACAAGUUUAUUGAUUUCAUGAUUUACAUGCUUGAAUUUAAUUGUGUUCAUGUGUGUAUUGAUGUUUGAUUUUCAAUUCAAGAUUCAUUACAAGUUUCAAGUGAAUUAAUUAGCAUGUAUGCAGAAUUAUGUGGUUCUCAUGUUAAACCCUUGAAUUUGCAAGUUGAAUAUUGAAGACAUGAUGUUUAUAUCUUGAUGAAUUCCAGUUGCAUUAAUUAUGCUCUCCAAGUAUUUGAUAAAAUGCCUAUGUGAAUUGAAUACUGAACUCAUGACAUGAUUUCAUGUGGUCCCAUUCAUGUACAAAUCCAUGACUCUCAAAUGUUUGACAAAAUGUCUAAAUGAAUGCAUGAUGAAUAAAUAAUUAAUGUAAUAUUUUCAAGAUGUUGCCAUGUCAAGUCAUUGAUUCUAUCGAGUCCUGGGGGUAUUCAAUAUCCGAAAAUAUAGCUAUUUACAUAGAAUUACAGUAUCUACAAAAUAGAUUAGUAAUGUCACAAAAAGUAGUGAUCAGUCAGUUACAGAACUCAAUGAACUCAUGUAACGCCCCGAAUUUGGUACCCUGAAGCUAUACAGUGCUCAUGAUCCCAAAAGACCACAAGCUAACUCAUGACUAAUAUCUGUACCUGAACACUGCAUAAAACACUGUAUAAAUACAGAAAUAGUAGGCUAUAACAUGCCAUAAGGUUCAAAAUUGAUGAACAUCUGAUAAAACCAUAUCUGAAUAAUGUGGUACGACAAUACCAAAACUGAAACAAUGUUUGAAAACAUUUGGUCUAAAAGCCUCUAAACUGUCUGAAUAAGGAGUUGAUGGAAUAUGUCCCCCAACUAACUCUAACUACUGAAAUAAACUAAGUAAUUAAGAAAUAAAGUAAUGUUCAUGUCCUCGAUGGAUGAGGACUCACUACUAACACUGACUGCUGAAAUUGGAAUACUACUAAUACUCUGGAGCUCUAUAAAACACCAUAGCAAAAAUGCAUCAGUACGAUUGAAUGUACUGGUAUGCAGGUGAGGUAGGCUGAAUGCAAAGGGUUUAAAUGCAUGAAUGAUGCUAAUUGACUGUAUAACAUAAACGCAAGAAUACAUGCAUGAAUAAGUGAUUGUGACUAAAUUUGUGAUGGUACUGACUAUUGAGCCUGAUUACUGAUAACAUGAGUCACUGAUAACUAAUAUAACUGAUACUGAGAGACUGUAUCUGAUAGUCUAGUUGCUGAUGGAACUAAUUGAGUUUCGUACUAUUCUGAGUUAACUAUAUCUGAUAGUCUUAAAAUUCUGAAGAACUAUUUGAGUUCUAUUACUGAGACUAAAACUGUAACUGUAGGAAGUAUUCAUCUAACCGACAUGCCCUAAAUAAAGCAAUAUAGCUAGGUUGGGGGUCCAAUUUGUAACCCUAAUUGGAAGGGUGUCAAUACCGCUCCACCAGUAAAGGUAAGUUGUGGGUGACCCUCAUCUAGUUGUGUCCCCAAUAGAGAAUGGUGAGACCCUCAUCUGGCAGUGUUAAUCUAUCUCAUCAACCCUCAGCUGUCAGUGUUGAUGUCUCAACUUAUCUGGCUAUAUAGUUUUGGAACGAAAGGAUGCUUCUAAGGGUCACACCCUCUACUGUCAGUGUGUUCCCUCAUACUUGGGUUCGCUCAUUGCUAAUUCCUACUUCUAACUGAAUAGACACUAAACUGAUUAUACUGAGAUAAAAUGGACUGAGUUCACUAAGUUUCGUGGACUGCCAGAAUAUUAUUGAAUUCUAUUAACUGACUGAGUUCAUGAGAUUACUGAGUUUUCCUAAGUCACGUAACUAUAAGUCACGUAACUAACUGAAUUCUAUUGAUCAUGGCGUGACUGAGAUUAUCAUGAAACUGACAUUGGCUCUAGGCACACAACUAUAGAAGGGAACUGACAAGACAGGACAUUCUUGAGUACAUGACCAACAUUAACAAUCCAUAAUACAAUAAGUUGGGAAUUUCAUGAAGUACAUGGUUAUCACAAACUUAUACAUGAAUAGGAUUGCAUGUAAACAUGGUAUAAUUUCAUAAGGCUAAUUCAUGAGCAAUCCAACAAACAUUUACAAGGCACAUUUAUAGCAUGGGAGUUCUUUGAACAUAAGAGUAAAACAUGAAUCCAUCACUUAAGUUACAAUUGAACUAUAUUACAUGAUUUUUCUAGUCUCUUAGGCAUUUUAUCAAACACCUUACAUGCACCACUUAGGGCAUAGAUAUAAUCAUCAACUAACACAUCAUAAACCACUCAAUUCAUGGAUUUAAACUCAUAUACUAACAUAAUUUCAUAAGAACACAUUAAGAUUCCAACUUGAGAAUCACACAACAACAACCACAUGAACAUAAUCAACACAUAGCAUGAAUAUCAUAAUUCAUAGUUUAAAACUUGAUUCUUGGGCUUCAUGGAUGAAAGGAAUCCAUAAAUGAACACUAUGCAUACCUGAGUUAAUGAAUUUGGAAGGAUUGAUGGAGAGUUCUUGUGCUUUGGCCCUUGAAUUUGAGAGCUAGGGUUAUUGUUCUUGAGUAGAGUUGAUUUUAAUUAGAGAGGCUAAUGCAAAAGUGAGCGAAUAAUGCACUCUUAGGUUAAAUCCCGUGAUUGGGCAAAAUUGAAGUUAUGGGAAAAGACCAAACGGCCCCUGGGAUUUAAUAUCACAAAAAUUGGAAAAUUUUCGAUUUUCAUCCUUGGCAUGACGUGCCACUAUCAUGAAAAGCCACUGGAACUAGACAAUUGGGAAUCUGCAUGGUGGCGCGACGUGGAGCUAUCGCUUUUUCACUUUGUUUGUGACCUGAAAGUUUGGCAUGACGCGGAGACAUCGCAUAGAUUCACUGGAAAAAAGACAAUUGUGAAUUGGGCCUUUGAUGUGACGCAUCACUAUCACGGAGUAACACUGGAAAUUGACAAUUGCCAUUUAAGCUGGCUUUGCAAUGCGCUGAUGGCUUAGGUGAUACACUGUCUCGCUAAAAAGCUCUAAUUUUUCGCUCGGGUGUCGGAUUUGGGCGAAUUUUGUAUCGAUGGAAAUCUUUUGUCAAUUUCCCACAUGAAAAAAGUAAAAAUAUUGAAAACACCAUAUGUAUAAAAGUGUAUUCAUCUUUAAAAAAAGUCUUUGACAUCUUUGGGAUGAAUUUAAGCUAGGUAGAAGUACGGGGUAUUACAACUCAGUCCAGCUCAGUUAGUCAACACGAUCAGUAAUAGUUCAGUCAAGCCUAGUACAAUCUAAUUAUCAGUUCAGUGUCUAGUCAGUUGGGAGUAGGAUUCAGCACCAAGCAAACCUAGGGAUGGGGGCUUAUCUUCCAGUUGAGGGUGUGAUCUUUCGUAGCAAUCCCAUAGUUCCAAAACUACGUAGCCAGCAUAGGUUCAGAUAUCAACCUGCCAGUUGAGGGUUGAUAAGGUGUUUACCUGUCAGUUAAGGGUAAUGUUGUUCUCGUCAAGGAACCUAACAGUAGAGGGUGACCCUUAGUCCUUCGGGAUAAUAUUUCAGUGGAUCCAUAUAGCCAGUGUCUGUAGCUGUGGAACGGUAUUGACACCCUUCCAACUGGGGUUAUAGGUUGGACCCCAAUCAGUUCAGAGAGGAGCAUUUCGAUUAGACUAUUACCUCCUAUAGUUACAGUUUCAAUCUCAGACUCAACAUAAAAUUCAGUUCAGUUCUACAGAAUUAGAACUGUCGGAAAUAGUCACUAAAUUAUCAGUAAUUAAAUUAUCAGUAAUCUCAGAUAUCGGUCAUUCAGUUAUCAUAACUCAAUAUUCAGUUCCAGUAUAAUCUCAGUUAUAUUAUAUUUAUAUGCACAAUCUUGCAUAAUCAGUAUUUACAACAUUUUUAGUUAUCCAUGUACUCUCAUUCAGUCAUAUACAUAUUAUUCAGUCAGUUAUUAUUCAUGCAUAUGAAUCCCAUAUACUUUAGCCUACCUGACUUAGCAUAUUAGUAUAUUCUACAUACUGAUCGCAUACUCUUUUCUUGCUUUAUGAUGUCUCAUAACAUAGGUUCAGACGCUCAGGUUCCUGACCACGUUUAGCCAAAUUUAGUUAGCAAAAACAGAUUUAGUAGUGAGACCUCAUCCAUCAAGGAUAGAAUUUAUUUCAGUAUUAUAGUAGAUUCAGUAUUCUAUUUAUUUGAGUUAGUUGGGGGAUUUCCCAUCAAUUCCACAUUCAGACAGUUCAGUAGAGGCUUUUCAUACUAGACUAGUUUAGAUAGUAUUCAGAUUUCAGGUGUUAUUAUCAGUUGUUAUAUUUAUCAGUAUUCAGAUUAUGAACCUUAUGGUAUUUUAGCCUAACUUCUACAUUAUUUCAGUAUUAUUAUUCAGUGCUCACAGCAGUUACCAGUCAUGGGUUAGCUUAUAAUUCUUUGAGGUCAUAACUACCGUGUGACAUCCAAGAUGCAGACUCGGAGCAUUACAAUAGAAGGCUCAAGCAUCCCCCGAUGGGGAAACUCUUGGGAACUCUAAACUGACGAGAAGUCCUCGCUUAGCUAGAAUAGUUUCCUCAGCCUAAAGACCCGAUCUGAACACCUCUCGAUUAUUGACUACUGCCCUGCUACUAAAAUCACUAUAACUAGGUUGGCCCCAUUUUAAAUCUGAAGCGUUGCCAAAACAUGCCUACUAGAUUGACCUUUAUGAUGAUAUGGAUGCUAUUGAGUAUACUAUCUUUGAAAAUUUCUACCCUUAGACCUAGCACCACUAUACCUCCUAUUGUGUUUUCAUACAAAGAAGUAGACAACAAGACAGAAUUUUGACCCGACCAUUAUUCACAGGGAAAAAAUAAAAGGAAGAAGGACGACCGAGUUGGAGAGUUGAGUGAGGUCCCUUCGAGGCUCCGGUCCACGACUCUAUCAUUACAUCAAAAAUGAAAAUUACAAGUUAAAAGAUAAAUAAAAUUACAAAAAUCCCAUCUAUAUAGCUUUUGUUAGACUCCUGACUUAAGUUUCAUCACCCUAUUCUUCAGGCGGGCUCUUGACUUGCAAUUUCUUCAACUUGUUGCUUGGUUUUCCAAUGCUUCACCUUAUUGCUUAACUUUCAAUUUCUUUACCCUUUUCUUCAGGAGGGCUCCUGACUUGCUAUUUUUUAAUCCGUUAACUUUCAUCUUUUCAACUUGUUGCUUUGUUUUCAACUUCUUCAGCUUGUUACUUGAUUUUUCAUUUAUUGGCCCUGUUCUUCAGGUGAGCGCCUGAAAUCACAUCAAAACUAAAAGAAAAUUAUCCCAAACAAGAACUAUUAUAAAGAGAAAUUUCAUUUGCCAGAAAAGUAAAGUUCAAAAAAAAGAAGUAAAUUUUUUCCCCAGUUUAUUAUCAGAAGAAUUUUGGGAAAGUCACAUCAUACCUACUUGCAUGUUGUAAUGAUGAAUCAAGACUCUGACCAAGAAAUGCAUCUCUUGAGAGUAAAAUUAAAUAACCAAGCCUAGGAAGUGCGUCUCUAAGAAUUAAAGUGAGGGAUUCUAACUAGAAAGUGUGUCUUCUAAAGAUACAAGUUUUAGUUAAAAAGUGUGUCACCUAACAAAUGAAAACUAGCAAGAAAGUGCGUCUCCAAAGGAUUAAGUGAAAUAACUUGACUAGAAAGUGCAUUUUCUAGAAAUCAAGGGGACUACUAGGAAGUGCACUACCCAAAAGCAAAGUUCGAAUUACCCAAUCAAAGAAAUGUAUCUCCUUACCAAGAUUGCUUGAAUUAUCAAAACAAGGAAGUGGAUCUCCUUACCAAUGCCACUUGAAUUACCAAACCAAGGAAGUGCGUCUUCUUACCAAUGUCGCUUAAAUUACUCAAACAAGGAAGUGCGUAUCCUCGCAAAUGUUUCUUGAAUUAACCAAAUAAGGAAGUGCAUCUCCUUACAAAUGUUGCUUGAAUUGCCCAAGCAAGGAAGUGCAUCUCCAAUGUUGCUUGAAUUACCAAAAUAAAAAAAUGCUUCUCCUUAUGAUAGCUCUUGAAUUACCGAAAUAAGGAAGUGUGUCUCCUUACAAAUGUUGCUUGAAUUGUCCAAACAAGGAAGUGCGUCCCCUUACAAAUGUUGCUGGAAUUACCCAAACGAGGAAGAGUGUCUCCUUACAAAUGCCAAUCGAAUUACCAAACAAGGAAGUGCGUCUCCUUACAAAUAUUUCUUGAAUUAUCAAACAAGGAAGUGCAUCUCCUUACAAAUGUUGCUUAAAUUUCCUACGCAAGGAAGUGCGUCUCCUUACAAAUGUUGCUGGAAUUACCCGAACAAGGAAGUGCAUCUCCUUACAAAUGCCGAUUGAAUUACCAAACAAGGAAGUGUGUCUCCUUUGGAAGUGCGUCUCCUUAUGAUAGCGCUUGAAUUACCAAAAUAAGAAAGUUUGUCUCCUUACAAAUGUUGCUUGAAUGGUCCAAACAGGGAAGUGCGUCCCCUUACAAAUGUUGCUAGAAUUAUCCAAACAAGGAAGUGCGUCUCCUUGCAAAUGUUGCUGGAAUUACCUGAACAAGGAAGUACGUCUCCUUACAAAUGCCAAUCAAAUUACCAAACAAGGAAGUGCGUCUCUUUACAAAUGUUGCUUGAAUUAUAAAACAAGGAAGUGCAUCUCCUUACAAAUGUUGCUUGAAUUUCCCACACAAGGAAGUGCAUCUCCUUACAAAUACCGCUUGAAUUACCAAAUAAGAAAGUAUGUUUCCUCACAAAUGUUGCUGGAUUUACCAAAUAAGGAAGUGUAUUUUCUUACAAAUAUUGCUGGAAUUACCCAAAUAAGGAAGUGCGUCUCUUUACAAAUGUUGCUAGAAUUACCAAAACAAAGAAGUCCGUCUCCUUACAAAUGCCGCUUGAAUUACCAUGGGUUUGAAUAUCAAAUAUGUCCAGCAACAUUGUCUCUUGCAUUCGUAGAAGUGAUAAUAUUACGGCUCUUGAUGUUUAGGCUUUGAAAUCCUUGAUUUGAAGGUAGCAUGUGUUCCUAUUUCAUACAAAGAAAACUUGUUAGUUUAAAAACAUGGUGGUUCGUUUGUGGCUUAGCUUUCACAGCAAUCUCUUUUGCCCCCGUCACAUUUAACCUUGCUUCUAACCAUUAACAUAGGUCGUUGACUUGCUACAUCAUUGAUUCAAACUCAUAUUAUUAAGAGUGACUCUGAAACAAACACAAUAUCUUUGCUUUGCCAUGCUCCUCAAAUAAACCCUUUGAACCUUGGUAUUUUCAUGAAUUCCCAGACUUGUUUGUUGAUAAAAUUUGUAUGCCUUAUUUUGGCUAACAAUCAUGUCUCUUUUAUGUGCUGACUUUUGUCUUGCUUUGUGCAAUUGGAGAAGCUGGUAGCAGUUUUGAAAUAUUUCCUCACUUGUUUUGACAAGGACUUGACUCAAAGACAAGAAAAAAAAUGAUAGUGAUUUUUAUUUGGACAACUGACCCAAGAAAAAUAAAAAUAAAACAAUAAAAAUAUAAAGAAGAAAGAAAAGACAAUGAAUGUCCCCAUUUGAAACAAAGAAACAAAAAUUUUUUACUAAAAAUGACUGUCAACUCUAAUGUUAUGCCAUGCAUUUUGGAUUAAUCUGCCUAAUCUAUCCAUCCACACCUUCCACCAGUUGUUGUUGGGUUAAUGGCCUUGAAACUGAGUUACUUCCUUGGGCCAAUUACAUUCGGAGACCUCAUUCAGCUAGUGGCACCUUGAAGGGUUUUCGCCAACAAACCUCUCUUAUUUUUCUCUCAGCUCACCAUCGUUUUAUUGUACCCAUAAGGGUUUUCACCGAGAAGACUCUCUCAUUUUUAUUUCUCUCAACUUACCAUCGCCUUACGGUGCCCAUGAGGGUUUUCACCAAUAAGACUCUUAUUUUUAUUUCUCUCUUGAUUUCUUGUGCUGAGAAAGACAGGUAGUUCCCAAAUAUAUCAUCAUAUCCCUUGCAUGCUUUGCCUUAACAUCCCUAAAGAUUGAUAAAUGUCUUUCUUUGGUUGUAACUUGGCUUUUGGAUAGGGUUAGAAAGAAAGGAUGACAUGACGCCCAAACGACACUUGAAGUGGGUUAGGACAUACAACUUUUGGAAUCAACUCAAACAAUGAGGAUUAACUCAUGCCCCAAUUUCUUUUGACUGGGCAAUUCUAAAUUAUUUAUUUGGUUGGACCGAGCCCAGAGUAGGGUAGCCUAUGUAUCUCACCCCCGAGAAGGGAGAAUCAGGUCACGCGUAGUUCUGGCAUCUUGUUCUUUCACUUGAUUCCAAUUUUUUUCUUUUAUUGACUCUUUUAUCUUUGGAUUUUUUUGUCUCUAUUUGUCUUGACACAUUUUUUCUUUUUGGACAUAUUUUUUUCCUUCUCUUUUUUUUUUUGAACUUUUUCUGAAUUUAUUAUUUUGCUAAACACUUUUCUUUUGAGCUUUACUGACUAUAUUGAUUCCAAAAGAGGGGUAUGAAGUAAAAUAGGACUGAAGCUCAAAUGGGGUAAACAAAGUAUGACACGAUGUUUGGAUAGCAAAAUGAAAUGUUUUCAUCAUAUCAAUCCUUGAAAAUGCAAGCACAUAUCAUGUAAUAUGAAAGUGAGAGAUGAAGAUCAUUUGCGACAUCUUUUUAAGCAGAUUGAGUCUGUGCGUCACUACUUCUUCUACAAACUCUUCCUUUGUUGUACAUUCCUCACAUCAAAUGACUCAUGCUUUCGUGGAGAUGCUUAUCUUCUUGUUUCUCUUGAUAUAGGGAUCACACGUCUACUAUUUAACCUAAUUGGGACUUGCCUUUCGAUCGAUGACCAAGUUGUUUUUGUGAUUCUCAAAAUAAUUGCCUUAACUUAUCACCAAAUGUCUCAGCACUCUAUCUAUUUUCUCAUAUGCUCUCUUUUUCUAACUUUAACCCCCUGAUUCAAUGUUCNNNNNNNNNNNNNNNNNNNNNNNNNNNNNNNNNNNNNNNNNNNNNNNNNNNNNNNNNNNNNNNNNNNNNNNNNNNNNNNNNNNNNNNNNNNNNNNNNNNNNNNNNNNNNNNNNNNNNNNNNNNNNNNNNNNNNNNNNNNNNNNNNNNNNNNNNNNNNNNNNNNNNNNNNNNNNNNNNNNNNNNNNNNNNNNNNNNNNNNNNNNNNNNNNNNNNNNNNNNNNNNNNNNNNNNNNNNNNNNNNNNNNNNNNNNNNNNNNNNNNNNNNNNNNNNNNNNNNNNNNNNNNNNNNNNNNNNNNNNNNNNNNNNNNNNNNNNNNNNNNNNNNNNNNNNNNNNNNNNNNNNNNNNNNNNNNNNNNNNNNNNNNNNNNNNNNNNNNAAAGGAGUGAUCAUGCCCUGCUGUACCAAUCUUUGGAAUAAACUUGCAUACGACUCUUUAAUGGGUGUGAAGCUAUCCCUCGACUUCUGUCUCAUUUCAUUAUUUGGCUUAAAUUGAAAAACAAGCCUAGAAGGGCUUCGGUAUGUAUGUGGAGUUGGAGGAUAACUCGGCAGAGUUGGCGUGCGCCAGUGUGGGUAAGAUGGGGGUUGAAUAUAUGGUUGUGCAUUAUACACUUGAUAUGGAGAUGGGGGAAUGGAAUAUAAUGAAUUUUGGGAAGGAUUCUGUGGAACUUGGCCAUAAACUUGGGUUUGAGCCCGUGGGUAACGAUGGUAUGGUCCUCUUGCCCGUGCCUAUUGUCCAACUAUAAUAGCAGAUGCAUCUUCCUCAUUUUUAUUUCCUCCAACACUUCCCAAACCUUUUUGAAUUGCUUGAGUAGCCGCUUUCAAUGUUGAAAAACUCACAAUGCGAUCAGUCUUAAUUCCAUUCUCUAUCAUCUCCCCUAUUUUGAGGACCUCAAUAAAUGGCUUGCCUAAUGUAGGUAAAAAAUAUUGAUAAUAUUUUUCAUCUUGCGCUUGAAUAAACACCUCCACUAUCUUGCUUCCUUUCAUUGGUGGUUUUACUCUAGCAGCUUGUUCGCGCCAUCUGAUCGCAUACUCCCUGAAACUCUCAGUAUUCUUUUUUUUAUAUCAGUUAGGGAUUUUUCGUCAGGUAUCAACUCCACAUUGUAUUGAAACUGUUGCACAAAUCCAUUAGCUAGGUCAUCCCAACUAAUCCACUUAUCAAUGUCUUGGUCAACAAAUCAUUUUGAAGCUAGACCUGAAAGACUCUAACCAAAAUAAGCCAUGAGUAGUUCUUCCUUCCCUCUAGCGCACCUUAGCUGGUUAUAAUAGCUUCUCAAAUAUGCUAUAGGAUCACCAUGUCCAUCAUACUUCUCAAACUUUGGCAUUUUAAAAUCAUAAGGAAGAUGUACAGCUGGAAACAUGCACAGAUUUUUAUAUGAGACACUUUUGCACCCCCCAAGUCCUUGUAAGUUUUUCAUAGUCAGUUCCAAAUUUCUCAAUUUUCUGGCUAUUUCCUCUUGUUCUUCUGUCAUAAUAGGCUUCUCAGUAUUUGGAGGAAAUUCAGGAAGUUGAGGGCAGUCAUAAGGACCAGUCAACUUAAAUAUGGACUCUAAAGCGUAAUGCUGAUUGCUAAAAAUAUUCAAUACAGGGUCGCUCGUAGAGUGAGGAAUCACAACCGUUGUAUUGACAUUAAAAGCAGGAGAUUCAGAUGGGAGUGGGGCUGUAAAAGCAUGAAUAACAGCUGGAGUCGAGUAUAUGGUAGUCUUGGAUUGGGGAGUGAGGAAAUGAACCUUGGAAGUGGUUGAAUAUUGUUGCCCCGGAGUCGAUCCUGAUGCAUGUUGUGGCAUAUCAACAAAAAUGGAAAAUUGUGCAUGUGACACAGGAGGCAAGCUAGAAAGAUAUUCUAGAUUAUCAGUGGGAACUGGAGGAGGCGGCAACCCAUUGCCCAAGCUCGAUGCAUUUUUAUUAUUUGCCGCCUUAAUUUCUGAAUCUCUUCAUUAUCUCCUACAUUCUCAUUCCCCGAACUCCCUGUCUGACUAGUGACAAUUAACUCGGUAUCCUUGUUGGCCAUAACUUCCUCUGUGACUUGGAGCAAUAUGGAGGACCAGCCAAAAUGCCACAAACCAACCACCUUAAACUAACUGGACAAGAGAUAACAAAUGGUUAGAGUUCAACAGUUUUUCAAAACCUCUUUUUUUUUAUUGAAAAGAUCACAGAACCCAAGAAGGGCGCCUACGUAUCUCACUCCCGAGAGAGGAGAAUCAGGUGUGCGUAGUUCGUGAAGUCUUGCCAAAAUGGCCGAUUAAACUCUUUUUCUUUCUUUUUCUUUUUCUUGAAACUUUAAAAAGAAAAGAAAAAUAAAAAUUUGUCAAAAGAAAUGAUGAAAAUAUUUUUGAAUUCUUCGGCUUUAAUAUCCCUAUACAAAAUGAAACCUAUGAUUACCAAAGAAAAUCUUUUUGGGUUUUGAUUUUGAAUUUCAUAUGAAAACAAAACUUGAACCAAUUAAAUGAAAAAUCUUUUUUGAAGUUUUCUUUUAAAGACGUAUAUGAAACGCCUACUCUAAAUGGAGAGUGAAGAAAUAUUUUUGAAUUUUUCAAAUAAGAUCUCCGAACCAAUAAUAGGUUGCCUACGUAUCUCACUCCCGAAAGAGAAGAAUCAGGGGUGCGUAGUUCGUCCAGAUUGAACAAUUAAUGAUUAAAUAACAGAUGACACCCUGACUUGAGACACGACCAAAGACACAUGAUGAACAACAUAACAAAGUCUUUUAUUUUUGAGUUUUUAAUUUGACAAUUUACAUAAAAAAAAAUAACACCAACAACUAUGAAAGAAAAAAUCUUUUUGGUAUUUUCGUUAAAUGAAAUGUACAAAACUUCUACCACCUUUUUUUGAAUUUUUCUUUUAUAAAAAGCCUCUAAAAAAAAUAUUUUUGGAGUUUUCGAAUUGAGAAAGCUUGCUAAAGGAAACAAAAGGAAAUUUUUUUUUUAUUUUUUUCUUUUUUUUGAAUUUUUGAAUCGUGGAAAACAAAAGCCAUAAAGAACCUAAAAACUACGAAACUCUUCUUUGAUUCACCUUUCUUUUCUUUUUUUUUCUUUUUUUUCCAAGCACACCUUACUUCUAACACAUGCUUUCCCCGAAUCAAUCCAUCAAAUGACCACAUUACCCUCAAAGAUGCAACAUUUAGCACAUGGAGAUACUUUAAAGGUAAGUGUCCUACAAAGAACCGUGUGGGCCCUACUAGGUAUCAAUAUGAUGCACAUAAGAAUGACCUAAAGGCUGACCUACGUUGUGGUUUCCUAACAAGGCCGUUCGAGGGAGCAUAUGGUCGAUAAUGGCUGCUUUGAUUUCCACCUACUCCAUACAUCCAACGGCUUCCCCCCUAAAAUAAGGGUGACUCAACUAGAGUUCGUGCGCACGACGUGCACUCCGGGACUUAUUGCAGAAAGAAUUGACUAGGGUUAUGCAAAUGAUGCCAGAUAUAAAGUGGUAACACAUAAAGAAAAAAACAGUAAACAAAGAUCACAAAAACUCACAACAGUGAUAACAAUAACACAAACAAUAAUCACAAACAAUGUUUAUACACCCAUAAUGCCAAACAAAGCCAAAACGACUCCAAAAAAUAAGCCCAAAUAUUGAAAAGUCCCCAGCAGAGUUGCCAGAUUUGUCACACCUCUUUUUCAACAUCCAAAAGAUCAUAUUUUAGUUUUGAAAGGGUUUUAUUAUUAAGGUGACAAAAAUAAAAAAAAAUUGUUUUGAAAAAAAGGAUUAUUUACAUUAUUUUUUCUUAUUCAGAGUCGCCACUUGGAAUAAUCUGAUGUGCCAAGUCACCUUUGGAAAAUCCUUUUCGAAACGGUUUGACUCUAAAAAACUGAUCCGCGAACAGAGAUUCCGGCUAAGGAAUUUUGUUGACCGAGGAGAAGGUGUUAGGCAACCCUCAAUCCCGUGGUUCGACCACAAUCGCUUGGCGGAGCGUAUUGGCUAAUUUGACAUUAAAAAUGUACAAACCACAUAAACACACAAAACAAGCAAACAAACAAAUCACACGAAAUUCAAAACAAACAAAAAUAAUGUUCAGUCCAAAUUAUACAAUCCAAAAUAAAAGAGGUGCUGAAAUAUAAAACCUAUUCUAUUCUAAACUAAUCCUAAACUAAACUUCACCCGACGUUCCGGGCCUUGAUCACAAGCCUCAUUUGCGUAAAUGCUACUUCGGGGCAUUCCCCGGAUAAAUCAAUACAAAUCUUUUGAGGCAUUCCCCGGCCAAAUGAGUAAAAUUUAAACUUUUCGUGCAAUAAAGUAGAAAGUAUCAUUCACGCACAUAUUCAAACAUUCCAACAAAUCGUUAUUCUUAAAUUUGCCUACCCGGCCUACGUUUUCCUACCAAGUUCAACGUAUCACAAUUCUAUCAUGUUCAAUAUUAUCAAUACAUCAAAAUUAAUCAAUAUUCAUUUUUUCUCCAUUUUUAAUCCCCACCCUAAUUCAUUCUCAACCACGUGAUUAACCCAUUUCAAUACACAAUCCACCAAUUGAGAAUAAAGAAAAUUCACCAAUCAUGCUUAGCACAUCACACACCCCAAUGUCACCAACAGUUCACAUCAACAAAUAAACCACAGUAUUGAAUCACACGUAAUCACAAUCACAUAAGAAUUAAAUGAAAGAGAAGAAAGAAUUGGACCUUAAAUUUAAAGCUUUCAAACUCAAUGUUAUUCGAAUAAAGAGAGUCCUCACCCGAAAACCUCAAGCCAAACCUUAACACCAACAAUCCAACUCGACAAAUAAUGACCCGUUCACCAUCACUUUUCACGCUGCUACUGUUCACCGGUUACUGUUCACCGGCGCCUUUUUUGUUGUUGUUGUUGUUGUUCUUGUGAUUAAGAUUAUUUUAUGAUAGUUGUUAUUGUGGAGAAGAUGAUGAUCAAAGAAUGAGCCUCCUUUUUCCCUCUUAGAAUUUUUCUUUUAUAAUGGGCAUGGAUAUGUUAUGAUGUGAGAAUUUUGGUGGGUCCCCCAUAUAUUCUUUCUUUGUGUACAAGAAAAAGGAGGGGGGGAUCACAUGGGUAGUUAGGGUGGUAAUGGUGAUGUGUUAUUUUUAAUAGGGAGGGGUUGUUAGAAUAAGAUAAAAUUAGUUAGGAAUUGUUAUUUUUGUUUUUUUGUGAAGGGGUUAUCACACGGGUGAGGGCACACACUAAGUCGAGGGUAAAAUGGUAAGAAUGCUUUCGGGAAGGGACAAAAUUAUGUGUCUACAAUGUAUCAUGUAUCUUUUGAUUACAUAUAGUUGUCCUUUUUGUAUAUACAAAUGCAUAUUCAAAUGUAUUUUCUCUACGGUGUUGGAUUUAUCUUUGAAUUGUUCUAUGUCAUUUUAGCAGGUAACAUGUAUACUUAUUUGUAUUCUUUGCUGUUUAAAGUUCCUAUAUGUUUAUAUAUACAUAUAAGUCAGAUAUGUAUUUUUGUAAAUACAUAUGCAAAUAUAUAUGUAUGUUUUGUACUGUAAAUACAUACGCAGAUGUGUAUGUCUAUAUAUUUUAUAUAUUUUUUGAAUAUGUAUGUGUGAUAUAAAUAUGUAUAUUUUAAAAAUAAAAGCAAGAGAUAACAACAACAACAACAGUCCCAAUGUAUUCCCACAAAGUGAGGUUUGGGGAGGGUAAGAUGUAUGCAAAACAUACCGCUACCUCCGCAGAAGUAGAGAGGUUGUUUCCAAUAGACCCUCGGCUUAAGAUAGAGAAUAGUACACAAAGAUCGUAAUGAAACAUGAAACAUGAUGUAUGGCAUAAACGAAAUAAGAAAUAAAAAAUAAACAUAAGAUAAAAAAUAGAUAUCAAAGAGAUACGAAAAUAAGCAAACUACUAGCAAUUCAAAAUAAGAAAUAAGAGAGAGGACAUCUACCUAGUAGUAACAUACACUCACAGACCAAAGACACCCACUACACCCAAACUCUACAGACUAGAUGCACCUACUCAAGGACACGGUCCUAUGAUUACUAACCCGGUUACACAAGCGCUCUCAUACCAACUUUCUAUAACCCACACAUUCACACUAGCCUUCUACCCUAAUCCACGACCUCUACACCUUUAUGUCUAGGGUCAUAUCCUUAGUAAGCUGUAGCUGCUUCAUGUCAUGUAUAAUCACCUUCCUCCAGUAUUUCUUUGGCCUACCUCUACUCCUUUUGAAAAUAUCCAAAGCUAGCCUCUCACACCUCCGAAUUGGGGCAUUCGUGCCCCUCCUCAUCACAUGCCCAAACCAUCUCAACCUUUUUUCUCGCAUUUUGUCCUCUAUCGAUGCCACUCUCAUUCCUAACUCUAUCUCUUAUAGUAAGUCUACAUAUCAAGUGCAAUAUUUUUAUUUCUACCACCUUUAAUCUUUAAAUGUGAGAGUUCUUAACUGGUCAACACUCCGCUCCUUACAGUAUGACCGGACAAACUACCACUUUGUAGAAUUUUUCUUUAAGCUUAAGGGGCACCUUCUUAUCACAAAACACUCCCAAGAUGAGCCUCCACUUCAUCCAACCUGCUCUAAUACAUUUAGAGACAUCUUUGUUAAUCUCAUCAUUCCUUUGAAUUAUAGACCCCAGAUACUUAAAACUAUCCCUUUUACAAAUAUCCUGGGAAUCCAACCUCACCACCACUUCGUCCUCCUGACUCGAGUUACUAAACUUUCACUCUAAAUACUCAAUCUUGGACCUACUCAACCUGAACCCCUUAGAUUCAAGGGUUUUCCUCCAAACCUCCAAUUAUCAUUCACACCUCCCUGUGUCUCAUCAAUCAAUACUACAUCAUCCGCAAGUAACACACAUCAAGGUACCUCUCCUUGGAUACUCCGCGUCAACACGUCCAUUACCAACGCAAAAAGGAACGGGCUAAGAGUUGAUCCCUGAUGCAAACCUAUCUCGACCGAAAAAUGCCUCGAGUCUUUUGCCGCAUCCUCACUCGGAUCUUUCCUCCCUCGUACAUGUCCUUAAUAGAUCUGACGUAUGCCACCGGAACUUUUCACUCAUAUCCAAGCAUCUCCAAAGAACCUCAUUCGGGACUUUGUCAUACGCUUUCUCCAGGUCGAUGAACACCAUAUGCAAGUCCCUCUUCCUUUCUCUAUACUUCUCCACCAAUAUAUAUUCUCACCAUGUGGAUUACUUUUGUCAUCGAGCGACCCGACAUAAAACUAAAUUGAUUCUCCGAAAUGGACACGACCCUCCUCAAUCUUCACUCAACCACCCUCUCCCAAAUCUUCAUAGUGUGACUUAACAGUUUAAUACCCCUAUAGUUGUUGCAACUCUGAAUGUCACCAAAGCAAGAGAUAAAAGAGUAAAAAAAAAAUAAAAAAAUAAAAAUAGAGAAAGAAAAAAAUAAAAAAAAUAAAAAUCCAAAGAAAAAGAAGUGAAAAACAAAAAAAAAAACAAAAAAAUAAGAAAGAUAAAUAAAAGCUACAAAUAUAAGUGUAAAAAUAAAAUAAAAAAGAAAAAAUAAAAAUAGAAAAAAAAGAAGAAGAAAAUGAAAAUAGAAAAAGAAAAAAAAAUGAGAAAGUGGAAAAGAAAAAAAUGAAAAAUGAUUUAAAAAAAAAAAGAAAAAAAAAAGAGAAAUAGAAGAGUGAAAAUAAAGUGGAAAGAAAAAAUAAAAGAAGUAAAAAUUUUAAAAAUAAAUGAAAAUAGGAAAAGAAAAAAAAAUAUGAGAUAAGAGGAAAAAAGGAAACGAAAAAGAAAAAAAUUAAAAAUGAUUAAAAAAAAAAGAGAAAUAGAAGAGUCAUAUAUAAGGAAAAUAAAUCUUUAUAAUUAAAAGUAACAUGAAUUAAGAGGCGGUUACUUCCCUUAUUUAACUCUAACUGAUGAGAGUUAAAAUAGGAACAACUAUUCAAUUUAUAUAUGUAUUUACAUAACAACAUUUACUUAAAUACAAAAGAAAUAAGAAAAUAAAAAUAUAAAAAGAAGAAGAGGAAAAUGAAAAUAGGAAAAGAACAAAAAAUAUGAGAAAGACAAUAAAUAAGAAAGCAGAAAAGAAAAAAAAUAAGGAACAAAACAAAAAAGAAUAUAAAAGAUGAGAAAUAGAAGAGUGAAAAUAAAGUGGAAAGAAAAAAAGAAAAAAAAAGAAAUCAAAAUAAAAAAAUAAAACGAUAAACAAAUAAACGAAAAUAGGAAAAGAAAAAAAUAUGUGAAUGAAAAUAAAUAAGAAAACGAAAAAUAAAAAAAAAAAAGAAAAAAAGAAAAUGGAUAAAAAAGAAGAUAAAUAGAAGAGUCAUAUAAGAAAAAUGAAAAGUACCUUGAAUUAAGGACGAUUGGUUCCCUUAUUUAACUCUAAUUGAUGGGAGUAAAAAUACAAACUGCUAUUCAAUCUGUAUAUACAUUUAUACAGCAAUAUUUAACUUAAAUACAAAAUACAAUUUGUUAUUUUUUGUAAUUAUGAAACAGUUAUUAUAAAAGUUAUAACUAUAACUAUUAAGUUGCUAUUUUGAAAUUUUUCCAUUAUUUAUAUCAAAUAUUUAUAUUUGAGUCUAUAUGCAAUUGCAAAACUGAGAAAAUAUUGAAAUACAGCUACAAAGUGAUAAUUCAAGUUGUAGAAGAAUUAUAACCCGAAUGAAACAAGUAAUUGUUGGAGAGAUAUACAUUAAGGACAUUCAAUCCUACCUAUUGUUGAGACUUCCAACAAAUUAAUUACAGGUAAAUCUCAAACAAAAAAAGAAUUUUGGAAAAAGAUUAGAAUCAAAUUUUGUACUCCAUCUAGUGCAUAUAUGCCGGACUCAAAUAAAAACUCAAUAUCUAGAAUCAAGUAACAAUAUCCUAGUGAUAUAAUUCAUCUCAAGUCCAUCUAGUUGUUAAUGUAAGAAUAAUCCUUGUGUCUCAAGCUUAUUUGUGGCUCAAGUUUACUUGUUAACCAAUAUACUUGUGAGUCACUCAAUUAAUGUCCAUAAUUAAACAAUAAAUUUUGUAUGUUGAUUGGGUCCUCGAUGGACGUAUCAAAUUUAUUCUUAAUCUCUAUAAAUUUAUCCUUCCUUCACCCAUUGUUAUUAUUUACACUCCUCUUUUCCAUUAUCAAGCCUGUGGUAAUGGAGUGUUUGGAUUGAGAUCAAUAUACUAAAUACAUUGUAGUUGGAUAACUUACCAAAGAAAGGAGAAUUUUUCUUUUCGUGUGCUUAUUUUUAAUUUGAGCAAAGUAAAUGGGGACAUUCUCAAGAAUUUUGUUUUAUCCCUGAUUUUUUGGGUUAUCAUGUAAGUAAUAAAUUACAUGUGAGAUCUCUUACAACUACUUAGGGAUGAUAGGAAAUAAAGGAUCACCAAGUUUAUUGACAUUUUGAUAAAUGAUAAAAAGAAAGAUAUCUCUAUUGUCACUUCAAAACACGUGUCCUAAUAAAUUGGACAGUUAGUGAAUUUUCUACCAAAAAAUAAAAGUAAAUGAAUUGUCUGGUGACCGAACUGUCAGCCUUAAUAAGUCACAAAUAACUUCGUGUUGCCGUAGGAAAAGCAAGUGUCCGACAACGAAAGCACUAACCCUUAAUUACAUAAUUCUAAAAUAAAAAUUAGAAAUUGAAUUAAUUAUAAGAUCAAUUAGUCUUUUUUAGAAAAUGGUAUGUCGCCACUCGGACUCGAACCGAGAUGCAUUAGCUCCAUCACUAGGGCCGUGGUAACGUAAGGUUAGGGCAAAAAGGUAGAAACUUCUGUUCAAAAAAGAGGUAGAAGUUAAUUUUCUACUAAUGCUUCCGCCUUCUGCUAUUCUCUGUGAUGAUAUUUUUCACGUCAGGUAUAUUUUUUUUUUUGUUAUGAUGUGGCUACGUAAAAUUAGUUCAGAAUUUAGAUGUGCAUAAGUGUAAAGCUUAUAUGUGGCGUCCAAGCCCAGAUUAUGUGAAUUGAUAAUCUUCGAUGAAGAAAGAUUUUACUGUUUUGAUGUUCCAAUAGAUUUGCCUUGUGAUUGAAUUUAUUUAAUUACUAUGAAAGAAAAAAACAAGUACUCCUAUAUGAUAAUGGUUACCACGACCACUACUGUAGAUUUAUUUCUUUGCAAUCUAAACAAGGCCUAAAGCACUAUGGUUGCCAGCAUAUUGUUUAUGUCUCGAAUUUGUUAAAUUGGGAUAUUUGGGAUUAGCUUUUUCAGCCACUAAGACACCGCAUCAGAUAACAAUUUUUAUGCUAAGGGUAUUUGGACUUAAGUACAAAGUGCUAUUGGUGAACUUUAUUUUGCACAAAUUUGAUGAUUACAGUUUAUUAAGUUUCCCAAAAUCUAAUAAUUAUGUUUUAAUUUAUAUUGUGUAAUAAAGUGGUGGUUACAUUAGGGAAUAAGUGGUAUGUGAGUAUUUAGUGUUACAUAGUUUGAUGGUUAUACCAGAGUGGUCAAAUAAGAAAAAUUUAAUGUUUACAAACAUAAAAUUUAUGACCAGUUGAUGCAUGUAUUAUGUUUCUAAAGUUUGCUAAUCAUCAAAGUGGUCAAAUUAAAAUGUCUAAAUUUAUUCACAUGUAUAAAAUUUUAUGAAAUUUACAUGUGUGUUUGUAUUCAUAUAGUUUGUUACUCAUUAAAGUGGUCAAACUAGUAUGAUUAAAAAAAUAUGCAUACAUAAAAUUAUUAUUUAUUCAUGAAAUUAAUGAAAUGCCUAUUAUUCGAAAGGAAAAAUUUCAAAAGUAGCAAUUUAAUAGCUAUAAUUAUAACUUUUAUAGCAAUUGUUUCACAAUUACGAAAAAUAUCAAGUUGUAUUUUGUAUUUAAAUAAAAUAUUGCUAUAUAAAUACAUAUACAAAUUAAAUAAUAGUUCCUAUUUUACUCCAAGCAGUUAGAGUUAAAUAAGAGAAGUAACCAGGCUUUGGACCAUAGGUGCAAAAAGACUUUUAAAAUGAGAUGUGGGUGAUACAAGUCUUAAUUAUUGAGUGAAGAUAACAAUUACUUUAUUAUGGAUUAAGAAAGUUAGAGAAGUUUGAAAAUAUCCCUCAAGUGUUUAAAUUUACACUUUGAUCUCAAUAUUUACCUAAUAUAACGGAAAACGGAGGGGAAAAAAUACACCUUUCUCUCUCUUCUCAUCCAUUGUUGUUUUCUCUCUCUUAGCGAUUUUUGUUGUUCAUUGUUUCUGCUGUUUUAUUCAUCAUCUUCUGCUUCAUUAUCAUCUUCUUCUACUUCAUUAUCAUCUUCAUCUUCUUCUUAUCGACCAUUUGUUAUUGUUGUUGGUUCAGCGCUACUGCUACUAUCUGACCAAUUUCUUAGGUCAAAUUUUAUUUUCUACAUCACUUUCCACUUUGGCAUUACUUCAUAGGUGACUUUGGUAAGUAACAUUAUGAUUUUUAUUAGUAUUUGUCAUCUGGGUUCACUAUUGUUUUUUCAACAAUGGAUAGAACCCCGAUCAUGAAUUCAAAAUAAGUGCCCACAAUUUAAACAGAUCAAUCAUCUGGUGCAUCAGAUGAUUAAUCUGUUGCAUCCGAAGAUUUAACUGUUGCAUCAGACUAUUUAUCUGUUGCAUCAGACUUGUUAUCUGUUACAUCAGACUUAUUAUUUGUUGCAUCAGACUAAUUAUCUGUUGCAACGGAUGAUUAAUCUUUUUGGAACAACACAAAUCAUCCCCUGCCACAAACCCAACAGAUAACCAAUAUGUUUCAAAUCUUGUUAUUGCUAUUGGAUUCAAAAUUAUUCCUUACGUCUAAUUACCCGUCCCAAAUUUUCUAAUUUGAUUUCUCAUUUUACCCAUAUUUUACCCUUUGCAUUAAUCAUUUUGUCUUCAAAUUAAAAUGGAAACAUUCGUUGUUAUUUUCUCUCUCUUUGUGAUAUUUGUUGUUCAUUAUUGCUUCUGCUUUAUUCACCAUCUUCUGAUUCAUUAUCAUCAUCUUAUACUUCAUUAUCAUCUUCAUAUUCUUCUUGUUGACCAUUAUUGUUAUUGUUACCCCAACUGUUGCUUUUACACCAAAUUUUUAUGUUAAAUUUUAUUUCGUAAAUCACUUUCAACUUUGACAUUUACUUAAGAGGAGACUUAGGUAAGUCAAAUUAUGAUUUUUAGUUGAAUUUGUCAUCUGGGUAACUGCUAGUGUGCUGUCUUUUCAACAAUAGCUAGCACGCGAACAUGAAUGCAACAUAAGAGCAAUCUGUUUAAACAAAUCCAUCAUCUGCGGCACCAGAUAAAUGUUCUGUUGUAAUAGUAGACUCAUGUUGGAUUCAUGUUUAUGGUUCUAGGUGCCCAUAUUAUGAAUCAAAUAGAUGGGUAUUCUGUUGCAACAGUUUAAUAAUCUGUUGCACCAGAUUAGUAAUCUGUUGUACCAGAUUACUAAUCUGAUUCGAACAACAAAAUGCAGUUUCUGUCACAAACCCAACAGAUAACUCAACUCAUAUGUUGAUCUCUUGCUAUUGAUAAUGGAAUCAAAUUAUUCCUUAAUUGUAGACAUGUCAUUCGUUGAGAAAAAGAAAUACAGCAAUUAUUCCUUAAUUGUAGACAUGUCAUUCGUUAAGAUCAUAGAAAUAGACAGCACAAAAACUAAAUAAGAAAUAAAAAGUCAAGUGCAUCAAACAUAAAUUAUUAUAAAACAAAAAAAAAAUACAUAGAUAAAAGAAAAAAAACUUAAUUAUUAUUAUCAUCAUUAUUAUUUGUAUGGCCAGCCAGCCAAUCUUCAACCGGCAGCAGCAGCGCCCUCCUCAACCUGCGGAUCUCCCGUAGCAUCCUUACUCUAACGGCGGCCAACUCCCAAUGCAGGUCAUGAACCUCCUUCUGCAAUCCAAGUGCAAAAAUUGAGUUUGGAGGCCAGCUUGAAGGAUGCAAAGAAAAAAAGAGAAGCAAUCCAACAACAAAGAUUGAGUUUGGCGAAGAGGUGUUUAGAAAAAUCUAUUGCUCUCAAUGAAAUUGAAUAAAUAGAUAAAUAGCAAGUUGCAACAAAUGCCAUAGCUGAUGGAAAAACAAACUCAUAUAUCCAUCUGUUACAACAGAUUGUCAAUAUGUUGUAAGUUAUCUGACAGGAGGGGAAUAUCUUUUGCAACCAAUCUGUCUUUGAAAUACAAUAAAAAGAUAAAAUGUUGUAUUUUCAUUUUUUUUUAAUUUACAUUUUCGAAAAGUCCCUAAUUUUAUUUAAUUAAGGGAUAUGAACAGUCAUGGCUUUUUGUUUGACUAAGUCAAGUCACCACUUCCAAUUCAAUCAUUUUGUCAUUGUGGUCGUUGAGCUCAGUAUAGAGCCCUUGAUCUUUUGUUAGUUUGUCAACGAGGAUCACUUUAUUUGGCAGCUUUCUUAUAAUAUUCCUCUUGGUCCUUCUUAGCUCUACGCAAGGUCAAGGAGAAGUAUGGAAGGUUCUCUUUGAGUUUUUUCAAGACAAGCGCUCUCUCGGUUGAUAAAUCUGGUGCUACAGCAUAUAUGGAUAGUGCAACACUCAAUUUUGAACAGUUUUCUGGUAAAAGCAAGUCUUGAGAAGACAUAAUCAGUAAUCUUUUGAUAUCAGCUUUAGUUGUGUCAAGCAGUUCUGUUGAUAUCUUGUCCUCUAUGGGAGAAAAUUGAUAAUAAAAAAAAAACAAGUGCUUCAGAUCAUUUAAUCUGUUGACUAACUCGAGCAAAGACUUCUUCUGGAUUAUCAAACUUCAUUGGGCAGUCUGGUGGUUCAAUAACAUCAGAUGUCCUAUUUUUGGUAUUAGCUAAUGAUGAGAAGAUUCUGCCUUCCUCACCAUCCUGAAAAGAAAAAGCUCUCAAAAUUAGAUGGAGUAUCUCUACAUAACGACACGAGAUGAACUAAAUAUAGCAUUUAGUUUUUCCUUCCUAUUCCUCCCCUAUUUAUCUUCUCACCUUUUUCUUAUCCGAAAAUUUUCUUUUUCGGAUACUUGAUAAUGCCUGGUAAAUUGCUUUCUUUCUCAUCUUAGCCUUAAUCUCUAAUGGAGUGAAUGAAACUAAAACCCUCUUUGAUCGAAUAACACCACUGUUAGAAAUCAAUUCCUUUACAUCGUCAGUAUUAUUUGUUGACACCCAAUUUUGGCUCGCUCUUCCCCUCUAAUUAAUUUUAUUGAUGUUCUUGGCCCUAACUAAUUUUAAAAUUAAAUAAGAAAUAAGACUCGUAUUUUUAUUUUUAUAACUUUUCUAGUUUUCUAUCAUAUUAUAAAAUAUUUUAAUAUAAUUAAAUAUUUUAACAAAUAAAAUAAAAUAUCUUUAGUGAUCGCAUUCACAUUUUUUUUUCUAAUUUUAUUCUUUAGGCAAUAUUGUGACCUGCAUAAAAUAUAUUUUUAAGAUAUACAUAUACUUUUAUUAUAUUCUUGAUUUUUACGUAUAUUUCAUUACAUUCUUCUUUUUGCAUAUGUAUAUAUAUUGUUAAUAUUAAAUCACACAUACACAUAAAAAAAAAAUAUUAAAUUGGACGCUUUAAGAAUUAUGUUUGUAAUUUAUAUAUGUUAAAACUAAAAAAUAAUUUUUAGGAUAUUAGGGAGCAUCGAUAAAAUUAAUUUCAGUAGAAAAGGAAUAUCCGGGCUAGCAAUAAUCCAAUUUUAUUUUUUAUUUUUCACUCGAACCCGACUCCCAUUUUAUUUCAACGAAGAACUCCAAAAUUAGCCCAAAACUUAGUAUAAUUUUCAUGUUCGCUUCACUAUUUCAUCCAAUCGAUACAAAUUAAUUUGAUCCGAUAACUUUUUCAAUUCAAAAGUUCGAAAUUUGCAAUUUUAUAAAUAAUUUAUAUUUUCAUAUAUAUUUGUAUAAAUAUAUAUAUUUUAUAUAUCUAAUUACUUUCUUAUUUUUUUACCUGAAUCGUCCGAUCAAAUGAUCGGACGGUUCAAAUGUUGAUUUAUAUUUUCAAAUCAGUGUAAUAAAUGAUACGCAGGAAAGGCAAAAGCACCCGUGUUUUUCUUUCCAAGAAACCAACGUAUGGUCACCAUCACAUCCCAAAACGCGAUACAAACCAACAUUUUUUCCUCUGUCUUCCCUCUCCCCUUCUCCAUCUUGCCAAAACUAGAACCAUAGUUGCCCUUGGUAGCCAUAGUUACCGCUGAUCUAGAAAGAUCCCAUCCCAAAAUCACCUCUUCCAACCCCAAAAACCAAAAUUAGAAAAAAGCAAAGCCCCAAAUUCAUGCAAGAAACGAACAAUCGGUCCAAAACAGCCAUUAAUGGCUUCAAAUUUGAAGAUCCAAUUCAGCAAUUUAAAAUUUAAAAUCUAUCCCCUUCUUACCGUUUUUAUUUUAAGGUUUCAAAUUCGGACUUUUUCAAGUCCAAUUUUGUACUUAUAAAUAUGGGUUGUUUCAUAUUCUCCAAAAAAAAAAAAAGUAUUGAGGAGAAAGGCAAAAAAGGAGGGAAAGAUCUGAAGAGAGGAGGGAUAGAUAAAAACAAGUAAAAAAAAAGGGGGCAACAAAAACAGAAGUGAAAACGAGAAAUUCGUGAGAAAAAAAAAAAAGAGGAAAAACGAGCAAACAUUUUUACAAGCAAGAGUUACAAAUUUUGUCACUAGUCACUAGUUUUUCUUCUCACUUUGAUCUGAGUUUGAGUUUUGGGGUAGCUCGAGUUCGGAGUUGAAGUCUUGACGUCGAGCUCCAGUUUUGCUGCCUUGAAAAAUGUGCGAAUCCCGUCUCACUUCCAUCCCCUUUUAUUUUGUCUUGUUUGGAUCAGUGAAUAUAUUCGUUUAGUUUAAGUUUAAAUUCGUUGAACUUCGGUGCUAAUGUUGUUAAAGAUGGAUGGCUAUGAGAAUUUCAAUCUUCAAGUUAUUGGUGACUGAUUUCAAAAUUGGGUUUGCAUUUGAUUUUUGUUAAGUUUGUGUUUGUUGUCGCUUCCUCUAUCUUACGAAUAAAAUAUGGUGUUGGUUUCGUGAAACCAUUUGGUGGAUCAGAAGGUGAACAUUCGGGUAGUCAAUUAGGUGAACUACUAAGAUUACCCGUCUUGACGGAGCAAUUGAGGUGUGCUGGUUAUUAGGAGAAAUUUAAAGGGAAUUUUAUGAUGUAGCAAGUCUUGUUGUGUAGUUUGUUCUGUAAUCGUGGGUUCCCAAAUUUUUUAUUUUUUUGAGAUCCUAAUUUAUCUUUUUGCAUUGGUUUAUGUAAUCUCAUGGUUUAAUCCCGUUUUCUUAAGUGAACUGGUGUUUUUGAUUUGUGGGUUUAUUCUACUUUUGUUAAAGGAAGUGACUUUUCACUAUUUUAAGUUGUUACUAGUUAUUACUGUGUCAAAUUUGGAAAAAGUCUUUGAUUUUUAUCGGUACAUAAGACAUAGAAUGCAUUUCUCGGGCAUUAAGUGGUGGAAAUUGUUAGCCAAGGGUCUAACGGAAACAUACUCUCUACCUUCUAGUGGUAGCGGUAAGAUUUGCAAACACUGUAUCCCAAAUCCCACUUGUGGUCUACACUUUGUCUGAUGUUCGUUGUUAUAAUUAGACUGUUAUGGUAUCAACACUCAUAUUAGAAUACUCUUAAGGUAAUCUCUUAUUUUAGUAAUUUUUUUAUACUAAUUUACAUCAACUGAUUAAGAAAAAUUUUCUGUUGGAUGUAUUGCCUUCUUUUGCCUUUCUCCGUUGUGCCUUAAAUGGUUACUUUUGUUUGUCUUUUGCAUUUUAAGAAAAUUGAACCUUUUCAAUUUCUCAGUUUGAAGCAGAGUAAUAACUUUAUAAAUAGUUUUGUACGUCGUCUAGCUAUCUUGGUAACGAAGAAUUCGAUGCAUACAUACUUGAUUAGGACCCAAAGAUCAAAUAAUAAUUAUUUUCACAACAACUAUUUUACAUCAUAUUUAUUAUUACCAUUAUUAUUUACACUAUAAUAUUUGUUGCUAUUUCAAUUAUUAUUAUUAUUAUUAUUAUUAUUAUUAAUAAUAAUAAUAAUAAUAAUAAUAAUACUAUUAUUAUUAUUGUCAUUAUCUCAAUUUUGUCACGCUUAGGUAUCAUAUUAUCACAUUUAUCUUUUUGCUUAUUUCUUAUCUAAAUCUAUUUAAGUUUCACAAAUUAAGUAAAAAAAAAUUCGUACUUUCAAAUAUAUCCAUAUUCUUAUUUUGUCUUAAAUAAAUCCAUGCCUUAAAAUAUUUUUAUAAAUUUUAUUUACCUAUUCAAUUUUAUACAUGUAAAGAUAGUAAAAUUUUUCCUUUAUCUUAUCGGAAUCAUAAAAAAUAAAAAGCUAUUUCAUAUCUUAAGGUAUCCAUGUAACAUAUAUACAUAUGCAAUGAUUGCAUUAUUUGCUUGUGCAUGGUAGCAUCAUGUGUGUUAUACCUUAAGUUUUCUAUCUUCUAUAUAAAAUAACAAGUAGAAAAUAAUGAUGAAAGUUUUCUUAUCACAAUUUUCGCAAAUAAAUAAAAGCAAUGAUUUUUUCUAAACUAAGCAUAAGGACUAUCCUCGGAUAGGCUCUGAGGGGUGCCUAACACCUUCCUCUUGAGUAACCAAAACCCUUACUCAGAAUCUCUAAAUAUUUUCAAAAGACCAAAACAGAGUUUUCGACAUACAAAAUGAUUUUUUCCUAAUUUUCCUAAAAAGUUAGGUGGCGGCUCUAAAAAAUAAAUUUAGGGCUCAACAUUAAUCACUCCAUCAUGUUUUGCCUUGCACUCUUCACAUUUGCCUGCAUAAGAUAAGCAAGGAGGGGCAAGAUUGAUCAUUCUUCUCCCAUAUAGAGGACAACACAUCCGUCAUGCAAAAGUCUACACUGUCGCCUGAAAUGCUUGCCACAACGAAAGUCUGUAGAAGGCAUGACAAAUAAACAUGAGCAACAUCCGUCAUUAAAUCUUAACAGGGUAUCAGAACCAUAUUCAUGGUCCCACAGCCUUAUCAGUUCAAACCUACCAAACUUAACUGUGAAAUUAAAGAUAUCUUUUUUGAAUGAUCUAUGACUAAUCGGUAAAAAAAGCAUUCACAAAAUCAGUGUACUCUAUUUAUGUUUCCACGAUAACAUUACCAGUAAUACAUACCUCCCACAUAUGAAGUGGUUCCAUCUGCAUGCAGCUUAUUCCUCCGAACCCAUCUUUAUGCAGCCUCUUGUGAUGGUCUGAAAAAAGUUGAUCAACUUUCAGUUCCUUAUAUAUCUACAAAGAAGAAGGAAAAAAUUAAUGUCACAGAAAGAACAUUAUCCAUCUGUUGCAAUGGAUGUAGAGUCUGUUGUAUCAGAUGUGGAGUCUGAUCCAACAGAUGUGGAGUCUGUUAGAAUAAAUCAAUCCAGCCUUGCUGGUGGUUUAAUUUGUUCCAACAGUUUCUCCAUCUAGUGUAAUAUCAACAACAGCAUAAAUUACAAACAACAAAUAAAAAACAACAACAAAGAAAAUAACAUUUGUUCCAACAACAUCAUCAACAACAAAGAAGCAAACAUCCUAUGUUCCAACACCGUCAACAACUAGGGGAGGACCCACAUGGAGUCCUUCGGGUGCAUAAGCACAGACUGAACUCAUAUCGAACUUUAUAUAUGUAUAUGAAAAUUAAGAAAAAACUUAUAUAAUCUAAUCAGUGAGCAUCCAUAGAGUUGUUUGGUUGGUUGGCCUAGUGGUUGUUUAUGGGCGCUUAAGGCUAUUUAUUUCUUUUAGUCUUGAGUUCAAUUCCCACUCAACAGAUUUUUUUUAAUUUUGGUAACCAACUCUUCUCUCCUUAUUCACUUUAAACUUUCUUUUAUUUUUUUCUCCCUUACUCCUUAUGUUGAUUGUUUGGACUCCAUUAUUUUUAAGCUAAGAAGCACCCACCAUCUAAAUGACUUGGAUCCACCACUGUCAAUAACACCACACCACAAGUUCCCACAACUCCAACCCCACCAACAACGUCAAUAACAACAUCAAUAUCAAAUAAACAAACAAAAUACAUAAAAAAAAAAUAAUACUGCCAACAAGGCUUUUAAACUUCUCCCAACAGAGGACUUUUUUUUCACAUCUUCUAAUAAAAAAUUUUGGUUCGUUUAUUCAACAAUUAAAAGUUCCUUCAAGUUUUUAAAAUAAACAUGAUAUAGGUAAAUGGUAAUUAAAUUAAAAAAAAAGAUGUAAAUAACUUGCAAAGAAGAAGACGAGAAUGAAAGACCAAUAGUGAACCAUACUUUAAUGUCAAAAGGGGAUAAAAAUAGCAAUUUCAGUCGAGGAAUCUAAGAUAUGGAUCGGUUUUGUUCUGAAAGGAUAUUUAUGAGAAAGAGAAGAGAAAAAAAGGUUGUGAUAACCCUAAAUAGGAUAGAAUGAAAAAUAUGAGAGACGAAUAAAAUAAAUUUAGGACUGAAGGAGAGAUGAGAUAAUUCUAAUUUCUAGAUGUACUUCCCUUAAUAUUAAAUGACUAAACAAAGUGUAUUUAUUCAAAUUUAUACUUUCAAAGCACAAUUAAUAAGGCUAUAUUUGUAAAAUAAACCCCUAAUUAAUAUUUUCUUAAUGAGUGUGUUAAGUCAAUAGGGGCCAACUAAUAUAAUAUGAAACGGAGGAAGUAUUAGGGAUUUCAAUAUUCAUUUAUUAAUAUUCAUUAAUAAGUUGAGGGGUACGAGGAAGAAAAUGGGUGGCAUUGAAAAGACAAGACAAGACUACUAAAUAAGAUUUUUGAGUUAUCCAAGAAACAUUUUUUACCGCCUUUAGUAGUACUACUUUAUCUACUCGGACAAAAGCUUGCUUUAAAAUUAAAAGAAAUUUUUUUUUUAAAACAGAUAUAUCGUCUGUUGCAACAGAUAUAAUAUCUGUUUGAAAAAUCCUAAAAGCACAGUCAUCUGUGACAACAGAUGCAAAUGUCCAUUUGAUAACAAAAUCAGAUAUGUCAUCUAUUACAACAGAUAUGAAUAUUUGUUUGAAUAUUUCCAACAGCUCAGUCAUCCGUCACAACAGAUUCAAAUGUCUAUUUGAUAAUUAAAUCAGAUAUUUCAUCUAUUGCAAUAGACAUUAUUAUUUGUUUGAAAUUCUCUAACAGCUCAGACAUUUAUUGCAACAAAUUUCAUUGCAAUUGAUUUAGGUGGAACUAGAGAUGAAUGAAUGAGCUUUCAAAGUCAACAACAAAUCCAAUUGAGUCUUUGCAAUUGCAUGGUGUUGGUAUUGCGUUCAUCCCGAUCUGAGUCGUCGAUCGAUCACUCUAAGUUGAAAUGAGUUCUCAUUAACUUAAUGUUAAGAUUUAUAAUAGUACCUACACCGAUCUAGGUGGAACAAAGGAUAAAUGAAUGGGCUCACAGGGUCAACUACAAAUCCAACUAAGUCAUUGUAUUUUCAUGGUAUUGGUAUUGCGUUCAUCCCGACCGAAUCGUCAAACGAUCACUCUGAGUUGAAAUGAGUUCUCAUUAACUUAAUGUUAAGAUUAAUAAUAGUACCUACAUCGAUCUAGGUGGAAUUAGGGAUGAAUUAAUGAUCUCACAGGGUCAACUACAACUUCAAUUGAGUCUUUUGACAAUUACCUGAUGAGAUGGUAUUGUGUUCCUCCCGACCAAAGUCUUCGAUCGACCACUCUGAGCUAAACUAAUUUGUACUACCUCAUAUGUUCAACUAAUACCUUAAUUGAUUAUUCAUCUGUUACGAUGUACAGAUCAUCUGUUGCAUAACAGAUUACCCUUCUUGUGCCACUAUUGCAAUAGAUGAUUGGUCUUUUCCAUCAGACUAUCUAUGUGUUUCUCUGUUUCUCUGAACCAGACUCAAACAGAUUUUAACCAUAUACUGCAAACUAUGCAACAGAUGGUCUUUUUUUUAAAUGUAGUCCAAUUGUGAAAAUUAUUAUAUUAUAUGAUUUAAAUGCAUCUGUCUUUUUUAUAGGUUGUGCAUCCAUGGAUCGUGCCUACUGAGAAAGAGUCGGUGAUGACUUCUUAUAUUACUCUAGGUCAUGUUGAUACUAUAGCAUACCCAAAGGUGGAGUUAGUAAAGAAGGAAUUGGCUGGAGCAACAGCCAUAAGAAGAGCAGUUAGGGAAGGUCAGCCUAAUGUUGAGGCUCUUCAUGACCAACUUUUUACUAAGGCAGAUCUGGGUGCUUCUUCUGGUGGAGUUGUUGGUGUUGGUGGCAGGCAUGCUGAUACUGCUACCACUCAUGAGGAUGAGCAUGUUGAUUCUCAAGAAAGAAUAAAUAUGUUUGAAAACACCCUUUUUUGCCCUUACAUAGGUCCCUCUCACCCCUCUUCACCCUCGUGUUCUCAUUACGAAUGUGAUGAGUGCAAGGACAAACAAGAUAAAAUUUUUGAAAAAGUAAAGGCUAUAUCUAAAGCUAUGGAGGAAUUCAAAUCCAAUACGUGUUCCAUACCAUCCAAGAAGGUGAGGGAGCCACAUACUCCUACAGUGUUAGUUAGGAGAAAGAAAAGAGAAAUUAGAGACGUACUCUCUGCUUGGAAAUCAAAAGAAAUUAUAAUUCCUCCCUCUCCAAAAGUUGUUAAAGUUCAGGGGCCAGUCAAGAAGGUGGACAUAUACACGGAACUUGGUGUCGAAGAGAAGAGGGAUCUGCAACAGGCCAAGAAUGCCAAGCCAGGUGCACCAGAUUACCCCAGGACUCCUUUUCCCCCCAAGACUUCCAGCCUAUGACUGAUAUGCGUAUGCCGUACGAGGACAAGGAAAGUUUAAUUUUUCUAACCUAGCCCUUCUAAUCUAUCCCAUGAAGAAGAAGCUAUACAACAGAUUUCACAUCUAUUGCAACAACUGGGUAUACUAGUACAACUGGUAGUGGUUCUGUUGUAACUUAUUAUCCAUCUGUUGCAUAAUUUGCGUUGGGUUAUUAAAUCAGGGAACCCUAUGCAACAUAUGGACCAUCCUUUACAUCUUUACAAUUACUAACCUAUUUAAAAAUUGACUUCUUAUCUCACAGUAUGUUGACAUAAUUCUCUGCCUCAUGAGGAAAAAGAAAUUAACGUACUGGGAAGAUUAUGGCUGCCGAUAGGAUAAUGGACCUCGACUUCUGUAAGAAGCUCAAGGAUAGGUAUGAUCAACUCAAUGGACAGACAUCAAUCAUUGGCGUGGGACUUGAUUUCCUAGUUUCUACGUUGGUCUUGGAUGAAGAAGAAAUGAUAAAAUAUGUUAGAGGGGACAAGCCAAAUCCACACAGCAAGAGCUGGACCGAGCCAAAAAGGAUUCUUGUAGUCAUUAGUGUGAACGGUAUACAUUAUCCGACUGUUUAGAUACUACUCGAGGAGGGAAAGAUCAAUGUUUAUGAAUCCAACGUACCUCUCGUCGAUGAUUUCGAUCUUUUUCUCCUCGUGAAGCCACUGAUGCUGUUGUUUCUCAUCUUAUUGAGAGAGAGUAAACUGAUGAAUCAUUUUUCAAAGAAAGUGUUAAUGAAGAAAUCAUGGGAUUUUGAAGGCCGAAACAAGGGAAUGAUCCUUCCAAAAGAUGAUGCUGCUAAAGCGAGCGGCUCGCACGCUCUUGCACACAUCGAAUGUUUGCUGAUCGGCACAGAAAUGGUUGAGCCAACAACUUUUCUGUGUGACAACGCUUUGGUAAACUUGCAAGAGGUAUAGGCCUAUGGUGUACUAACUGGACGCUUGAAGCCUAUGUAUAUAGAAGAGCCUAUGAAAUAAAAAUUUUUAAUUUCAAGUCACCCUUCACUUUAUUACAUGCACCUGUGGUGCAAUCAUUUUUUUCUUAUGAAAGUUGAGUUUUUUAUAAUGCAAUCAAUUAGAUUGUCAAUCUAUUGUAAAAUAUAUUUAAUCCGUUCUGGAAGAUAGUUUAUCCAUUGCAAUAGGUUGGUUAUCUGUUGCAUUACCUCGAUGUUAUUUCUAUGAAUAAUCUAAUAAUCUAAGUCUAAUCUGUUGCAACAGUGGGAAGACCUGUUUGAUAAUUUCCAACAGAUGACCUAAAUUUUACAACAUAUGCCUAAAUCUUUUUUAUAUUGUCCAACAGUUAUGCUUGAAUAUCCAUAUGAUCCACAACUCCAAACCAGUAGCAAAUACACACACCACCAUAAAAAUUUCAGCAAUUAGGCUUGAAUAUCCAUGUGCCCAACAACACCAAAUCAGUAGCAAUAACGGCAACAAUGUAGUAUCUUCUUACUCGAUUUUGUUUUUCUUCAGAAGCCUUGACUUUGUUCAAUAAACCCCAAAUUACACAAUUUUCUUGUGAAGGGUGUCGUUCUUCAUACCAAUCAAAGUAAUUGCAUCCACCCAAUUUCUAUAAAAAAAAAAAGAGAACACAAUUAUAAAACAAUUACAAGUCAAUAAUUAAUCAACUAAUUAAAUAAAAAAAAUAUUACCUUUGAAAUCUUACAAGUAAAAAACCUACGACUCGAAUUUUGUUGAGUCCAAUAAGUCUUUAACAGAGCUUCAUGACCGCACUUACAAUAUCAAAAAUGUUUAUCACAAAAAAUAGUGAAAAUGCGCUCGACAUUGUCAAGCUCAGUUGCAAAAACUGAAAGAAAUAAUUUGAAGAACUUGGGUAGAUAAAUGAAGAUGACGAUGAAGAAGAAAAUUUGUGAAUUUAGGGUUAAAUUUUAGGAGGAAGAUGAAUAUAUAAGACAAUGGAGGAAAAAAAAUGACCGUUGGGGGCCAAGUGACGGCAAGUCAGCGAAAUGUGCCAGACUGACACAGACAGAUUUGAUGCCUAUUUUAUUUUACGUGUUUAAAAUGAACACUGUCUACUUGAUGCCUAUUUUAUUUUAGGUGUUUGAACUAAACACCGUCGAUGGGUUGCACCUUUUUUUAUUUCAAUUCAAUUCAUUUUAACCUUUUUACACGUAGUGGCAAUUUUUUAUGUCCAACGAAAGUUGAAUUUUUAUAAUGCAACAGAUUCUCCAUCUGUUGUAACAGUUAUUCUACCUGUUAUGACAUAUAGUUUAUCUGUUUCAAUAGGUUGGUCAUCUGUUGCAUUAUCUCGAUGUUUUUAUCUAAAGUCCAUUUGUUGCAACAGUGGGAAGACCUGUUUGAUAAAUUCUAACAGAUCACCUACCUAUUGCAACAUAUGUCUAAAUCUGUUUGAUUUUUCCAAUAGAUGUGUCGUCUGUUGCAACAGAUACAUUAUUUAUUGCAAUAUUUGAAUCUAGUAUUCCUUUUCAGUUAAUAAGUUCAAAUCUAAGAAAUAAAUAAAAUUCAUAGACAAAAUAAAAUAAAUCGAAGCCUUCAUAAAUUAACUGAGAUAAGUCAACGAAUAAAUGAAAUGUAAAAAAAUUAUUAUGGGUACAGAUCUCAACAACUACAUCAACAACAAUUUAAGUAUACUGCCAAGGAUUGCUUUGAUAGGCUCAAGCUAUAAAGAUCUACUCAGUAUGGACAAGUUAUUCUUUAUCCGGUUCUAUGAAAUUCGGCUUUGCUUGUUGUGGAUCUUUAUUGUAGCUUACGUACGGUUUCUAAGAUUUCUGUUCUAUAUUUCUGUUGUAAUAAUGAAUCAACUGUUGGGACAAAUUUCUACAUGAGACAGAUCCUGUAUGAUAAUUUCCAACAGAUGAACCAUCCGUUACAACAUAUGAAUCAUCUAUUGCAGCAGAUAGGUCAUCUGUUGGUACAAAUAAAAGCGGUAAGAAAAGCUGUUUGAUUUGCUAAUACAGACGAUACAUAUGUUGCACCAGAUAAAGUAUCCGGUGUAACAGUUUAGUCAACUGUUGCAACAGAUAUAUAUUUAUCUAUUUAAUAAUUUUUAGCAGAUGUGUCAUCUGUUGAAACAUAUAUGUGUCUGUUUGUUUUGCCAGUUGGAAGACAUAUGAUAUAUUCACCCUCUUCAGCUCGUGCUGCUCUCCUUUGGAUAUUGUAUGUUGCUCAGUGCAACACACAGACAGAGGAAUUAGAAUUUCACUUUUUUGGAUGCUUGAUAAUGCCCUGGAAAUCACUCUCCUUUUCCUCUUACCCCUAACCUCUAAUGAAGCAGAUGAAAAUAAAAUCCUCUUUGAUGGAAUGAGACCCCUCUUAGAUGUCAAUUCCUUUACAGAAGCAGUUAAUGCAUUACUAGCAUUAAUCAAUACAUCAUGUUUCACCUUGCAGUCUUGACAUUUGCAUGCAGAACAUUCGCUGGGAGAGGCAAAAUCUGUAUAAACAGUAUGAUCAUACUCAUAAUAGUUUACUUUAAAUACUGUAAGAGGAGCAUCACUAGCACCAACAGCAAAACCAUUACCACCACCAACAGCUCCAUCACCACUACGACCAUCAACAACAACAAGCCCACCCUCCAAAAUUAUUUUUCUUGUAAUGGCUAUUGCUAAAAAAAAUCCAUUUUUAUUCUGUCGAUGACCUUAGGGUCUGAUAAAGUUUGCACAAACUGUAAAGUAAGAAAAAAUGGCAUCUUCAACUCUCGAUUGGUCAAAACUAGAGACGGAUGCACAAUCUAACAUAAAUCAUUACAUAUAUUAGAAUGAUAUUAGAUAAUUAAAAAAUCAUUAAUUAUAAGAAAAAUUAAUUAUAAUUAUACUUACUUUAUCCUUUGGGGGGUUGAAUAUAUCAAGAAAUUUUUUAUUUUUAUCAGUUUUGACCGACAACUAUCUCAAGAUUCUUAGACAGGAAACUCCUUCAUGGUAGUUCAUUUAUUGUCUCAAAUAAGGAAUGGCUUCAAAUGCCCAAGCCUAUAAAAUAACGCCAAUAAAUCAAAAACCAUUACUAAGCGAAAAAAAUAAAUGAUAUCAUAAUAGAAGAAAGAAAUAUUUACCAUGAAAGCCCAUGGAAAGCCAUAUAAGUUGACUGUCUUUGGCGCUAACGGAGUCAACAAAUAUUUGAUAGUUAUUUUCAAUCUUUCAUACCCCUAAGGAUAGCUGUUAAACACCUCAAGAUCCUCGGAGAGCUUUAUUAAACCGAGGCUUAUGUUGUUUUUAAUGUCUCUCGCACAAAGAAUAUUAUGUACAAACCAAACCAAGCACAAUGACUGCUUGUGCUUCUUUGAAAGUCCUUUACCUUUCAACUCUUCUAUCAAAUUUUUGUUUUUGAAGCUUGAACCAACAAUGGACACCAGGUCAUCACAAUCGAACGACUUGCCUUUUCCUUUUGUGGUGUACGGGGUGCUUUUUUGGGUUAGAAUAGAUAUAAAUUGAGAAGGAGGAUAACAUUUUAGUCUAGUAACUAUGGAAAACUCCUUCCAACCAAAAUAAAUAGGCAUGCCACAGUAAUUUAUCCACACCUCAUCCAUCUUAUCUUUGUUUUCAUACAUAAACCUACGGUUGAGAAGUUCAUCUACCAUUUUCAUUUGAAAAUGAGCAUUGUUGUCCUCCAACAAAUCAAGAUAUUUCCCAAAGCAGCUGUCCCUGAAAUAAGCAUCCAAUUUUUGUUCUCAAAGUAUUUUCUGAAGGUAUCGAAAGAUUUUCUCAUGGCUGACUUAACCACGAAAUCACCUGUUAAAUCUGUGGCACCAUUGCACUGCAUUCUCACAGAAUAAUGAUCAAUGUUGAAGGCUUUGACCAGCUUUUUGGUGGAAGGGCUAUUAGCAUCUGCAUCAUCUCUUUUGAAACAUUUUUCCUCCCCGUGUUCAUCAUAUUCUGCUCCCAAUUGAGAUAAUGCUUGUAAAGCAAGCUCAGAGAGUGGUGGAUGUAGCCUAGCUUCUUAACUUGUUCCUUUACUUGGACUUGAUUCGGUUUCUGUUCUUUUGGGAACCAUAUUAUGUAAAAUUAAUAGGAACAUAAAAUAAUAUAUUAUUGUUGAUUAAUGCAUCGUUAAAAAAGAUAACAGUAAAUCAAAUAAGCAAAAUAGUAAAAUAGUAGUUGCAAUAGAUCACCGAUCUAUUGCUCCAGGUAGUAUAUCUGUUGCAGCGUUUAACCAAACAUUGCAGUGGAUGAUUAAUCUGUUGCAACAAUACAAAACAUAUCACUUAAUUUUUAAGACAGAUGAAUGGUCUGUUCAACAGAUCACACAACUAUUGUGACAUAAUAUAUUGCAACAUAUGAGUGAUCUAUUGGAAUAGUUAAAUAAUUUAUAGCAACAACUGAGUAAUCUGUUGCGAUAAUACAAAACAUAUCACUCAUCUGUUGAGAAAGAUGAAUUAUUUGUGCAACAGAUCACACAUAUAUUGUAAUAUAUGAGUGAUCUGUCAGAGCAGUUAACUAACCUGCAGCAACGGCUGAGUAAUCUAUUGCGAUAAUACAAAACAUAUCACUCAUCUAUUUGGACUACUCCCACAAAACACAUAAAUUCUCUUAAAUUUUGACACCAUAGCAUCAAAUUCUCUAGGUAAGCUCAUCUUUAAAUUCACGAGCAAUUUAAAGGUGAGUGAGUGUGCAAAUUUUAAUACCUUUUCUCUACAGAUCAAUGAGUUGGAGUUCAAAGCGCAAAGGUAUUCAUCAACGGACCUAACCCACCUACACAAAAGAAGAAACUGAUAACUUUUUCUCUUCAUGGAUAUCAUACUACUACUAAAUUAGUCACUAGACAAUUUAAUACAAGGCGUGAAGGGAUACAAUCGAUACUCAGAAUAGUCGUGACCAAAAACCAUUUAUGUUAUGAGAGGAACGUAUAUUACCAGAGGCUUUUUGCCAUUAUCCCUUCAAUAUGUCCCAAGUGUCCCCUAUGCUGUGUAGUAGCUAUCACGACACUUUUUUCCCUGAAAGAUAAUCAUGCUAUCAAGCUAUAUAAAGUGGUUUUGAGAGAUGACCCGAAGUGGGAGAAUUGAUUUAGUAAAUAAUUUGCACAUAUUUUUUUGGUUACUUUUUAUAGUUUUUUUAAUUUCUACACAUAAAACCAUUUUCUAAGUGGCUAAACUAACCAUCAACAAAGUAAUUAGUUCCAAGCAAAGCUUGUAACGCUCAAUCAAUUAUGUACUAACCUCAGGAAAGUAAUUAUUAAAGGCAAGGAAAAAACUAAAAGAUAAAAUUAAUAGUGUCAAAGCAGAAAUAAUGACACCAAAGUAAAAAACAGAAGGUAAUGGUUAGUGGUAUGUAGUGGUUGAGGGAAACCACUACAUACCAUUAUUAUAAAACUAACAUGUUUAUAAAACUCCAAUCUCCUAAAAUCACAUUUCUGAAACCAUUAUUAUAUACAGUCAUUCUCUUUAAACUCCCAUUGCUAUCCUUAUUAUGUAUGGACAAGCUAACCAAACAUAUCAGUGCCCAGAAGGGAGAUGGGUUUCUCAAGUACUCUAGUAUAAAGCUACUAGAUACACAGUAUUCAUGGUUUGAUGUGAGUAUGACACUCUAUGAGUGCAAGAAAGCUUGCUUGAGGUAUUGCUCGUGUGUGUCUUACUCAAAUCUUGAUAUACGCAAUGCUGGAAGUGGAUGUUUACUUUCGUAUGGCAACUUAAUUGACAUUCGAGAAUUACCUGGAGAACAGGACAUUCACAUAAGGAUGGCUAACUCAGAGUUAGGUAACGUUUAUGAAUUUGAUCAAAUAUGAAGUAUUAGCUGAAUGUUUGAACUUCGUAAUUCUCAGAUUUAGUUGUGUUUACUAAGAUAUUUGUUAGAAGUUCACACAGUAUAUGUUUCACUCUUCCAUGUAUAUUUAGUUUAUUUUAACCCCCAUGUUUUGUUUUCUUUCAGGCUCGAAGAAAAUAAAACUAGUUGUGUUGAGUCUCUCACUAUUGAUUGGAGUGACUGUGAUUGGCAUGGUCAUAGGGCUGUAUAUUCUGAAAAAGAAGAAGAGGAAGAUGAAUUUCAAAGAUGACCUAGACCUCCUACUGUUUGCCUUAUGAACUCUAAACAAACCAACCUCUAAUUUCUCAGUCGAAAACAAAAUUGGAGAAAGUGGAUUUGGAUCUGUUUACAAAGUAACAUUGUAAGUUUAUGAAUCAUUCUUCAAGGAAAUAAUAUUUACUAUAAUUGAUAGUAAGCAAAUGAAACUUUUGAAUCACUAAAGCUAUAACAAUAACAUACCCAGUGUAGACCCAUAAAGUAAGGUCUAGGGAGGUUAGAGUGACACACAAACCAUAUCUCUACCUCAUAGUUAUGGCAACCACUAAGCCAGCUAUAUGUUGAUAUUAAGGGAAAUCCUAGAAGGAGGACAAGAAAUAGCUAUAAAGAGGCUCUCCAAGUCUUCCUCGCAAGGAGUUAACGAGUUCAAGAAUGAAGUUAUUUGCAUUGCCAAACUUCAGCAUCGAAAUCUUGUGAAGUUUAUUGGUUGUAUUAUUGCAAGAGGAGAAAAAAUGUUGGUCUAUGAAUACAUGCGCAACAGAAGUACAUCCAAAUACUCUACAAGCAUGUGUUCAACAAACGAAAUUACUGUCACAUUGUUAGAACCCUGGUAAAUUAAAUUACAUGCUCUCAAAUUGUUCGAUAUUCACAAGCUUAAAUUACACAAGAGUUUCUAGGUUCAUAUUACUAUUAUGAUUGUACAGUUUAUGAGUUGUAUCAUAUUUGGAAAGGCAUUUUUUGCCGAUAUUUGAAUAUAUAUACUUUAUCAACUUGAUGCAGAAACUAGCUUUGCAUGAAGUAUAUUGACUAUGAAUUUUCUUUUCUCAUAUUCUAGCAAUGGAUUACGAUAAGGAAAACCAAGAUUGACUCUAUAUUGUUCAAGAGGUCUUUCUCAAAAUCUUAUUUGGGAAAUGGAGGCUAAAAUUAGGCAAAGUAAUCUCCUAUUCAGUUCCUUAGCUUCCCUCCUAAAUUUUGCUUGAUGUAUUAACUAUGUUAUAUGGGAUCUGCAAUUAUUACGCCUUCAAUAUGGAUGUGUAUCAGUGUUCAGUGUGGAUACCAUUAGUUUUUAUUAAUUUUAGUGUAUUCUAAAUAAUUCGUAUAAAAUACCUAUUCAACAAGAAUAUAUCAAAGUAAAUAAAGAUCCAUAUAAAGUAAAUAAACUCAAUGAGGGGUUACAAGAAUGGCAGCAGAAAUGGUUAGCUUUUAGAAGCUCCAGUACCAUAGGACUCCAUCAAGUACAGAGUAUCAGUUAUGUUGUUCCCUUUCUCUGAAUUUAGGACAUUAAUUAGCUGCAGUCCCAGUUACAUAGUCGAACAUCAAGCAGUCACUAGAUUAACAACUAGAAUGAUAGUAGAAUGAAUUGAUGAAAGUCAUAAAACCGCCAAGACUAGAGUGAUUAGAGGGAUUACAACUCUAAUUUCUUAUUUUCCUGCUACGAAAUGUACAACGAUAGCCAAAAUCUAGAAUAAACAAAAUUCUCUGAUAGAAUAACCUGCAAGUAUUUCAACUAUAAUAGUAAAAACAUCAUGGAAAUUGAUAAGUAAAAUCACGGAAAAACAUCCAAAACAUAACGGUUUCUCAAAGAAUUUGAUAAGUUAACAAUAAUUCAAGCUUCAAUUCGAAUAGAGAGUGAACAAUAAUUUAAAAUCGACUCAAAAAUUAAAUCAAACACAAAUUUCAAUUCGGAUAACGAGUGUACAGUAAAAGCAAAUACCUUCAAAUGCUUCAAAUCGGCAAACCAGUAUAAGCUUGACCUUCAAUACAUGUAGAAAUGCCUUCAAUUCAUGCAAAAAUUCAUUUAAAUAGGACAAAAAUUAAAUAAAUAGUGAAUGGUUCUUGAGAGAGAAGAGGUAGAAAGAGUGGGGGGCUGGAAAUGAAGAAAACUCCUAGAAGCAUCCCUUUCUAUACUUUAAUAUUAAUUAAAAAAAUUAAAUUAAUAUUUUGCAACGGAACUGUUGGUCACUAAAUAAUUUUUUUUUAAAUGACACAUACCGAUGAAUAUUUAUUGCUAUAUUCGUUGCUACGCAAUAAUUAAUCUAGCGACCAAUAUUUUGUUGCUAAUCUGUCACUAAAUUUAGGCACAAUUUUUUCCCGCUAUUAUUUAUUGACGGAGUUAUAAUUCUGUCACUGAUUCAUUGCUAAUAGCAUACCCAAAAAUUGAAUUGCUAUGUAUGUGACCAAAUUGAAUGUUCCGUCGCUAUAUAGUGACGGAAAUUGGUCUGUUAGUAAAUUUCAUCGCUAAACGUAGUUUUUUUAGUAGUGAGUAAUGCAUUGACUUCAUAGGAACCUUCUUCCCUUUGGCAUGUAUGACUUCCUUAUAACGAGGAUGAUUACAAAAUUUGCAAUGUUCUAAAUUUGCAUCUUCCUUAUAAAAUAACAUGCAACCUUUCUCGCAACAGUGAGCCUCUCUGAUGAAAGUCUUAACUUAGAAACUAACUUCUUUGUUGUGUAGAAAUUUUUGGGUAAGUCAAGUUUAUUUGGGUUAAGUUCAUUCAUAAGUUCAAUGAUAGAGUUCAUGCCCUCUUGAGAAAUUGAAUAAUCUGACUUAAUACUCAGUACCCGAACGACAACAGAUAACUUAGAAUGCACUGCUUCUUCAUACAAAGGAUGAUUAGCUUCCUUUAACAGUUCAUAAAAGUGCUUAGCCUCAUCAUUUGGUUCAUUUUGAGCCCCUGAGUGUGUCCCAAAAGCAUCCCUGACCAUCUCACUAUAUCGUGAACUUUCAACAUUAUUCUGUCUUAUUGGACUUUCAACAUAAUUCUGAAAAGAAAAAUUAUUAGCAGCACUGCUUUCUCCAUGAGCUGUCCACACAAUAUAAUUCAACAUAAAAACCUUUCUAAAAAUAUGUAAUGUAACAUCAUAUAGACUCAAUAACUUGCAACACUUGUAAUUCCAACAAGGAAACCUAAUUGUCCCCUCAAUAAGAAAAUCAUUAAGUGUCAUUGCUUUAUCAAUAAAUUCAGCUACCCCAGUUUUAUAUUCCUCCUUCAACCCCACACGGUUAGGAUAAAGUUUAUUAUAUAUCCAUGUACGAUCUUCAUUUUCCAUCUACACAAGAACGACAACAAUAAUAAUAGAGAAGCGAAACAAAAACAAGAGAAACAAAACAAUAACAGGGUUGUUUAGAGAUGCUACUAUGCAGUGGACACAAGCAGAAAACUAAGAGGUUCAAUACAAUAUAGUAAAGCAGCUAACGACAAUAGAAUAUUUUAAUUAAAAGAACAAUUUUUUUAUCAGUGAAAGGAAUCCAAUCCAUGAGAUAGCUUCACAAACAAGAUAAAAGAUAGGCAAAAAGGGAGACAAACAAUUGAGGUACAAAAUUUAAAAGAAGAAAAUAAAAAGAAAGGGCAUGUUGAAAACACUGAAGAGGUUUUAUAUGACUACGUCCAUAAACUCUUGUACCACAAAUGACACAACAAUGAAGACUAGGGUCUGCUUAUCAAUCAAAGGUACUAAAAAUAGACCACGUAGAAAAUGAAAUAAAUUUUUACCUCGAAUCAGUGAAGAUAGGGCUGUAUAUCGGUCGGUUAGGUUCGAUUUUGAAGUUUAUCGGUUUGACAUGUUGAAUAUCGGUUUGUAAGAAAGCUAAACCAUUAAGAACCAUUGAGAUAUCGGCUUAUCGAUUAUCGAUUUAUCGGUUUAUCGGUUUAUCGGUUAUUGAUUGUUAUCGGUUUGGUUAUCGGGUUAAACCGCUAAUAUUCAAAAUAUUUUCCAAACAUACAGUACUAUGUUUAGAUGCAUUUAUUCAUCAAAAAUAACAUGGCAACAAAACAGCAAGCAGUAAACAAGAUCAAAUAAGGAACUUCACAUGCAAAACAAUGUUUGUCUUCAAUUGUUGGGAAGUCUAUUACGCAAAUACAUACAAUCAAGACCUUCAGGGAUUUGAACAACAGUUUAUUGUGCAAAUUCCAGAAACUAGAAAAUCAGUGCGCGAAAUUCCAGAAACCAGAAAACAAAAAUUCAGUGUGUGAAUUCCAUAUCAGCUUGUUUUUAUAGAAAAUUGGACAUAAAUUGAAAAUAGAGAACAAGACUUCUAAGAAUGACAACGAGGCUUACCUGUUGAGAGAAAAAGCAAAAAUCUUCUUUGGUCUCUACAGAAUAACUAAAGAAAACAUAAGCAAAUCUGUCUUAGAAACAAAAAUCAUAAAUAGAAGCAAAUCUGUCUUAGAGACAAAUCACACCUCGAGGCAGCUUCCAACUUAGAACGAUGUGGUCUCCGGCGCCAUUAAGACUCCACUAGGGCCGUCGCUGUUACCACUCAACCAACGCCGUCGUUGUUGCCGCUGUGGUCACCCUAGCUUAGAGAAAGGGGAGGGUUAGAGAGUGAGAGAGAAUAGGGAAAGUGGUUUAGAGAGAGAUGGGUUAUAUCUUACAUAAUAGGGAAAAUGGUCAAAUUUACCCCUGUACUUUGAAAAAUUAGUUAAAUAUACCCUUCGUCAUACUUUGUAGUCAAAUUUACCCUCGGUGUCAUACUUUGGGGCCAAAUUUACCCCUCUACUUUAGAAAUUGGCUAAAUAUAUCCUUCAUCAUACUUUGGGGUCAAAUUUACCCUUGAUGUCAUACUUUGAAUUCAAAUUUACUCUCGUUGUUAAGAAACUUUUCAUAUGUCCACUUUUUAAAUAGAAAAGCUCAAAUGAACGUUAAAUACCCCAUUUUUUAAAAAUAAAAUACACCUUAAUCUAAUCCAUCUGAUCUGACUCGAGCCACAAAAAAGACAUAAAUAAUAAAUAUACCCCCUUCAGUUCUGUUGGCCAAUUUUUUAACGAGAUUAAGCCACUAGAUACUUAUCAGGCAUAGCUCAUGAAAAAUUGAUUUGCAUCAGUGCAAACACAAAGAAAUAUAUUCGUUUCUCAGUUCGUGGAUCUGCAUCAGUGCAGAGCUCAUGAAAAAUGGCACUUGACAAACUAAUGCAAUAGAUUAGGCCCAUUGGAUAUUUCUCUAGAUGAUUGAGUUAAGAGGUCUCCUUAUGUGUCAAUCCGACAUCUCUUCAUUCCGAUAUAUUUAUAUGCAAUUUAGAUUUAUACAAAUUUUUUAUCAUGUCAUUUACUCAAAAAAUUUAUUCACUGAUUCUAGAAUUUUGAUGCACAUAGAAUCGCAUACCAAAAUUUAAAAUUGGAACAUAAUCGAACAAGAGCAAAGUUUGUAAUAGACAUUUUCUCUAGUUUCAUGCUUCUCCGUUAUCCCAUUUUGUUUUACGUUUUGUUCAUUUGUAAACUACCUACCAGUGUUACAUGUUGAAAGAGAAGUAUUUUUGUUCGUUGAAAAAAUUCGACCAACAGAACUAAGGGAAGGGUAUAUUUGUUUGUAUAUUUUUUAUGGGUCAGAGAUCAGCCGAGUUAGAUUAAGAUGUGAUUUAUUUUAAAAAAUUGGAUUGAUUUGGGACUUUCUGUUAAAGGAAAGUUAAAAGUGAAAAAUUUCUUAACCAUGAGGGCAAAUAUGGCCUCAAAGUAUGAAAUCGAGGGUAAAUUUGGACUCAAAGUAUAACGAAGGGUAUAUUUAACCAAUUUUUUAAAGUAGAGGAGUAAAUUUGGCCCCAAAGUAUGACAGCGAGGGUAAAUUUGACCCCGAAGUAUGAUGAAGGGUAUAUUUAGCUAAUUUUUUAAAGAAGAGGGGUGAAUUUGACCCUUUUCCUUAUAUAAUAACAUUUCUGACUACUUCAGUCGGUCGCUAUUUUAAUAAAAUUAAUUAUUUAACUUUUUCGACUAGAGUAGUCGGAAAUACAUAUUUAAUAAUUUAUUUAAAUAGUUAUUUAAUUUUUGUAUAAAGGUCUAAUUAUAUAUUUAAUGAUAUAUUUAUUUAAUUAUUUAUAUUUUCGACUACAAUAGUCGAAAAUAAAUAUUUUAUAAUUUAUUUAAAUAGUUAUUUAAUUUUUGUAUAAAGGUCUAAUUAUAUAUUUAAUGAUAUAUUUAUUUAAUUAUUUAUAUUUUCGACUACAAUAGUCGAAAAUAAAUAUUUUAUAAUUUAUUUAAAUAGUUAUUUAAUUUUUGUAUAAAGGUCUAAUUAUAUAUUUAAUGAUAUAUUUAUUUAAUUAUUUAUAUUUUCGACUACAAUAGUCGAAAAUAAAUAUUUUAUAAUUUAUUUAAAUAGUUAUUUAAUUUUUGUAUAAAGGUCUAAUUAUAUAUUUAAUGAUAUAUUUAUUUAAUUAUUUAUAUUUUCGACUACAAUAGUCGAAAAUAAAUAUUUUAUAAUUUAUUUAAAUAGUUAUUUAAUUUUUGUAUAAAGGUCUAAUUAUAUAUUUAAUGAUAUAUUUAUUUAAUUAUUUAUAUUUUCGACUACAAUAGUCGAAAAUAAAUAUUUUAUAAUUUAUUUAAAUAGUUAUUUAAUUUUUGUAUAAGGGCAUGAUUAUAUAUUUAGUAAUAUAUUUAUUUCAUUGUUUUUAUUUUCGACUACAGUAAUCGGAAUAUAUAUUUCCCGCAAUUUUCUGCCAAAUAUUCUGACUGUUGUAGUCACAAAUACUAUCGGAAUAAUAUUUUGUAAAAAAUAAAAAUAAAAAAGUAUAUUUUUCGACUACUUUUUUCAGUCGAAAAUUUUCAAUCGAAAAAUAGAAAUUUUCUGGUAUUGAAAAUACUAACUGUUGAAAAUUGAAUUGAAGUUUAUAGGAGAUUGGGAAAAUUGAAUGAUGAAUGAAUUGAAUUUAAUUGAAUUCUUGAAUAAUUGAACUUGAAUUGAUUGUACUGAAUGUAUUCCAUUGAAAUAAAAAAGAGUACAUUGUCUUAUCUAUACAAGUAAUUAAUCAUCUAAAUAAGAUAGAAGUCCAACUAAGGUACAAAAUAAUAAAGUGAGGAGACACUCCUAAAUAAGGUACAAGAUAUUAGAAAUAUAUUCUAAGGAUUUACCUAUACAGUAAAGAUUUACCUAGGAUAUACAAAAGACAUAAAAUAAUAUAUAAAAAUUUUCUAAAUUUGGACUGAAAUCAGCAUGUUGAGGCGGCUGACACUAAGGUUGACCCAAGCUAUAUAUUGCAGCAGAUGAAUGUACAGUGAGAUAAAACACGUAAAUCAAUUCGGUCCAUUAAAUAGAUACAACAAUAUUCCAAUAUUCCCCUCAAAUUUAGGAUACGAAAGAACCCCCAACUUGUGUAAUACAUUGUGAUGAAGAGGAUCGAUGAGAAGAGAAUUGAACUUUGUGAUGAAUAUAAUAAAACUGAGAAAAAAAUAAAAAUUGAAUUGAAUAUUAACCAUGCAUAUGAUAUGAGUGAAGCAGUUGGUUUGAUGAUAUCAUCAACACUACAAGAAAUCAGGUUUUUAGUGACAAAAAAUGUCGCCGCAAAAGAACCAAAAGUCGCCACUAAUUAUUUUUAGUGGCGACAUAAGGGUUGUAGCAAUUACUUCCGUAACUGAAUGGUUUUCGUGACGACAUAUGUAAGUCGCCACUGAAAGCGACAAAACUUGCCACAAAAAAGCAAGCAAACACGCCACAAUAGAAAUUUAAAAAAAUUAAUCUUGAAAUAGUCGCCACUGAAGAUGAGGCUUUAGCCGCGAUCAUUGUCGCCACAAAUUCUUUAGUGGCGAUCUUUUGUCGCCACAGAAGAUUGAUUUUUGAAGAUUAAUUUUUAUUUUUUACUUUUUUAAAUAAAAAUGACUUUGUGUGGCAACUACGGCUCGCCAUUAAUACUCACUUUUUUUUUCCAAAAAAAGGGAUAUAAAUUAUAUAUUAUCUGCUUCGUUGUCAAUAAUACAUCUAUAGUACUUAAAAGUACAAAGAUGAUAUUAAAAUAUAUUUCUCCACGAGAGAAUUAUAUAAUUUUUAACGGGUAACAAAUCAGUGUGACAUAUGAGAAAGAAAAUUACAAAAUAUCUUCAAACUUUUCAUGGCUAACAAUUCCAAACAUAAAAUUACCUGUUCUGAAAUAAAAAAUAAAGCAAAGUUUCAAUUCUAAACUUACUAAAAUGCAUGAAAUGAUUUUCGGUAAAUCCACAAGUAAAUUGACAAAAGCAAAUUCCUUAAUUGUGUUGCAUUAAAAUCCCCAAGUAAAUCUACCUAUGAACUUAGUUGGGGAUAUUUACAUGCAGAUUCUUUUAUUUAGGAAAUUACAUGAGAUUUUAAUUUUAAAAUUUUAGCUAGGGAUUUAUUUCAUGGGAAUUUAUUUGAGAACUUACGUUUGGUCAAGAAAAUUGUAUAUGGUGGGUGGAAUUACUUAAUCAACUUAGGAAAUAAAAUAUGGGAAUUGUAAAUAUACAACUACGUUACAUACAACUAGAGUGAUAGCAAAAAAAUCACCAUGAUAUUAAAGAGUAAGGAAAAAAGAUCUACGACAUAGAGUUAUACUUGGGAGAGAGAAUUAAGUAAAAUUUGUUUUUAUUUUUGUCAUUCUCACUUCUCUACACAAAUUCAAAAAUAAUUUCAAUUUAUAUCAAUGGUCAAAUACAACCCAACUCAACUUCAAUUCAAUUUCAAUUUCAACUCCAAAAAAAAAUUGAUUUUCAUGGCCAAAUGCCUACUAAAUUUUAUAUGUGUGAAUAGAGUUGGUGAAAUAAUAUAAACACCCAAGCAUAUCGUCAUCCUACUAUAUAAUUUAAAAUAAUGAAUCUAUCUAUACAUUUCAGUCAAUUACUAUUGCUUACGACACAUCACACCAUCUCUCGAGUGGCUAUAUAAGCCAAGCCUUGACACAUAUGUUUUUCCCAUAUAGGAUGUUACUCACAUCAAAGUUUCUUAUGGACUUGAUUGCACAUCUUAAAUUAGUUUCAAACACACAAUUGGAAUAAACAAGACUAUACUACUUCAAACAAUACCCACAAAUGCACUAGUGCCCUCCUCACAAGAAACUAUAUUUCAGUCUAACAUUUUAUUUUAAUUAAGCAUGAAUUUAACAUAUUUAACUUUACUAAACUUAGAAAUAACAAAAGAUGUAGAAGCAACGUUCAUAUUUGUAAUAAACAUAUAUAAUGUAUCAAAAAAUAUCUAUGAAUUUACUGUUUUUAAACAUUAAAAGAACACUAAUUUAUUUAUACAUGUUAUUAGACUAGAGGUGUGCUUGUGUGCAGGAUUAAUUUUUGAGAUGAUCAUUAUGUUUGAAUUUUGAAUCUACAUCUACUUACUCCAUUGGCUUUUAACAAAGGUUCUAAUUUCUUUAUGUAAAGUGGCAGGAAUUUGUAAAUACAAACGCAUUAGGCAUGAUAUUGAUUUAAAGUCAAUCAUUUAAUAAAUUAUGUUUUAGUCUCCAAUUAAUUCACUAUUGAAUGCACUUGCAUUCUUUCACUCCAUCAAAGUCCAUUCCUUUUCAAGUGAUUCAUUAAAUCAAGACUACAAUUAUCCUUAUCAAAAUAUGGGCAAAGUACUUUAAAAUACUUCCUCCUGGUUUUGAAAUAAUUAAUUAAAGAAGUGAACUGUUUGUAAACUUCACAUGAAUUGGAAGUCCAAUUAAGGAGCAUGAAAAGUAAAACUAUUGCUUUAGAGUCUGAUAAAUUCACGCAGCAGAAUCCAUUUUUUAGGUGAAGCUCCUAGAGUAUCACAUUCUUCCAGGACCCCAAUAAAGCUUUACCUAAAACAAUAACCAAGACAACCCAUACCAAAACCCACUCUUUAAGGACAUGAAUACUAACAUAGCACCAGAUAAAUAUUGAGAUCGAGCAAAUCAUGACUGAGGGUUAGAUACUAUCAAGAUGAGUCUUCAAAGUUUCAAGGGUAUUAAUGGUCCAGAAGAGUUUCUAUGGUGGACAUUAUAAAGUGAGCAAAUAGAAGAGAUCUUGAACAAAACCUAAACACGAGAGUAAACCUUAAAAUGUGAUGGACGGAGCUCGCUGGUGGGAUAGUGUUCUCCGGCGUGGGGAAGAGAACGGGGCAGCGGCCUCAGCUAUGGCUUUCCCGCCGGCUGCUGCUGUCGUUGGGCGGCCGCGGCGUGCUCAGCUGAAGCAGUGACGGCGUCGCCUUUAACGAGGGGUGGUGUUGAUCUGGAACGGAGCGGCGACGGAACUUCCGGGGGAAUGCCGGAUGGUUUGCUCGAUUGAGCUGCCCUGACUUGGAUUUGCGUAUGAAGAAGAAUAACGGAGCAACGGAGGCAACACAAGGUGAAGGGGAGGAGGCGGACUGGUGGUGCUCCGUCCGUCAGGCGGCCGGAGAUGGCGAUGACAAUUGAUAUUUAAAUAGGAACCCAAAUUGAUAUUCAAUUUUGGCUAAAAUUCAUACCAAUUGAAAUAAAAAAUGGCUAAAAAUUAAAGACGAAAAAAAAAAUUGAAUAAAAAUGGCUGCAAUAACAAUUAUAAUAAAUAUAAUAAUAACAAAUCGAUAUAUUUGUAAAUUGUGAAUGUACACAUUUACAUGAAAAAAUAAUUUGAUAAUAUAUUUGUCAAAUUAUAAGAACAGCAAUAACAAUUAUAGUAAUAAUUUACAUGAAAAAAUAAUUUGAUAAAUACUAAUAAAAGCAUGUAAAAUAUUAUAUUUGAAUUAAUAAAUUGUAAAAGAUGAUAUAAAAAAGUAAUAGAAUAAUUUAUACAUUUUUAAAUCAUGAAUAUGGAUUGUCUAUAUAUAAAAUAUAUAUUCAAAAUAUAUUUACAAAUAAUUUAAUUUAUUUUUAUAAGAAAAAAUAAUGCAAAAUGAAAAUUUGAACUUUUGAUUUGGUUUACUUUUUAAACUUUUUGGGCUUUUAAUUUAUAUCAUUAAUUAUUCUAUAUUUUUAUUAUUAUCGUAAAUAAUUUUUAUUUGUAACUAAUAUUGUAAAAUAACUAACUUGUAACUAUAUAUGUCACUAUUACCCCUAAAUCUUAUAACUUUUGUGGCGACCUACACAUAGUCGCCACUAAAUAUGUCACUAUUAGUGACGACUUUAACGGGCGUCCCUAAAUCUUAUACCUUUUGUGGUGACCUAAGUAUAAUCGCCACUAAAUAUGUCACUAUUAGUGGCGACUUUAAUGGGCGUCCCUAAAUCUUAUACCUUUAGUGGCGAUCUAAUCAUAGUCGCUACUAAAUAAAUCACUAUUAGGGGCGGCUUUAACUGUCGCCCCUAAAUCUUAUACCUUUUGUGGCAACCUUCACAGAAAUAUUAGCUUUUGUGGCAAUUGUUUGUGUCGCCACUGAAAGUCGUCACAAAAAACUGUAUUUCUUAGAGUGAAUCAUGUUUACUGAUGGGAUUUGACACAUAAAAAAGAGUUGAAAAUGGUGUUAGGAGAAGUAAUUCUUGAUGAUUAAAAUCCGGAGAUUUAAAAUUUUUUUUACCAUAAUGGGUAUAUAAAAUUGAAGGAUUGCGUUAUUGAUGUAAUCAAAUAGAGGAAAAAUUAUUAUUUGAAUCAGAGGUCCAAGGAAGGUAAAAAAAUAAUUUAUUUGAGAGUGACAUCAAAAUAAGAAUAUUUUUUUUAAAAAAUAAUAUUGAUUAUGAUUGAUUAUUUUGAUGAUGGUGGUGAUAGUUAUUGAUGAUUUUGAUCAUUUUUUUUAAAAUACCAUUAAGAAUUCAAAAAUUAAAUAUUUAAAAAAUAAUAGAGGAAAAAAGAGAGAUUAUGUUGUUUUGAGGAUGAAUUUAUGGAUGAAGAUAAAUAGGAUCAGGGAUUUUUACAUGGACCCUUAACAAAACUUCAUAUGCAAAAAAACUUUAUGAUUUAAAAACACAAUCCAACAAAGAAAAAUUCAAAGAUUAAAAAACUUGAAGCGACAAAGAAAUUGAUGAUUUUGAUAAUUAAUGAUGAUGACAAGUGCACCAUGAAAGAACCAAGUCAAUAGACUUGUUCCACAUAUUGUGAAUACAACUACUAUGAAUGAAUUGGUAGUAAAAAUAUUCCGUCUUGAGUACUAUCAAUAUGGUUAUACUUGUUCCAUCUUGAAUACUACCAAGAUGAUUAUAAUUGUGCUGAGAGAGAGGAUGGCGAGUGCAGUCGCCAUGAACGGACCAUGGCAGUAGACAUGUUUCAAACACUGUGAAUCAGAAGGUUAAGAAGUAUUUUUUUUACUGAAAAAAAAAACACAAAAAUUGACACAAGAUAAUGCAAGGAUCGAAACCUUAUUUUGAUACCAUGUUGAAAAUUGAAUUUAUGUUUAAAGGUGAUUGCGAAAAAUUGAAUGAUGAAUGAAUUAAAGUUAAUUGAAUACUUGAAUAAUUGAACUUGAACUGGUUGUACUUAAUGUAUUUCAUUGACAUAAAACGGAGUAUAAUGUUCUGUUUAUACAAGUAGUUAAUCAUCUAAAUAAUAUAGAAGUCUAAAUAAGAUCCAUAAUAAUAAAGUGAUACACUCCUAAAUAAGGUACAAGAUAUUAGAAAUAUAUUUUAAAAAUUUACCUAUAUAGUAAAGAUUUACCCAAGAUGUACAAAAGGAAUAAAAUAAUAUAUAAGGAUUUUCUAAAUUUUACCAAAAUCAACAUGUUGAGGCAGCUGAAAUCAUAGCUGUCUCAAGUUAUGUAUUGCAGCAGAUGAAUGUACAGUGACAUGAAAUACGUGAAUCAACUCGGUCCAUUGAACAAAUACAACAAUAUUUAACUAAAUCGCGGUCAUCUUGAUCGGAAAAUUACCACGGUCGUACUUAACUUUCUUAAAUCCAAUAAUUCAAUUAAUAACUUAAGUCACUUUCGUACAUCCAAAAAAUUGAUAUUAUCCAUCCCCGUGAGUCUUAAAUCACAUAUACAAAUUACGUGAAGAGUUAAAAUGAAAAAGACAAGUAAACUUCACGAAAUGACUAGGAGGAUCGUUAUAUUUGUAAAUCAUAAUGAAGAAGAAAAAUGAUAUGUUUGAAAUUUAAGAUUGAAAAAAAAAAAUUGUAUGAUUGCUAAUGAAGAAGGAGAAAGUGGUAUGGUUAAAGAAAGAGAAAAUCGUUUCAGAGAGAAAAAAGGAAAUAAUUGAUAUCCUAAUAACUGUCAUCUUUUUUUAUGGUUAAGAAAUCUUUUUUCUUAUAUGUAAUUUGUAUUUUAUUUUCUUAUUAAAAUAAAAAUAUUUUUUGCUUUUUAUACCAAUUAUUUGUCAUAAUUUGCAAUCUAAAAAAUUUUGCUAUAUUUUGUAUUAAACAAUCAAAGAAUGUUUAUUUAAAUUUUUUACCCUAUUUUAGUUGAAUUUAAAUUUUUUUGUUAGUUGUUGUGUCUUAGGUUGCUUUAGUAGUAUAGUUAUUACUACUAUAUUCUAUGGCCUUUGUUUGAUAUAAGUUUUUUAUUAUAUAGCCUUUGUUUGAUUUAAGUUUUUUCCGUUACUAAAUAAGAUUUUUUUUAUUCAAUAGGUAAUAGUUAAGAUUAUACUCAAUAGUUAAGAUUAUAUUAUAUAAUAAAGAUAAUAUCUUCAAGUUGUAUGUCUUUCACCAAUAAAUUUUUCUUAUGAAAGAUAUUAUUAGAGAGGCAAGACUUGUAAGAUAGAUUUAUAUUUAUUGUGUUCGAGAAAAAAAUUAGUACUUUUAAUAAAACAAUUAUGUAUGGUCAUGGUACAGGUGAGGGCCUCUAUUAAAAUAUAGUACUUUUGACAAAACAAUUAUGUUGAUGGUGAUGGUGAUGGUGAUGGUGAUGGUGAUGGUGAUGGUGAGAGCCUCAAAACUUGGUCAAACUCAUCGAUAGACACUUAAAAUUGUUGUAAAAAUUUACUUAGACUCCUAAACUAAGGCUUGUUCCUAUCAGACACCUAAACCCCCAAAAUUUGUUCCAAUUGAACAUUUUUUGCCUAUGUGGCACUGCGCGUGCAGUGCCAUGGAAAGCGCGUGAGGAACAUUUUUUUUUUUUUUACUAAUUUAUGAAUAAAAAGUUGCCAAGUGACAGUGAGAGCCCCAAAAAUUUUUUAAUAACAAUUUUUUUUUUUUUAAACACUAAAGGCCCCAAAAAGCAUUAAAGGGCCCCAAUUUUGUUUCUUUUAAUAAAACUGAAUUUAAAAAAAAUCUGUUUUUUAUUUUCAUCUUUUAAAAAUUUUUAUCAUUUAUUUUAAAUAAUUAGUUUAUUUUUUAAAAAAAUAGUUUAUAAUUAUUUUUUUCAUAAUAUGGAUCCUCAAUGCCAUUUUUUAUUUUCAAUUUAAAAAGUUUUAUAUAUUUUUUUAAUAAUUAAUUUUAAUUUUUUAAAUAAUUUUUUAAUAAUUUAUUUCAUUUUUUAAAAGAUUUAAUAAUUUAUUUUAAAUAAUCAGUUUAUUAUUAUUAUUAUUAUUUUUAAAAUUAUUUUAUAAUUAUUUUUUCCUAAUUUAGAUCCUAAAUGCCAUUUUUCAUUUUCAUUUUUUAAGAUUUUUUAUAAUUUUUUUAAUAAUUAUUUUUUUAAAAAAUAAUUUUUAAUACUUUAUUUCAAUUUUUAAAGAAUUGUUUUUAAAUAAUCAGUUUUUUAUUUUUAUUUUUCAAAUAAUUUUAUAAUUUUUUUUCAUAAUUUGCAUCCUCAAUGCCAUUUUUUAUUUUCAUUUUUAAAAGUUUUACAAUUUUUUUUAAUAAUUAGAUUUUAAAUAAUUUUUUAAUAAUUUAUUUCAUUUUUGAAAUUUUUUAUAUAUUUUAAAAAUAAUUAUUUUUCUAUUUUCAUUUUUCAAAUAAUUUUAUAAUUAUUUUUUCAGAAUUUGGAUCCUUAAUGCCAUUUUUUAUUUUUAUUUUAAAAUGUUUUAUAUUUUUUUAAUAAUUAAUUUUUAUUUUUUAAAUAAUAUUUUAAUAAUUUAUUUCAUUUUUUAUAAAUUUAUAAUUUUUUUUAAAUAGUCAUUUUCUUAUUUUAUUUUUUCAAUAAUUUUAUAAAAGAAAAUUCAUAAUUUAUAUCCUCAAUGCCAUUUUCUAUUUUUAUUUUAAAAAAAAUUUUAUAAUUUAUUUUAAUAGUUAAUUUAUUUUAAAAAAAUAAUUUUUUAAUAAUUUAUUUCAUUUUUAAAAAAUUAUAAUUUUUUUAAAAUAAUCUGUUUUUUUAUUUUUUUAAAUAAUUUUAGAAUUAGUUUUGAAUAAUUUUCUCAAUGCCAUUUUUAUAUACUUUUUUUAAAAAAAUUAUAAUUAAUUUUUAAUAAUUAUUGGACCCACAAUGCCACCUGUCAGCUUCCAAUUAGCUCGUUUUGCCACGUCCUCGAGUGUGUGCAACACACACUUUGACCUUUUUGCUGAUAGGAAAAAAAAAUGCUCAAUUGGAACCAAAUUGGGGGGGGAGGGGGGAGUUAGGGGUUUAAUAGGUACAAAUCUUAGUUUAGGGACCUAAGUAAAUUUUAUCCCAUUUAUCCCAAAUGUUGAUUAAAAUAAAAUGGCCAAGCCAAUUGAUAGUCCCUCAAACUUGUCCCUAAAAUUCACUUAGACCCCUAAACUAAGGCUUGUACCUAUUAAACCACUAACCCCNNNNNNNNNNNNNNNNNNNNNNNNNNNNNNNNNNACCCCCUCCUCUUCUCCCUCACCCCCACCCCACCCCACAUCUUCACAUGAACAAAUUCAUUUUAAUCGACCAUAAUUAUUCUCAUUUCUUGAAAAUUUUCAACAAGAUUCCCUUUUUUUCCUCCAUUAGUAUCACCAUUUCUUGAAAAUUUUCAACAAGAUUCACUUUUUUCCCUCCAUUUUAGUAUCACCUUUUCUUGAAAAAUUACAACAAAUUUCAAUAAAGAUCAUUUUUUUCUUUAAGAAAGAUCACUUUUAUCACCAUUCUUUUUUUUUCUUCCACAAGAAAGGUCACUUUUUUUUUUUCAUUAAUAUCACAAUUUUAUAAAAAGUUUCAAUAAAAAUGACUUUUUUAUAAACUCCUUUUGAAUUCUUGAAGUAGAUUUAAACCAAAAUUUUAUGUGUAUUUUUGAGGAUCAUGGAGAAGCAAGAUUCACUUUAAUGGAGAAGAAGAGGGAAGGGGGGCGGGGGGGAGAUUAACGCUNNNNNNNNNNNNNNNNNNNNNNNNNNNNNNNNNNNNNNNNNNNNNNNNNNNNNNNNNNNNNNNNNNNNNNNNNNNNNNNNNNNNNNNNNNNNNNNNNNNNNNNNNNNNNNNNNNNNNNNNNNNNNNNNNNNNNNNNNNNNNNNNNNNNNNNNNNNNNNNNNNNNNNNNNNNNNNNNNNNNNNNNNNNNNNNNNNNNNNNNNNNNNNNNNNNNNNNNNNNNNNNNNNNNNNNNNNNNNNNNNNNNNNNNNNNNNNNNNNNNNNNNNNNNNNNNNNNNNNNNNNNNNNNNNNNNNNNNNNNNNNNNNNNNNNNNNNNNNNNNNNNNNNNNNNNNNNNNNNNNNNNNNNNNNNNNNNNNNNNNNNNNNNNNNNNNNNNNNNNNNNNNNNNNNNNNNNNNNNNNNNNNNNNNNNNNNNNNNNNNNNNNNNNNNNNNNNNNNNNNNNNNNNNNNNNNNNNNNNNNNNNNNNNNNNNNNNNNNNNNNNNNNNNNNNNNNNNNNNNNNNNNNNNNNNNNNNNNNNNNNNNNNNNNNNNNNNNNNNNNNNNNNNNNNNNNNNNNNNNNNNNNNNNNNNNNNNNNNNNNNNNNNNNNNNNNNNNNNNNNNNNNNNNNNNNNNNNNNNNNNNNNNNNNNNNNNNNNNNNNNNNNNNNNNNNNNNNNNNNNNNNNNNNNNNNNNNNNNNNNNNNNNNNNNNNNNNNNNNNNNNNAUUUGUUUUUUUUAUUUUAUAAUUUAUUUUUAAUAAUCAAUUUUUUAUUUUUUAAAUAAUUAUAUAAUUAAUUUUUAAUAAUUAUCGAACCCAUAAUGCCACGUGGUAGCUUUCAAUUAGCCCUUUUUGCCACAUCAGCGCGUAUGUACAACACACACUUUGAGCUUUUAGCUGAUUGGGCAAAAAGUGUCCAAUUGGAACCAAAUUGGGGUGGGGGUGGGGUGGGGGGGUUACGGGUUAAUAGGUACAGACCUUAGUUUAGGAAUCUAAGUGAAUUUUAGAGAUAAGUUUGAGGGGCUAUCGAUGGAUUUGACCAAAUAAAAUCUAUCAACUUUCUAGUAUUUCAAAAUGAAGACUUCACAUAAUACGCAACCAACCACCUUGAGAAUAAUAUCACCCACUUUCGUAAAUUAUAGUUAUCAUAAUACAACUACCGAAAGAAAAUAAAAUGGUUAAAGUAGAUCAAAAAUCACAAGGAAGAUUGUUACUGUGAAAUUAUCCUCGACAAUCAUGAUAAUAUCUUAGUCCUUUCAUUUCCGUCCUUUACACCUGGGCCUCUAGAUAGUAGGUGUAUUUUAGAUUCCCCACACAUUGUUGAAAUGCUUUGAGCACAUGCUAAUAUUCUAUCCACAACUUGUCUUUCAUAUUGUACUGCUAAUUUUUUCUUUUACUUGUCCCUUUUAAUAUAUCCAGAAAAUAUAACUUUUUUCUUCAUACUUUUUGUUUAUCAUUAAUUAUUGUUAAAAUCUAAUAAUAAAUGUCUAUUAAUGAAAAUGGUAUUGUAAAAUAGAUAAGUCAUUAUUGUUUUCUUAAUGAACUUACUUGAGUUAAAAUGUGACAAAUAAAAGUGAACCGAAUUAUAGCUACUUUUCAAGCCAUACUUUUUUUUCUCUAAAGAAUGUUUUUGUUUUAUUUAUGAGAUUAUUUAUUCUAUCAAAUUUUUUUUACAUUUUAAUAAAGUACAUUUCGCAAUUAUUUUGUGUGGUUGUCUAUUUUAUGUAGUUUUAAAAAAUUUGGAGUUUUUUGUGAAUCAACAUGUUUUAAAAGUCUAGUAGUUAAUUUCUCAAAAUAAAAAUGUAGUAGUUAGUGAAUUACAAUUUAUUUUUAAAUUUUAAAUAAGAAUUUACUGUAAUUACAUGUAAUAGUUUUUGCCUCUGUUAUUAGAUAUAGACAGAUUAUACAGGUAAACUAUCUUUUUUUUUUUUUAUGUAUAUGUCUAUUAUAUUAUAUAUUGAAUUCUCAUAGUUUCUUCACGUAUUAUAUAUCUUAAAAAUAUAUAAUUAAAUCUUCUAAGUAAAAUUCAAACUCUAUCACUUUAUUUGAUAACUCAUUUUGUUUUAAUUUUGCCAAUAAUUUUUUUCAAAUCCAACAACAUACUAUUAUCAUAACAUUUUGAUCAUGCAUGGUUAUUGAAUUUUUCAAGUAAGUUGUUUCAUCACUAAGAAGAACAAAACACAUUAUUCUAAGAAAGGAACAAUACAUACGAAGAAAACAAAAAUGUACGGUGUAUUAUUGGUUCACUCUCAAUAGUAGUAAAUAGGAGUUCAUGUGAACAAUAAAAUUUCAAAUUUGUUUUACUUUUUGUUUAAAAAAUUAUUUUUAAUUUUUUUUUUGAGGUUUCCAAUCAAGGUUUUACUUUGCAAAACUUCAGUUGCUAAACGGCAAAAUUGAAGAUCAAUUAUUUUAGUGGCAAAAUUUUGAGACCAACUAAUUUAAGGGACAAUUCAUGUCAAUUUUUAAAAAAUAUAUGGUUCACUAAACCUACUCAAAUUUGGGUUGAUUAUUGACUCGUUGAUAUAUUAACUCAAUUUACUUCAGCCUAAGCUGAGCCAUUUUUGCUCAUUAAAAAUUGAGUUGAUAUGCAACACAAAUUGACCAAUAAAAGAUAUUGACAAAAUAUUUUCAAAAAUAAUUUAAAAUAUAUAUAUAUAUAUAUAUAUAUAUAGGAAAAGAUUAUAUAAUCUAGUUUAAUUGUCUAACUUCUCACAUUAACAACUUUACCCCAUUGAGAGCUUUCCAUAUUCAUGUUACGCUUUCUUCUUAGUGUUCAACAAGAAAGCUGAAUAAAAUUAAAAUUGGGAAUUAGUUUUCUUGGGAUCAUAAUUUAAAUUGAUUAAGAUAAUGAAGGCAUGUCUAUUUUUGAUUAUUAAAAUCAACCAAUUUAACUAUUAGCGAGAAGUAGCAUAAAUAUUCAUAUUUUUUCUAACGGGGCAUUAAUAAGCUCACUUACUUAAUUAUGAUAGUUAAAUGAAAUAUUUGAGAUAUUCACCAUAAAUAAAAUCAAUUAACUUAUAAAAAAAAUUUGCGACAUCGUUUUAACGCUGAGCUUGAUCAAGUUUACACUUUUUCAAUUUUGACGUUAAAAAAAAAGGAUCAUUCUUGAUUUAUAUUAUUAAAAAACAUUUUAAAAUAUAGAAAAAAAUUGAUAACGUUGGGUGAUAUUCGACAAUCAACUUUUUACCCAUUUUUAAGUAGUGAUAUAUAAAAGUGAUAUUUUUUAAUUUUAUAUCUAGCUAAUUUUUGUGUGUUUUUUUUUUUGUGAUGGAGGAGGACUAAGGAAAAGAGUCCACUCAUCAACACGUGUUAAUAUCUAACAAGAGUCAAUAAUUAAGAUUCCAGGACGUACAAAUGACCAAAACAUAUGGGCGAGUAUAUUAAUUUUUUGUCUCUUGUUUGAUACUGAUAUAUUAAAAUAUAUUUCCUUUUUACUUGUUGUGAGUGCCCACUGAAAUAUAUCAAAUAUUUUUUCAUUUGAUAAUAUGUCACGACCUGAAUUCGAGACCGUAAUGGCACCCAUACAACCUUCCAUGAUAGAUAAGUCAAGAACUAAAUGUCAAAUACAACAUACCAAAUGUAUAAAAACAGAAGUAGAUUAAUAGACCAGUAUAGUCAAAACAUAGAUAAUCUCAGGACAGGUAGUUACUAAUAUAAGCCACUAAAUACAGAAAUCAAAGAAAAAAAUUGUGUAUCUCAACAUGAGAAAAAUGCAUAAAGAUAAGGUUAGAGAAAAUUUCAGUAGUCUCUAAAAUCAAUAACAGCUACCUCGAAUCUCUAAAGUACUAACAAAGAAGGAACCACAGGAAUCAAUGUCCAGAGAUUGUCUAAUCGAUAUCUGCAUGUAAAGGUACAGAAAAAACAAGGCUGAGUAUGGAGCCAUAUGUACUCAGCAAGCAUCGUUGAUCGAUCUUAAUUCGAUGCAAUGAUGAGUAACACUGCGCAACCAUCUAAAAUAAUAAUACAACCUGCACUCAUGUAAGCAACCCUGUUCUAACUAAAUAAUCAAUUCUGGUAGUCAUAAAGAUAUCAUAACACAGUCCAAGAAAUCCUCAAUACCAUGAAAUCAAGUAACAAUGGUCAAGUACUUAAUGAAUAAUAAAAAGUCAACAAUUACGCCUUACUUAAUAUGAACUAGGAAUGAAUGCAAUGCAAUGCAUGUGUGUGUACACACAUACCGAGCAAUGACUUCAAGUUCAAGACCCAUGGUGGACUCACAAGGUCCAUGUAUUGUGCAGGCGUUCACUUCGAUCCCAAUAAAUACAUUGUGCAGGCAUGCAUUUCAAUCCCAAUAAUAGAUAAUAAUGUCCAAACGUGUACUUCGACCCCAUAUGAAAUGCAAUGCAUAACGUGCAGAUGUAACUCUGAUGCCAAACAAUACAAUUAAGCAAAAUAUUUCAUGUCUUAUACAAAAUGAACAUCAGUUUCAAAAUCAACUCAACUUAUCAAGUGGGAGUAUGCUCAUUAGCUAGAAUUUUCAACAAUUCAUUUACUACAGCAAAUCAGCUCAUCGUACUAGCAAGUAGGAAAAACAGUUCAAAAUAUACAAUUGACUUAUUUUAACCCCUCAAAUAACACUGAUACCUGCAUAGAUGCUUGUCACUUCACCUAUACGAUAUCCUCAUUCUUCAUUACUCCCAUUACACAUAACUAAUACAUAAGCACUUUGAAAAAGAAGAAGAAGAACAACAACAAACAAACCCAGUGUAUUCCCACAAAGUGAGGUUUGGGAAGGGUAAAAUGUACGCGGUCCAUACCGCUACCUAUGAAAAAGUAGAGAGGUUGUUUCUGAUAGAAUCCCGGCUCAAAAUACAGAAUAGUAGACAAGGGGAUUUGGGGGGAGGGGGAAUAGAUAACAUAACAAAAAUCCAGCGUAAGGAAUAAUAACAUAUACAUUAGGGAAAUACGAAAUACGGAGAUAAGGCAACACAAAAGAAAAAAUAGGAAUUGAGAAAAUUUGAGUGGGGUGCCCACGUAGAAAAAAAAUACUUACACAUCAUAGAAACCUAUGUACACAGUCCCAAUACUACUAACCCAGCUACACAAGGUCCUUCCUGAUGUCUUGCUACAACCCGCACCCUUUUGCUAGGCUUCUACCCUAAUCCACGACCUCCACACCUUUCUAUCUAGGGUUAUGUCCUCUGUAAGCUGCAAUUGUUCUAUGUCCUGUCUGAUCACCUCCCUCUAGUAUUUCUUCUGCCUACCUCUACUCCUCUUGAAGCCAGCCAGUGUUAGCCUCUCACACCUGCGAACUGGGGCAUCCACGUUCCUCCUCAAAACAUGCCCAAACCAUCUCAGCCUUUCUUCCCGUAUCUUGUCCUCAACCAAGCCACUCCCAUCUUUUCCCGAAUAGUCUCAUUCCUAACCCCGUCCCUUCUAGUAAGCGCACACAUCAGAUGCAACAUCCUCAUUUCUGCCACCCUCAAUUUUUUAAUGUGGGAGUGUUUGACUGGCCAACAUUCUGUUCCAUACAACAUGGCCAGACGAACUGCCACUCUAUAGAAUUUACCUUUAAGCUUAAGAGGCACCUUCCUAUCACACAACACUCCCGAGGCGAGCCUCCACUCCAUCCAACCUGCUCUAAUACAUUUAGUGACAUCUUCAUCAAUUUCACCAUUCCCCUGGAUCAUAGAUCUAAGAUACUUAAAACUAUCCCUCUUACAGACAUCCUGGGAGUCCUACCUCACUACCACAUCAUCCUCCUUCCUCAAGUCACUGAACUUGCUUUCCAAAUACUCCUUUUUGACCUACUCAACCUGAACCCCUUAGACUCUAGGGUUUGCCUCCAAUCCUCCAAUCUGUCAUUGAUGCUCCUUCGCAUCUCAUCAAUCAGCACUACAUCAUCCGCAAAUAACAUACACCAAGGCACCUCGCCUUGAAUACUCUGUAUCAACACAUCCAUCACCAACGCAAAAAGGAACAAACUAAGAGUCGAUCCCUGAUGCAACCCUGUCUCGACCGAAAAAUUCUCUGAGUCUCCUUCCUUCGUUCUCACCCUAGUCUUCUCUCCAUCGUAUAUGUCCUUAAUAACUCUGAUGUACGCCAUCGGGACACCUCUCACCUCCAAGCACCUCCAAAGAACCUUUCUUGGUACUUUAUUAUACAUUUUUUCCAGGUCGAUGAACACCAAGUGUAAGUCCCUCUUUCUUUCGCUAUACUGCUUCACCAAUCUCUUCACCAAGUGGAUUGCUUCUGUCAUCGAGCGACUAGGCAUAAAUCAAAACUAAUUCUCCAAAAUGAAAAUGACCCUCCUCAAUCUCAAUUCAACUACUCUCUCCCAAAUCUUCAUAGUGUAACUCAAUAGCUUAAUAAUUCUAUAGUUAUUGCAACUCAGAAUGUCACCCUUUUUUUUAUAUAGCGAAUCAUCAUACUCCAUAUCUAACUCUCAGGAAUUCUCGUUGUCUUGAAAAUACAGUUAAACAAAUCCGUCAACCACCUUAGACCUGCCCCACCAGUAAACUUCCAAAAAUCCAUCGGAAUCUCCUCCGGCCCCAUCGCCCUACCCCUACGCAUCCUAUGAAUAGCCUCUUUGACCUCCUCAACCUUAAAACACCUACAAUAGCUGAAAUCACGACUCUCCCCCAAGUGCUCCAGCUCCCCUAACUCAAUACCUCUGCCCCCCUCCUCGUUCAAAAGUCUAUGAAAGUACUCCUGUCAUUUCUUCUUAAUGUGAACAUCCUCCACCAGAACACUACCAUCCUCCCCUUUAAUACACUUCACUUGAUCAAGGUUAAGACCCAUCCGCUUCCUAGCCUUUGCAAGCCUAUACAACCUAUUUUCUUCUCCUUUCUCCUCUAACACCCUAUCCCCUUUUCUAAGUAGCAAAAAGUCAAUUUGAGUCUUAGCUAUCGUGCUUUGAAAGGUAAUUAGGUGAUCUUUCUUCUUCGGCAAGCUUGAAUUCACUAGCACCAGUCCAAAGGUCCUCGCAAAGUCCAACACGGCAGCUCCCUUAUUAUUUCUAACACCAAAUCCAAAACCACCAUGUACGUCGUCAUAGCCUCCCGGUAAGACCCCAAUGUGCCCAUUAAAGUCCCCUAUGAUAACGAUCUUCUCUGAGCUAGGCACGCUUCUCACCAUCUUAUCUGAAACCUCCCAAAAUAUCGCCUUCACCUACUCUUCCAAGCCCACCUGCUGCGUAUAAACACUACGCACAUGCAACGCAAAACGCCCAAUGACCAACUUGAUCUUCAUCAGCCUAUCAUUGACCCUCUUAACCUCAACCACCUGUCCCCUAAGCUCCUCGUUCACUAAGAUGCCAACUCCAUUCCGACUCCUCUCACUCUCUGAGUACCAAAGCUUGUUCCCAUCAACAUCCCUAGCCUUAGAUCCUAUCCACCUAGUUUCUUGAACACACGUAAUAUUAAUCCUCCUCUAUUUAAGAAUCUUCACCAACUUCACGUACUUACCCUGAAGGGUCCAAAUGUUCCAAGACCCUACCCUCAACCUAUACUCUCUCAUCUCUCGUCUCCCUCUAACCCUCUUCCCCAACCCAACCCUAGCCCCCAAGUUAUACCCCCUACCUACCCCGCCCUCCCCUCCUUACCCUUACCCAAAAAAGCCUGUACUCCCACCCCUCUCAGACAUGACCCUAUUACACCAUCGACCCCUCCAGCCAUUACUCAAACACCAAAAUAAAGCCCCAAUUCGACAACCCAAUAGACAAAUCAACUUAACAAAAAUAGUAAGGAAGACACGCCCAAAGUACACUAACCGACCUAGAAGCUAGAACCAACACAACAAAAUACACCAAUUAGCAAAGUAGCUAGUCACUGAUAUACCCACAAGAGACAGGAAAUAAGAACGGAAAUAAACAAGGACAGGAAACAGUAAAUAAAUAAGGGGAAGACAAGAAUCAAGAAACAAAACAAACAAGAAGUAAACAAAACCCAGUAGAUCAAAGACACCAAACUAUAGGAGUGCCUAAAUAAUAAAUUAUAGAAGUCACCGGUUAUUUAGAUGUCGAAAAUUGAUUGCCGGAACAAAAGUCACCAAAAAAAUAUUUGCUGGUGCUUCACCGAAGUAUCGUCGACGCUUCGCUAGGAUCUGGGUGCCUGCUGGCGUCGUUCGACCAGUUUGACGGACAACCCAUGAAUAGAUUACUCAAAAGAAGGGGGGAAAGGCAAACGAUUGAGAGGGCUGAGGGGGGGAAGAAACUCGUGGGAGAGGUUCACCUUACCUGUUGCUGUCGUCAGCGUUGCAAUCUGUAGGUCCGACGAGGUUUUUGGGUGAAAAUAAAUUAUAAUUACACUCCAAAAUAAAAACUUAUCCAACGCUUAAGAAGAGUCUAAGAAUAUCUUAACUUGCCUUAAAACAAGAUCAAUUAAGUUAACCCGAAGUCGAAAGAAUCAGAUGAAUGUUUUAUCCGUUUUAUCCGUAAUGAUUAAUAUCCAUUUCAAUUUUGACAAAGAGAUUCAAGAAUGAAUAUACAAUUAGAACAAAUAAAGGAUAUACGGUAAUACCACAAUAACACCCACACACCCACACAUACACCCCCCGGCACAGACACACAUACGCACACACAUAUAUAUAUAAAGUCAUCUCAAAGUAUAGCCUAGAUCAUCAUAUCUUCAUUUUAAGGCCUCAUUAAAAUCCGAUCAGUAUUUAAUACUAUCAUACUCAGGGUUUCUAAUCCACAUAUGUCAUCAUGAAUAAUAAUGAAAUCGUAAGAUAGAAGAGGCCGAAAAUAGACCUCAAAUCUAGAUACCGAAUCAAUUACCAAUCUGUCAUAAACUAGCCAUAAUAAUGAUCAUAACAAUGAUAAUAAUGAAAUCAAUAACAACAUGAGUAACCAGCUAUUUUGAAAAAUCAAAUACCUAAUCGAGCCUAUGUGUUUCCCCCAUCGCCCCAGGCUCAGAAGGCUCAAUCAGUAUACAACACCACAAGGCAUAGUCAUCAUCCACAACUAUGCAACCGUCCUAUACCAGCUGAUAGACAUAAACAUAUACUAGUAAUAGGCGAUGCACAUGCAAAAAUGAAAGCAAGGUACACAAUCAAUAUCAUAAUCAUCCUUUGAACUCGAACUUCAUAUAUAUAUAUAUAUAUAUAUCAUCACAACAUCCUACGGUCUUGUCGAACAUCAAUAUCAUCAUCUCAGUAUCCUUCGUCCUUGUUGAGUAUCAAUAUCAUCAUAAUAGUAUCAUCCGGCCUUGCUGGCUAUCAAUAUCAUCGUAACAACAUCCUCCGGCCUUGCCGGGUAUCAAUAUCAUCAUAAUCAUCAAUACAUACAUAUAGUUAUAUAUAAUAGGUGCACAAACUCAAGCCAUGUCUAAAAGAGUAUAAAUUUAUAAGUCUGUUGCUCGAAAUGAUCUUCGAAACUAAAUCAUUGUAAAAAUAUACAAAGGGUCGGAUAUCUCACGAUCGGAGCAAAUAAUAGUGUCAAGUCAUGAAUCGAAAUCUAUCUCGAUUAAAUCUUUAAACAAUAUUUUAACCUUUUUUUAUACUUAUAAAUAUUUCAUUUGGUAGGCAAUUAUUAUAGUAAAGAAAUCCAUUGUUACGGUGAAAAGUGGAUUUUAACCCUUAUUUAGGAACAACAGUGUUAAGGUCGCAUUUUAGCUAAGAUCACAUCAAUAUCAAUAUAAUAAUCAUGAAUGUAACGAAUCUGUGUAUGCCAUCACUAAUAUUCAGUAAAUGAAAUCAUAAGCAACACAAACAUAUAUGUAUCCAUAUUCUACAACCGUAUCCUUUACAAGGAUAAAUACUUCUCGGAUAUUCAACCAAUAUCAUAACACGACCCUUGAUCCAAUGAUGUGUUUGGAAUAAUCACAACAUUAUACUCAUAGCUUUAGGCCCAAUAAUAAAAGACAAGCACCACAAGGGCUAAAGUAAAGUGUGAGCUCCACGAGGGCCAGCAUACCUUCAUAACCCAUUAGUCGUCGUCAAGGACAAUUUAUCUAUAAAUAUAUGAAUGAAUAUAACAUAAAUAUUAAAAUGCAUUAUCGGAUUCAACAUGCUUAGUUGCAUAGCUUCUCAUGUAGUCAAUAAAUAUGCCUUCUAGAGCCCUUAGUAUCAUGACUCACAAUAUUAGCAACAAGAGGACUUUCUAGACUAACCACCAAUUUGGUUACUAGGAAAAAUAUAAUAAUAAUAAUAUCAUAGUUCAAAGAUCGAAAUAGUAGUCUACUCAAUUUAAAUGAUAACAUAGUCAUGGAUUCAAUUAAUAACAUAAUCCAUAGCUACACAUAAAAUUAACGAUAAUGUAGUCAACAACAAUAUGCGUCAUCUCAAAUACUAUCACCAUAACUCAUUUACCACAGUUAGCGAAUAUGCUCUGAAGACUAUUCUCUAAGUGUUUAAAAAUGUCUAAGGUCUUCGAUGGAACUACAUAAAUCCAAGCGUAAGGUGGGUGAAGAUCCCACUUCUAAUCCUCAAUUUUCAUAACUAGACAAACUAUGCCCCAAACUAGGCUAAGAUAUCUAGUUCAACCUCUAGAUGUCAAGUAAUCCUAAACUUCGCCUAGAACAUAGGUUUUUAAGCAAACACUACCCAAAUUAUGGUUUCAAGAUCACUAAAAUAGCCCAACUACGAUUAAACAUACUAACCAUGAUUCCAACACAUAAAUCACAUCCCAAACCUAGAAUACUAUAAUAUCCAUGCUACAAACUAGCUUAACCUUAAAAAAAGAUAAUAGGGUUCUAAAAGGGUCAUAAACAUUCCACCUUAUGGGUCUAAAACCAUAAUCUAAUUCUCCAAACAUUGAUAUUAAAUACUAAAUUAUUUUAUUCAUAAUCAAGCCUAACAUUCAUAUUCACAUGCCAUACAUAACACACAUUAUCUUCGAAGAAAAGUAGGUAUAAACAUACCUUAAAUCCGAAUUGUAAAACCUUAAAUCAUUUACCACAUGAUCGUCUUCACUUCACAGUCCCCAAAACACCAUCAUGCUAUCAAAAACAUAAUCCACUCAUUAAUACGAGUCUAACGAUACCUAUAUUGCACUAUUGUGCUUCAGGUCCAAAAAUGACACCAAAAAUCCCAAGUGGAUCCCACUUACAAAAAAUGCAUUUCUUAGGCCAACCCAACACUCACACAUCAUAGAGGAAUCAUAAACCUCAAGAAAUGAGUGUAAACAAAUCUAAUUUUGGGAUAAAAUCAAUUCCUAAGUGAAUUUGAGUUAUUGGGUCAAAAACUAAGAAAUUCAUCAAUAAAGUGAUGAAAUCUUAUCUUAAUUUGGAUGAUAAUCAGGAUAAUAGAUAAUAAUCAAGCUCCGAAGGUACAGAGAGUAGGUAGCCACCGACUCGAUUUUCUCCUAGUUCAUUUAGGUUUUGUUUUUAGGUUUUCUCAUGUACUUUAAAUACCCCUUAUGUACUUUUUGGUAGGAAUUAUGCACUUUUGACACUCAGAAACAUAUUUUGAUUUCAAGAUCCAUCUUUUGUUUUGGGAUUCUCUUGUAUUGACUUUGAUUCAUUAUUCAGUUACAGUUGUGGGGUUUUAUUCUUCUUAUAAUUGUGAUUUCAUCUAUGCUUUCUAUUAUGAAUGUUAUUGAUUUCUUCACAAUCAUGAGCGCCUAAAACCCAUAGCUAGGGUUGUAUUUAUAUAUCAAUAAUGUAUCUCAGAACUCAAAAUAAUGUAAAAAGUAUAUAGAAUGCAUAAACUGAUAAAAAAAAUCAAAGAAGUAUUUAUAGAUGCCAAAUAAAACCUAUCCUAAAUAUUGUAGCAAAUUUGGGUUGGCAUCAACUCACAAUUCAUGGGUAAAGAUCAAACGUAGAUUCCAUAGAUGAAAGCAUAAUAUUGAACUUACAAAGAAUAAGAUGAAAACCCUAAAAUCUCAAUUCAGUUAUAAACCCUAUAAACUAUGAACAAUAAUUCUAAGAUCAAUUAUGUAUAUCAGAACUCAAAAUAACGUAAAAAGUAUAUAGAAUGCAUAAACUGAUAAUGAAAAAUCCAAGAAGUAUAUAUAGAUACCAAAUAACACAUAUCCUAAAUUGUGUAGCAAAUUUGGGUAGACAUCAACUCAUAAUUCAUGGGUUUAAGUAGUAGGUACAGCCCAUGAAUUGUUCCUUCAAGUCAUGGAAAUUAGAGCCUAUUUCAACCUUUCAAAAUCUCAAUUCAUGUCUGUAACCCACGAGUAGUGGGUUAUACCUAUGAAUUGCAGGUAGCCUCAUAGGGAUCAAAUUCAGUAUACAUCUUUAGAACUCAACUUACUAAUGCUACCUAUUUAGGGUUUUAGACUCUCAAAGAUGACUGGAAAGUUCAAAAUUUGAGACCUUGGGGUCUAUUAAUAGAACCCCCCCUCCCCGUCGAAGAGAUGUGGUAUGUCCCCUGAUAAUAAAAAACUUAUGUUUGACCCUUGAAACUCAUUCAGAACCCAAAUAACAUGAUCCAAUAGUGAAAUUUGAGUGUAAACCAUAUUUUAAAUUCGUUGGAAUCAUCAAAACUUUAAUCCAAGAUCGUCUUGGCAAAAAGUGGGGCCCAUACCUAUAGUUUUUUUUCAUAAAAUCCGCACAAUAAUCCAAAAUAAGUUUGGGAGCCUUGGUACCUGAACCAAAGGCCCCCUAGACUAUAAUCAACAUUUUGGAUAUGAUAGAGAAGUUGAAUUUUCCAUCUGAGGUUGUUUUCACCAAUUAUGGGCCCCACACCCUUAUUCCCAUUUUUUCACUUUCGAUCAAUAGGUCGAAAUGAGCUCGGGUGCUUUGAGACCCGAACCAAAGGUAUAUCUAGCCUAAAAUCAAUAUUUUGAAUUUGCUGGCACAGUCAAAAUUUGUAUUCAAGAUUAUUUCACUGAAGUUUUUUCCCGGUGGUCAUUUGAAACCAACAAAGACUUCGAAAUAAGAAACUGGUUCUAAAAACCAAAUGAACUGCCCGAUAAUCAAACCUCCGAUCCCACCAAGUCAUAAAUGACUUUUGGUAGCUAUGGAGAAUCCCUAACAAUAAAGAUAAGCGAAAAUAUAAAAAAUGACCGAAAGAGUUAUUUCAAUAUCCACUACUAAAAGAAUUUUCAUCUCCGAAAGUUAAUGGAUAAAAAGAAUCUCAAAAGCCUAAAAAUAUGAGGUACUGGGCCUGCAUACACCAAGGAGGACUGUCUAUAUAACCUCAAUAAAGAGAAGAUACUUCUAAGGAAUUUUGCCAAAGGUAUCCCCCUUUUAACUAGAACUUACACUUCACUUCCAAAUAGUCAAAACUUAACUUCAACCACUAACUGACCUCCAACUUAACUAAACAGGAUGAUUAACAUAAAAUAAACCACAACAUGCUAAUACCAUCUUGAUACAAAUGGGGACAUUCAUUGUCUUUUCUCUCUUCUCUUUAUUUUAAUUUAUUUUCUUGAGUCAGUUAUCCAAAUAAAAAACCAUUGUCAUUUUUCUCUUGUCUUUGAGUCAAGUCCAUGUCAAAACAAGUGAGAAAAGAUUUCAAAGCUGGCUACGACCUUCUUCAAUUGGAUAAAACAAGAUAAAAAGACAACACAUAAAAGAGACUUGAUUGUGAGUCGAAUUAAGGCACGCAAAAAGUUUUUUCAACGAAAAAGUCUCAGAACUCUUGGAAAUACCAAGGUUCAAAGGGUUUAUCUGAGGAGUAUGGCAAAGCGGAGAUACUAUGUUUUAUUUUAGCAUCACUUUUAAUGAUCUAAGUUUGGUCCAAUGGUGCAGUAAGACAGUGAUAUGCCAUUAGGUGAAAUCAAAAUUAAUAGGACAAGUGCAAGAGAAAUCACCUCAAAAGCCAAAGUCGUACGACAACCACCCUGUUUUAAACUCACAAGUUUUCUUUGUCUGAAACAGGAAAAAUUGCUACCUUCAAAUCAAAUGCUUCAAAGCUCAAAUAUCCAGAGAUGUGAUUCCUCGUUUUUGCAAAUGCAAGAGCAAUAUUGUUGCACAGGUUUGGAAAUUAAAACCAUGGAAAAACUUAUAAUUCAAUAUUUCAUGGAGACACACUUCCUUGUUUGGUUAAUUCAAGAGGCAUUUGUAAGGAGAUGAACUUCCUUGUUUGGGUCAUUCAAGCGGUAUUUGUAAAAAGAUUCACUUCCUUAUUUGGUAAUUCAAACGGAAUUUGUAAGGAGGAUCAUUUCCUUGUCUGGAUAACUUAAGCGGCAUUUGUGAGUAGACGCAUUUUCUUGUCUGGGUAAUUCAAGUGACAUUUAUAAGGAGAUGCACUUCCUUGUUUGGGUAAUUUAAACAGCAUUUGUAAGGAAAUGUACCUCCUUGUUUGGGUAAUUCAAGCGGUAUUUGUAAGGAGAUACACUUUCUUAUUUGGGUAAUUCAAGUGACAUUAGUAAGGAGACAUACUUCUUUGUUUGGUAAUUCAAGCGAUAUUUAUAAGGAGACACGCUUUCUUGUUUGGGUAAUUCAAGCGAUAUUUGUAAGGAGACGCACUUCAUUGUUCGGGUAAUUCAAGCAGCAUUUGUAAGGAGACACACCUCUUUGUUCAGGUAAUUCAAGCGAUAUUUGAAAGGAGAUGCACCUCCUUAUUUGGGUAAUUCAAUCGGCAUUGGUAAGGAAACGCACUUUCUUGUUUUGGUAAUUCAAGCAACAUUAGUAAGGAGACACACUUCCUUGAUUGGUUAAUUCAAAUUUUACUUGUUAGGUAAUGCACUUCCUAACUUAAGUCUUGAUUUCUAGAAGAUUUACAUCGUGGUUGAGUCAGUCCCUUUGAUUCCUAGAAGUUGUACUUCCUAUUUGAGUCAGUAUCCUUGAUAUCUAGAAGAUGUACUUUCUAGUCGAGUCAGUCCCCUUGAUUCCGAAAAGAUAUACUUUCUGGUCGAGUCAGUCCCCUUGAUUCCUAGAAGAUGUACUUUCUGGUGGAGUCAUCCCCCUUGAUUCCUAGAAGAUGUACUCCCAGGUCAAGUUAUUCCCCUUGAUAAUGUACUUUCUAGUCGAGUCAUUCCCUUUGACUUCUAGAAAAUGAACUUUCUAGUCUAGUCAUUGCAUUUAACCCUUAGGAGAUUCACUUCCUUGUCAGUUUUUAUUUCUCCAGUGGCACACUUGCUAACUUGAACCUUUAACUCUAGAAGAAGCACUUUCUAGUCGGAAUUCCUCACUUUAAUUCUUAGGAGACGCACUUUAUAGUCUUGGUCAUUUAAUUUUACUCUCAAGAGAUGCAUUUCUUGGUUAGAGACUUGAUUCAUCAUUGCAACAUACAAGUAAUUAUGAUUGGAUUUAACAUUCACAAAAGUCAUCUGAUGAUAAACUCGGGCAACAAAUCUAAUUCUUGUUGUUUGAAACUUUACUUUUUUGGAAAAUGGAAUCUCUCUUUAUAAUAAUCUUUGUUUGGAAUAAUUAUCUUUCUAGUUUUGAUGUAAUUUCAGAAGCCCCCUUGAAGAACGGUGCGAAUAAAUGGAAAACCAAGCAACAAGGGGAACAAGUUGAAAGUCAAGCAACAAAUUGAAGAAGUUGAAAGUCAAACAAUAAGGUGAAAAAGUUGAAAAACAAGAAACAAGGUGAAGAAAUUGAUAGGCAAGAAACAACGUGAAGAAAUUGAAAAUCAACAGAUUGAAAAAUAGAAAGUAAGGAGCCCGCCUGGAGAACAGGGUAAAGAAAUUGAAAGUCAACAGAAUGAUAGAUAGCAAGUUAGGAGCCCGCCUAGAGAACAAGGUGAAGAAAUUGAAAGUCAACAAAUUAAAAAAUAACAAGUUAGGAGCCCGUCCGGAGAACAAGGUGAAGAAGUUGAAAGACAAGCAACAAGUUGAAGAAAUUGCAAGUCAAGAGUCCACCUAGAGAACAGGGUGAUGAAAUUGUAAGUCAGGAGCCCGCCUGGAGAACAAGGUGAUGAAACUCAAGUCAAGAGUCUAGAGAAGAUACAUAGAUAGGAUUUUGUAAUUUUAGUUAUCUUUUUAACUUGUAAUUUUAAUUUUUGAUGUAAUAACAGAGUCGCAGACCAAAACUUCAACAGUGCCUCACUCGACUCUCCAACUCGGUAUAGUCCCUCUCCUUCCAACCCUUUGAGCCACCUAUGACUUGAUUCCCUCAUAACUAGGGUAGGUAGAAUAUCCUAAGUCAAGACCUGGUUUCCCUUCUUCCUUCUAUUUCUUUCCUUGAAUAAUGAUUGGGUCAAAAUUCUGUCUCGUUGUCUACUUUUCUGUAUGAAAACACUUUGUGUUUAUAUUCAAAGAAGGGGCAUGAUGUAGACAUGCACUUUUUCCCUUCCAAAAUUCAAUUUUAUUCAUUCUUUGUUACCUCACCAUAUCACGUACCUCACGCUUCUAAUAUUCCCCCUACAAUAAUCUAGAUAACAAACUCCUAAUGAAAUAUAACAACUUAUCCUAACCACCUCACACCCCUUACCCCAUAACCACCCUACCCCACUAGAAUAGACCUAAAAAAACACACCAUCAACAACAUAUAUAUACACAAAUAGAGAAAAUAGAGGAAGGGGGAGCCUUAUAGUGAACAAAAACUUCCAUUCAUUUUCCUCUUUGAGAACAUCACACACACUACACACAAACCUUUAUCUUUUUCAUAAAUUAACAAGAACACGCACAUACACCUCACAAUACACUCUCCUCCAUCUCCAUUUCUUCUACACAAUUUUGUACGCAUAUAUACGAUACACAUAGCAUACACACAAAAUCACACACGCAAUAGAAAAUACGAUACACACAUAUUACACAAAGAGAGCUCACAGAUAAUUGAUUUUCUUCAUUCACAUACAAAAAUGGAAGACAUACACAGAAACUGAAAAGAAAAGAAAAAAGGAGAAGGGUUCGUCGAGGGAGUGAAUCGAGAGAGAGACAGUUGGAAUUGAGAGAAUUGGAAAAUAAACAAAGAGAGAUCGAGGAGGUUGAACGGAAGAAGGGGAAUCCGAUGGAUUUUGGGGUUUUUCAGUUGUUUCUCACCAAAAAGUCAUCACCAUCACCGGAAUCUAAACUAUUUUUCUCCAUUCUUCCUUUUUUCUGGGCUCACUGGAGCUUCGUUGAAGGCAUGAUGACUUGUACCAAUGACUUUCUAGCCUUUGUCAUGGAAACUCAUACACCAUUUGACGCAAAUAGUACAGUGAGCAUAAUUGCAACAUUGGUUUCUUAGUUCAUAGUCGAUUUUGAAUUUUAAGAGGUUUUGAUUUGAUUGCUAUUUUUGGUUUGCUCGGCUUUGGGAUCGAUUAAGUUGGUCGUUUGCGUUGGUUUGUUGGUUGAGGUUCAAAUCAAGGUAUCUCAGAUGCGGUUAUAUCUAUGAUAUAUCGAAAUAAAAAAUUGAAGUCCAAUUCUACUCCUUCACUCUUUUUAUUUCAUUGUUUACUAUAUUUGGUAUGUUUAAUUGAUUUUUGAUUCAUUAUUAAUUCUGUUGAUUAUGUAUGACGUGAUAAAACAAUAUAUAAUUCAAGAUUUGAAAUUGAUAAUUUGAAUAUAAAAUUGGGGGUGGGAAUUAAAAAUUGAUAAGAUGAAUAUUGAUUAUUUUUUUUAUUAAUGGACAUUGGUAUAAUCGAUAGUAUCGUUGUUUUAGAUCGUUGAAUGGGUAGGCAAAAUACUAAGUUUAGGUAGGCAAUUGAAGAAAUGGACGGUUAUGGUAUGAUUGAAUUUUGUGCUUGAGAUUGUUUCAUUUUAUCGGAUUUCAUCAAAUGUAUUCAUUCGUCGGGGAAUGCUCCGAGGUCACCUUGUACAUAUUCACCGGGGAAUGCCCCGAUGUCAACUUGUACAUAUUCACCUGGAAAUUCCCCAAAGUAUCUUGUAUCUGGUGGACAUUCGUGAUGAAGGCCCGAGGUAUCGGGUAAAGCACAGUUUAGGAUUAGUUUAGGAUUUACAUUUUCGUAUUUUUCUAUUUUGGGACUUUAUAAUUUGGACUGGAUAUUAUUUUGGUUUCGAAUUUUAUUUGAUUUGUUUGGUAGCUUGGCUUAUGUGUUUUAUGUGAUUUAUGCAUUCUAUAGUAUCGUACUAGCUGAUAUACUCCAUGAAGAGACCGUGGUCGAACCAUGGUACCGAGGGGUGCCUAACACCUUCCCCUCGGUCAACAAAAUUCCUUAGCCGGAAUCUCUAUUUAUGGAUCAUCUUUAAAAGGUCAAAACCGUUUAAAAAAAUAUAUCCAAAGGUGACUUGGUACACCUGAUUUAUGCCAAGUGGAGACUCUGAGUUAAUUGUAAAAUGAAUCCUUUUUUAAACAACUUUACUUUUUGUCACUUAAUAAUAAAAACUCUUUCAAACUUAAAAUCUAAUCUUUUUGGUCAAAAAAGGGGUGUAACAUCAUGUCCAUCGACCUUUUUGUAUUUAAGGACAUGUUAAUGACCACCCACUCUAUCUUGAGUCGGGGGUCUAUCGAAAACAACCUCUCUACUUCUUUAUAGGUAGUGGUAUGGACUGCGUACAUUCUAUCCUCCCCAGACCCCACUAGGUGGGAAUAUACUGGGUCUGUUGUUGUUGUUGUUGUUGUUAAUGACCACCAAAAAUAUUUAAACAUCACAUGAGAGUUCUUAUUUCAAAAGCAUAUGAAAACUUAUGCAGAACACUCUCUUUUCUAGUCUUUAAAACAUGGUAUCCAAUUCUUUCAUUAAUCACAUGCAUUUCUUUCAUUUAACACAAAGAGCAUUCAUAAACUAAGUAAAACAUGCUCUUAUUGGACCGUAAAACACAUCAAUACAUAAUUUAUAGUAAGCACUUAAAACCCAACAUUUAAUCACAUAAUAGAACAACCCAUAAUAUUCUAAGAUCAUAGGUUUCAUCAUGGGAGAGAAAAAUUUAUAAAUCACGUUCAUAAAGUGCUUUUUGAAAUUCAUAUCAUAUUUGCACAUGAUUAUAAAUAAAGGUUAUGUAAAACCCCAUGAUAAUUGCAUACUCUUCAUCAAAAUGGGUUCAUUAUACAUGUUCUUCAAAUGAGUUUUAAAAUCCAUUACACAUACGUAAUUAUAUAUCCUUGAAGUUUGUCAAUACGAUAAUCUUAAGACCAUGAGGUUUAGGAUAGUCCCACAUACCUUGAUAAUGACUAAAACACAAUAAAAUUUGACCCUUAGGAUCCUAGAUGACCUCCUCUUUGAACCCUAGCCUUGGCUUGCAAAGGGGGAGUUGAGAGAGAGGAUUUUUUAGAGUGAAAUAAUAGAUGUUGUGUCAUGAGAACUUACGGAAAUAGGUUAAUAUAGUGUUUAGAGGUUGUUUAUCAGUGAAAGGACUUCAAUACCCUUAAUCUCAAGUAAACAAAACCAUAAAUUUCCCAAAUUUGAAGCAUCAGUGUGUCGUGGAGGUAAUUCUCCGCCAUAAGCUCCAUGUUGCGCCUCCAUUGUAGACCCUCACAAGUUCCUCAAAAAAAUAUUCAUAACUUUUUGCUCGGGUAUCACAUUAAGGUGAAAUCGAAAGUGUUGGAAAAAUGACACUUUAUAUUUAAUUUGAUGGGUCUUGAAACCUUAAAUUCCACAUAUUGAAGAAGUUAUACAUGUUUAAAGUUGACCCUAGUAGAGUUGAAUUUCAAAAUUUGGUUGUUAAUGGAAGUUCUUAACUCCACUUCAGUCUAAGUAUUUAAUAUGAACAUUCUUACCCUCAAAAGCAAUUUUCACACAAGGAUAAUGAUCAUGACACUUAGCUAUAUAUAGAAACAAUUGGAUUCAAAUUUUUACAUGUAGGAAUAACUGUUCGAAUUCUCACCCGAAAUUGCGGAGUGUUACAUUAUCCCCCCUUGGGGAAUCAUUCAUCGCCGAAUGAUGACUCGGAACACACAUAAAGCACAAUUUUCAGAGUUACAUAUAAUAAAAUGAGUAAGAUAAUAUUAAUACCUUCCACAUCAUUGUCUGCGGAUUCAAAGAGUGAUGGAUAUCUUGCACGCAUAUCAUUCUCUGACUCCUAAGUAGUUUCUUCAACUUUAUAAUUCUUCCACAAUAUUUUAACUAAAGCUAUCUCUUUACUUCUCAACUUCCAAACUUGAUGAUCAAAAAUAGUUGUGGGUUCUUCUUUAUGCACUAACGAAUCCUUCACUUUAAUUUUCUCUGCAGGCAACACAAGCGAAUGAUCUUCAAUACACUUCUUAUCAUUGACAUAUAAAGCAAAAUAUGGACGAAAGCUAAACUUGUAGGAAAAUAUCAUACAAAACUCUACUAAUCCUCCUCAUAAUCUAAAAGGUACCUACGUAACGAGGACUGAGUUUUCCUUUCUUCCCAAAUCUCAUGAUUCCCAUCAUAGAGGAGAACUUUAGAAACACCCAAUAAUCAACCUCAAACUUUUACUCCUUCCUUACACCAACGUAGGACUUCUGAUGACUUUUGGAGGUCUUAAGCCUCUAUCUAAUGACUUUUACCUUCUCCAUCGCUUGAUGAACAAGGUCAAAUCCAAAAAAAAAGUCUCACCCACUUCUACCAACCAGAACAAGGUCAGGUACAAACAAAUGGGUCUCACCCACUUCAUACAAACCAAUCAGUAACCUACACCUCCUCCCAUAAAGAGACUCAAAAGGAGCCAUCUGGAUGCUAAAAUGGUAGCUAUUUUUAUACACGAUUUCUAUCAAAGAAAAAUGAUCCACCUAGCUGCCCUUAAAUUUAAUCAAGCAAGAACUCAACAUAUCUUCUAAAGUCUUAAUGGUAUGCUCUGUUUGCCCAUCCGCUUGAGGGUGAAAGGCAGUGCUAAGGUUUACUUAGGUAACCAAACCUCUCUGGAAAGACCACCAAAACUGAGAAGAGAAUUGCAUACCUCGAUCAGAUAUAAUGGAUAUAGGAUCCCCAUGCAAUCAAACUAUUUCUCGAAUGUACAACUUUGUAUAAUCGUCCCCCAAAUAAUUAGUCCUUACCUGCAGAAAAUGAGCAGAAUUGGUCAUCCUCCCUACAAUUACUCAAAUAGACUCAUUUUUGUUCUAAGAUCGUGAAAGCCCAGUAAUGAAGUCCAUAUGUCAUCUCCUAUUUCUAUAAAGGAAAAGGUAUGUAAUGGGAGGUACCACCUGUCCUCAAGUGCUCUACCUUAACUUGUUGAAAAUUCAACCACUUAGCGACACAGUUAGCAAUAUCUCUUUUCAUGUUAUUCAUAUAAUAAAUCUACUUGAGAUGAUGAUACAUUUUUGUUGAGCAGGGUGAAAAACAUGCUUAGAAGUGUGGGCUCCAUAAAGAAUUUUUUCUCGCAACCCAUGCACAUUCGUCAUACAUAACUUACCUUGGUAUCUCAAACCUCAUCACCUCUAAUUUAUGACCUUUUGUUGACCAACAUCAUCCUUAAUCUGCAUUAAUAUGGGAUUUCUGCGCUGCUUUUCCUUCACUUCUGCAUAAAGGGAUGACUUAGCUACCUCUUGGACGAAUAAACCUCCCUCUUAGAGUCUAGGAGUCAGACUCCCAGAUUAGCAAGCCAAUGAAUUCUUUAACCAAAUUCCUCUUUCCUUCCUCAACAUAUAAGAUACUGCUCUUAUACAACCUUCUAAGAGCAUCAGCAACCACGUUAGCCUUACUCAGAUGAUAAUGCAGGCUCAUGUCAUAAUUCUUUAGAAAUUCCAACCAUCACCUCUUCCUGAGAUUCAACUCUUUCUAUGUAAACACAUACUAUAAACUUUUAUGAUCAUUAAAGAUGUCAACACGAAUCCCAUAAAGAUAAUGACGCCAGAUUUUGAGUGCAAACAUCACAGCCGCUAACUCCAAAUCAUGAGUGGGAUAGUUUUUCUCAUGGACUAUCAAUUAUCUGGAUGCAUAGAUGUAAUACCCCAUACUUUUUCUAGAUUAAUUUUUCUCCUAGAAUGUCAAGGAUUAGCUUUAAAAAUAAAUAUCUUUUGUUACGUGUGAAAUUUUCUAUAUUUAGACCCUCCAUUAAGUAGGAAAUUGAAUAAAGCUUUCAUCGAUACCAAAUUCACCUAAAUCCGAUACUCAGUUGAGAAGUUUGGGCAAUCAUCGCAUUGCGUGGAGCCUAAAUUCCCUAUUGUCACAUUUCACUAGUCAUCUAUGAUUGCCUCGCAUCGCGGAGAAGCCUAAUUUUAUAUUUGUCAAUUUCCAGUAGGCCAAUGCGAUGGUACCGUAUCACGUUGAUGGAUUGAAUGGCAUUCCAAAUGCGCAUUGCGAUAGCUCCGCGUCACAGAGAACUUCCAGUUUCCAGUCAUCAAAAACCAGUGAGCCACCGAGAUAGCAUGCCAGUUAGAAAAAAAUCUUUUGUUUCCAGUUCUGAUUAAAUUUUAAAAGGAGCACUUUUGUCAAUUCCCAAGCCCCAAAUUCAUCAAUAACACAAGAUCAAACAUGUUCCAUGCCUAUUAUGCUUAAUUUCAUCCAUUCUCUUCCAAAGAGAAACCCUAGAGCUGAAAGCUUCUUCUCCAAGAAAGCUCAAAUUAAGGAUUCCAAAGACAAGAUAAUCAAGACUUCAUCUUCAAUAACUCAAAAAGGAAUCAAAAAUUCAAGUUUCAUUAUGUAAUCAUCAAAAUUAAGGUAUGUGGGGUUUAUGAACAAGAAUUGCCCUUCAUCAUUGUGCCCAAAACCAAGUUUUUUUUUUCAAAUUUAUAUGAUUUUGAGUGAUUAUACAUGAGUUUUUAAUUAUGGUUCAUAUCCAUUAUUGCUAAUGUAAGCUUAUGAGAUUUCAAGUGUUUAUGAAGUUAAAUUGCAUGUCUAUUUCUAUAUUUUCAUGCCUAUUGUGGUAAAUUCCAGAUUUUGAAUUGAAUUAUCAUUGUUUUCAUUUCAAGCAUGAUUAUUAUGAUGUUUUUGCACGAACUUGAUGCAAGGGUUAUUAAGCUCAAGUUCAUAUGUUGAUAUUUCAAGAAAGAUGGUGCUUUAAGUAUCUUAUGAUCAGAUUAUUCACAGAUUUUCAAUAAAGCUUUAAUGUUUUGAUCCUCAGAUAAGAUUUGGAAUCCACUUUAUAGAUUUAUUACAGAUUACUAAAUUUAGAUUAGCUUUAUUUAUAAAAUGACUCAGAUAAAGGCAUAGUUGGUUUCGUAAUGAACUAUUAUACUAGAUUUUAAAGUGGAUUUCCAAAAGAACGAGCAUACAAAUUAAAAAAAGAGUAGUAUUUAGCAACGGGCGAGAAGUGUGGAUUACAGAUGUGAUCACUUAGAUUAGGUUAUACUCCUUGGAAAGAGGAUGACACCUCUCCCCAUCGUGAGGUUUUCCUCAUAGGGAAACAAGACGUUGGACUCCAUAUUAGCUCACAUAGUUUAUAUCAGUUAGAAGAACCUCCCUUCAGAAAAAAUAUUUUCCCAACAGACUACAGAUUUUUGAACAGAAUAAUCUUAACAGAAAAGAUUUUAGAAACUAAGUGUAAAGGCUCACAACUUUAUUCAGAUUAUGCUUUGUAGAAAGAUAUUAGCUACAAAUUUUAGCUUUUGGAUUUUAGAUUUAAGAGAAUCCUUUCUAGACUUAGACAAUAUGAUUUACAGACAGAACAUUAGUACAACUUUCAAAACUAAAUUUUAUGACUCACUAGAUUUACAAAGUAUGAUUUGUUAUUCAUGAAUACAAAUUUCAGUAUUUCAGGAAUUCCAGCUUAUGUGAGUAAUUAACAUCUAACAUGCAUUAUUUUACAAAUUAUGAUGAUGAGAUAGUGUUUUACUUAUGCAUUCACCCCCAUAUACUCAGUACAUCCCAAAAGUACUGAUUGACAUAUACAUCUAUGUGCUAUAUUGUCUCAUAAUGUAGGUUCAGGUGCUCAGUUCCAGCAGUGUAAGUGAUUUGGAGCAUUUUCAUCUACGUCUGACAGUUGGUGAGUCAUUAUAGUUUGGGGACUUAUUCAUUUCGAUUAUAUAGAUUAUUAGUUUAGAUGAUUCAGUAUUCUUUUUAGACAGUUAGAGUUAACUGGGGGUUUGUCCCAGUAACUCCCUAGUUAUUAGUAGUAGAGGCAUGUCAGACUGCUAGUUACGAUUCAUACUUACAGUAUUUGGUUUCCAGAGAUUUCAUUUGGAUUACUCUCAGUUAUUUCAUAUAUAUUUCCCCAUUUAGAAUGAUUAUACAUCCAUAUUUCCACUAUUAUGAGAUUCGGACUUAGUAGAAGCAAACAAGGUUAGCUUAAGGCUACUCAUAAUCUUGAGCACCGUGUGACAUCUUAGGACCAGAUUUUGGGGCAUUAUAAUAGGCUACCACUUUCCUAUGCUGCAUCAUUAAAAUCCCAAGUCCCACCAGGGAUGCAUCACAAUAAACCACAAAUCCCUCUAUACCCUCAGAAAGGGCCAAAAUAUGUGUAGUAGUCAAUUUUUCUCUCAACAUCUUAAAACUAUUCUCACAAUAGUCAGACCACAAGAAUUUUACCUUCUUCUAAUUUAAUCUGGUAAGUGUUAGAAGCUACGGAUGAAAAUCUCUCUACAAAUCUCCUGUAAUGACCAGCCAAACCUAAGAAGCUCCAAAUUUUGGUUGGAGUUGUGGGUCUGGGCUAUUUCUUUAACACCUCAACCUUUUGGGGAUCCACUUUAAUUCCCUCACUAGAAACAAUGUGCCCUAAAAAAGUUAUAGCACUAAGACAAAACUUACAUUUAAAAAACUUGUCAUACAACUCAUGAUCCUUAAGGGUUUGAAGGACGAUUUAGAGGUAUUGGAAUGAUCCUCCUCACUUAGAGUAAAUCAAGAUGGAAUCAAUGAAUACUAUGACAAAUAGGUCCAAAAACUGAUGAAACACUCUAUUAAUGAGAUCCAUAAAUGUUUCAGGGCCUUAAGUCAGUCCAAAGAACAUAACCGAGAAUUCAUAGUGACCAUAUUGGGUUUAGAAAGCGGUCUUGGGAAUGUUAGCCUCCCUAACCUUCAAUUGAUGAUACCACUAAUGAAGGUCUAUUUUAGUAAAAUAUUUGGCACCCUGAAGUUGGUCAAAAAGGUCAUCAAUUCUUUGAAGUGGGUACUUAUUAUUAAUUGUGACUUUGUCCAGCUGACGGUAAUCUAUACACAUAUAGAGGAAGCCAUUUUUCUUACGCGCGAAGAGUACUAGAGAACCUAAGGAGAGACACUAGGACGGAUAAAGCCUUUAUCAAAAAGGUCUUUUAACUGCUCUUUCAACUCUUUUAAUUCUGUAGGAGGUAUCCUAUAUGGUGGAAUAGAGAUAGGCCGGGCGUCUGGCUGUAGGUCAAUACCAAAAUCUAUCUCCCUAUCUGGGGGUUUCCAGGGAGAUCAUUAGGAAAGGCUCUUGGGAAUUUAUUAACUACUGGAACUGGCUAAAGGGAAGUACUUUUAGUGUUAGAAUCUUUGACCUGAAUAAGAUGAUAUAGAUAACCCUCAGAUAUGAGUUUACGAGCUCUAAGAUAAGAUAUGAACUUCCCUCUAGAAGCAAGAGAAUAUCCCUCCCACUUUAUUACUGGCUCAUUAGGAAAAUAGAAGGUGACCUUUCUGGCUCUACAGUCUAAUUUAGCAUAGCAUGAAUAGAGCUAAUUCAUCCCCAGAAUAGCGUCAAAAUCAAUCAUAUAAAGCUCAAUAAGGUCACCAUAAUAUCUAGACGGGAAACGAAUACCACAUAAUUUUUAAUAAAAUCGUCCAUCAACUAUAGAGUCACUAAUAAGAGAAGAGACAAAAGGGUUCGAGAAUAUUUUCGGGCUCAAAACCAAAAACAAAUUCCAUAUAAGGUGUCACAUAAGACAAGGUAGACCCCGAAUCAAGCAACACAUACAUAUCAUGGGAGAAAAACUAUAACAUACCCAUAACAACAUUUGGUAAAGCCUCCAAGUCCUGACGCAUAGAUAAUGAUAAAAUUGGUUAUGUCUCUCGCCUGCUCUUAGAGCAUUCCCCUUAAAAACUGGGGCAAAGGAUGUAGAAGCUGGGGCUUUGCUGCCCCAAAAUAUCCCCUUUGUCGAGGUAUAGUAUCUAAGGAUAUGGCCGAGCAGACAACACCUAUAACAUAAACAGAUCCCCCGCUAGCAUCUUCCUGAGUGGUUUUUUCUACAAGUACCACAGUUAGGGUAUUGUCUGAAUGGCUAGGCCACACUUCCUUGAGACUAAAUAGCCUGAUCUCUGAGUCUAUCUCCGGACUAAAACUGCUUCUCACCCGAAUGCCUGGGUGUAGAUGCACUAAUUGAUGACUAAACAUUGGCCCAAAAUUUCUUCUUAAAUGAUUUCUUAUCCCAUUUGCCAUCCAACUACUGAUUGGUAUUCUGAUCUGUAGACUUAUCCCUGAUAAUUUGCCUUUCUUUUUUCUCUACCUCAUUCUUCUUCUUCUUCUCCUUUUCUACCUGUUGUAUAUACACUAUUAGCCUGGUGAUAUCCAUGUCCUUGUUCAUCAUUGCCCCCUUAUAUUCCACUACCAAAUCAUUUGAGAGAUAAGAUACAAACUUUCUCAUAAAAUCCCUCAUGCUACACACCAACUCUGGAGCAUAACGAGACAACUGAGUGAAUUUCAAUGCAUAUUCUUUGGCACUCAUCUUCCCCUAUUUUAGAUUAACAAAUUCCUCAGCCUUGACCUCCUAAAAUUCUAGGGGAAAGAAAUAAUGCUGGAAAACUUCUAAGAACCUCACCAUACAGCAGGUUCAGUAUCCUCAUCUCUCAACUCUUCCCACUCAUUACCACUGGUAAGCCACGUCCUUCAGUUGAUAAGUCGUAAACUCUUUUCCUUUAGUAUCAUUGCAUGCAUGACUCUGAGUAUUUUCACCAUUUCAUUUAUAAACCCUUGAGGGUCCUCCUUAACCCUAAUACCCAUAAAGGUGGGUGGGUUCAGCCUCAUGAAUUGUCCGACCCGAGUGAUUUCAGAAGAACCAAGCACAAAACUCACAUCUAUAAAAUGACAAGAUUGAGAAGCCACAAGUUGAGCAAUCAUGUGGAUAGACUGACUAAACUAAAUAUUUUAGACCUCUCUAUAUGGGGACUAAGUAUGAUUGAAAUUGGUCCAAGGAGGUCUUGUUUGGACUGGAGGAGCCCCUUGAGUAGCAGUGAACUCUAGGGUAAGGGCUCUGUAAUGGGUCCGCAUCACAUGAGUAGAGCGGACAUAAUCAGCAUUUCUCUCUAUAGGGACGGAGGUCUUGGAAAGGGUGUUUAGGUCAUUGGAUCUAUGGUGAGGCAUGAUCUAAAACAUAGAAAAUCGGGAGUUAGAAAACAUUCAGACUCUAUACCAUAAAUAGAACAUGAAGGAAAGAGAAACAUUCCUAAAUGCCUUGUAGCUUCCUUCUUAUAAGUGUGGCGUGCUACAUACUCAUAAAAUGAACUCCAGUCGACAUGGCUUUGUAGACACCUUGGGACCCUAAACUGUGCUCUGAUACCAUGCUUGUCACAACUUGACCCAAGGCCCUACUCUUCACAAGCAUCCUAAACCACGAAGUUUUAGGAGGCCUCCUUAUCAUACUAUCAUAAGCAUAACUCAUAUGAAAUAAAGUGUGGAAGAUAAUUGAAACAUGAUAAUCCCAUAGUCAAAAUUCAUAAUUCAAGACAUCAAUCCAUAAGAAAAUCAAAAUCCAUUCUACACUAGUCUACGGAGCCUCUACUGAACAGAAAACACUAAUCUGACUAAAUAAGGACAAGGCCCCCAACUGCGUAUCUUGAGCUGGGGGUCUAUCAAAAAUAGCCUCUUUACUUCUUUGGAGGUAGCGGUAUGUGUUGUGUAUAUUUUACCCUUCCCAGACCCCACUUUGUGGGAAUACAUUGGGUUUGUUGUUGUUGUUGUUGUUGUUGUUGCCCCCGACUGGAUUAUAAAAUUGAAUAAGACUAUAUAUGGAUAGAAUGCAUUUUAGUGUAAAGGAGGCUCGCCAACUCUAAAAUUCUGGGAAUAAUCUAUUAUUUAGCUGGACCCUGGGACUAAUCCUCAAAACCUGUGGUGAGGGGGUUCAAUACUCAGAAAAGUCUUGGUAUGUAGAACAAUCCCAAAAUAUAACUUAUAUUUUGCAUAACAUAAGUGAGCAUUUCAUAAAAACAAGUUAGCAUAAGGUAAAUAAAAACACAUAGGCAUAAUAUGAAGAACUUCAACCAUUCUAGUAAAACAUUUACUCAACUCUUGGUGUCUUCUGAGCUAAAUAGUACAUCCUACAACUUAGUACCCACAAGCUACAUGGGUCUGCCAUUAACUAGUCGGCUAAGACCUCAACCCAAGUUUGCCACAAGGGUUGGAGUUUCAACUAUCUGGUACACCAAAAGCACAUACCAAUACAUUCCAUAUUUCAAGAUAUCAUAAAUCCAUAUCGGUAGGAUACGAUUUUGGACAAUGUGUUAUCUAACUCAUGCCUUCUUCAGGUAACUGUCUAGCUCUCCUAGUGCCCAUUUUUAACCUCUUAAAACAAUGUUCAUUCUUAUAAAAAGUUUGUCUCUUAUCUAUUAAGAGCAUUUCAUAACAAGAUAUCAUCAUACCCAUACUUGCAAGUCAUAUCGUAUCAUCACCCUUUUUCAUUUAAAAGCAUGUUAAUGACCACUCACAAAAUUUAAACAUCACAUAAAAGUUCUUAUUUCAAAAGCAUAUGAAAACUUAUGCAGAACACUCUCUUUUCUAGUCUUCAACACAUGGUGGCUAAUUCUUUCAUUAGUCACAUACAUUUCUUUCAUUUAUCACAAGGAGCAUUCAUAAAUUAAGAAAAACAUGCACCCAUUAGAUCAUAAAACACGUCAAUCCAUAAUUGAUGGUAAGCACUUAGAACCCAACAUUUAAUCACACAAUAGAACAACCCAUAACAUGCUAAGACCAUAGGUUUCAUCAUGGGAGAGAAAAUUUCAUAAAUCACGCUCAUAAAUCACUUUUCAAAAUUCAUAUUGUAUGUGCACAUGAUUAUAAAUAAAGUUUAUGUAAAACCUAUGAUAAUUGGAUACUCUUCAUCAAAAUGGGUUUAUUAUACAUGCUCUUCAAACGAGUUUCAAAAUCCAUUACAUAUGCGUAAUUAUAAAUCCUUAAAGCUUUUUAAUAUGAUAAUCUUAAUCCCAUGAGUUUUAGGAUAGUCCCACAUACCUUGAUAACGAUGAAAACGUAAGAAAAUUUAAUCCUUAGUACACUAGAUGACCAUCUCCUUGAACUCUAGCCUUGGCUUGAAAAAGGGCAUUUGAGAGAGAGAAUUUGUUAGAGUGAAAUAAUGGAUGUUGUGUUGUGAAAACUUAUGGAAAUAGGUUAAUAUAGUGUUUAGAGGUCGUUUAUAAGUGAAAGGAAUUCAAUAAUCUACCUCUCAAGAAAACAAAAUCAUAAAUUUCCCAAAUUUAAAUCAUCGGCGCGUCGUGGAGGUAAAUCUCCGCCAUAAGCUCCAUGCCACCCUGCCAUCGCGGAUCUUCACUGGUUUCUCACGAAAAUGUUCAUAGCUUUUUUCUCGGGUAUCGAAUCAAGGAGAAAUAUGAUGCGUUAGAAAGGACACAUUUAUCUUUAAUUUGGUGGGUCUUGAUCCCCAAAAUUCUACAUAUUCUAGAAGUUAUACACAUUUAAACUUGACCCUGGUAGAAUCGAAUUCAAAGUUUGGUCGAUAACGAAAGUUCUUAACUCCACUUUCCUCUAGGUGUUUAAUAUGAACAUUCUCCCCCUCAAAAUCACUUUUCACUAAAGGAUAAUGAUCAUGCCACUUACAUAUAUAUAUAUAUAUAUAUAUAUAUAGAGAGAGAGAGAGAGAGAGAGAAAUAAUUGAAUUCAUGUUUUUACACGUAGGAAUAACGGUUUUUAAAUUAUGUAUUCGACAUAUUUCAUGCGUAUAAAUUUGGAGAUUUGGGAGUACUCAAAGAUAGAAAUAUGCUACAAUUUCAAAUUUUAAAUUAUGUUAUUUUGAUAUAUGUGUUAUAAAUGUAUUUACAUUAUAGUGAAUGUAUAUCAAGAUCAAAUAAGAUCUAGUUGAUAUGUAUCAGGAUUUGAUGUAUUUGUCUUUUAAUGUGAAAUUAAGGGGAAAUUUCCCCAAUAAAUAGAAGGGUUUCCUUCAUUGUAAAUCAUCCCUCAAGAGAAGAAAUAAGAAUCACUCUCUCUAUUCUCUAUACUCUUCUUCUCUAUUCUUUAUUGUUUCAUAACACGUUAUCAGUACGAGACUCUAGCAUAUGCCGAUCAAGGUAAGUACGAUUCUCAAAAUUUGUAAUGCUUUGAAACUUCAUAAAGUCACUUUUGUAACUUGGUACAAUGAAAGUUAUUUUUAUAUAACAAGGAAUUAUUUCCUAUGUCUUAAUAUUAAGAAUCACAUGUGAAAAGCUACUAACAUAUGAUAUUUAUUUGUUUUAUAAAAUAUUCUUCGUAGCAUUUGUACGAGGUAGCUGGCUUCUCUAAUAUUGUUAUUUACUGUAUGUGCUUUGCUAUCUAUUGGUUGUACCACUAUUCCAAUGAAUGAUUUCUAACCUGAAAGACUAACAUGUCUUAAUGUGUACCAGUGAAGCAUUGUGUAAAGUAUUGCAUCAUUAACAAUGUAAAUUUAUGUAAUAUAUGGCUAGAUGAUAAGAAUGGCCACCGCGUGUAUAUAUAUCACAAGUUUUAUAUCUUGUUGGGUUUGCUGGAUCUGAAAAAAAUUGGUUCAAAAUUAUUUAUGUCUCAUUUGUUCACUUUUUUUUUCUCGAAGAGCAAAUUUAUAAGAUGAUGGAUUCAAAUAUCACUACAAUAAAAAGAUAAGACAUUGAGUUAAAGUUUCGAUGAUGAGGUGUUGGGUUCAAGUUUAAUUGAUUUUUGCCUAAGACGCCUUUAUAUGGAUAAGAUAUUAAGUUUGAAUCUCAAUAUACCAUACUGAUGAUAUUAUAAUGGCUAAGGCAAAAUCAUAGAUAUUGUGUGAAAAGUCAUGAAAUUUGACCCAGAAUAUGCUCCAUUCCAUGAAGUGAAUGUGGUAGAAAUAUAUGAUAAGUUUGAAAUAUGACAACUUACUUCAUUCUUGAGGUAUAUGUGAUAGCAGUGCAUAAUAUGUCUGAAAGAAGACAAGUGAUUGAAUGCACGAAUAUACGCGUAGAGGGACAAUAUGAUAAUUAUCAUCAAAAGUGAUGAUAUUUUUGCACGCAUAUUAUGAUCUAAGAUAUGAUAGAGAAAAAUUCUCUAGAUCAUAUGUAUGCCUCGAGUUGCUCCUGAAGUAGCAAUAUUUUGAAAGAGGUUCUAAUCUAUCAAAAUUUGAUAAACUUAAGGCAUGGUUAUAUUCCAUUCCUAGAGAAUGAGAAGUUUAUUAAUGCAAACGUGCACUUGAUUGUGAUGGUAUCACAACCUACUUCAGGAAUAGUAAAUCUGAAAUUUAUUCGUGUAAUAAUAAAUCUGAAAUUUGCUAAAUUAAAAAGCACAUGUCAUGGUAAACUUGGAGUUUACUAGCAUAAAAGUUCAUAAGUUGACAUGAACGAUUGGGACAUCUUAAAGAUGUGCAUAUUAAGUAUUAAACAUAUAUUGAAGAAUUUGAAAAUUCUUCAUGAACUUUAAUAUUUCUUGUUCUCAUGAUACGUUGGUUGGACCAACUAAUUUUGAGAUUGGAUCCCUCAAAAUUUGAAAAGUAUAAAUGGUGAACAUGGGCCCUUUCACCAGUCAUGUGAUCGAUUAAGAUGCAUCGAUCUAAGAUGAUCACAUAUUGUCAGCCUACAGCUUGACAUUCGUAAAGUUGCUUGCUCAACAUGAUUGAGUUAAGAGCAUAACUUUCAGACUGCGUAAUCAAGACAAUUCAUCUUGAUAAUGAUGAUUUAGUAUUGAAUUCCUUCGAUAAAUAGCUAAACCAUUGCUAAUGAGAACAAAAGUUCAUAUGUUGGUUUGAAAUAGUUACAGAAGUACUUGUAUGCAUCAAAUCAAUAAAUUAUGAUUAUUUCUUCCAUUUCAAUUUGGUUCAAGGUCAAAAACCAACUAUUCCAUCUAAUAGUUAACGUGCAGUAUACGAUUAAUGAAUAUAUCAUGCUGCAUAAAUAUGGAUUCUCUAAAGUAAAUUGAGAUGUAUGUUAGUUUUUCUAACAUAAGGGGGAGAUGAUAAGUAGCUAUAAAAUAUGUUAGGAAUUAUCAUGAGAUCCUUAUUCAAAAGAUAAUUCAAGUCAAAUGUCGAAAAUAUCUCAUGCUUAAGCUGCACGUGUUCUUAUUUUGUGUCCUUAAAGGACAAAGUCUACGCAUGCAUGAAGCAUGGUAGACUAAUCGGUUUCAAAUAAAAUAAUCCUUGAAAAGGAUAAGGAGAAAAUAAUAAUGAUAAGAAGACAAUGUGCUCUUGAAGAGCCUACGACAUGACACUUCAUGAAACCUUAUGAAAGGUCUAGGUACCUGAAAAUAAUGAAGUGAUGAAAUUUCAAAAUAUUAUGUCGCAUUGUGAACCGAUACAAAAUGAUAUAUCAUCAAUGAUCUUUGAUACAAUAUUGGUGCAAUAUUGUGAAGGAUUAUGAGGAUCUAAAUUCUACGUUAAUUUAAGCAUGCUAACAUAGAAAUAUUUAUCAAGUGACCUGAAAGCAUGCAUUUUGGUAAGCGUAAAACUUAUUUGAUUUGUACUCCAGAAGCUUGAAGAUGUCACACUUGACAUGUUGGAUAUUGUUACUUGACAAACAUCCAUAUGAAAAUUCCUGAAGGAUUCAAAAUGCCUGAAGCAUAUAAAGUUUCUGGAAAACUUUUUAUUAUCCUCAUAAUAUAUAAUUUGAUGAUCUGAGUAUCAUUGAAACUCUUAGAGAGUUUUCAAAAGUAAUAGAGUAUUUGCUUAAAUGAGAAACACGCAAAAAUUGAAUAAGGAUCCAUUCUAACCUAAAGAAAACAAUGAGGAGCUCCUUGAUUAUGAAGUACCAUAUCUUAGUGCAAUUGAUCCACUAAUGUAUCUUGCAAAUACUACAAGGCCUGAUAUAGCCCUUUUUUUAGUUAAUUUGUUAGCAAGUUUGCAGUCCCGAUCUUAUUGGUCAUACUGAUUUUGGGUACUUAUCUGACCUACAUAAAGCUCGGUCUCAAAUAGACUAUGUUUUCAUAGGUGGUGGUACUACAAUAUCUUGGAGAUAUACAAAGCAGUCUAUCGUAGCCACUUCAUUGAAUCAUGCUGAGAUAAUAGCUAUUCAUGAAGCAAGCUGAGAAUCUAUAUGGUUGAGGUCAAUGAUACAUCUCAUUCGAGAAAAAUGUGGUGUGGAAUAUGGCAAUCUACCCACAAUUUUAUACGGAGAUAAUGCAUCAUGCAUAGCACAUCUUAAUGAAGGAUUCAUAAAAGGAUAUAGAACGAAGCACACUUCAUCAAAGCUUUUUUACAUACAUGGGCUACAAAAGAAUGGUGAUAUCAAUGUGCAACAGAUUCGUUCAAGUGAAAAUGUGGCUGAUUUAUUCACCAAGUCUUCUCCAAUUAUAACUUUUAAGAAGAUGAUGCACAAAAUAGGGAUGCAAAGGUUCAAGGAUGUUCUCAUUAGGGAAGUUAAUGCUCGUUGUACUCUCACGAGAUUUUGUCCCACUGGAUUUUCCUUGUAAGGUUUUUAAUGAGGCAGUCGAUACACGUAUUUUUAGAAAUGUGUACUUUUUUUUCUUCACUAGAUUCUUUUUCCUAUUGGAUUUUUUCUAGUAAGGUUUUAACGAGGCACAUUAUCUAUCUAGAUAUUCAAGGGAGAGUGUUAUAAAUGUAUUUACAUUAUAGUGAAUGUCUAUCAAGAUCUAAUAAGAUCUAGCUGAUAUGUAUCAGAAUUUGAUGUAUUUUUCUUUUAGCGUGAAAUUAAGGAAAAAUUCCCCCAAUAAAUAGAAGGGCUUCCUUCAUUGUAAAUCAUCUCUCAAGAGAAGAAAUAAGAAUCACUCUCUCUAUUCUCUAUACUGUUCUUCUCUAUUCUUUAUUGUUCCAUGACAAUAUGUUAAUUUUGGUUCUUUAAGUGUGUAUUUUGGAUAAAAAAAUUAUAUUUUAUUUUGUUUUAAGAUUACUGUGCUAAUUUAUAGAUCACAAAGUCUUAUUUUCUUUCAAUCUUUUAUUACAGAGAAUGCAGUGGAUAUAUAAAAACCAUCAAUAGGUAAAUUUUCUGUUAAUCUUUAUUCAUUUUAUCUGUUUGUAUUUUUAUUAUCUAUGAUUGUUUACAUAAUUAUAAAUUCUUGUUCAAAAGUUUUUUAUUUGCAAUACCUUAUAAUUUGUUGUUGAAAUUAGCUUUUUUUUGUUAUGAAAAAUAAAAUGUAUUCUUUUUUUUCAGAUUGAAAUUAAUCAUAAAUAUUAUUAAAUUUAUUGCGCUUCAUUAAUUAAAUUCUAAUAAAAUCGUCACUAAAGACUCUACGAAAGAUAAAAUUGUUUAAUAUUAUUUUUCAAAUAUUUUAAAAUUUAAUAUUUUAGGCCCUCUUUUACACUUCACUUGUGCAUUUCCUUGGACGGAUUCAUUAUGCACUCAUUCACGUCCAUCCUCGUGGUCGUAUUUGUAUCAUCCUCCUCUUCUUGAAAAGGAUUCAACCUCGAAUCCGUACCUCACAAAAUCAAGAGAAGACAACAAGCACACAUCCUCAAGAUAUGAGGGGUUAGGGUUAUCAAAAUACACACAUCACAUUUCAUGCCGAGGGGGGGACAAACUUGGAGUAUAGCCACGGGUCCUUUGUGUUGAACAUAAAAAGCAUAGUACAAAAGACACAAAGAAAGCGGUCAUCAUCCAUAAAAAGAAAUAAGGAAGAACUUUGUCUUCCUUCAUUAGCAUCCACAACCAAACAUUCCUUGUCGUCUUGACCAAGCAUUAAGUGGGGAGUGUAGAGAUUUUCACAUUCCAAGAGGGUGCCGGGAUCAAAUGAAAAAAUUAGCCAAGGGCCUAAGCCGAGACUAUCCCUUCUAUGAACAAAACUAAUUGCAAUGUUUUUACCACACAAGAUGUUCAAAGAGUCAUGUGCAUUAUCAAGAUCAAUUUUAUAGACAUCAUCACUAACUUGAGAAUUUUUAAGCACACUAUUCACAUGCUCAAGUAGUGAACUACAUUUAAGAGUAAAUUGAUCAUCAUGCACACCAAGAGUACUAAUUUCUGUGACUACACAUUCCUUGCCCAUAAAAGUACUCUCAUCUUCCAAUAAGAGAUUUUCAUCUUUAGGAGGAAUGUUGUCACACCAUAGUGGGUUAGCAUAUCGGCUAUAUCCUUCAAGGCAAACUAUACCAUUAUUUACACCACUAGGUUCAUUAGGAAUGUUUAUAUCAUCUUCAAACAAAACAUUAAACCUAAAGAAAGCAUGAUCUAUCUCAUGGACAGAUUCGGAACUAGCAAGUGCUUCGCUCUCUAUAAGUUCACUAUCACGUAGCAAAGAUAUUUCAAUCUCCUCUUUACCUUGGUGUAGGUGGGGUAGCCCACCUCUUCCUUAGGAAAGCUUUCGUCACAAGGUGUUUGGACAAAGGAAUUUGGAUUUUGUGGGAUAAGUUUAGGUAGCAAUUGGCAUAGAUUUUCCACGUGCCAUUUCAUUUCUUCAAUAUAGUCGGUAAUGCGGUCAAAUAUGGUAUCGAGAUUGGUGGCAGCCAUGGUACCUAAAAGAAAAGACAACAAUGAACAACAAAACAAACAAACUUGUUAGCUCAAAAAUGUCUGACCACACUCUCACUCUCGAUUUUUACCUCACACUUGGUUUCACAAGUGUUAAAAGCCAGCUUGUACUUCGUGAGUGAUUGAGGGAUGAGUCUAUCUUUGCUCAGAAUAGAUUUUCCUAUGAGUUGACUCAAAAGAAAAUUUUUUUAUGGACUUGAACCAACAAGACACAACGAAUUGAAAAAAGAGAAAAGCACACAACAAACGCUUAACACGAAUGAACGACCACAAAGACUAACUAACAAUCUAGUAGAUGAGUACUAGCUUGCCAAUUAGUAGUGGAACCAACGAGAUUGAAACUAAGAAACAACAAAAGAAAACUAAGAAAUCUAAAAUUUAAGCCAAAAUUUGAUGCGUGAACAGUAACUUGAUGAUGUGGUAGCCACGUAUUGGUUGCGGUUUCUACAAUUUUUAUUUUCCAACAGACCAAUUUUAAUUUGGAUUGGUGGAAUUUGUUUUAAGGAGGGAAGAAUAAGUCUUGGAGCCUUUUUUCAAGUUUCAAAUUUCAAGACUUGACUUUUGUAGUACUUUUCCUUAAAACAUGGACUCUUAUUUCAUGAAAAAGUGGUUUAGAAGUGAUAUAAAGACUUUUGGUGGUUGGGGGUCUUUCAAGACUAUCAAUUACUUACACCUCUUUCCUUUUCUAAAAAUAUAUGAAGGAAGGUGAAGAACUUAAAGAACAACAACAACCACACAAGGAACAAUAACAACAAUCUUCAAGAACAACAAUAAUUCCAAUGGCCAACUCCAAUCCGCAACAACAAACGACCAAGUUUCUUUAGUGUUCUGUCUUCUGUUUUAACAAAAGAUGAAGAUUGUGAAGAACUUUAAGAACAACAAAAACAUUCACCAAGAAACAAAAACAACAAAAAUCCUUUCAACAACAACAACCAAACACACGGCCAGUCAAGUUUCUCAACAACAAUGUCUACCACAACAAUGUUCAACAACAAUGGGCCAAGGUUAUGUUCAUAAUAACAACAUCAAAAUACAAGCUCAAAUCAAGAUGUAGACUCAAUGUGUUAGAAUGGAACAAAACUAACACUUAUAGACAAAAAAUGAAAGUAAAAAUUUCGUCCAAGACACAACAAAAACAUAAUUUUCAGCCAAGAACACAAAAUGGACAGAUUGUUCUUUUUUUUUUUUUGGAAUUUUCAGUUUUCAAUUUUUUUUUUUUUGAAUUUUCAAGUGAGCUAGCCCAAGAUUUGAUCUUGUAGGAACAAGAUCAAGCCAUGCUAUGAUACCAAAUAAUACGAUAUUUACCAAGAACACACAAAACACACACUCAAAACAGUCCACAAGUUCAAGAGAAUCGAGCACCCUUUGAGUGACCCCUCUCGGAUUCAAGAUCUAUAACAAGAACACAAUGUAAUAAGGUGAUUAACACCUAUUUUAAGUAGAUAACAAACUAGAUUAACAACAUGAGAAUGAAGAACAAGAAGAACUUAACAAUGGGAAUAACAACAACAACACAAACGGGUACAAUACGAGAUACAAACAUGACAAGAUUGCAAGAAUAGAAAGGAUAGAUAGAGUGACAUACACUAUCUCAUGAACUAAGAACCUAAGUGUAUUCAAGCAUCUAGACCCUUAAUAAAAUGAUAAUAGAAACACUUACUCUCUUCGGUGAGUACAAGAGAGACCUCAACCUCCUCUAGCACCCAACGUUCUAAGCAAGAAUGCAACACUAGUGAUUCUACCCUAGUAUCACCCUAGGUACAAGUUUUGUAUUUGUGCCUCAAGGAGAGAGGACUUGUCUUUCAAUGUUAUACAACAUUCAUUAUCAUCAAAGUCUAAUGAAUGAAAUCCCAGAAGGUUCUAUUUAUAGAUAUUACAAAAAUAGUAUGAAAUAUCCAUAAUACCCCUCAAGGGUGAGGUGCCUAUCAAUUUCAAGAAGUGGGAUGAUUUUGGGUGUGUUUAGGCCCUCUUUUACCCUUCACUUGUGCACUUCCUUGGAUGGAUUCAUUACGCACUCAUUCACGUCCAUCCUCGUGGUUGUACUUAUAUCAUACUACAACACACGUUUCUCUUUAUUUUUUCAAGGAAAAACUAGUCAAUUACCUCGUAAAUCAUCCUAUAACUAAUACUAAUGUUAUUUACUUCAUUCCAUAACCCAAAUACACAAUUGCUCUCCUCCCAAAUUCCCAAGAACACCAAAUAAGGGCUUUUCACUAAAAUUCAAUCUCCCGAUGUCUCAAAUUCAAGUUCUUCUUAAUGUUUUCUCACAAAUUUCAUCAUCAAGGGUAUGGAAAAUAAAUCCAAGUGUUCAUAUAAAUUUCAAGCUAGGGUUUAGGCUUCAAAGUUAAGGAUUCAAGCUUUUUUCCAAAAAACUUUUGGCCAAAAGGCAUGUUGGAAACUCUCUAAUUUAAAUAUUAUAUUAUUUCAUAAUUCAAUUAUUAAGUGUUCUUGAAUGCUGAUUCUGAACUAGGAUUAAGGGGUUUGGGGUUGUGAUACUCUUGCAUGGUUUUUCCUUGUUUUAAUGAUUUAUUAUGUUUUAAAUGAUGGAUUAUGAACUGAAUUUGUGUAUUGCAAUAAUGGUGUAUUUGAUAAAUUGAAUUUCAGAAUAUUGAUGAAUUUUUGACAUGGUAAUGAUAUAAACCUCAACCCGCAUUAUAAAUUUUAGCUUUGAAUAAGGAUUUUAUACAAUUUUAAAUAAUCUUUUGAGAUAUUGCAUUAUAUUAAAGGAUAAAUGGAUGAAACGGUUUUGAAAAGCCCUUCAUGGUUAUGGCUUUGGAUUUUAAACAGUUUAUAAAGUCAAAUUGGUUAAAUAGUUAUGAUUUGUCAUAAUUGGAAUAGCUUGCAAGUCUAUUGGUAUGAUGAUAACAAGUUGAAAAUGCCUUAAUGAAAGACUCCAUGGUUAUUGGUAAAUAAAAUGUGAAAAAUAUUUUAAUUUGAACAUAAAAGGAAUCGUGUAGUUCACCGAGAAAGUGUAGUUUCGGGGGGGGGGGGGGGGGGACGAACACUGAAACUACGUUUUCCGACGUCGGGGGGUCUAUAUGACCACUAUGUCUGGUUUACAUAAUAUACUUUUGUACGGCUAUCACCUUGGUGUCUUUAGUCAAUCUCUGGUACAUGCGGCUAACAUAUGGGGCCCUUUAGGUAGGAGGAGUUGAAUCCAUGUAGCUUGUGGGUGCCUUUAGGUCAGAAUGAACUACACAGUUCAAGAUUAAGUUUUUAAACUAUGAUAUUUCAUUCCCUUUGACCCUAGUCCGACAUCCUAUAUAUGUAUAACUAUUAUUUACAGAAUUUAUGGCUGGUUUUUGAUAAAUACAUAUAUUUAUCUCUUUCUGUCAUGAUCCAACGACAAGGGUCAUGAUGACACUUAUCGUGACGUACCUUGACAAGUAAGCCUAUGACCUAAAUUAAUACACAAGAAAAAAACAAAAGACAGAAAUACACUAGGUAAUGCUUCUAGAACGAAGCCAAACCAUACAAGUAAGCAUAAUAAUGCGAAAAGAACUUAUCCAAAAUACCACUCAUACCCAAAACCAGUAGUCAAUAGUAUAAGAACUACUAAUACAAUAAAGGAGUCAAAUACAUCAGAAAAAUAAUCACAAAGAAUAAUAUCUUUAUUCGAAUACUAUUAACUACAUAACUAAUACAGAAAGAUAGGGGUGAACUCCAAACAUAUGAAUGUUAUACCACUACCUUUAGAAAUCUGAAGGCACCUGAAGUCAACCAAUUUGAGGUGCACCCAAACCUAAAGCUUCACCAAAAGGGUGAAGUAGGAGUGAAUAUGAUCCAUUUGUACUCAGUAGGUAUCAUAUGCCCAUCGAAAAAAGUAAAAAAUAAAGCUUACAAAAUGCAAACUAAGGGCACGUCACCUGCAAUUAGAAAAUAUACCACAAUGGUAGAUCAUACCGCUUAGACUAAGAGUCAUAAUAUAUCAUAUAUAUUGCCAGUGUUACUUGGGAGUUGCCAGAGUGGUAUCAAUUUUUCAUGAAUUUGAACGAUAUGACGAUAUAAUACUCACAACCAAUCACAAUGAGUAUUUCCCCAACCAACCACAAGAUAUAUUUUCACACCAACCAUAAUGAUAUAUUUCCACAGCCACAUAAGCCAAUAUCUACUCAUUAUUUUCAUUUCAUCAAUGAAUUUCUACAGGUCUUAUAUGCCAAUAAAGUAUGAAUAUAAUCACAAUACAAAAUGGUACAAUAUUAAGCAUUUUAAUAACACAAUACAAUUAUUUACAUAUUUUCAAGGUUAUUCGACCUCACAUGGUCACACAUAUCACAUAAUAUCUCAAUUUUGAUAAUUACAUCACACAUAGCCUCCACACCCCCCCCCCUCCACGGACACAACACAUAGAUAGAUUUUUUUAUGAUUGAUUUCCAUCAUUAACAUACAUUUUGUACCAUCAUUUACUAUCUAACCCAAUCUGAAAGCCAUAAUCUAACUCAAAAGUCGAAAUACCACAAAUAAGACUUUGCUCCCUAAUCUUUACUCAUCACGAACGGUCCCAAAUGUUAAUAAAAUAUUAAAUAUAGAAUCUACGUACUAAAAUAAAAUCAAUGACACUCAUAUUGACUACUUUUGAUUUGAGGCCAAAACGGGCCCCCGAAAUGGGUAUUCGAGAAAGAUAGAAAAAAAUCAUAACUUCACUUCAAAAAUAUAUUUUCUAUAUUUUUAUAAAUCUAAAGCUAAAAAUUGAGGUUAAAUUGAGUAAAAAUUGAGGUUCAAAUAAAAGAAAAAUUAUUUUUAAGCUUUACCGGGUAAAAAUCUUUGAAAUUCGAGUUAAAAUCAAGAAUUGAUGUUGUUUUGAAGGUUAAAUUGAUGAAAAACUAGUAAUUAUAAAAUUAAAAUAUUAUUCAAGUGAAAAGAAGUUGAGGUUUAAAAUCAAACCCUAAGAUUUUUGGGAUUUUGAGAAUUUAAUCAAGAAAUUACUAAGAAUAGGGUAAAUUCUUACAUUAAAUUCGUAAGAGAAUCAAGAAAUAGAUGUUAAUCUCGCUUCCCAAGAUCCCACAAGCUUCACUUUUUAAGAUCCCACAAUAUUUUAGGAUCUAACUCUCAGGAGGCAAAGAUGGAAAAAAGGGCAAAAAUGGGCCCAAAAAAGGGUAAAAAAGCUGCAAUUUAUUAUGGGCAAAACGGACUUCGACGGGGUGCCCAAGAUUUGUUCGAGUCCGAUAUACGCAAACGAACUAUGUAACCACACUAAAUUCAACACUCUGGACUCAAUGAUGAUAUCAGAUUUUUAAAAUACCAUCAUUUUUACAAAGUUGACCCACAAAACUUGAAAUCCUAAUUUUUCAAACCGAGGAUCAAAAUAAGAUUUAAAAAAAUCAUAAAAUCUCACCAAAUAUGUUACCAUCCUAAAAUCAAUGUUUUGAAUAUGCUGGAAAGGUUGAAUUUUCCAUCUGAGGUUGUUUUGACCAAAUAUGGGUCAGACACUCAUAUCUAAUUUUUCAACUUUCUGGUCAAUAGGUCAAAAUGAGCUUAGGUGCAUCGGGACUCAAAUCAAAGGUUUACCAACCUAAAAUCGAUAUUCCAUAGCUACUGGCAUAGUCUGUUCAGCCAUUCAUCACAUGGAUCAAAAGAUAUUCUCAUAAGUCCAAAAUAAGGCUCUUGAUGCCUUCAAAAAUCACAAUAUCGCAUAAAUCGUAUCAAAAAGCAUAAGGAAACCGUGCCAAUUAUCCCCAUACUGCAGAAAUACCAUAAUACAACUACAAUAAGGGAUAAAAUAGUCAAAUCAUACAAUUUGACAUAUUUCAUCAAAAAGCAGAUCGUUACACUUUCCUUCAUUUGCAUGCCAAUAAUCGUCAUACUUAGCGUCCCCGGAUGCUACAUCAUUACAUAAUGUAGGUUCCGAGGAUUUUUCUUGUAACCCUGCGCAGCGUUUGGUAAUUUGGUACUCCUGUUGGUCAGUAGUUGAAGUUGUGAGCCCUUCAUCCUUCGGAAGGCUGGACUUCCUUAUAACUUUCAUUUAUUAUUCUAGUACCCUUGGAUUUCUUUUGUCAUAGUCGAGGGAAUGUACCGGAUUGAUUGGUAUUCUUUAGAUUUGAGGCUUUUAUGGAAAGUGUUGGAAUGUUAUUGUAGAUUGGUUUUGACUCUCAAACUUACUCAUUUGAUUUUCUAUCUCUCUUAUUAUAUUGGUUAUUUUCCACUGCAUAUUAUCAUUAUUGUAUGUUUUGAGGUAUGGCAAAGAGGUCAUCUCCGGCCUUGGUUGGCUUAGUAUGCCCAUCACGAGUAGGUCCUGGUUUGGAUUAUGACAAGCUUUGUAUUAGAGAAUGGUCUAGGGUCAUUGGGUGUCCAUAAAGUCAUGCUGAGUAGAGUCUUUUUUAUUGGUGUGUAGCACACUAAACUUAUAUGGUACAUUUUCAUUACCACAUGAGUCAAUAUCCACAUAUUAUUUCCAUUCAUCCAGGAAUUUCCACAUGUUUUAUAUGCGAAAAGUAUGAAUAUAUAUCACAAUACCCCAAAGAUACCACAAUAGGCAUUUGCAACAACACAAUACAAUUAUUCAUAUGUAUUCAAGGCUAUCAACAUCAUAUAGGACUCCACACGGUCAUGCAUAUCACAUAGUUUCUCAAUUUCAAUAUUUACAUCACAUGUAGGCCUCCACAUAAGCAUAACAUAUAGAUAGCCAUUUUUCAUGAUUAGCUCCCACUCUUAACAUGCAUUUUGUUAUCAUCAUUUACUACCCAGCCCAGUGUGAAAGAGUUAAGCCAUAACCUACCUCUAAAGCCAAAACUGAUAUGCAACACUAGAACCAUAAAGCCCUACUUCUCAUGAAAGGUUUUGAAAUCAACUAAAAUAAAAAAAUAUUGGAUCUAUGCGUCGAAACAUAGCUAUCAAUAUUCAUAUUUCCUACUUUUGGUUCGGGAUCAAAAUAGACUCUCGAAAUGGGUUUUUGAAAAGAAGGGCAAAAUCAUAACUUUACUUCAAAAACGUGUUUCCCAUACUUUUAGGAAUCUACAUCUAAAUGCUCCAAUAAAAUUGAGUCAAAAACAAGGUUCAAAUCAAACAAAAAUUAUUUUUGAGAUUUAUCGGAUAAAAUCUUUAAAAUCGGUGUUAAAAUCAAGAAUCAAAGUUGUUUUAAAAAUAAAAUCGAGAAAAAAGAAGUGAUUAUUGGCUAAGGAAUAGUAUUCAAGUGAAAAGGAGUAAAAUUUAGGGAUAAAUCAAGUAAUAAGAUUUUGGAAUUUUUGAACAAUUAAAUUAAGAAUUAAAGUAAGAAAAGAAUGAAAUCUCACCUUAAAUUCAUAAAAGAAUCAAGAAAUAGACAUUAAUAUAGCUUCUCAAGCACCCACAAGCUUCAAUUUUAAGCUCUCACACUAUUUUAGGGUUUAACUCUCUAGAGACAAGGUGAAAGAAUGAGCAAAAUCUGGCAAAAGAGGGCUUUUUAUCUUGCACCAGGUUACCAGUCAAAUAAGUCAUAAAUUGGCCUCCCCAAAUGAGAUUUACACUUUGUUUUCCAUGUUUUUGGUGCAACCUGGUGCACUAGAUUUUUAAGUCCAAAACAUACUUUCACAGGAGGCUCGAAAUUCAUUUGGAGUCCGAUAUACGCAAAGAAACUAUGUAACCACACUAAAUUCGAUGCUCUAGACUCAACGACAAUAUCAAAAUUUAAAAAAAAAAUCAAUUUUUUAAAGUUUGCCCCCGAAUUUCGAAAUCACAAUUUUUCGAACCAAGGGUCGAAAUGAGAUUUAAAAGACACGAAACCACACCAGAUAUGUUACCACCCUAAAAUCGACGUUCUAGAUCUGUUGGCGCAUCCGUGUAACCAUCCAUCGCACGGAUCAAAAGAUAACCACUGAAGUCUAAAAUAAGGCUCUCGAAUCCACCAAAAAUCACAAUAUCACAUAAAUGAUACCAAAAUGCAUCAAAAAUAAUGUCAAUCACCCCCACACCCCAGAAGCAUCAUAACGAAACUACGAAGAAGGGUAAAAUAAUUAAAUCAGACAAAAUCAUAAAUUUCACAUAUUCAUCAAAUUAUAGGUCGUUAUAUUUGGUGUAUCAAGUGAUGGAGGGAGUCAAGGUUAUUCGAGCAAGACUUAAGACUGCUCAAAGUAGCCAAAAGUCUUAUACGGAUGUGAGGUAAAGGAAACUAGAGUUUGAGGUUAAUGAUUGCGUGUUUUUGAAGGUCUCUCCUAUGAAAGGAGUUAUGAGGUUUGGGAAGAAAGAAAAACUUAGCCGUUGUUACGUUCGUUCAUAUCAAAUUAUAAGAAGGAUUGGCAAUGUUGCUUAUGAACUGGACUUACCGGUGAGCUUGGCCUUGGUUCAUCCUAUUUUUCAUAUGUCUAUGCUAAGGUAAUAUGUGGAUGACCAUUCCUUGGUAGUGCCAUUGAGGAUAUUGGGGUGAAGGAUUCUCUAUCAUAUGAGGAAUUCCUUAUCAAAAUCCUUUAUAGACAAGUUCAAAAGUUGAGAACUAAAGAGAUAGCUUCGGUAAAGGUGCUUUGGAGGAAUCAAAAUGUGGAGAAAGUUACUUAAAAAUUGGAAGAGGACAUGAAAGCUAGAUACCCAUUUUUAUUCACAUCUUCGGAUGAGGUUACUUGAGGUGCGGAUCUUACUUUUAUCUAAGUCAUUUUAAAUUCUUACAUUAGACUUCCAUAUUUUUCUUUACAUCUGUAAUGACCCUUUAGGUCAUUUUUCAUAUUUAUGCUUAUCUUUACUAUUUGAACAUCUUCAUAAGUUUCCCAAGUCAUUUAUGACUUGUUGGGAUCGACGAUUUGAUUAUCGGAUAGUUCGUUUGUUUUUUUAGAGCUAAUUUCCUAUUUUGAGGUCUUCACUAAUUCUAAAUGGCCAUCGAGCGAAAAAUUCAGUGAAACAAUCUCGGAUGCAAAUUGUGACUGUGACAAUAGAUUCAAAAAAUUAAAAAUAACCUAGAUAGACUUUUGAUUCUGGUUCCAAUGCACUCGAGCUCCUUUUGACCUAUUGUUCAGAAAGUUAGAAAAUUGAAAUCUAGGUGUCAGACCCACAUUUGGUCGAAAUGACCUCAAAAAAUCCGACUUCUCCAUCGCAUCCAGAACAUUGAUUUCAGGAUAGGGGACCUUUGGUUCAGGUUCCAAGGCUUUCGAACUUAUUUUAGGCUAUUGAGUGGAUUUUAUGAAAAAUGAAACUAUAAGUAUGGUCCCCACUUUUUAUCGAAAUGAUCUAGGAUGAAAGUUUUGAUGAUUCCAAUGAAUUUAAAAUGUGGUUUAUACUCAAAUUUCACUAUUGAAUCAUAUAUUUUGAUUUUCGAAUGGGUUCCUAGGUCAAAAAUAGGUUUUUGGCUUUGCUGAUGGCCCAGACAGCGACUACGGAUCUCCAAAGCUAGAAUGAGCAUUUAAGCACCCUAUAGGCCGCAUUUUUCACCAUUUUGACUCAUUUUUGAGAGCCUAAAACCCUAAAUAAGUAUGAUAAAAUAAAAUUGAGUCUUGUGGGUGUCUAGGGUGCUUGGUAAACAUCUUUUUAUAUGAUUAUCAUCCGGAUUAAGGUAAGAUUUCAUCACUUUAUUGGUGAAUUUCUUAGUUCUAGACCUAAAAUCCCAAUUUAGCUUAGGGCUUGAUUUAGCCCAAAAUUUGGUUUGUUUGCACCUAUUAAUAGAGGGUUAUGAUUUCUUGGUGAUGUAUGAGCAUUGGGUUGACCUCGAAUACGCGAUUUCCGUAUAUAGGACCCACUUAGGGUUUUUGGUAUCGUUUUUGAAUCCGAAACACAAUAGUGUAAUAUGGGUAUCGUUAGACUCAUAUUGAUUAGUAGAUUAUUUUUGAUGGCGUGAUGACAUUUUGGAAAUUGUGAAGCAAAGAUGAGCAUGUGGUGCUUGGAGUGUGAUUUUGCGGUUUAGCCUUAUGGUAGGCUCCUGUCCGCUUUCCUUCAUAGAUGAUGUAUGAUAUGUAUUGCGUGUGGAUAUGAAUGGUAGUAUUGAUUAUGAGUAAGAUAUCUUAGCCUUUAUUAUUGAUAUUUUAGAAAAUUAGAUGAGGGUCUUGGACCUAUAAGAUAGUAUGUUUAUAACCUUGUGGACUCCUAUUGCUAUCUCCCUAGUUUAGAUUGAAUUGUACCAUGGAUUUGAUACUUGGCCAAUAGAGAUGCCAUUUCCUCUUAGAAUUGAUAUUGGACCCAUAGAGAUGUUAUUUCCUCUUAGACUUGAUACUUAGCCCAAAGAUAUGCCAUUUCCUCUGAGAAUUGAUAUUGGGCCCAUAGAUUGUGUACUUUUCAUUGAUUCCUGCAUGUGCAUCGCCUAUCACCAGUAUGCACCUAUAGUUAUCAGUCGAUAUGGGACGGUUGCUAUAUAUGGGUGAAGCAUAUGCCUUGUGUUGUUGUAUGCUGAUUGAUCCUUUCGAGUCUGGGGCGGUGGGGGUAUGCAUAAGCUCGGCUAGGUAUUUGAUUGUCUAGAGUAGCUAGUUAUUUACGAUAUUAUUGAUAUUGUUAUUAUCAUUGUUAUGAUCACUAUUAUGGCUAGCGUAUGAAAGAUUGGUCAUUGAUCCGGUAUAAGGAUUGAGGUAUGCCUUCGUCUUCUACUAUCUUAUGAUUGCAUUACUAUGCGCGAUUAUUCUAUGUCUAGCCAUAUGAAUUAGAAAUCCUAAGUAUGUUAGUAUUGAAUCUUGAUAGUAUUAUAAUAAGGUCUUAAAAUGAGAACAUGAUGAUCUAGGUUAUACUUAAGAUGACCUCCUGAUUUUAUAUACAUACAUAUAUGUAUAUAGCUAUAUGAAGCUAUGGUACUAUCGGAUAUCCUUUCCUUGGUGUUCAUAUUAUAUAGUUGUUCCUUCGCCUUAUAUAUUACUAUAUAUCGUUCUUUUGCUCUUUAUUUGUAUAUUGACCUGGGAUAUACGGUAUAACAUUUACAUAUAUUGAAUGUAGCUGGAAUAUGAUAGUUCACCUUUAUACUUACUUAGUCUUAUUAUGUUAGACUCUUGGACAUGAAUAGGAUAGUUGUCCCUUAUUAAUCUCAUUGACUUAUUAUAUGAUUUAUGGACUCUUAGGUGUAGUUUUCAUUCUGUUUACAUACUAUAUAUAUCUACUUUAUCUUUUGAGCUCAGUUGGCAGCUGCCUACUGAGUAUCAUUCAUUUGGUACUCAUACUACACCUCUGCAGCCUAUAGAUCAUAGUACAUGUUAUCGCCGUUGAUGUGUGCAUCGUGUGGAGUAGUCCUAAUUUAGAGACUUAGAGGGAGCUCCUAACGUUCUGAGCAUUACUUAUCUCUAUCCUAUGUAUUAAACUAGCCUCUAAGCUGUAUUCAGAGGUAAGUUGUAUUAGUGUAUUUCUCCUUGAUAUAUCACUUUUGUACUCUUAUUAUAUUUAGAAGCUCUUGCACUGACACCACCAGGUUUUAGGAUUCGUCUAUGUAUUCAUCUUUAUUUCAUAUAUUUUGCAUUCUUUUCCUUAUAUAAUUGAGUAGUCCGUUACUAGUUGUUCUGGACUACAGGUUGGCUUACCUACUGGUGGGUUGGCUUACCUACUGGUGGGUUAUGGUAGGCGCCAUCAUGGCCUGAAAAGUUGGGUCGUGACAAUAUCGUGUUAAAAAUAACCUCAAUUCUUAUUCGAGGACGAAUGAUUGCUUGGGGGGGGGAGGAGAUCAUGUAAGACCCCAAAAAUUUUAAUGAUUUUAUUUUGAACCUUCAUGUUCAGCAGUGAUUUUUGACUUGAAUCAUGAUAAGGGAUGGUAAUAAAAACAUUAGGGAGAGUUUUGAAAUUUUCUAAAAGUGUUCACAGUCAUUUUGGGACCCUGAACUAUUGAGGAUCUGUGAUAUCAAUGUGUCAUGCCCUGGGCAUGCCACGAUAAGAGUGUUCCAUGCUCUUGGGGUAAUGCGAUAAGGGUGUACCACGCCCAAGGGCCCAAAUGCCUUUUUUGUAUUUUUUUCAUUUUGGGACGAGGGAUUUUUGGUCUUUUACCCAUUUAAACGACUUUAAACAUUACUUAACCCUUAUUCACCUAUUAGUUACCAAAUAUUAUCACCAUUCUUCCUCCUCUCAACUCUCAAGAGAAGCAAACUAAGGUUCUUUCUAGGGAUUCAACUCUCAGAGCUCUAUAUUCAAAUUUUUCUCAAAUUCAUCUGGUUAAAAAGACAUGUUGAAAACUCCCUUAUUUUUAAUAAUCUUUAAAUUGUGAAAUUACUUGAUAGUCAUAUAUUUUAAUGGUUGUUUAAAAACUAGGGUUGUGGUUUUUUGUCGAUAUAUACUUGUAUUGAGUUUUCUGGUCAUAAUGGUUUAAAUGUUGGGUAUCAACUAAAUUGUGACUUACAAAAGGAUGAAUAUGGUAGUUUGAAUUCAUAAUUGGUAUGGUUUAUGGCAUGCUAAGAUAUGAGCCUCAACCUAUUGCUUAAAUUGGAUUUAAAAGGUGAUUUUAUAGUGCUUAACUCGUCUUUGGAAAUAUUGUCAUGUAUUAAUGGAAAAAUGGUCUAUAGUAGGUUUUUGGAGUUGAAAUUUGGAUUUUAAAUGGUUAAAUAAAAUUAUGUGGAAUUAUAUGGAUGGCUUGCGACUCUUUGUAUGACAAUACCAAUCUGGAAAUGCCUUAAUGAAAAAACGUCGUGGUUAAUGGUAUGUGAAAAUAUUUUAAUUGGGCUUAAUGAGAAUUGUGUAGAUCACCGAGAAGGUGUAUUCCUUGUAACCAAUACUAAAAAACACGUUUGCCAAUGUUGGGGGUUUAUGACCAUUGUGUACUGACUUUGAGUGGUGGUACACACUUAUUCUUUCGGAAUGUUAUUGACUAUUGGUGACUUUAGCCUAUUCCUCGGUCCAUGUGGCUAACAUAGAUUGGGCUCCUUCGGUGGAGGAACGGGACCUAUAUAGCCCCUCGGUGUUUAAAAAUUGGUGCAAGCUACACAGUUCAGGAGUAAAUUUUUGAAUGGUCAUGUCCUUGUACUCCCCACCCCUUACUUCAUAUUUAUUGUGGAAAGUGAUUCUAUUUUAUGACUGAUUUUGGUAAACUUCAUAUUUAUCUCUUUUCUUGGGUUGCAUACUAGUACUCGUCGUAUUGGUCGUCUCAAAAGCUACAUCAUUUCAUGACAUAGUUUUGGAGGCUUUUUCUAGUGACCUUGUCGAGCAUUAGGGGACCGUUACUAUAUUUGAUAGCUAGUGAGAAGUGGUGAGCCCUCCAUCAUCCAGACGAUCAUAUUACUUUUCAGCCUCCUUAUAUUAUUGGUUCUAUUGAUUUUCUUUUGGCAUAUUUAGGGUCAUGUCCCAACUUGGUAGAUGUUUUAUGGAUAGAGGCUUGUAAACAAUAUUGGGUUGUAGUUUCUGGAUUUGAACUUGAUUUUUCAAAUUUUGUUUCAUUUAUUAUCAAACUCUUUCAUAUUAUGGGCUGACUUCUUUAAUUUCUUUAUAUUAUGGUGCUUAUGGUGUAAGGCAAAGGGGUCAUCUCAUGUCUUGGUUGGCUUGGGGUGUUCGUGAUGGUCAGGGUCCCAGUUCGAAUUAUGACAUGUACAUGUCUGACCAAGUCUUGGGCUAAUGAAGGACAGUUGUAAGAUGUUUUUGAAAAAUUAAUUUAUUGGUAGCUAAUUUAAUUUUUAUAUAAUUAAUUCAGUAUUCCCUUAAAAACAGAAGUCGGCUGCUUAGUUUCAGUUGGAUAAUAAGGAUUCUCCUAUCUACUUUACGGUCCUUUAUUUUGGAUCGUGAUAGUACAAUAUAUCCCCACCUCAUUCUCCUUUCAGUUGUCCUACUCCUUCACCCUUCUCUACAUAUUUCUUUUUAACUAGUUUAGGUGUACGCGGUUCGCGCGUGUAUCUCAUUUUAAUGAGUUCAAAUACUACACUAAAUAUGAUAUUUAUUCAAUUAAUAGUAAUUAAAUUCAACAUCAUUGUAGUUGUAAAGAUGAAGAAUUUAUUCAAUUACUUAUAUAAUAUUAAUAAAUAUAGGUGAAAUAUAUUGACAGUCCUUAAAUUAAUGUUGGUGUCUUUAGUAAGUUGAUGUUUAGAGUGCUUGAUAAUCCAUAAAGUUUUGCAAUUUAACUUGGUUCCGUUGUAGAAGUGAUAAUUUUGACGUGCAAAUUUCAUAUCAUUUCAAUCCCUCUUCUUGAUCAAAUAGUUUGUGUAUCUUUUCUACUACAUCAAAUAUAGUCAUACAGUUUCCGUGCACUUCAUUCAUAAUUUCAAAAUUUAAUUCGCAACAUGGAUUCAGAGAAACAAUAAAAAUAGUGUCUCAAUAAGUUUUAAUAUUGAGACAAAUUUCUCACGGUUAUAUAGAAAAUAAUCUUACGCUAAUCAAACAAUUCAGUAAAUUCUAUAUGAAUAGAGAGACAAGUUAAAUUAGGUUAGAGUUUAUUAAGUUGAUACUUUUCUUAGAAAAAAACUAAAAAAGAAAUCAAGUCAAUUAAAUUGUACUAUUACCUUUUCUUCAUUAUAAUUUCAAAAAAGUCACAAAAGUGGAGGAGAAGAUGAAGAGAAACAUACCUUAAAGAAUACUUGAUGGAUAUAUGUGGCUAUGGAGAAGCUUUUGCUAUUACUCAUCAUUCGCUAACAUAAAAUCCAACAAACAAUAUCAUCUUCGAUCUCUAUCAUAAAAUUUGUUCUGCUAUCGAGUAGAUCCCAUUAUACACCUCAAUUGAGAAAGAUGUUUAAAAUUGGGUAUUAAGAGAAAAGAUAGACAAAACACAACAACGAAAAACAAAUUACAAGUUUUACAAAAACUAAGGAUAAUUGUUUUUUGAUAAUAAUUGAGGAAGAUGUGAAAAAAAGAUAGAUUUUAUUUUUAGAAAGAAAAUAAAAGGAACACUAUUCCUAUUAGAUUUUCUAUUCAAAGUUUUCAAAUUUUACCUUCCAUAAACAAAGAUUUUAAAUAAGCUUUUACUCAGACAUUAUAAAAGUUCUUAAUUCACGUGAAUCACGUACACCUCUUUCAUAUAUUUUAAAAGUCCUUAAAAUAUUAUAAAAAUAACUAAAUAACAUGUAAAAAAAAAAUGACAAUUUUGUAUUAUCAAAAAUAAUAAAAACAAAAAUACAAAUAAUAAUCUUUUGGAGAGAAAGUUAUAUUAUUCAUGUCAAACAAAAAAAAUUCAAUUAUACAAAAAAUAUCUUGAUUAGAAUAGUAUGUCAUUUUUUUCUUGAGUUGGUUCUUAUCAUAACUUAUUUUCUACUUUUGAUAUUUAUAUGUCUAAUUUUUAACGUGGUUUUGGAGAGAAAGUUAUAUUGUUCAUUUCAAACAACAACAAAGAAAAAAUUCAGUUAAACAAAAACAUCUACAGGAACUUGUCAUUGAUACACAAUAAAUUGUGGUUUGUAUAAAUUAAUUAAAAUAAUAAAUUUUAUGCAAAGAAAAUAUAUCUGAAAGAGUUGAUCAGUGCUAGGAAAAAAAGAUAAUAACCUACCAAAAAUUAGAAAUAGACAUAAGCUAAAAUCAAAAAAGAAGGAAAAAAGUGCAACUCUGUAUAUAAAAUUCAGAAAAAAAAAAUAGGCAAAAAGAAAUAAAAAAUCAUUUGUUGAAAAAGAAUAAAAGCAAACAAGUGAAGAUAUUUUUUCCCCAAAAGUUACGUUCUAGUUUUGUUUAUAUAUAAAAGUUAUUUACUUUAUAUUAUCGGAAUGAAUACAGAUUACAUCGGAAUGAAUACAGACUACAUGUAAAUCUAAAGUUUUAAAAAAAUAAAUAACAUGUAAAAUUAAUGUAAUCUUUGAUUUCUUCAUUCAGUGACAACAUACUUAUUUCAUUUCAUCUUCUUUUGAUUAAAGAAAAUUUAACUGGAAAAGAAACACAAGAAAUUAUCAAAAAAAAGAAAAUCUAUUAUUUUGUUGAUUUUGAACACUUUAUAUAUAAUCUUUAAAUUUAAUAAUUAGAAGAAACAAAGAAGAAAAAAAAUUCAAGAAUACUAAAGUUAAACCUAAUUUUUUUCUGCGGCAAAAUUGUAUCUAAAGCCUAAACCAAAAUAAACAGUAAUCCUACGCAUUAAAAGAAACAAAAAAGACAAAAAGAUAUUAAAGAAUACUAAAGCUAAACGUAAUUUUUUUCUACGGCAAAAUUGUAUCUAAAGUCUAACCCAAAAUAAAUAGUAAUAUUGGGUAGCAAUGCAGGAGUAAAAUAUUGGGAAUUUGGAGUUAAAUUAUGAUAGUGAAUUUUGGGUAGAAUUAGGAUUAGUUGAGGGUUUUGUCAAUGUUUAGGAGUUUUACUCCUCAUAUAUUUAUUAUAGUCAAUAUUUAAUAGUAUAAUAAAUAAUAAUUCAAAAAAACAUGAAAAAAAUGAUUUUAUUUAAAACGGAAUCUUUUAAGGAAGGACAAAAAGUUCGAAUCACUUUAUCCACACUUUUAAUAUAUUGUAGAUAUGGAUUAUAGAUAUAGAUAUAGAAAUAGAUAUAAAUAAAAAUAUAGAUAUAGAUAGAUUAUAAAUUAUAGACGCGCCUUGUGCGUGUACCUCAUUUUGAUGAGUUCAAAUAUUACACUAAAUAGGACAUUUAUUUAAAUAAUAAAGAUGAAUAUAAUAAUUAAAUUUAAUAUCUUUUGAGUAUGUAAAGAUGGAGAAUUUAUAUUUAUUAAACCUAACCUUUACCAAAAAUAUUUUUAAAAGUCGAACAGCAUUUAUCUACUAUCUGUAAAUUACAACAAAAUAAUAUAAUGGUAGAGACAUCAAAAUAAUACAAUUAAAUCUAAUUUUAGGAUUAAAAAAUUUUCUCAUAGUCGUCCAACACUCAUCUACCACCCGUAAACAAUAACAAAUAAUACGAUAAUAGAGAUAUCAAAAUAAUAUAACUAAACUUAACCUUUACAUAAAAAAAUUCUUCAAAGCCGACCAACAUUUAUCUAUCACUUGUAAACUGCAAUAGAAAAAUAUGAUUAAAGUGAUAUCAAAACAAUACAAUUAAACUUAAAUUUUAAGUACAAAAUUUUUUGAAACCCGAUCAAGAUUCAUCUACGAACUGUAAACUAACACAAAAUAACAAACUAAUAGAGAUAUUACGAUAAUACAAUUAAAUCUAACUUUUACACAUGAAAUUCUUCAAAGCCGACCAACAUUUAUCUAUCACUUGUAAACUGCAAUAGAAAAAUAUGAUUAAAGUGAUAUCAAAACAAUACAAUUAAAUCUAACUUUUACACAUGAAAUUCUUCAAAGCCAACCGUCAUUCAUCUACGACCUGUAAACUAUAAAAAAAAAUAUAAUAGUGAUCACAAAGCUUUGAUUUUGAUCCAAUUAAUUCUUGUCUGAGCAAAAAUUUUGAGACUAAAUAAUGAUUUUGAAUGAAAACAAAGAAGAUAUAUAUAUAUAUACACACACAUGUUGAUAAUAUAUAUAUACACACAUGUUGAAUUCUAUUAUGCUGACAAAAACAGUGAAAAAAUUGAGGCUUAGAAAAUGGGUAAAAUUCAGAAAUAUUAUACUUAAGAGCCUAAUUAUUGUUUUUAUAGCAACAGUUUCAUAAUUACGUUUUAUAGCAACUUAUAUUUUGUAUUUUUAAAAAAUAUUACUGUAAAAAUACAUAUACAAUAAAGUUACAGCCCUUAUUUAACUGAAAUUAGUUGACCUAUAUAUGGUAUAAUUAUCAAUCCAGUAAAUUUAUAGAUUUCUUUUCCAUUUAAAACUCACAAAAAAACGUGACUUCCAUUAUAUUUCUCUUCACAUUUGAAAUUCAAAUUUCAAUUUUUCCCCAUUAGCAAUUCCAUCCGAAAACUCGUUAAUCAGCUGCAGGUUUUCUUAGCAAUUUGUUCUAAUCCAACCCUGUUUUGGAAAUUCAACCAUUGCUGUUGCUGAAUCAAAUUGGACUGAUUCUUCUUCGAAAAUUAACAAUAAUUGCAAAAUGAUGCAGUAAUUUAUUUGAACCAAAUCAAUUUGUUUGAAUUCAACUGUCAGUUGAAAAUUCAACCAUUACUAUUGUUUAAGGUACAUAAUCAUUAUUGUUUUUCAGUUUGAUUUUCUUUUUAAACCAUUACUGAUGUGCCUAUCGAGUUUCUGUUGUCGUCGUUACUUUGUAUGUGAAAAAAUUGUAAAAGAAAUUCGAGUUAGAAGCAUUUCAACAGUAAAAUUGAACAUAUAGAAACAAAAAAUUGAGAAUUCAACUUGGUGUUGCAAAUUUCAGCUUAAAACUUGUGUGAACUGUAAAAAAGUUAGUAUUCGACUAUUGUUUUGAGGAUCGUUUGUUGUUAUUUUGAUUGUUUUAACAAUUCUACAAAUUCUGAAGCUUUGUUGUAUAAUCGUUUAUGAUCGAAUUCAACUGUUGAAUUUGAUGAUAUUCUAUGAACACAUAUGAAAGUAUAAAUUAUCUGCUCCAGAUGUAUUUUUAAUCUAUGUAAUGGUCACAUUGCAUAUGUAUUUUUUGAUAUGGUUAAUGUUAAUACUGCAUAUGUAUUUUUGUGUUGUUGUCGGAAUUUUAGACUAUAACUAUAUAUUUGAAAAUACAUUUUGUACUUGUUUUACUUCCGUUUGAUUCAAUAAUUUCUGUAUUUGGUUAAAUACUUUUUCUGUGUUUGUAAUUUAGUUUAUACAAAUAUUGUUUAAAUGUAUUUUUUUACAGGUUGAUGUUGGUUGAGUAACUUUGUUUGCACUUAAAGUUGUAAAUUGUGUGUUAAAACAAGUGAUAUCUGACAAAUAUGUAUAUUUAUUUAUUUUUUGGUUAAAUCAAUUGGAGAUGGAAGCAUACCAGUCCUUGUGAAGCACUCUGGUCGAUGGACGUAUGAAAAAAACUACGAAGAAUAUGUNNNNNNNNNNNNNNNNNNNNNNNNNNNNNNNNNNNNNNNNNNNNNNNNNNNNNNNNNNNNNNNNNNNNNNNNNNNNNNNNNNNNNNNNNNNNNNNNNNNNNNNNNNNNNNNNNNNNNNNNNNNNNNNNNNNNNNNNNNNNNNNNNNNNNNNNNNNNNNNNNNNNNNNNNNNNNNNNNNNNNNNNNNNNNUAAGCAUUUUGGAGAAAGUUGUAAUGAGCAAUUUCGCGAGUUCAUCUAUAUGUGAUGCUGAAAGAAGAAGUAACUGUAACAACUUGCAAACAGUGAUAAAUACAACAAAUGAAGGAUCUUUGGUGGUUUCUGAAGAUGCACAAGCAUUAGAUGUAUUUGAGAUGGAUACUGUUGAGGUGAUUAUCUCAGACCCACAUCACAAGCAUGUUGAGGAUGACUAGGUUUACUUGACAAAAAAAUUUUAAAGUCGAUCAUGAAGGACUAUUCAAUUAGGGAGAAGUUUCAAACGCGAAGUAAAAGCUCAAGUAAGAAAACAUACGUACAUUAUAUAUUACUCUAAUCUUGUUUAAUAUUAGUUUGGAUAUGUAUUUUGAAUGAAUUAAAUUAUGUUGGAUGCAGUUACACAUUGUUUUGCAAAUCAAGAAGCUGUGAGUUUUUAAUGCGUGCUUCAAGCAUUGGAGAAAGUGGAAUGUUUAGAAUAAGAAGAUUCAUACCUCAACAUACUUGCCCAGUGAAGGACAAGAUCUAUCCAAAGGUGCAUGCUACUAGUAUGUUGAUAGGUGAUAUGGUUAAACAGAAAUUCAAAAAUCACAAACGAAAAUACAGUGCAAUGGAAAUUAGAAAUGACAUGAAGUAAGAUUUUGGUAUGGAUUUGACAUACACUUUAUGUUGGAGGGCCAAGAAAAGAGCGUUAGAAGAGUUGAGGGUAAGCCAUCAGCAUCUUAUGGGAAACUGCCAUCAUACUUAUAUGUGCUGAAUACUACCUAUCCAGAGUCACAUAUAAGAAUGAAGAAGACAAAUGAUAAUGUGUUCUUAUAUGUAUUUAUCGCUCUUCAUGCAUUCAUUAAAGGAUUAGAUCAUUGUAGACCAGUCGUAGUGGUUGAUGCUAGUCAUCUGAGAGGAAUUUAUACUGAGGCAUUGGUAACAGCAUGUACAACGGACGGAGCAGGUUAGUAUCAAUUAAUAGUAACUACAUUAUAUAAAUGGUUGUAUUUUUUUUUGUAUUUCUGCAAAUAACUUGAAAAUACAUAUCUCCACUGCAUGUAUACAUAUCUGCAUAUAAUUACAUAUAUUUUCAAAGUUUACCGAAUGAAACAUGUAAAAAUGUUUAUGUUUGAUAGUGAGGCGCAUGUAGAUUUUAUUAUAUGUAAUUGAUACCAUUUCAGGUACAUAAAAUAUGUAGUUUUUUUCACCUAUUUUUUUAAUAAAUACAUAUGCAGUUUCUAUAUGUAUUUAUAUUGGCAUGCGCAAAAUUUUUUUAUAUAUGCAAACCAUAUAUUUUCUUUAGCAUAUGGUGUACUUGAUUCUGAAAAUAAUGAAUUACGUAUACAGUCAUAUAUUUCCUUUGGCAUAUGGUGUGCUUGAUUCUGAAAAUGAUGCAUCCUGGACGUGGUUUUUCAAGAAUCUAAAGGAAGCGUACGGGGAAAGACAACACAUGUGUGUUGUGUCUGAUACGAAUCCAAGCAUCAUAAAGGCUGUUGGUGAUAUGUACAAAGAUGUUCCACAUUAUGCAUGUAUGUGGCAUCUAUGGGGAAAUGUGAAAAAACUUUACAGAAAGUCACACGAUACAUUAUCGGAGAUCUUUUAUACAAUAGCCAAAUCAUAUUCAAAGUCAGAAUUCCACAUGUUAAUGGAAAAAGUUGAGGCAGUUGAUAUUAGAGUGAAGAAGUAUUUGGAAUUAGUGGGUUACAAAAAGUGGGUUAGGUCGUAUGCAACAGUUCACCAAGGAUGGACUUUGACUUCAAACAUUGCGGAGUCAAUAAAUGGAGUGCUUGUAUCAGCUAGAGAACUGCCAAUUUAUGACUUUCUUGAGGAAGUUCGAUUACUAUUUGCAAAAUGGAAUUACACAAAUAGGCAGGAGGCUUCAUAUACCUUCACAACACUCAUUGGAAAGUUUAAUGACAUACUCAGUGAGAACAAGGCUUUGUGUACUCGUAUGACGGUAUGGCCUUUUAGAUUUGUACAAAAUUAUAAUUAUGAAAACAUAAAUAUGAAAAUACUUUCCACUUAGUUGUAAAUUAAUUAAAAUAUAUAUAACAUAAAUAAUAUGAUCAUUUAAAAACAUAAUAUGUAUUUUUUGUAUUGAAAAUUAUUAACACUGCAUAAGUAUUUGGAUGAUCUAUAAAAAUUUAAUCUGCAUAUGUAUUUUUUUUUUGAAAAAUGCUGGUGUGAUUACAACAUAUCAUGGAAUAUGGAAUUCAUCUUUUUGUAUCAUUGUAUUUAACUUUUUAUGUUUAUAUCAGGUUAUACCAUCCACAGAAUAUAUGUAUACGGUACACGACAAACAAAAACACUUCAUUGUUUGCAUCAAGGAAUAAAAAUGCUCAUGUAAUGCAUUUCAAAUAGAUGAGAUACCAUGUGCACAUACUUGUGCGGUGUUGGAGAAAAAGAAUUUUGACAGGGGGUCAUACUGUUCUGAUUUGUUUAAACCAAACACUGUUUUGAAGACAUAUGAUAUUCCAAACUACCCUUUUCCACACAAAGAAGACUGAAUAAUACCAUAGAGUAUACUUGGUGAAAUAGUGUUGCCUCCAAAAUUCAAAAGACCUCCAGGAAGACCUGGAAAGAAGGAUCAUGGAAAAUCAGGUCGGGAUAUGUUUGGAAAGAAGAAUAUCAACUCAUGCGGUGGUUGUGGGGCUAAGGGUCACAAUACGCGUUCUGGUAGGAAAUAUCGAAAAUGAUACAUUUCUUCUUCUGUAUUAUUUCUUAAAACUUUAUUUUUCAUUUGUUAUAAUCAUGAACUAUUUCAGUUUAGUUAAUACAUUUAUGAAUCAUUUGACAAUUGAAGACAGUAAUGUCUGAUUAUUGGAGCUAUAUAUGUUUCAAAAUCUGAAAAUUUUCAAGCAGCAGUUCAUAUGUAUUUUUUACAUAAUAUAUAUAUGUUAGGUUAAAAUGUGGUAACUUUUAUUGAGUCAAACAAGUAUAUGUUUCCUAAUUAUUCAAAAGUUUAAAUAUAUGUGACAUAUUCUGCAAAUAUAUGUUUGAAAUGCAUAAUGUUAGUACUGCAUAUGUAUUUAUAUGCUAAAAGUACAUUUGAUGUAUAAUAAAUAUGUAUUUUUUAGCAAAAUAUCAUCAAUGCAUAUGUAUUUUGUAACUAAAAUCAAAUGUAUAACUGCAUAACAUAGUCAAAAUUAUCUUUUAUUCGAGUUCUCUUGUAUAAUGAUUUUAAAUGAACACAUAGUAGGUAUGUUCNNNNNNNNNNNNNNNNNNNNNNNNNNNNNNNNNNNNNNNNNNNNNNNNNNNNNNNNNNNNNNNNNNNNNNNNNNNNNNNNNNNNNNNNNNNNNNNNNNNNNNNNNNNNNNNNNNNNNNNNNNNNNNNNNNNNNNNNNNNNNNNNNNNNNNNNNNNNNNNNNNNNNNNNNNNNNNNNNNNNNNNNNNNNNNNNNNNNNNNNNNNNNNNNNNNNNNNNNNNNNNNNNNNNNNNNNNNNNNNNNNNNNNNNNNNNNNNNNNNNNNNNNNNNNNNNNNNNNNNNNNNNNNNNNNNNNNNNNNNUAAAUAUAAUUUAUUUAUACUAAAUAUGUAUUUUUAUGCUAAGUAAAUAUGUAUUUUCAAGCAGCAGUUCAUAUGUAUUUUUUACAUAUUAUAUAUAUUUUAGGUUAAAAUGUGGUAACUUUUAUUGAGCCAAACAAGUAUAUGUUUCCUAAUUGUUCAGAGGUUUAAAUAUAUGUGACAUAUUCUACAAAUAUAUAUUUGAAGUGCAUAAUGUUAGUACUGCAUAUGUAUUUAUAUGCUGAAAAUACAUUUGAUGUAUAAUAUAUAUGUAUUUUUUAGCAAAAUAUCAUCAAUGCAUAUGUAUUUUGUAACUAAAAUCAAAUCUAUAACUGCAUAACACAGUCAAAAUUAUCUUUUAUUCGAGUUCUCUUGUAUAAUGAUUUUAAAUGAAUACAUAGUAGGUAUAUUUCAAUUGUAUUUUUGUAAUGUUUGAUUUUAACACUGCAUAUAUAUUUUUAGUCUAAAAACAUUUUGUUUAUACUGCAUAUGUAUUUUUAAAGCAUAAUAUGAACACUACAUAUGUAUUUUUUUAACUAAAUGUCACAGUAAAAGGUAUAGCUCCAUAAAACUACAUGUUAUAUUUAACAAUGUAGGAAGAUGGUGAAAAACUUUAAAGAACAACAACAACAUACUAAAAUACAUAUUAGGAAUGGUCCAUAUGUAUUUUUGCAAUGCAUGAUUUUAACACUGCCUAUGUAUUUUUAGACUAAAUACAAUUGAUUUAUACUAAAAAUAUAUUUUUAUGCAUAGUAUGAAAAUUAUAUAUGUAUUUUUACCUAAAUCUCACAGUAUAAGGUAGAACUCCAUAAAAUAAACAAAAUAAACUUUAAUUCAAAUCAAAAUUAUUUCCACAUCAAAAUUGAAUUAAUUUCAUUCAGUCUGAAAAUAAGUACUAUUAUAACCUACAAAUAGAACCAAUUCAAAACAUAAAAAUUAGUCUGUAGAAUCAAAACCUACAUCCAUAAACCAGUUUCAAAUCUACAACCAGUUUCACAAGUAAAAAAUUCAUCAACCAUCAUACAUUAAAAACUUCAGUGACACUAGUUAUUCUAUUUUGUCUUGCAGGCCUCAAGGGUGUUUCGACAUCACUAAUUGCAUUUGCUUCUUUUUUUUGAAUCCCAUAGUCCCACAAAAGUGCGGCAUAUCUUGUACGGAGUGCGUUGGGGUCAAACUCAGUCGGAAUAACUUUGUGACCGUAAGAAAGGCACACUGCAUACAUAACCAUAAAGACACCACAAUCUCUACAAAUAAAAAAAAUGAAUGAAAUAGUGAAAUAUAUUUUGUACAAACAUAUAAUUUUGGUAUAUGUAAAUUCAAAACUUACAAGCUUCCACUUGAUUGUUGAGGCAAAUCAUCCUCAAAUAAAAUAUCAAACAUAUCUGAGGAGUCUUUGUCUUUGUAUCUUGGAUGGUUUUGAAGAUCAAUUCCUUUCUUAACAUAUAAAUCACAACCUUGGAGACACAAUGAAAUAAUCUUUACUAUUUUCUCGAUCUGAACAAAAACAGCAGCAUAAUGACCACUGGAUUCAUAUGAAUCAUACAGAAAUAUACACCUCUCUGAAAAUGAUAAAACUGUGAGAACCCAGUGAUGCUUUUUCUUUAUAUUGACCAAAAUAAAAAUAUCUUUCACUGUAUGUCAUGGCACUGCAGCAUACAUAUGGAAUUCAUUGAUGUAUUCAUUAAGAUGGUGUUGUUGUCCUCCAUCAUUAAUGUUUUGAUGAUCUAUAGAAUAAACAUCCAUCAAAGAUCUAAUUAUAUUCAUAAAGUUGCAGUCAACUGUACUUUAUUUGUACGAUUUAUUUGGCUCGUUGAUGUACGAACUGUGCGGCUCGUACUUUGACUUCUUCCUCAAGUAGUAAAAGCAGACAUCAAUAUGCUGCAUUAGUAAAUACCACAAAAUUUAGAACAUUCAAACAAAUUAUAUACUAAAUAUUAAAGUGUAUGUAAGUAAAUAAUACAUAUGUUUUUUUAAUAUUAAUGUUGAAGAUCAGUUACUUCAAGACUAUGUUAUCUAAUAGUAUAUGCAACAGUAUGUGAUGUACUAUAUUAUAUCAUAUUUAUAUUUCUGAAGUAUAUAUGUAUUUUAAACACAUAUAUAUAAACCGUAUGUAUUUCAAUAUAACCUAAUAUGUAUUUUUAAGUAGUGUUUCAGCCGCAAUGAAAUAAAUUUUAAAAUAAUAUACUAACCGACUCUGUCCAUGUCUGAUCUGCAAACCUCAUAGUAUAGAAUCAAUUUUUGUCUUUAACAGUCUCAACACCAAAAUGCAUCAUUGGAAUGUCUGACUUUUCCCUCUUGUAAUGUUCUACUUUUUCUUUCCUAGGUAUUGUAAUGAGAUGGUAAAUCAGGAAAACAUAAUUGAUACAAAAAAAUAAUCUGAAUCAAGUCAAAAGAACAACCUCUUGGCAGUAGCUUUUAAUAGGUCGACAGAAAUUCAUUCCAUGAAGUUCUUGACAAUCUUCGUAUCUAUUAUUCCAUCAAUCGGGUGAUAUAAAAAUGGAUGUUUCUGGGGGAAUAUGCGUAUUAGCCCUACUGAGUUCCCUAAAUAAUUACAGCUUACAAAAAUUUAAUUAAUACAAACGUAUUUUCAAGACAUAUUACAUUAAAAAUUAUAUAUAUCCUAUUGUACUUACUAGCUGUUAAACCAAAUUUUUCGGUGUAUGGAGAUUACUUAAAUUUUGAUGGUUGCCUAAUCCUUAACUUCGGUCUAGGAGUUUUAAAUGCACGAUUAUCGAAUGGAUGAAUCAUGAUACUUUUUUGAUCAUACACAUUCAAGCUAGGUAGAAACUCAUUCGGAAUUGUGUUUUGUGAAUCAGGCCACAAUUGUUCAACCCUCUGUUCAUCAUUGUUUACUUCUUGUGUAUUAGGAGGUAUCCUAACUUGCUACUUUGUAUCAAGUUCGACCUCUGAAUGCACCAGUGACUUUGAACUCAAAUCAGUGAUCCCUCUGUUCAUCUAACAAAAAAAUUUAAAAAAGAAUAUUACUUUUUUUCUAUCAAAACAAACCUAAACAAACUCAAAAUAUACUAUAGACAGAUACAUACUUGAGCCUGAUCUUCAAUGACGAUGUCAGAAGUUUUUGCAUCCAAAAUUUCAUGAUGAGAUUCUUCUUGACGGUUUGCCGAUGGAUGUAUGAUGAUGCUUUGUCUUCGAUAGGUAUAUAGGCUCGGUAACAUCUCAUCAUGGAUUGUGAAUUGAGAAUCAGACAAAAUUAUUUCAUCAAUUUUCUCAUCGCUGGUCUGAAAAUAAAAAAACAAAGAAAAAAUUUAAUUGUCCUUUGAAUUAUUACAUCACAUGAAGACAAAGUUAACAUCACUAUACAUACUCGACAAUCAUGUUGAACAACCUUGUCAGAAUGUAAGUAAUUCAAAUUUAUGCUUCGGAGAAGCUCAUCAGGGAUUAAUAGUUGAGAAUCAAUUUCAACAUUUAUUUUUUUAGAAUGAAAAUCAGUGCACCCCUUGAAAACAAGUAAAAAUAUCAAAAACUACAUCAAACAAACAUGUUCUUGUAUCUGUUUAUAUAUGUGAAUUCAUAACAUUAAAUUGAAAAAUACAUAUCAAAGAACAUAACAAAAAAACCACUAUCAGUGUUAAAAUACAUCUUCAGUGUUAAAAAUACAUAUGAAUAAAACUCAAAAUACAUAUGCAGUGUAUAGAACAUACUAAAAAUACAUAUUGAUAUAUAACAUUAAAUUGAAAAAUACAUAUCAAAGAACAUAACAAAAAAACCACUAUCAGUGUUAAAAUACAUCUUCAGUGUUAAAAAUACAUAUGAAUAAAACUCAAAAUACAUAUGCAGUGUAUAGAACAUUGUAAAAAUACAUAUUGAUAUAUAACAUCAAACUCAAAAAUAUAUAUUCAUAAACAAAACUAAAAACACACUUUGUUACAGGUUAUAAUGUUUAUAAUCAACCAAAUAAUAUAUAUUGUUAUGUGAGCAUCCUCAAAUGUAUUUUGAAUAUAAACUAUAGAAGUACUAGUGAAUAUGUAUUUGGAACUUUAAUAUUUACCUUUGUAUCGUCAGAAAUAUUAUGCAAAGAUUGAAUAACAUCAGGACUGAAAUAUUGUCCAGAAGGUUGUAACCCUCCCUCAUCAACAUUUGGUUUAUCAGCUUCCAUAUCUACAACCCGCUUCUUAAAAAAUUUUGUACAAUAACAUAACAAGUUAUUUUACAAAUAUGUUGUAUUUGUAUAAGAAAGUCCAAUAAGUAUACAUAUUCAAACCAACUAAGUUUUUCAAAGAAAAAAUUUACCUUGCUUUGAGCAAAUGCUUUCUUCAUCUUUUUGAAUUUUUUUCUCAUUAGACCACGAAUUCCUUUAAACUCGCGACGAAUCUGUUUUGAUACAAAAUUAAUAAACAAAUUUUUUUCAUGACUCUGAGGCUUUGACACGACUACUUCCUCUACAUAACUAUCUGUCUUUGAUUGUACCUGAGGAAAAAUAACCCUAGAUAUUUUCUUUCCUUUCUUCAUUUUUGAAGAAGAUACCUGUCGUGUUGGAAUUAGCUUAAAAACUGGUGUCUUCGUUCCAGCAGGCUUUGCAACACGAAGAGCUGGUGUCCUCGUUUGGGUAUGCUGAUAAAAAAUAUUUACUUAUUUUUUCCUUACAGAUUUCUUCGUUGCUGGUGUUGAUGAAUCAACCUUCUAUUUCUUCUUUGAAUGUUCGUUGAUCUUUCUUGGUGGUGGAUCCUGGAAGUCGUCAUUAGAAUCAACAAAACUUCAUGUUGGAUUGCAUCCUUCUUUGGUAUUUGCAAUUUUGCCAGUUCCUUUUUCGUUGGCUCUAUGUUCUUAAAGACAACCUAGAAUAAUAGGUAAAUAAUAUAUGUUAAAGAAUUAGUUAAACAGUUGUAAAUGAAAAUGUAUAUAUGUAUGCUGUAAAAUACAUAUUAAUACAUAUGUAUUUAGUAACAACAAACCUUGACAUUGUCCUUAAACACAACAUUCAUCAAAAACUCAAAGCGUGAACGAGGUGCAAUCGUCUUCCAAUUUAAUAAUCGGGAAAUUCGAUUAUCAACCUUUGAUGCAAUCUUUGGUGGUACAGAUGAACAACAUUCAUAAAGCCAUACUUGGAUUGCCAGUGACAUUCCUUGAAUCAAAUAAAAUUGACCACCAGCUUUCAACCGGUUGGUCAAACUUCUGGCCAGAUCUUCAAAAGAUAAAGAACCCCAUGGAAAAUCCUUAUAUCUUCCACUAUCGACCAAAUCGAAAUGAAGACGGGGUAUAACCACAGUUUCUACAUUAGAUAAAAUAAAUGAAUACAGGAAAUAUAGGACUGUAAAUUUCUCAGCAUUCUCGUCGUUGUUCUCCCCCUAUACUUUCUCAGUGAAUGCUAGAAAUAGUUGUCUUUUCUGUAUAAAUUCUACCCCAUUGAAAUACUUGUAAACCAGCCUAUUUAGUACACCCUCAUCAAAAGUGAAGUCAUACCUAUUUGACAUACAAUUCAAUCCAGUUAUGAUAGCAAAUUUCCUGGGAGUAAAAUUAAGAAAGAUGUCAUUAGCACAAAUCAGAAUCCUAGAAGAAGAACUACCCUUCACCUCAAGCGUCAUAUGCAUCUGCACAACUGUACUUGCACUACACAUUGUUGUUUUUCAUAAAAUAACCAAAACUGUUAUUGUUUCAAAAGUUUUUAAACUAUUCCUUGUUUAAAAUUGCACGUAUGCUUCCAUAAAUAUCUUUGUCACUGUACGAGCACAUGUGUGGUGCAAAUCUUGAAUGUUUUCUGAUAAUGAAUAUUUCAUCCCGCAUCACCUACACAAAGUAAAAUAACCACUUCUUAAUCUGUAACAAAAAAUUCAAGAAGACAAAAAAACAUAUAACAUGCAUAUGUAUUUCAUAUGAUUAAAAUGCAUAUGUAUUGUGAUCAUAUCAAAACUGCAACUAACAGUUAAAAAAAUACAUAUCACAUAUAGUAAAAAUACAUAUAACCAAUACAGUGUUAGGGUAUUUAAAUUAAUAUUACAUUCAUAUGUAUUUUAACCAUAUAAAACCACAACCAACAUUGAAAAAUACAAAUUAUGUAUGUAUUUCAUAAGAUUAAAAUACAUAUGUAUUGUGAUCAUAUCAAAACUGCAACCAACAGUUAAAAAUACAUAUCACAUAUACUAAAAAUACAUACAGCCAAUAGAGUUUUAGGGUAUUUAAACUAAUAUUAACAUGCAUAUGUAUUUUGACCAUAUAAAACCACAACCAACAUUGAAAAAUACAAAUCAAGUAUGCUAAAAAUACAUAUAGCCAAUAAAGUUUUCAUGAGUAGCUAAACUAUGAUACUAAAGCAGUCAAAAAAUAUAUAUAACAAGCAUAUAUAUUUAUAUCAUAUCAAAACUGCAACCAAUACUUAAAAAUACAUAUCAACUAUACUAAAAAUACAUAUAGCCAAAUAAUAUUUAUGAGUAGUUAAUUCAACACCAUUCAACAAUAUAUUUUCACAAUUACGUUAUCAUCUUCACAAAUCAGCUUAUAAUCCCUAAAUUUCAUCAUAAUAGAAAAUACAUAGUAACUAGCUGAACACAAUACUUAACAGUAAAAAAAAAAUACAUUUACAAACAAAAAAAAUACCUCUUCCUCACUUUCUUCUUCAGAUUCAUCAACAUAAGAUUUGUCAGCAUUGUCUUCAAUUUCUAUAGAUUUUCUUUUCUUGUCGUAACUUUUUUUAGUUUUUUUCUCCCUUGGAGAAGGAGUUUUCUUCAACCCUCUUUUUUUUUUUCAAAAUUUUGGUCAUCUUCACUGCGUCAUUGCAAAACUUCGACCUAAUCUCCUUCGAACUCCCAAAUUUGUUCAACUGUAAAGGAUUUGAAACAACUCUAACUAAAUGUUCUUGAGUUAACCCAAGAUUAAAGGAUGGUGCAUCAGACAGUAAAAUCAUAUUACUUGUAACACUGAUUGUAGGUGUUUUUGCUAUGUUUUCAUCCAUUAAAACACAAAACCCUUAAACUCUGAUUUUCAGAUAAACUAAAGUAGAACAAAAAAAAAAUUUAACCGCUAACAUGCAAUUAAUAGUUACCUGAAAUAGGCGAACCAAAUUCUUUCACAGAUCGUGGAGGAAUCGUGCAAAGGGCGGGAUUAAUGGUUAAUGGCAAAAAAAAAAAGGAAGGAAAAAUUUAAAAAUAAGGAAAGAUAAUGAGGAAUGAGUGAAAAGGGAAAUUUUAUCACAGUAAAAAUAAUUAGACGGCAAAAAAGUAGGGGACCACUUAAAAUAAUGUUAUAAAUGCUACAUAAUGUAAUUAUGAAAAAGUAUUGUUAGUUUUUGUAAUUUAGUACUUAGGUAUGAUAUGUCUUGUAUUUUUUCCUUAGAAAAUCAAGCAUCCACCAAUCUAGAUAUGCAAUCGAAUCAAGUAAGAUGAACAUCAAUCAUAUUCUCCCAAUAGGCAAACCGAUUUGUUCUCUAGUUUAACUUACAUUCCAAUAUUUCCUUAAUAGAGUUCUAUUUUAGUAGUAUUUUUCUAAUUGAACAAUAGAAAGGAAAAUAUUGAUUAAUUUUUCUACCAUAUAUUUUAGAAGUUUCAUACAUUUUAGGAUCCCAUAUAUUUUAGAAGUCCCAUAUAUUUUAUGAACUCUAGUUAAUAUAAUAAAAAAUACUUAAAUAAUAAAUUAAAAAAAUAGUGAAAAAACAGUUUUGUCUAAAGAAAGUCUUUUAAUGAAGGAAAAAAAGUUCAAAUCAAUUUUAUGAGUAUCUUCACACUUUUAAUGUAUUAUAGAUUAUAGAUUACUAGUAAUAUAUCAAUUUGAUUUACUUUUAAGGCUUAAUUUUAUAGGUUAUUCUAAUAAGUUGAUAAAUAUAGAUUUGUUUACUAAUCUCUUAUUGAAUUUCUAUUAGCAUUAUAACAAAUUAAACAUGCAUUUUACAUUAAAGUUUCUCUUGAAUACGCUCAUUCUAUUUACGCUAAUUAUUUUUUUUACUAUGAAUUUAUAGAGUUUGGUUCUUGGAUGUUAGAAGAUUAUGGACUCAACUUUGAUACAAAGAGUGAAACCACUUUAUCCUUGAAUGCAAUAGCAUCAACAUCGUCAAUCCCCAAAUCAAAUACUUAAAGCUUUUCUAAUUUUGAUGAUAUGGAACUUUCAAAAUGUUAUAGAUCCAAGUUAAAGUUCUUAUUUAUUGUACAUAGAUUUGAUUUUAUUUUCACAAGUAUCUAAAUUUGUGCCUUUUCUUAUUGUUUGGGACUUAGGUCUCUCAUUAGUCAAUUUGUGUUUUACAAACUUCAUUGUCUUUUGUAGUUGUCGAAUAGUUGUAGAGUUGAAUGCCAUGAAAUUAUUCAAAUGUCAUUGUAUAAAUUAACUAGUGAAUAUAUCCGCGCUUCACACCGUUAUAAGUGACAUCUAUUUUUAUAAAUUUAAUAGAGAUGAAAGAGACAUAUAUUUUUUUUUCAUGUAUGCACACAAAGUUUUAUUAUAAAUUGAAUCAAAAAAUAAAUUAUUAAAAAUAAAAUCACUGAUAGUUGGUUAUUAUGAUGUAGUUGUUUAUUUAUUUAUGUCACAAAUAAACAAUCUUGAGUCUCAACAAUCUAAGAAUAAUUGUACUUCACUCAAAAAUCAACUAAUUGUUAUAAUGUACGUAGUUAUUUAUUCACGUGACAAAACAAUAACCAAUUCACUAAUUUAUAUGCAUCACCCCCAAAUCAAUUACAUAAUCAGCUUAAUAUUCACUUGUCAUGUAAAAGUAUUUAGCGAAGUACGAUAAUAGUAGAACUGUAAACCUGGCAAAAAAAUUAAUAUCAUUUAUUCUUGAAUAAGUUUUAAGAAACGAAUUGAGAUAUAUAUCGAUUAGAAUCUUAAUAACAUUUUAACACACUGUAAUUUUUUAUUAUUUAAUUACAACUAAUAAAUCAAUAUAUUCUCAGCACAAAUGUAAAUUUGAGAAAAUAAUACAGUGGAGUUUGUAUGAGGUCCACACACAUGACUUAGCCCUUUAAGUUUGUUUAUUAGCAGUUAAAUAUUAUGAUAAUAAUAUGCAAGAACUAUUUUAAAAUGAAAACAAAGCAAAUAAAUAUAAAGAGUAUGAACCUUUUGAGGUUCAGUGAGGAAUGUAUGCUCUUCUUGUGGUGUUGGUCUAUAUACUAUCCUAAUUAGCUUCGUAUUCGAGAAAUAAUAUGGCAAAUGAAUGUUUUAAGUUAGAGACUUUUAGCGAAAAUUAAAAGAAAAAAUUUAGAGCACAAGAAUAUACUGUAUUUAUAUUGUACUUAUCAUAUUCGAAUGUCAUAUAAUUGAGAGAAAAAUAUUAAUAGUAGAUUACAAAAAGUAAAACAUUUACCAGUAAAAAGACUCCUAAAUGACCGCUCAGUGAUAAAGGAGGUAGGGGUGCGGAGACAGGCAGGAGGUUUGCCUAGAAGCAACCACCCUUGAAAGAGUGCAUAAUAGCUCACUGAUCAAGCGCUCUUGCACCGAAGAUGAAUGGGGUUAAGCGAUCUGCCGAAACUGUGGGGUAUAAAAAUAGAUCGGUAGGGGAGCGUUCCGCCUCAAAGGAAAGCCUCCGCACGAGCGAUGAUGGACGAAGCGGAAGCGAGAAUAUCGGCUUGAGUAACGCAAACAUUGAUGAGAAUCCAAUGCCCCGAACUCAGGCCCAAAAGUACUAUGACCAAUGAAUGUUGACCAUAUGAAUACAUACAUAUAUAUAUAUAUAUAUAUAUAUAUAUAUAUAUAUUUAGAUUUUCUUUUUUCUCUUUAUUUGAUGACUUUGAGCCACUUUUAAUUAAAAAAAUAUAUAUAUGUAUAAUAAUAUCUAGCUUUUUUUUUUUUUUUAUCCUUCUAAUCUCAUCAUCGGAACAUGAGUUUUUCUUUUACUCUCUGAAUCAUGUGUUUUCGAUCUAUCCACAAUGAUAACCAUCGUAUGUCUUUAAAAAAUGCUUCAAAGUCAUAUUUUUUCGAUCUCACAUUUUACUUCUCUAGACCUGUUUUGCCUAACCUUACAUUUUCACCAUCAAUAUAUAUUGCUACAUACUUUUGCUAUAUAAUUUACUAAAUACAAAAUAUUAAUCAUUUUCUAGAAAAAUUAUUAAUUAAUGCCUAUCAUUAUAAUUACUUUCUUUUUCUUUUUCAAAUUUCACCAUGUUCAAUUAUGAAUUAACAACGUGAUUAAUGUUUAGAAAAAAUAAGUUGAUAAAAGAAAUAUUUCAUGUAUAUAAUUGAAAAAAAUUAACAGAAGAAUAGUUGAUUAGUCAAUUUAAUUUAAAGUAAGUUAUGAUCACUAUUGAAUAUUGUAAAUAAAGAUUAUUCUGAAUUUAUAGUAGGAGAAUAUUCGAGAAUUAGGCUCUUAAAAUUAAAAAUCAUCAAAAAUAAUACUUAGUUUCUCAACUCUAUAUAUUUGAUCAAUAACUUGAUCGGCAAAAAUAAAAAAUAAUGUGAACCUCUUUUCCUAGUACGUGGGACACUGACUUGGACUUUUAAAAUAAGAUUAUUCCUUGGCAAAAAUAAAAAAUAAUGUGAUUCUCUUUGCCUAGUACGUGAGAUACUGACUUGGACUUCUAAAAUAAGAUUAUUCCUUAUCGUCCUUAAUUCAAGUAAUCCAUAAUUUAUUUAUUUUUAGAAAAACACGUAGUUUAAAAAUAAGAAGACAACUAUAUUAACUCGAGCAAAAAACUUUUGUCAAUAUACGAAGGAGUAUAUUCACUCUAAAUUGCUAGAAUCCACAAUUUGAUGAAUAGAGGCUCUAUUUGCUUCUCAUUUUUUCACUAUAGCUCGUAGUUAUGUCCCAUGUAUUUGGUAUAUUAAUAACUCCUACAAUAAAAAGAAAGUGAAUAUUAACAGUUCCUUAUAGAAUUAAAAUAAAACCUUUCAAUCAAAUAUGCUGAUUGAACAAUAUGAAUCAAAUUUAUUUAUUUAACUAUAUAAUUGAAUAAAAAUUGAAUUCAUACUUAUAAAAUGAUAGAAAGACGAACUUAGAUUUGUAGCAUAUUUUACGAAUCUACAAAGACAAAUUUUAUUAAUCAUUAAAAUAUACUCCUUCCGUCCCAUUUUAUCCGUCCCAAAUUUUCUAAUCUAGUGUCUCAUUUUGCUUGUCCUUUUUUACUUAUCAAUACAAGACAUUUUUUUUUUUCAUAUUUUACCCUUUACAUUAAUUACUUUUUCUUUAAAUUAAAAUGUAAACAUCAUUUAAUAGGGGUACUAUGGUAAACUAUCCAUGUUAUUUAUUAUUUUUCUUAAUAGCUGUGACAUCCCAAUUUAAAAUGAGUAAAAUGGAACGGAGAGAGUAAAAUAUAAAAUAAAUUUAAAGGCCUCAAAAUUCAAGAGAAAUACAUGAGAUUAGGGAGAACUUAUAAGAUAAAAGAGGAGGAGAAAUGCAUUGUGUAAUUUUCAAAGAUGGGUAUUUAAACUUAUGACUCAGACUUUUCAAUUGUUAAACGGCUGUGUAUCUUUGUUGUUAUUUAAUUCAAUUUUUCAUUUGGGUUAAUUAAAUCUAAUGCAUGAGAUAAAAAGAGUAAGAAAUAAAUAUUUUUUUCCUUCCAUUUUACUUGAUAUUUUCUUAAAUAUGUUUGUUUCAAAUUAAUUGUCUAUUUUUGUAAAUCAAAAAUAUUUUAUUUCUUCUUUCUCAUGCUAUCCUCAAUACUAAAUAAUUCAAAAAUAAUAAUAAUAAUAAUUAAAUUUAGAAUUUCAAAAUAUCAUUAGGGUUAAAUUUAUAAAAUAAAUUUUUAAUUAACGGAGGAAUAAAAUUUUGAUUGAGCUGUUUCAAAUUAUUAAUGCAUACAUGACAUGCAAUUAAUCCGUAACUGACUUUUCUUGAACCAAUAGCAUAAGUCAUUUAAUAUGCAAGGGAAAAGGGAAAGACAGAGAAUUGGCUUACAACCGCAUGAUUUAAGUACUACUUUUCUUGUAACGCGUGUCUGAUAAAUAAAUGGUAUUUAGUUAAUUUAAAGAAAAUAAUUAAAAUGGAAUAAAAGGCUUUAGAAAAAACUGAAUGCUGAAAAAUGUUCAAAAAAUCAGAAAAAAGAUAAAUAUUUUUCUUGAUCACUGGGGCAUGCCACCUCAAUAGUCUCCAAUGUUUCCUUUAGCCUCCAAUGUUUCCUUUAUAUUAUAUAUAGAUUGAUACCGAAAGAUUAUUAUGUUUCUAGAUUUCAAAAAAUAUGAAUGAAGGUGGCUUUGAGAAUUUGAAAAAAUUAAUGAAAAAAGUAACAUUUGUAACGGAAACAUUUAUUGUCACUAAUAAUAAAAAUUGGCCGAUUAAAUUAAAAUGAUAAGAUAUUUUGUCACAAUAAAAUAUAUUUAUAAAAAUCUAAUCCCAAAUAUUGUGACUAUUUAUAGCUAGAAAAAUUAAAUUUGAUAGCUACUAUUUCAAUCGUUAUGGAAAAAUAAUUAUAUCUUUUGCCACAAUAAAUUUAUUUGUGGCUAAAGUAUAAAAUAGCAAUAAAGUAGAUUAGUUGUGGCAAUUAGAAAGUUAACUAUUAGCUGUGUGGAAAUUAGACUUCUUUAAAAUAGCCACGUCACAAAACAUUUCAUAGCAAUAAGCUAAUUAGUCCUUAGCCAAGAAACUUUAAAGUUUGUAGUUGGCUUUAAAUUAUGCCACUUCUAGCUACGCAUGCUAUGAAAAAAAUUAUAAUAGCUAAAGUGUUUAGCCACAGAAAUAAAACAGGUGCAGAAGGAGUAGAACAGGAAAGAAUGCUUUCGUGAAGUAAAACAACAGGAAAGAAUGCUUUCGUGAAGUAAAACAUCCUAGAAAAGAAAACAAUAUGUUUGAUCUAAUCUAAUAACUGAUAUGCCUUUUCUGUCAUAACCAAGAAACACACAUGAAAUGAAUCCAAGUUGAAAUUUAUCCCCUAUAUGGAUUAGGAUUAGCCGCAAAACAGCGGCAACCAAAUACUUUGAGGUUUGUAUAAGAAGGUUCAGAAUUAUACAAUCCACGUCAUUUUUAUAUAUAAAAAUUAUUAAAUAUUAAAAGAAAACAAUUCCUCUCCCCCCCCCCCCACCCCUCCCCACCCCAAUAUUUAAGUGGAAGUUUAGAUUGAAAUAGCAAGGGUGUAGCAGUUUCUAGUAAAUAUUUUUGUUUCCUUUCUAUAACAACAACAUUGCACUAUUCAACUCAUAACGAUCACAUAUGAUUUUGUUUCCAUAAAAAGCUUGCCAAAUUAAUGUCAUGGAUAUUGAGUACACAAAAAGGAAGUAAUUAACUUCUCUAGUUCAUUAAUGGGAAGAACUAGAGUUUUAUUCAAUACACAACACAAAUACAUAAUUUAGAUAAUAGGAAGAACUAGAGUUUUAUUCAACACACAACACAAAUACAUAAUUUAGAAAAUUACAACCACAAAAGUAUUAAUUAGUAGCUUAGUACAUAACAUAGUGUCAAAAACACAUACUUUGUGGCCAUAAUUUCUUAGAGCAAAUUAAUGCUUCUUCUUAAGCUUUCUCUAGAGCAAUUUUAUUGCCACCGAUGGCGCAAUGGUUGCUACCACAGCUUUUCACGCAAGUUUUAA
rnacentral:lncRNA from 1 species